rnacentral:lncRNA from 1 species
AUUGAGAUAGUCUCUUAAACUUUAAAGAUUAUUAUUCCUUAAUUUUAUUUCUAAUCCCCUUAACAAAACUAGCAGUUCAACUUAUCGGAAGAUUCAGUACGUAGUCAUGUCAGGAUCUGACUGCUUGUGUCUACAUUCACAAUAAAAUGUUUGGUUUUAUUGAGUUUCGACUACUAAAUGAUGUCUUAGAAGAUGUAAGUACCUGUGGUAAUAACUCACAGAGCCAAGAUAGAGCAUACAGCCUGUAUGAAAGUGAGAAGGAGAAGAAGCAGAGCAGCCAAAACAGAAGCAACUGACCAAGGAUUGUGGAAAUAGUCGUGUCUCAGAAUCGCCUUCCACCUGUUCCAUGGUGUGUUGCAGUAAGAUUGUAAGUUCUCAGAGAGGCUCUGAAAGUAAAACUUUCUGCCAAAGAUAACCUCUGUGCAGAUGCUAUCGAACACAUCUGAAAUAUCUUCUGCGACUCCAAGACUGUUCAAAAAGAUCCCACUGCGGAUGAGCAAGUCAGCAUCCGUAGGGGAUCUAAUGAAGCAACUGAGAAGCCUGAUGUAGUGGAGGAAGAUCUUUUCUGAGCAAUGACAUUGUUCAAAAACGAUGAUAUUCCUGAAGAGGGAUUCCGUGAGAUCAUCGACCAUAAUAGUAGGAAUCUCCAGCACUCCAUCAGCAAAUUUAAGAUCAAGUAAACAACUACUGGUCUCUGAUGGCUUGAACUUAACACCAGCAUUGUGUAGCUCUGUUGCUUUCGGCGCGUUGUAAACCGUAGAUAUGCCUUCUUCCAAUAUGAUUGGAGCUAGCGGCAGAUAACAAGACCUCAGAAGAUCAACAAAAUGCUCUGGCUCUGAAGAUUCAAACAUUUUAUCAUCAAUGUUGCUCAAGAAACAACUGAAGUGGCUUUUAACCAUCUCCAGUAUUGAAGGUGUUCCUUGUUGGUAGUAAGGAGUCAAGAGAUUGAAAAAACCCUUCACAAUGAAAAACGGUAACUGGUUUUCUAUCAGAAUCAUGUCACGACACACGUCAGUGAUCAUUCACGGCUUCCCAAAUAUGCGAUCGUUCUCGGUUACCAGAUGAGGAUAACGAGAUCUCAGAAUAAGUUCAACCAAGAAGCUUCCAUCCACAACUAACAUUUUCACAAAUUCGUAGCUGUUGAGUUUCACAUCUUCUGCGUAACAACUUCGAGCAUCCUCUUCCCACGUUCUUGCUACUCUAACAAGAUCCUCUAAACUAAAGGUUACUCUAGGGAGAAAGCUCUGCAAGUACCUGUAUUUAUGCUCUUCCAUGGCUUGAAGAUCUUCUUUACCCCGAUGAAACGGGCCGAAGGAUACAAGCCGAGGCGAGUAGACAUCAGGGUUGAGCCUGCGGAGCGUAUUGGGUACCUUGUAGAUACAACACUGGUUUGAAAGAGAAGACAAGGAUUCUAACUUUGCUUUGAUGGAAUCUGCCAGGGAUUUACCUUGGCUCAUAUCCAUACCUCGGUUCAGUGUUACUCAAACAUCACUGUUUCAUGAAAGAAACGAGAACACAUGUAGAAAGAAAGAGAUUGAAGAAACUUCGUAGGAGGAAAACUUUGAGAAGUUGGCUUUGUCUUCUUUGAACACAGUGGUAGACUUUUCAGAAAUCAGCGUUUCACAUGUACUCGCUUGGAUGAAGAGAAUCAGAAACGGACGCUUGACGAGAUUUCAACAAAAGAAUUAUUGACACAUCACCUUCUGACAAAAUGUUAAAUUAAACUUGAAAAAUCUUAUGAAAUGUUUUGUUUGUAUAUGUUUUGAUGGGUAGUGUUAUCAAUAAAUCAGUUUGCUAAUAAUGCAUCUUAGAAAAAUAAUUUAAAGUUAUCCAUCCUGAGAACAAAGAAAUUUCUUUUUUUGCUUUCUGAAUUUUUUGAUAAAUAUAACUAAAUAAUAUCAACAAUUUCAGUUUAUGUUAAGAAAGUUUAUAGUUUAAAAUUUAUACUAGACGGGUAUAUUUUUUGUUUUAUAUUUUUUUUUAAAAAUUAAUUUUUAUAUUUAUGUUUUAUUAAUAUUUGUGUUUUACUUUGUAUAAUAUAUUUAUUAUAUGAUUAAUAAGAAGUUUUAAUAAUUGUACCACACUUAUGUCAAUAGAUCUUGAUGUUGUUUUAAUAUAAUAGAUUAAAAUAAAAUAUAUCAAUUAUAACCCAUUUUGAUUAAAAUCAUUUUUAUGCUUUAAAACUUUUUGAUACAAUUUGUUAAAUUUACUUAUAUAAUUUGAUUCUGUUAUUUAAACUGGAAUUAAUAUUUAUAAAUAUAUAAUAUGAAUAGGGAAUAUAAUAUGAUUAUUCAGUUGUAGUCGUUACAAAGUUGAGUGAAAUGCAAAAGUUGAUUUUAAUAUUAAAAGGUUGUCUACAGUUUUUUAGUACGCUAGGAAGAAGUGGGUUCCUAUUAAUUUGGAAUCAAAGAAGUGGUUAUAAAAUAUGUAUAAGAUAGUUAUUGUUGGACUAAACUUCACUCAAUUGGUCAUGAUUCUGAUUUAAUAGUAUUGAUUUACAUAGUUAGUUUGAUUACUCACCCUAUUAUUUAUUUUGUUUAUGGUUUUAGUUAAGACUUUUUAAUGUUAAAACUCUUCAACUGUGAACAUUUAAAGAAUUGUGAGACAAUCUAUUGAGUGUUUUCUUUUUUUUGUCAUUGAAAUAACUUCCAAAAGUUUGAUCUCCAAAGCCAAUGCUCUGAGCGAAACAAAGAGAAAAAAAAUAUAAAACAUACACUAGUAGGUGUUUAAACGAAAGAAGAAAAAAAAUCCUACAGAGGGAAAUGAUUUUUUGAAGAUAUAAAUGGCUUCAUACUCCAUUAGGUGAAGCCAUUGCAGGCUCAUCUUGAGUAUGUAGACGGAGAGGAGACAGCAUCAACAAGAAUGAUAUCAUGAGUAAGCCAACUUGGACCUCCACGAGCUACAUAGGAUUGAACUUGGCCAUUCUUACACUACAGCGAUCUCAAUUGAUACUCUAUUUGCAGCCACGGUCACUACUUCAUCACAGCAGUGUUGGAAGCAGUUAAGUGCUUUCCAAGUACGCUUAAUAGUAUUUGACAGCCCUAGGAGCCAAUGCAGAUUGUUCAGGACAGCCCACCGAACCGUUUACCAUGAAAGUAUGGACGAACACAAUAGAUUAGAAACUAAAGAUUCCACACACACCAAUAGGGGCAAUGGUAAAUAUACAUUUCCAAAGAAAAUAAGCACACCAAUAAGAACACCGUCGAUCUUCCGCUCCGGUAUAAGUUUAACCACGCACCUGACCGUUGAACUUCCAAUCCGGAACACAACCAGAUCCGUUGCAAAACACACACACCAAAAAAUCACUGAAAAGGAGGUUGAGUUCACACAACAACCACAACUAAUACCACUCCUGUAACUGUUAUCACCACCACCACUGCUCCUUUAUAUGAAGUGCAACUCCAAUACAGAAACGUAUGGGAGAGUGAAUAAGAGCCACCGGAACCAUCAAAAACCCACGGUAGAACAACUCGUCACAACUGACGAAAAGAUCUAAAAAACCCAUAAAACUAAGCGACAAAAAAGAGCAAAUUGAUGAAAAAGCUGAAAGAGAAAAGAGAGAUCUCCCCCGGCAUAAGCGACAAGCGCCACCGGGGGAAAAAACGAAGAUCAGAUCAGAGGGAUUUGGGUGUGACGGCUGGAGAGAAUUGGUAAAUUAGAGCUGAAAGAGAAAAGAGAGAUCUAUUGAGUGUUUAUAGAAUCAUUUCUAACAUCAGAAAAAUCAUUGAGGUGAAGAAAGCACUGAACAACCUUCAACAUAAGGUGUGGUUAUUCAAGAAUUUCUUUGGAGAGUUUAUGAGUCUAUGGGCAGAACUGGAGCGGUUCAGACCACCAACAACUGAUGUGAAGGAUCUGAAUGAGAAGCGUGAGCAAGAUCAAGUGUUUGGAUUGCUGCUUUCUCUCAAUGGAUCACAGAAAUGAUUCAUCGUAUCUUAAGUUUUGACAAGUUUCCUAGUAUUAAUAAAGUUUAUUUGUUGAUCCAGAAGGAGGAGGGUUCAAGAAGUCUCUUCCAUGGUACCAAUCAGACUUGCCUAUGUGAGUAGAGGAAGCGCUUUUCAACCAACUGUAAGGAGAAACUACAAUAUGAUCUGUGACCAUUGCAAGCGCAUGGUACCUAGGAGAAGUGUUGAAUGUUUAGACCUGAAUUUAGACCACAAAAAGAGAUGAACUACCCAGUUAGGAACAAUACAACCACAUGGAAGAGAAGAUCUGGUGAGGAAGUCAGACUUGGAUGCUGAACCAAACCAAAAAACAAAAUAACCCAACUGAAACCAAACCAAACUUCGUAAAUACAUGAACGGUUCUUAAAUAUCUAGAACCAAAACACCAAAAAUCAAAAUAUCCAAUCCAAAAUCGAAUGCUGAAGACUAAUAGUGCAUCUACAUUUAAAUGGUUGGAAGAAAAUAUUAUAUUUUUACAAAUUAUUUAACUCUUUUUAGUGGGUACAUAUGUGGUUUAUAAACAAAUUAAGAUAUAAGCAGUGUUUUUGUAUCUGAUUCGGACCCACACGGUUGAAUCGGUAAACUUGGUUGCUAUAUAUAAUCCGGACUGGCUUUCUUCAUGUGACAUUCUACUGAGGUUCUAACAAUUGAUAUAUUUUCACAAAAUUCAGAUUUAAUGAAAACACUAAAUUUUGAAGGGCGGGUAUAUUUUAAUUUCAAUUUUUUUAGAAAUUUAAUUUUCAUAUUUAUGUUUUUUUUUAUAAUUAUAUUUGUGUUUUUCUUUGUAAUAAUAUAUGUGUAUAAAUCUUAAUCAAAAUCUAUUUUAUAAAAUACUGGUCAUUUAAAAGUUGACGGCAUACACUUAAUUUUUUGUAAUCUUAUUGUAUAUAUGCCCGUUUCUUUGUAAUCAUAUUUGUCGGUUAUAGAUCUUGAUCCGCAUGUAUAAUGUUGGUUUGUACUUUUUUAUCACGUCAGUUACCAAAGAAACAUUUAUGCCAAUAAAUGUUUUUUAAUAGUAAGUGACUAUAAAUCAAGAUACCAAAGAAACAAAAACAUUAAAAAAUCAUCUUUUUUUAAUUAAAUUUAUGCCAAUAUAUAUUGAAAUUCCAAACACUUAUUCCAAUAUAUAUUGACAUUCCAAACACAUAUCAAUUGUAACUAUAACUUUAUUUUUUUAAUGUAAAUAUGUAACAUUUUUAUAUGUUAAAGAAAUUUAAUUUAUAUGUUUGUGUAUAAUUUUUUAAAGAUUAUUAGUAAGAGUUUUUGAUAAUUGUAUUGAAUUUGUGAUGUUACAUAACUAUACAAUUGUGUCAUGGUCAUUUCACACAUUAAUUUUGUACUUUAUUUUUAAAGAAUGAUUAAUUUAGAAAAAUAACAAAGUUAUAGUUACAAUUGAUAUGUGUUUGGAAUGUCAAUAUAUAUUGGAAUAUGUGUUUGGAAUUUCAAUAUAUAUUGGCAUAAAUUUAAUUAAAACAAAAUUGAUUUUUCUAAUGUUUUUGUUUCUUUGGUAUCUUGAUUUAUAGUCACUUACUAUUAAAAAAAAAUAUAUUGGCAUAAAUGUUUCUUUGGUAACUGACGUGAUAUAUUAAUUGAUGUUUGUAUGAAUAACUGCAUCAAUGUAUUUGUUAAUCAAACUGGUCAUGGUGGUUAAUGUGGUGGUUACCCGAUUAUUAGGUAUGUGGUGGUUAGAUUCAGAAAUUAAAUUUAAUUUCAGUUAUAUUUAAAAGGUAUAUUUUGUUGAAAUAAUAGUUGGACACAACAUUUUAUCAAUAGGUCAUGUUUCUAAUUUAAUAGUAUUGAUAUAUUUAAAAUGUAUGUUUUGUUAAAUAAUAGUUGGACACAACUUUUUAACAAUAGGUCAUGUUUCUAAUUUAAUAGUAUUGACUAGAUUCUGACCCGCCCCUUGAAAGGGCAUGUAUUUUUUUUGUUUUAUUAUUUUUAAAAUCUAACUUUUAUAUUUGUGCUUUUUUUUGUAAUCAUAUUUGUGUUUAAUGUUAAUCUAAUUUAAUAUAAUUUUUGGUAACUAUAUUAAAUAUGCCAAGUUGCAUAACUAUACAUUUGUGUCAUACGCAUUUCAAAAAUUAUUUUUAAACUUUAUUCCUAAAAUUUGCAACAUAUCAUAUUUUUAAUAGAUACCUAACAUAAUUAGUAUAAAAUAUUUGUACCCCAAAAACUCGAUUCAGAAUCGACCCGAAAAUCAAAAUCUCAUACUCUUUUAGACAUGGUCUAUAUACUCAAACGGUUCUUAAAGUAUUAUAUCCGAAAGCCAAUAUCAAACCCAACCCGCACCAAAAACGAACAAAUUUUUUGAAAAAUAUUUGAAAAAAUAAAUUUAAUAUAUUCUGUAAAUAUAUAUAUGGGUUAAUAUGGUCUUCAUUAACUUUAAGUAAAAUCAAAUAAUCUAUUUAAAACCCGUUAAACUAAAUGAGUUUAUUUAAAACCCGUUAAACUAAUUGAAACUACUAUAAGUGUUUUAUUUUGUAUUUCGUAAAGAAUAUAAAGUGUCUAUAAUGUAAUAAUUACAUUUUAUACUCCUAAACCGAUAUUAUGAGGAAUAAUUAACAUAUCACUGUAGAAAGAUAUGUCAAUAAUGUAACUGUAUAUAUUAUUAUAUAAAAUAAUGUGUUAUAUUAAUCAAAUAAAAUGUUAAAUAUCUAAAAAGAAAAUGGUUGAGAUUAUUGAAUAACACAAAAAAAAUGUCGAUGGAAUACUGUCGAAAGGAGUAAACGUAAUUUUUGUAUAAACCCAGAAGGAAGAAAUAAAUGCUAUAUAAUAUAUAACUGUUGGCUAAUAUAAAUAUUAGAAAGAAGUGGCUACCGAUAAUUUUAAAUCAUAAUUGAAUUAAUAGUUAAUUGGUAAAUAUUUGUAUGUUCUUAUUAUAUAAAUCAUAAUUGAAUAAAUUGUUAGUUGGUAAAUAUUUUCAUGUUUUUGGUUCAAAAACUAUUGAUGGAACUUUUUAAUGAAAUUUUAAAUUUGUUACAAAAUAUCAGUGAUAUAACUUGUAUUAUAUUACGUUGAAGUAAUGUUAAUUUUCAACAUUUUUGGAUCUAUACUGGAAUAACCUGAGAAUUUUUCCAAAUUUAUUCAAAGGGUAUUUGUUAAUCUAAAUUUUAAAGAUGAGUAGUCUUUACAAAAAAAAAAACUGUAUAGUAAUAAAUUAAACUUAUAUCAAAUGUUUGGUAAGUAUUAUAAAUAACCUAUUUAAUAUGAUGAUAACGUAUUGAAAUUGGCAUUAGGAAUCUAAAUGUUUUCCAUUUAUAUUUUCUGAACUUAAACACAUUUAAUGAAACAUGUUAAAGUGAUCGCACUUUUUAAAACUUGUUUAUGAAAUUCUCACAUAAACCAUAUUAUCUGAUUCAUAGAGGUGAUUCAUUGAGAGGGAUGUAUUGAUAUAGUUAACAUUAUACUGUGAGUGAUAAUGCGAUGAAUUUUGUAUAUGAUAAAUGAUGACUUGAUGUUUGACCGUAACAACAAAAGUGUGGGUUCCGCAAAAAUUGUUUAAUGGGAUGUCAACCGUAACAUGCAGAAUAAUUAAUUGGUUACUAAAAUAUUGGACAUAACUUUAUCAAUUGGUCACACUAGUGUUUUAAUAGAAUAGAUAGUAAACCAAAACUUUCAACAAUGUAGUAUUAUGCGGGUAUUAAGAUUCAUCUCACUUUUAUUCACACCACAAUAGUUAAACAAUAAUAUUAUGGUUGAUGUUACUAUUGAGCACGUAAACAGCAAAAAGAGAAUAAAUGUCAUAUUGGGUUUAACAAAUUUAGAAAAUGCGGGUAUAAUAUAGUUAUAAAUGUAGUAUUACGUGGGUAUUAACCGUAAUAAAACUAUAUAUCAAUGUUUGGGAACGCGCUAGGCGCUAGUCGGGCGGCUAGAUUGGGCCUAGCGCUUAGAGGUUAGUCUUCAAUAAUGCUCUUAUUUUAAUACUAAACAAAAUAAGUUGGAAAAACUAAAUGUUAUUUUAUAAGUGUACUUCUGUUUUAAUAAAGUAGAUGAGCAUAAGGUUAGUCUCUAAUAAUGCUCUUAUUUUAAUACUAAGUGGAUUGUUUAUAUUCAAAUAUUGAAUUACUUUUAUUAGCUUUUGUCCUUUACAAAAAUUAUAACCUAAAAUGAUGUUAUUAGUAUUAUACAUCCUACAAACAAUAGUUAUUUCCUAUAAAAUAAUAUAAAUUCUAAUUCUAAUUUCUUUUCAUAGUAUAUAAAUCUUAAUUAAAAUACCAGUGAAAAAAAUUGUAUGAUAUAUUUUCUUUUAAUUAUUUAUUUAAGUUAAUAUAUAGUUAGUUUCAGUUUAGUUGAUUUAUGUUUACUGAAAUAUAUAUAUAUAUAUAUAUAAUUAAAAUUGUAACCAAAACAAUUUUUAGAGAAAUAAAAUUGUAACAAUUUAUACAUAGAAGGGAUAUUCUUAUAAAAAAUGUGCAUAACAUAUCAAAAAUAAUCAAUUAAGCAAUUAAGUGAAAGAGAAUUUUUAAACAGGGUGAAAGGUUAGGAUUUGAACCUUGAUAUGUUCAAUCAUCAACCAAAAUUUUCAUUUUGCUAUAUAUAAUAAGCUUAACAUGUAAUCAAUUUUUUUAAUAAGCUUGAUAUAAUAAGCUUAACAUGUAAUAAAUUACCAUUUACUGCAUACUCGGUCCUUUCCGGAUAAAUGCGUGAAAACUCUCCACCUGGAUAUCGAUUAAAAAUUAGGCUUCAAGUUGUUUUCAAAAACAAGUUAAAAACUCUUAUUAAAACAUCUUUUUUUAUAACGUUGAUUUAUUAUGAUAUUACACUUAUGAGAAAUAUUUCAUAGACGAUUCGACAACCAACAAUACUAUCUGUCUUAUGAAGAUCUACGCCUACCUGCAUCAUCUGAGCUGUCCUAUGAAGAUCUAUUUCUGACCAGAUUUACUUGCACCAUGUUGAAGAUUCCUUGUAAACCUUUCUUCUGUAACCUGCAUUAAUAAAUCGUUCUUUCCAGGACUUGAAACCUGGAUUUCCUGUAAUUUGCAAGAAAUUGCAUAGUCUGGAGUUCGAACCCCAGACCUAGGUGUAGAAGCCUUUAAACCUUAACCACUAGACUACAGUGCUUCUACUAUUAAAACAUCUUAAAAAGUUAAUUACGAUGACAACUGAUGCAUGAUUUAAGCACAAUUGCCAAUAGAUGGAAACAUAGCAAACCGGUAAUAACUUAGACUAAAACACGUUAACAAACACGUUAUAUAUUCAUGUGAACAAAAAUUAUGCUAAGCUACAAUUAAUGACUAAUGGAAAAGAGUGUAAUCUUUUUUAUAUUAAAAGAUAAGUAUUGUAAUAAAUGCAUUCACACUAUAAUAGAUACAUGACAGCCUCACAAUAAUUUGAUAAUAAGUAUGCUAACGCGUUUAUACAAUAUUCAUAAAUGUGUUCACACUAUGUACUUUGCAUUUUUUUUACUAUAAAACUUACAUACAUGAUUCUAAUAAAACUCUGGAUUUUUCUGUUCCAAUAAAAAUUGAUAACGAAUCAAAAGCCAAACUAUAUAUAUAUUAUUUUUAUUGUUUACGGAUAAAGUUGAGCAAAAUAUUCAUAAAUUUUGAUUCGAUUCGUUAUCCGUUUUGAUUGGAACCAAAAACUCUAGAUAUCCGCACUCUACGAAACAAAUCAAAUACUAAAAUACAAUAUCCAAAAAAGAAGCAAAUCACAAAUACCAAUAAUUUUAGAAACACAUAUCUAAUUUGACAUGUUAUAUGCAUAUAUAUACAUAUAUGUAAAAAAUUAUAUAUAUAUAUAUACAUUAUAUAUAUUAUACUUUAUAUCAGUUUCACAAUAUUUUUAUGAAUUAAAUUUUUUAUAUUAGAUACUAAAAUUUAAAAAGUUAAAUACUGUUUUAUUUUUGUAAUAAAAUUUUAUUAUUGCAAUUUUCAAUUAUUUUUAAAAUUUUAUUUUAUUUACGGAUCAAAUAGGAUAUUCUUUAAAAUUCUAAAACAUUUCAAAUAUCCGAGUCACCGAAUAUCUAGGUGGCUAAGGAUCGAAUCGACACGAAUGCUUCCAAAUAUCUAGAUAUUUGAUAUGUGUCCACCCUAUUUACGGAUACAAUUUUAUUUUAUUUAUAUGAAAAUUGACUAAUGUCAAAGCUUUUUUAUUUUAAAUUAAUUUUAAUUUUAUCUUUCAUGUAUUAUUUUGAACAAAAAUAUCAUUUAAUAUUAAUUAACAAUAUCUUUAUAUAUUUUUUAACUAUUUUUAUAUAAUUUUUACAUACACAUACAUGUGCACCUUGAUGUGAUCACCUUGUAACUAAGUAUUCACCACAACUGUAGUAUCUAAUUUGUUUUUAAAGUUGAAAUAUUUUUUCUUAAUGCGCCGACCAAAUAGUAGUGAAAUGAUUUGUCUUAAUAAUUUUCUUUUCUUUUUCUUAAACUAUUAUCUGUUUAGAAAUUAUAAUACGAAACUAUUGUUUCGACAUGACGACUAUCUAAAAUUUAUAACAGGAAAAUAAAUAAAUAAUAUUAAUUUUUGGUUUUUACCAGAAAAAAACCAAAAAAUCAAAUAUUUUAACCGAAUAAACUAAAAUGAAUAUUAAUUUAAAAUAAUAGUUAUAUUUUAGAAGAUUAAAAACCAAAAAAAAAACUUAAUACCGAACCAAUAUCCAGAUUAAAUAGAUUUAAUGUCUUUUUAUUAAAAAUAACGAAACUAAUAAUUACAUUCCGCGCAAGGUGCGGAUUAUUACCCAGUAAUUCUAGUAAAAAGAAUGCAAUUAAUUAGAGAGGGUGAGAAUGAAUAUAAUGACAUUCUCGUUAAUAAUACAUGAACAUAAGGUUAGUCUCCAAUAAUGCUCUUAUUUUAAAACUAAGUGGAUUGUUUAUAUUCAAAUAUUGAAUUAAUUUUAGUAGCUUUUGUCCUUUACAAAAAUUAUAACCUAAAAUGAUGUUAUUAGUAUUAUACAUCCUACAAACAAUAGUUAUUUCCUAUAAAUAAUAUAAAUUCUAAUUCUAAUUGCUUUUCAUAAUAUAUAAAUCUUAAUUAAAAUACCAGUGAAAAACAUUGUAUGAUAUAUUUUCUUUAAAUUAUUUAUUUACAUUAAUAUAUAGUUAGUUUCAGUUUAGUUGAUUUAUGUUUACUGAUAUAUAUAUAUAUAUAUAAUUAAAAUUGUAACCAAAACAAUUUUUAGAGAAAUAAAAUUGUAACAAUUUAUACAUAGAAGGGAUAUUCUUAUAAAAAAUGUGCAUAAUAUAUCAAAAAUAAUCAAUUAAGCAAUUAAGUGAAAGAGAAUUAUUAAACAGGGUGAAAGGUUAGGAUUUGAACCUUGAUAUGUUCAAUCAUCAACCAAAUUUUCCAUUUUGCUAUAUAUAAUAAGCUUAACAUGUAAUCAAAUUUUUUAAAAGUUAUGGGAUCACUAAUGUUAUGAUUUGCAAGUUAAUUUUGCACAACAUGAAACGUGCCAUACUGUUAGUACUUAGAUGUGACUAGUAAGGAUAAGUACAAGUUACAACAAGCUUGUAACAUGCCAUAUUUCUCGACUUACUAACUUUGUGUUAGCUAAUCUGUUAUUUAUUGUAGUUAAAUAAAAUGUUUUAAUACCAACAAAGUAGUCCUAACUUUUUCUUGUUUUGUCGGAAUCCUAAAGAAUAAAAAAAGACAGAGACCUCACAACUCGCAAUAUAUCCCCAAGCCCAAUGAAGGCUAGAAAAUAGAGUUAGAGUGUGAUAGUGAGAAAAGGCAAACUAAAACAUCACCUGCUCAGAUAAUAGAAAGAGAGAGAAGUUUUGUUCAAAAAAAAAAAAAAGAAAGAGAGAGAAGCUUAAAAUCAAACAAACUCUCAAUGGACGAGAGACCCGAGACAGAGUUAAUAUCAAUACCAGCAACGCCGCGAGUCUCCACUCCGGAGAUUCUAACUCCAUCCGGUCAAAGAUCUCCUCGUCCCGCCACCAAGCCGUCGUCGGCGGCAUGGACUCCGACCUCUUUCAUAUCGCCAAGGUUCUUGAGUCCUAUUGGGACGCCUAUGAAACGCGUUCUUGUCAACAUGAAAGGUUAUCUCGAAGAAAUGGGUCACCUCACCAAGCUCAACCCACAAGACGCUUGGCUUCCUAUCACCGAGUCUCGCAACGGAAAUGCUCACUACGCUGCGUUUCAUAACCUCAACGCCGGUGUUGGGUUUCAAGCCCUCGUUCUUCCCGUCGCGUUUGCAUUUCUUGGCUGGUGCGUUUGCGUUUUGCUCUGUUCUUUUUCUAUUUCCAAUAAUCGUUUUACUAUUUCCAAUAAUCUUUUUUUUCUUCUGUUCAAACCAUCUAUUGUUCAGAUCCACUUAUGAAUUUAAAAAAAAAAUCGUCAGAGAUAAAAAAAAUAUAUGUACUAUUUUACUUUUCAACUUUCGAAAUAAAUCAAUCUUUUUAGUAGAUAUUUUUUGAGAUUCACUUUAAUUUGUCAUGCUUCCAUCAUUACACUGGCCACUCUCAGACAUACUUUUGGGUUUAGUUUGGAUUAAGACAGGACCGUCUUUAUCGUCGAUUUUGUUUCUUGUUGAGUUCCAGCAAAAUAUACAUUUAUUUAUUUAAUAUAUUUAUAUAUUCUCCCUUUAUUUUGUAUAAUAACUAGUUUUUAUAUGAAAAAUAUAAAAUGUAAGAUCAAACAUUUGAAUCAUUUUAUAACUUGGGUUCGAGUAUUUGGGUAGUUAAUUGGCUUAGUAGUGGAUCAAUAUUUGUGAUUAAGAUUUUAGUGACAAUAGCCUAUUGUUGUUGUUAAGGAUAAACUAUAUUUGAAUUAUUGUUGUGUAGGAGUUGGGGGAUACUAUCAUUGACAAUAGCCUAUUGUUGGCAACUCUACACACUGUGGAUUUUAGUUCAGUUACACGAAGCUGUCCCAGGGAAACGUUACAAUCGAUAUGUCGAGCUUGCACAGGCUGCAUUUGGUAAUUGAAUUUAAGUUAUUUUCAAUGGAAAUUAACUUAAUUGGUGGAUCAUUAUUACUAAAAUCUUGGAUUCUUGAUUUUGAAACAGGAGAAAGAUUGGGAGUUUGGCUUGCGUUGUUUCCUACGGUUUACUUAUCAGCAGGAACAGCAACAGCUCUGAUUCUGAUCGGUGGAGAAACAAUGAAACUCUUCUUUCAGAUAGUUUGUGGUCCGUUAUGCACCUCGAACCCGUUAACUACGGUCGAGUGGUAUCUGGUGUUUACUUGUCUAUGUGUCGUUCUGUCUCAGCUUCCGAACCUCAACUCUAUUGCGGGACUUUCCUUGAUAGGAGCAGUCACUGCAAUAACUUACUCUACAAUGGUUUGGGUUCUCUCUGUGAGCCAACCAAGACCAGCUACAAUAUCCUACGAGCCGCUUUCUAUGCCUUCAGUUUCUGGUUCGCUUUUCUCUGUCUUGAAUGCUCUUGGCAUUGUAGCUUUUGCCUUCAGAGGUCACAACUUGGUUCUUGAAAUUCAGGUAAAGAAAAUGAAAAAUGUUUAUGUUUAUGUAAAUAAAUAAAUAAUGCAAUACUGGACUUGUGAACUACUGAGUAUUGAAAUAAUUUGCAGUCGACGAUGCCAUCAACGUUUAAGCAUCCAGCUCAUGUACCAAUGUGGAGAGGAGCCAAAGUUGCUUACUUCUUCAUUGCUCUCUGCAUCUUUCCAAUCUCCAUUGGAGGCUUUUGGGCUUAUGGGAAACUCGUAAGUUCCAUUUACUGUGGUUUAUCUUAUCAAAGCUAUGAUCUAUAUUUUUUCAUUGGUUGGGCUUCGGUUUAAACCGGUUUAUUCCUUUGAUGGCAUCGUCGACUGCAAAUUAUUAUCAAUGCUAAAAUACUGUAUAUUUUCUUUGGUCUAAUAGAUGCCUCCAGGAGGUAUGCUCGCUGCUCUAUAUGAAUUCCACAUUAACGACAUUCCGCGAGGCUUGUUAGCGACGGCAUUUCUCCUAGUAGUCUUCAACUGCCUGAGCAGCUUUCAGAUAUACUCCAUGCCUGCCUUUGACAGCUUUGAGGCUGGCUACACUAGCCGAACCAACAAACCAUGUUCGGUCUGGGUCAGAUCAGGUUUCAGAGUCUUUUUUGGUUUUGUCUCGUUUUUCAUCGGAGUUGCUCUCCCUUUCUUGUCUAGUCUCGCGGGUUUGCUAGGGGGACUCACGCUCCCGGUCACGUUUGCUUAUCCUUGCUUCAUGUGGGUUUUGAUCAAGAAACCGGCCAAGUGCAGUUUUAGUUGGUAUUUCCAUUGGGGGUUGGGUUGGUUAGGAGUUGCAUUCAGCUUGGCCUUCUCCAUUGGUGGGAUAUCGAGUAUGGUUACGCAAGGACUUAAGCUUAAGUUCUUCAGUCCUAACUAAGUAUUAUCCGAUGUAAGUCAGUGGUUUUUGUUUGGGUGAAUUUUUUUUUUUUAAAUUAUGUGUUGUCUGUGUUUUGAUUACGAGUGCCUUGUUUUUGAAUUGGAACAAAUGUAUUUUAACAAUAUUUAGCAUUUUGAAUUUUGAAGGUAAGUGUGGGUUGGCCAAAAUAAUGACACAAUAUUUAGUGAAUUUGUUGACAAUCCUUAGUUGAAAAUUGAAGUUCUCCCAACGUAGCUUUCCCUUUUUCAACUUAUUCUCAGAAAUACAUGUAAUCAUAUUUCUUUAGCAUUUAUUAUACCCCAAAUUAUUUAUGUAUAUCCAAAUAGUUAAACAUCAAAAAUAUGUAAAUUAAAAAUGCUGGAAUUAUAUUUUUAUUAAUUUAUAAAUAUUAAUUAAAUAAUAUUAAAAUAUUAAUAAAAUAUUUAAAAUGUUAAAAAUGUUGGAAUUAUGUAAAUACUAAUUUAUAAAAUAAUAAUUUUGUGUUAAUAAAAAUAUUAGUUUAAAAAUAAAAUUUAAAUAUUUAUAUAAUAAUAUUCAUGGUUCUUAUAUUAUUUAAACUUUAAAAUUAUGAUUUUAUUAGUUAUUUGUUAUAUAAGGAUAUUUUUAUAAUAUAAAUACAGUUUAAAUUUAUUACAAAAUAGUAUAAAAAUAUAUAAAAAUUAAGUUAAUUUUAUUUUAAAAGCAAAGAUUAUAUUAUUUAUGUUUUUAAAAGACAAUUUUAAAGUUUUAAAAUUUAUUACUAUAUCAAAUUAUAUUAUAUUUUGAAUUGAUCUAGCUUUUGAUAAAAUGUUAUUUUAAAAAACAUUAUUGAUUUAUCAAAUAUUAAGUUAUGGACUUUAUACGUUUUAACUUUCACAUAUGGACACCCAUAUUUAUAACUGAAAAUGAAAUUUUAUCCGAUAUCAGUUACUUAGGUAUUUUUAGAAAUAUGAAAAAUUGAAAAAAGACACUUUGAACUUUUGUAUGUCUCAUUAAGACUUUUGAUAUUUUUGGAAAUGUUUUAUUCUUUUAUAAUGAAAAAAUAGUAAAUAAAAUUUUUAAAAUAUAAAAAAUAUGAAAAUUUUUAGAAACAUUAGUAUGACUUUUUAUAUGUUUGAUUUUCUUAAAAAAGUAGUGAAAAUAUAUUUUAUUUUAUGUAAAAUACUCAUUCUGACCAUCUAGUUAAUCUAGAAAUCAGAUACUAAGUAUUAUACACAAAUCUAUCGUUGGUAUCUAACACAAACAAAGCUUUCUUUUAUAUUCUACAUUUGAUAUAAUCCGUUCGGUUUUAUUCUGGCAAGAUGUCAUUAAUCUACCAGAAGCUUGAUUACAAGUUAUAGAAUUAACUCUACGAUUUUUCUUAUCUUGUCUAUGUAUUUUAAUUUGUCCUACCUAUUACCUAAUGCUACGCUAAGGGAAGGACAUGUUUCCCAUUUACUAUGCAGUGUUCUGAUAAUUUUUGCCUGGAAAUAACUCUACUGAUGGUGGUUCAUCUCAUAAAAAUCUGGAGAUUUUUUCCUGACAAUUAUAGUUCCUAUACUAUUGGUUCAUCUCAUAAAAAUCUGGAGAAUUAACUUUCAUAUUUUCAUUUUAGUUGAGGAAAAAAAGAGAAUAAAAUUAAUAAUUGAUGUAGCGAGAAGCCGAGAGCAGUCACAAUACACAUGCUAAGAGGCAAUGAUGUGAGAAGCCACGAAUUAGGGAACGCCAUCAUACUUCUGUAAUUAUGGAUAUAUUUAAAAAAACGGUGGGUGGUUGAUCACACUACAUAUAGACAACUUUUGGAUCAAUAUAAACAUUCUUUUAAGGAUUUAUGUCUCUUUUUGUUUUUGCAAAUGAUUCAAAUCUUAUGAUGACAUCAAUUUUAUUUGACAGUUAAAGAUCAGUGACACCCACUUCCAGGGCCGGCCCUAGGGGACUAGGCGGGUUUUAAAAAAUUUCAGCUAAAUAUUUGUUUUGGUAAAUUUGGAGAUCUAAAAAAAAAAUUUUAGAAGCUUUUUUCUAUGUAAUUUUUUUAAAAAAUUGGGGUCUAAAGCCAAUGUUUCGUUAGGCUUUGCCAAGACCGGCCCUGUCCACUUCUUAAGUGUAUUAAACAUAUCUUCUUAGAAUAACUUCCUCGGAAACUAUAUAGUACUUAAUAUGCUUAACAUUUUAAAUUUUCUAAAGUUCUUAUGAUAGCAUGUUACAAGAUCCGUAAUAUAUGUUUUCGUAUACAAUAAUUAUUGAUCAUGAAUGCUUAAAAGGUAUGAGCAGUAAUUAGAGGAUUAAAAAUAAUAGUAUAUUACUUCAAGCAGUAAUUCUGCGGUUAGGCUAUUUUAUUACUUCUAGGCUUCUAGCAGUAAGUCGAAAACCAUUUUACUUCUAGCAGUAAGUCGAAAACUAUAUUACUUCUAGCAGUUAAAAUAAUAUAUAACUUCUAGCAGUAAGUCAAAAACCCAUUUUUAUAAACGACCUAGUUAAAUAGUAAUUAUAAAUAACAAUUAAAAUAAAACGUAUAUAAGAAAAUCUUCACAACCUUCUUGAGAAAGCAAGCUAGGUUUUACAGCAUUAUACAGAGAAAACAUGAAUACCAAUUAUUAUAAAUAUUUAUCUAUCUUAUUAAAACAGAAACACUGUGUUGGACCUAACUUUUAUUUUGUAAGUUUUUAAACUAAAUACACAUUUCUACUUUAUAGUUAUACUUACAUUAAAUCACUAAUAUUUUUUACUUUAUACUACUAUUCAUGUUUUCAAACGAUAUACUCAUUUCUUUAUACUACUAUCUAUGUUUCUAAACAACAUUAUAAUUAAUUUUGUGUCCAAACAAUAUAAAGUAUUAGAUCUCGUCUUUUUAGUAAUUUCUAGCAAUUAUAUUUUAAAAUAUUUAGAUAAAUUAAAUAAUUGAAAACUUCAAACAAUUUAUUAAACAACAAAAAUAAAUAAAACUUAAUUUUACAGGUUUAAAUACUACAAAACAUUUCAAUCAAUAAUAAAUCAAUUAAAUUAAAGGAUUAUUUUACUUAUAUUUCCUAAACAAUGGUUAUAUCAUUUAUUUAAGCAACAUAAUAAUUCAAUAAUAGCCAUUACAUAAAAUAUAUAUAAAUGUUAUACAUUGUAUAAUAAAUAUAAUAACAAAAAAAUUAUGGAAAAUGUUCAAAAUAUAUGUUAUCUAAAGAAAAAUGUUUAACACUAACUGUUAACAACACAUUUAAACCGGUUAUAAUAUAAACCAAAUUAUAACAAGAUAAAUUACACAAAAUAAUUAUAAUAAAAUUAAUUAAGAUAUGUAAAAGAGAGUAAUAUGAUCAAGACAUAUAUAUAUAUAUAUAUGUAUAUAGUUCUUAAUUAUUUUAUUAUAUCUAUCAUUUCUCUAUCAAAAUUUUGUGUAAAUGUCAUAAUUUCAUAAGAUAUCAAAACACUGACCUUUAAAAUUUGGAUUAAAAGGAGAUAAAUUAUGAAACUAAAACAAUUUAAAUCAAAUUAGAUUACAUAUAGAUCAUCCAUCGGUUCAAUCGGGUAGUCUCGGGUUUUAAUGAUUUUUAAAUAUGGAUAUUUUUAAAAAUCUAAUCAAAUUAUCAUAUCACCGGAUUAACCGGUUUGAUCACAGGUUUAUGUCGAAUUUAAAAGUACUGAUUUAAAUGCAAAAAUAUUUUAGAUGCACAAAAUACUUACAAAUUAACAAAAUAUUUGUUAAGUUUUUAAUAAAAAAAAUUCAUAAAAAUAUUGGCGUUUUGAAAACGCGGGUGAAGAUUUAGUUAAUAUGUUACAUAAGCCAGGCUAGCUAUUUCAUAUCGGGAGAAGUGAGACUACAUGCAAAGUUCGAACGUUACAUAAAAAACCCGCAUCAUGGGUGGUGUUGCAGUUUUGGCUAUUAUAUGAUUGUAUUUUUAAUCUUUGUAAACACAAAUUAACCUUUUUAAAAAGAAACAAGCCAGAAAGUAUCUUGGAGAGCAAGGGAGUAUAUUGGAGAAAAGGCAAGAGCAGGUCACCUAAGUCAUUAGUGAAGAUCCCGAAGGCAAGAGGAAAGAAAUGAAGAGAGAGUAGAGUAGGAAGCAACAGGAAGCAUAGUGGCUGAGUUUAUGCUUGAUCCUAAACAAUAUGGGCAUUGAAAAGUGAAGAUGAAAGCAAGCUUACAAAGUAUUGAUAUGGAUGUUUGGACAUCAGUGGAAGAUGGCUAUGAAGUUCCCAAAACAGUAGAUAAAGAUGGUGUUGUGGUCAACAAACCAUUAGCUAAAUGGACAAAGCGUGAGAAGGAGAUGUCAAGUUAUAAUGCAAAAUUUUAUGUGGUAUUUUUACAUCCAUCAAAAAUAAGCAUCUCGAUCUGAUUCAAGGAUGCAAGAAUGCAAAAUAGGCGUGGGAUAUUCUGCAAUUCCCCUUUGAAGGAACUGAGAAGGUUAAGAAUUCAAGCAUGGAUUUUUUUUAAAUUGAAAUUUGAGAACUUGAAGAUGGAAGAACAUGAAUAUGUAUCAGAUUUUAGUUCUCAACUCAGUGCGUUAGCACAAGAGACUCGUGUUCUGGGCAUGGAAUACAAGGACAAGAAACAUGUGAAGAAGUUUUUAAGGUGUCUACCAGAAAGAUUUAUAGCUUAUAAGACAACAACGUUUGUGUGUAUGCCAGAUAAAUUCAACUUUCACAAAGUAGUGGGUAUGUUAAAAGCUCAUGAGAUGGAGCUUGAUGGCGUGGGCAAUCAUACUGAAGUCAACCUGGCAGUUGCUGAAACGACAAGUCAAAAAUCAGAGAAUGAAGAUGAGAUGGUUAAGAUGAUUCGCGUGCUUCACCAAGUACUACGGAAAGUGAUACUGUGGCAAGGACAUGAGAAUGUUGAUGUGAGGAAACAAAGGCAAGAAACUGACAAGCCAUGCGAUAACAAAGAGGUGUAAUGUUAUAAAUGCAGAGGAUAUGGAAAUUUCAAAAGGGAGUGUUCAAUGGCCAAGAGAAGAAGAUUCAAAAGCUUAGGUGCAGAGAAAUUGGAGGCGAUGAGAUGCAGAAGAAAGAGAGAUCAUUCAUAAGGACAUAUGAAAAUGACAACAUACGACAUGUCAUGAAGUUCAGUUAUGAAUAAGUUUUGUUCUAAAGUUUAAACAAUAUUGUUCUUUUUUAAUUUAAAUAGAGUUUCUUAAAUUUAUGUAGUUGCUAGUUGUUAAUUUUAAUUUGUUUAUGUUUCAUUUUGUAUGAUUUUUUGUUCGUACAAGACUUUUGUUUGUCAUGACAUGUCGUAUGUUGUCAUGUAUAGUUAGUUUCGUAUGGUUGAUAGACGAGACUCCAUUUGAAGGACAACAAUAUGGUUUAAGGAAGUCACGUACACAAUUUCUUUUGAAAAGACUGGAAAUACAGAGUUUAAUCAAGUACAAAUCAUUAUUUUGGAACUGAUAACCCAAUUACUAUCCGUAACCGAAACUAUUUCGAAUUUAACAUGAUCUUAGACAUGUAACUAACCGCAAACCGAACCUGACUAAACCUGAACCAAAUCCGACCUGAACUAUUAUAAUAUUUGAAUGGGACUGAAAUUAAUUAUUCGAAAAAAACCAAAACCCAAACCGAAACUUGAUUGGGAUCCGAUUACCCAGCCCUAAUAGCAGCAGCAUCUAUUCUAUUAAAAGGGAAGCAGUCUUGAUAAAUCUAUUUAUAAAAGUUGUUUGGACCCUUUCAUUAGACUUAAUUUUUAUUGGUCUUACUUUAUAUAUUUGUACAAUAUAUUAGUCAAUACCAUAUAUUUAACCGAUUUUUAUUCCUUCCUCUAACAAGAUGCGUGAUAUUAAUUAUUAAUAUCAUUAGUUUGUUACCGAAAUUAGAGGGAAUCAAGUUAUGGAGAUUUUUCUAAAAUGUUAGAGUCAAAAGGAAUCGAAUUAUGAGAAUCAAAUUACUAUCGUGAGUUUGUUACACCCUUCUGUGCAUUCCCAUCUAUGCAGCAUGUCCAUAUGUGUUAUUUUAUUGUUUAUAAUUCUUGAUUAAAAUAAACUACAUAUUUAAUUUAGUACUAUAUAUAUACAGUAGAACUUCUAUAAACUAAAACUCGAUAGAUUAAUAAUUUUUAUAAAUUAAUAAAUUUCGUCGGUUCCAACUUGAAUCGGUUCAAAAUUUAACGUAAAUCGAUAAAAUAAUAAAAUAAUAUUUUUUUUGAAUAUUCUAUUUAAAUAUAAGAUCCCAUUUAAAUUAUAAAUUAAUAAUUUAUAUGUAUACAUAUUUUAUAUAAGUAAAACCCAAUUAUUAUAUUAUUUGUUUUAUAUUCACAAUGAAAUUAUCUUUAUAUUUUCUUAACACUUAAUAUAUUUUUGAUGAGAUUUAGUAAUAUUAUAUUUAAAAUCACAUUUAAGUUCUAUGCAAUAUAUAUUAUUAUACACACUAAAUAAUAUAAUAAAGUUAAUAUUUUUAUCUGUAACACAAUAAUAAAGUUAAUAUAAAUGUCAAAUUUCAAAAAACAAAAUUAAUGUCUAUACACUUAAAUCAAAUAUUUUUCUUUUCUUAGAAUAAAUAUAUCUUAAAAUAAAAAAUCUAAAUAAGAAAACAUUUAUAAAUUAAUAAAAUUUCAAAGUCCCAACAUUAUUAAUUUAUAGAGGUUUUACUGUUUAUAUAUAUAAUCUUUCCAUGAUGAGGAAAGAUGGACCUCUAAUAAUACAAUCAUCCAUCAACUAAAAACAUGGUUCAAAAUCUUAUUUUAAAAUUAUUAUUAUUAUUAUUAUUCGUUUUAUAUAAAACAGUUAUUCUAUAAAUUAACUUUAUGCUCAGGAUCUACAAUAUUUAUAUAUAUUGUAUCAUUAAACAUAUUGUACUAUAUCAUUUUACAUUAUAUAGUUUCAAAUAUUUACAAACUCAAAUUUAAUAAAAAUAGUUUGGCAAAUCAUAUGUUAAAACAAAAUUAUAUAUAUAUAUAUAUAUAUAUAUAUAUAUAUAUAAAUAGUUUGGCAAAUCAUAUAUUAAAACAAAAUUAUAUAUUACCUCAACUUAAUUUUUAUAAAAAUUAUUAUAAUAAAAAUAAUUAUUAAGAAAGUUUAAAAACUAUUGAAAACAUACAAAUAUGUUCUAUUGAAUUAGCUAAAAAAAUCUACUAAGUAAAUCUUAAUCCAUAUCAAUUUAACAAAUGUAACUCUUAUAAAAUAAAAAAGAUAUAGUGAGAGAGUAGGUCUGGAUAUUCAGAUAUUCGGGUCAACUGCUUUUUAUCUGGAUUCUUUGGAUCAUAAACAUUUAGACACAAUAAAUAUUUGAAUUCUUUUAAUUAGGGUUUAGGUUGGUUCCAUGUCCGGGUCGGUUCGGAAUAAUAAUUCAAAUACAUGUAACAUACAUUUAAUAUUUGGGUAUAUAUCAGAUUUAGGUUGGUUCAGAUAUUAAGAUCUGAAAAGAUUAGAAAUACCUGAAAACCUUAAAAUAAUCUGAAACUUGAAAAAUAACCAAAAACUCAACAAAUACCCAAAAUAUAUUCAGAUACUCGAAAAAGAUCUGAAAUGCUUUCCGAAGUAUAACCCAUAAAACCAAAAAUAUAUUUUAAAUUUUUACAUGAAAUCUGAAAGUAUAACUGAAAACUUAACUAAAAAAAAAGAAUAUCUGUAAUAUCGAAAACAUAUCCAAAAUACACAAAUAUACCUAAUAUACAUACAACAUUUCAUGUACGUUGGGUAUCAGACCGGGUUUUGGGUAGGAUCCGUCCAAACCAAGAUCCAGUGGUCCAAAAAAUAUCCAAUAUGUACAUUUUCCUGGACUCGGACACGAUCGUUUUUUUUUUAGAUUCGAGUAAAUGUCUAGGUUUAAGAAAGAUAAUUAUAUAAAAAUAUACAUAAAAAAAUCUCAAAUAAACUAAUUCAUAAAUUAUAUAAUUUUAAACAAAUUCACUUCUUCAAUAUUAUACAAUUUUGUUACAUAAUAAUGUACAACAGCCAUAAAAUAUUAAUUCAUGUCAAAUUUUGUCCAUAAUUAAAAAAAUCACGCUUCGAGUAUAAUUCAAAAAACUCCGCGUUUCGAAAGCGCGGGUCAAAAUCUAGUUAAACCAUUAUAAUCAGUUAAAUUUUCGUAAAUAAUAUUGCUAUUAGUGGGCUUACCGUAGUGCUUAUAGGGCCCAUAAAUGAAUGAACCAUUAAGAUAUCAAUUCAAUUUUGUGUCUUUCAGAUUGCAGCAAUACACCCACCAAAGCCUUCUUCCUCAGUUUUCAUAGCUUCACGUCUUCCUCUACAUUUGGUGGACGAUGACGCUUUUCCACUUCUUCAACUGUGCGAUUCUCACAUUUGGACCCCACGCCGUCUACUACUCCGCCACUCCCUUGUAUGCCUUCUUCCUCUUCUCGAAUCUGUGAUUUCAAACUUUGCUAUGGUUUUUGGUUUAGUCAUUGAUUGCAUCGGUUGCCUCGUGAUCUAGAAUAGUUGAUGAGAAAUCCCCAUUUUUCUUGAUAUGUGAAUCCGCAGAUCUGAAUAUGACACUCUUGGAACCUCCGUGAAGGCUGCUCUUGUCUACCUUGCCACAGCUUUGGUUAAGGUCAUUCUUGCUCAACUCUCUUGAUUUGUAUCUGAAACUCUUAGACAUGUCUUUUUUUUAGCUAAGCUCGUUGCUCGCUUUUUCAUCGCAGCUUAUUUGUUUGGCAACUUUGCUGCAAGUAUCUGAGACUCAAGUAUUCGACCCAUACCAGGUAUCUUCUUGAAGCUAAAGAUCACUCUUUAACCCACACUUGUUUUUAUUAUUCUAUACUUGAAAGGCGAUGCAAAUGAUGAACAAUGUUAGAUGUUUUGUAACUUAUCUUUUCUUGGUCACCUGUUGCAUUUCCUUCUUCUUCUUUUUUGACUCAUUAGUAUAGAUGGAUACUGUUGACUUUCUUUAUUUAUGCUAGUUCGUUUUGUUAUGUUAUGAUGGAUCCGAUCUCCCUUGUAUCAGGAAGCACUGAAAGCAAUGAUUGGCUUCAUCGAUGUUGCUGGUCUUUAUUUUGCUCUGGCUCAGCUAACACACAGGAACAUCUCCCAGAACCACAAGUUUCAAGCUGUUGGCCUUGGUAAGUGUAUCACUCUGCGGCUACAAAAAAUAUUGCUAGAUUUGAAAACGUGUUCCCUAUCUCCAGGAUAUAACUGUUGAUUUUUUUCUGUUAAUUAAAAAAAACUCCUUUUGGCGCUUUAACUGUGAUUUAAAAAUUUUGUUUUUUUUCUCAGGAUGGGCAUUUGCAGAUGCUGUUUUACACAGGUUGGCACCUCUUUGGGUUGGUGCUCGAGGACUGGAGUUCACUUGGGAUUAUGUUUUGCAAGGGCUUGAAGCCAAUGCGAAUUUGGUGUGUAUAUAUAUACAUACAAGUCUUUACUUCUAGAAAGAUCCAUCUGUAAUUGUUUCUUACUUCUGUCGGAACGUUUGUGUUCAGGUGUUCACGAUAUCUUUAGCUGCUCUAGGUUCGUUGAUGUGGCUACGCAAGAACAAGCCAAAGACAAUGAUCCCCAUCAUAUACACGUGUGCACUGAUCAUCGCCACUAUGCCUUCAAUCACAAGCUAUCUAAAGAGAGUCAUGGGAUGGCAUUUCCCAAAAAUUGUUGGGUUUGAGAUGUUAACUUCUCUGGUGAUGGCUUUCAUUAGUUGUCAGCUCUUCAUCCUCUGUCAGAGACGGUCUUUGUGAUUCCACACAUGGUCGAAAGACCAAACAAAUUUGGACUGCUCUUAGCCAUAGAACUUUUUGUUUAUGGGUAACUCUUGGGACGUACUAGCCUUGUUUUUAGUUCCUUGAAAAGUUGAUCUUUAAUUUGUAGAAGAAUACUGAACACUUUUGAAAAAAAAAGAAUAUUGAUCUGGUCAGUAGCGGUCCCACGAAGGAAGUAGGGAAAUUAUAUAAAUUGUAAGGAUAUUGCAGCAAUAUUAUCCAUGUGAUCAAGUGGCUAGAAGAUUAGUGAUGAAGUACGCUCCACCUUCCUCCUCAUGAUAUUGCAACGUCUCUGAAACAAGUUGAAACCUCCUCAUAAAUCUGAUAACUGAUAGCCGCUAGAACUUCCACUAAAUCUUUUUUUUACCUCCCACUAAAUCUAAUUUAAGUAUCCUCCAUCUCCUCUGUAAUCAAUUUUUCUCUGUACAUGGACUUUUGACAAUUUCCUUUAGGAAGGAGCAAGAAAGAUAAGAAGACAACAAUAAACCAAAUCUAGGCAUUUCUCACUAUUAUAGAUUUCUUUCUUUUCAGUUUCUGAGAGUUUUGUAUUUUUUGUUUAGAAUAUCUUUUCAACCCAGCUGUACAUUUCUUAUGGAUUUUGCUUCUUCUUUUUUUCCUUUCGUCUUUUUAUGAGCUGUAGUGGAUCAUAUCUUUAGUUUUGGCGAGCUAUUUUGAGCUUCAAUUCAAUAUAUCUGAGAAUAAAGAAAAUUAACAUUGCUUAAACUUUGGACAGAAUUGAGAGCUUCAUACACAGACCCUAAAUUGUUAUGUUACUUUUCCUGCAUUUGCUUAAGUUUAUGAAGAAUUUGAUAUGCCUAUCAAGUCUAAGUUGUUCAUCAGUUAUGCUUUUUUUGUAGGUUUCUAACUUGCUACAAUCAGGGAAAAUAUAGCUCAAGGAACUUAGUAACCAAAUUAAAAAACUCUUGAUCAUGUGAGAAAGCUAUAACCUAUCAUGUUUAUGUGUUUGAUUUUACUAUAAACUGAAAUGUUUAUACACUCACAUGAAUAUAAAAUUGUACACAUGAGGCAGAUACACAAUAACGUAUUUGGGAAAAUCGCAUAAAAAACCUUGAAAGUGUCACUUACUAGCACUUUAAACCUUGAAGUUUUUUCACUAACACUUUUAACCUUCAAAGUGACAUUUUUAUCAUAAAAAACUUCCAAAGAAGAAAAAUGACCUGCUGAACAGGUUAAAAACAUGUUUUUUUCAAAAAAUAAUUAUUUAAUUAAUAAAUAAACAAAAAUAAUAAUAAAAUCGAAAUUUUUUUUAAAAAACUCAUAAAUUAAAAAAAGUGAGAAAAAUAAAUAAAGAUUUAGAAAAUUAAAUAAAAAUAACUAAAAAUUAAAAAAUAAAUAAGAUCAAAUUAAAAUACAUAAAAAAUAAUAAUAAAUUUCAAAAAAUUGAAAAUUCAAAAAAAAAAAAUUUCAUUUUCAAAUAUAAUGUUGGAAAUUAUCAUUGGAGAUAUGUGUUGAUAAAAAAAAAAGACUAAGAUAACACCAAACCAAGUUUUUGUUCUCAAACUAGUAUUCAAGGCUCAAAGUCACAAAAACAAGUUUCAUUAAAGAGGUAAAUAUACACUUAUACCUCUUGCGUUAAUUAAUCCAAACUUUAGGGUUUAGAGUUAAGGGGUGAGGUUUUGGAAUUAGGGUUUAAAAUUAUAUAAAAUAAAAAAUAAAUACUAAAAAAUUUUAAAUAAAAAUUUAAAAAACAGUUUCAAAAAAUUUCACUUUUUUUAAAAAUUUAUGAUUUUUUUAUUUUUCUCCAUUUUAAUUUGAUCUUAUUUAUUUUUUUGAAUUUUUUGUUAUUUUUUAUUUAAUUUUUAAAUAUUUAUUUAUUUUUCUCAUUUUUUAAUUUGUGAGUUUUUUGUUAAAUUUUUCGAUUUUUAUUAAUUUUUUGUUUAUUUUAUUCAUUAAAUAAUUAUUUUUUAAAAAAAAACUGUUUUUAACCUGUUCAACCGGUCAUUUUUCUUGUUUGGAGGUUUUUUAUGAUAAAAUGUCACUUUGAAGGUUAAAAGUGCUAGCGAAAAAACUUCAAGGUUUAAAGUGCUAGUAAGUGACACUUUCAAGGUUUUUUAUGCGAUUUUCCCUAACAUAUUUGAUAAGAGAAAGCCCGUUUCAACUCAAAAAUGGGCCAUGUGCUAUAAAAGAAUUUGAAAUUUAUUUCCUCGUACAAAAAUAGCUUAUAAAAAGCUGGACCAUAAUCUAAGCUAAAAAAACCCAAAAUUUACAAUGGAUCAUGUGCAAAUGUACUUCCAGCAUAUGAUUAGAGCAUCAAGAAUUUGUGUUUUUGGUCGUUUUUUGUAAAUCAGAUAUAUCCAACACACAAAGAGCUAUAGCACUACAAAAUCCUUCCCAAAACAAAUGAUACACUGAGGUAUAUGCUCAUCAAAAAAAGAACUUUUAUGUAAAUUGAUAUCUGUAUUAGAGAUUUAUCUUAAACUAAAGUUUCUUUCGCUUCACAUGAAUUGCCUUCACUGAGAGGAUUUAAUUUUCAUUACCUUACUUUGAUGAUUCUCAGUAAAUGCAGUGGACACUAAAUUCCAACGUCACUGUGAUUUUCUCUUAUCAUUUGGUUUGUAAGGAAGGAUUUCUGAAACCAAGCCUAUGAAUUAUAUUGCUAGAUCAAGGACGAUUUUCUGGCUGCAGGAUUGAAUACAGUCAAGAACAGGGCUCAAGUUAACAAAUAUUUGGUAUGGAAAUGUAUCAUUUGCGCUACUAAACUAAGUUGAGCUCCUCUUGAUCGAUACAAAGGUACAUGCUCAUAUUAUAAGAUCCCACUUGCCUACCCUUAUUUUAAAACCUAGCUAACAUAUAUCACAUCUAAGUUCAACAUUUUUGAUAUUUGUAAACAGAUAUGUUAUGCAGUUCAAACAAGAGCAAGACAAGGUCGUCUCAUUAACGAAAACUAUAUAUCAGAGAUUAUGUAGUCAAGCAUCAUGUUUUCAUUCUCAUUUCUGAAGGCCCAAAGGGAUCUAGAGAGUAUUCGUGAAGUCUACACUCUGUUAAAGGUAAUGAUUUGAUUUUUGUAAAUAUAUGUAUUUAUCAUUUGUAGCUCUUUCUCUUCUUUAAAUCUCACUAGGUAGGGUAUAACUGCUAAUAAUAUUUGUACUCAUAUCUCAACUUAGCCAUCUGCAUUAUUUGGAUUUCUUCAUCCAUUUGUUAAAGAAACAUGUAUAAAUUCUUGGACAGGAGUUCUCUUUCUUUUACAUCAAAGCAAAUAAGUAUGGAUGCUUACAAGAUGCUCACUUUUGUUGUUGCAUAUACUUCUCAGUAUUCUGCUCAACUAUCCCCCGUAAGAAGAAUAAGAAAUAAAAAUGUUGGAGACAAUAAUAUCUUAUAAAAAUGCUGGAAGCCUAAAUGCUUUUUUAUUUCUCCAGAUUGACCUCUCAGCUUUUCUUUGAUAUCAACUUUUCCAAGCUGGUGUAUUGACUCUUUUCAGUCCCUUUGCAAGCAAAAUGUGGUACAUCUUCUGCAAUACUAUACGUUGACAACAAAUAUAAGAAAUUUAUAGCUUUGUGUUAACCAUUCGGAGAUAUGUAAGUUGUUUUUCUUGAAACCUUUCUCAUACUCACCUCCAGUCCCCUCACUAUGCAGCCAUUUAUCAUUUUGUGUAUGAACAGAGAAAUGGAGGUUCAUUUUGAGUGGAGAUCACAAAAGGGACAUAGUCUCAAAGGUUGUUGAGUUCUUCCUUGAGAUCAACACUGUGAGGAUUCACCAGAUCGAUAUUUAUGGCUCUUGCAGAGCUCCUAAAACUUUGGGGAUCAUCACAACCGUGUAUCUAAGAUGCCUUGCGCCAAGCUGAACUCACGGUGGGCGAAGGAGUUCUGAGAGGUUCUUGAGUAGAACAAGGCUCUCAGAGAAGUGAGGCGCUAAAUUAAUGGGCUAAAGACGAAGCAGUUAUGCAUGUUCCAGCUGGACUUUCAAGAACAAGAGCCAACAUAGUUUGUGUGUUGAUGGAAACCGGUUUGAGAGCAUUGUCGUAGAGGUUCCUUUGCCGGAUUGGAAAACCCAUCGGUGUAGACAUACUGCUGUCAUAUGGCUUCUUCGUUUCAUGGAAGAGAACAAGAAGUCACUCCAAGACAUCACCAACACACUAUCUUCUGGCGAGAAAUACACUAGCGAUUAAGACACAUAUGUUUUUAUGAUUUAAGUAACAUUAGAUCUCGAUCUGCGCAACCGGAUUUUAUUUUCAUUUAUUUUUAUAUAAACAUUUUGUUUUCAAUUCUAAAUUGGUAUAUAUUAUAAUAUAUAUUUCUAUCAAUUUUUUAAAAAUAAUAAGUUUACGGUAUAUUUUUUUCAUUGAAUAGAUUGUUUCAAACUUUCAUAUGUAUUUGUAUCUUUUUCUAUAUAUAUAUUUUCGGAUUAUUAUUUCAUCAUUAAAAUCGUAACUAUAUAUAUAAAGAUUAGUAAAAUGUAAAAUAUUGUUUUAUUUUCAUAUUCAAAAAUAUUGUAACAUUUCACAAAUUUGGAAAGUUUUUACAAAAUUAAACUUUUCGUUUCACAGAUUUAUAUUAUCGAGUAAAUAAUUAAACAUUUAGUUUUUGUUUAAUUUUUAAAAUAAACUAUAUAGUUUUAAAAAAAUUUCAUUGGUUUAAGGUAGUAAAGAUUAAUCUUUGUUAGAUAAUAUAAUUUUUGUUAUUUAAAAAAAAAUCUUCAUAAUUUUAAAAUUUAACAUCGACAAAUAUUUAAAUAAUUAACAUAUAGAGGUAUAGUAUUACAACAUUAAAUUAUAUCUAUUUAAUUUAUAAUAUCUAUAAAUCCAAUGGAUCAUCUAUUGUUUAAAUCAAAUUAUUGAUAUCCCAAUAAAAAUUUCUGGUAUGCCCAAAAUUUAAAUGGGAAAAUCGCAUUUUAAACCCUGAAGGUGACACAUUCUAGCAGUUUAAACACUCAACCUUUUUCACUAGCAUUUUAAUACCUCAAACUAGAAAAAUUGUCGAAACAAACCCUGAAGUCGUAUCUCCGCGUUUUUCUCGUGACCUUACUUGACGGCCCUGUUCACGACGUUUACUGUUUAAAACGCUGUGCCGUUUUGUUGAUUAAAAGACGGGAACCGUGAAAAGUGAAAGACGAUUCUUAUAAUACAAAUCGAAUUGGGGAUCUAGGGUUUCAUAAAUUUACGAAACUAGAAGAAGUGAAAGAAGAUUCUCUGCCUCGAUUCAGUCUCAACUCCAAAACAGUAAGUCGUUUCUGUAAUCUUGUAAAGUAUCUACAUUCUAGAACUUUUGAUUUCAUAAAUUCUUAAGAUGGCUCGAAGUGUGUUUGUGAAGCUAAUGUUAGCGGUAUUAGUUAGAGAUUCAUGUUUGUACUUGGUGUUAUAUAUCUUGUAGAUGACUCAAAGUUCAAGUUCCUCUACCAUUGACAAAAAAAAGGAAAAAGUUGUGGUUUGUAACUGUAACAUUGAAGCAAAGGUGCUUCAAGCUUGGACUGUUGACAACCCUGGAAGGAGGUUUUAUACCUGCGAAGGGCGUAGAGUUUCUAAUGGAUACCAAACCUGCAACUUCUUUCGAUGGUAUGAUGUUGAGAAGCCACACGGGUGGCAACAUACUGCGUUGUUGGGUGCUAGAGAUGUUAUGCGCCAACAGAGAGAAGAGAUUAGUAACCUGCAAAACCAAGUAAGAGAACUUAUCCUUGAGAAUGUAAGAAAUGGCGGAGCAGUUAGGCUUGAGAAUGAAAGCAGUGGCCAAACUCCACCUGAUUCAGACCUCAACUGUGAAGCAUGUGAAGCGCUUAGAGGAGAAAUAUUGGUUCUAAACGAGAGGAGCAUGGUGUAUCGUAAUGUUCUUAUCACGUUGGCAGUUGGAUUUACUGUGGUUGUUUGUGUGUUCAUGGGUAUCAUGAAGUGGUAGAAGACUAUUGUUGUUAUUGUUAAGACUGAUUAAGCUUCUUUCAUGUUGUUAAGACUUUAUGUAAGCUUGCUAAGACAGUUUAGGUUAUGUAUCUGAUAUUGUUAAGACUUUUCUAGUUUAUGUAUUGUCUAUGUAAGCUUCUUUCAUGUUUUCUUAUUAAGGAUUAAAACUAUUUAGCUUUGUCUCAUGAUCUAAUACCCAUAUAUGACACUGAAGAAUGCUAGAAAAACAAAAGACAAAGUUCAAAGGUGCUGAAGAAACUCCAAAUCAAAUUUUGAAACAACAAAAGACAAGACAAAAGACAAGCUCCAUAACGUUUUGAAGAAAUAAAGACAAACUACAACAAGUCAUUGAACCAACGAAAACAAAACAAAGACAUGAGAUCACUCUUGCGGAGGCUGUGGAUUAAGAUCAGACCUAUCAUACACUCGAUCUCCAAACACUUCAAAAGGACGAUUUGUGAAUGGAAUCCAUAAAGUCCCAACACCAUGAGGAAUGUUGGCUGUCUUCCUUACCUUCAAAGGUCCUCGUGAAGGUUUCUUAGCAUGAGGCUUGGGGUCAGAUGAGGAUCCAGUGGCUUCUACAGGAUGAGAUGAUGAUCCAGUGGCGUGAACAGGCUGAGAUGAUGAUCCAGUGGCGUGAACAGGCUGAGAAGAAGACCCAGUGGCGUGAACAGGCUGAGAAGAAGACCCAGUAUUUUGAGUUUUUCUUCUUCUUGUAGAUGGAGGCUUAGGAGUGCCCUGUGUAAAGAAAUGUGUUAGACACAAUUAAGAAAGAAACAUUGUAUAGUUAUAAUUCAAAAAUUACCUCUUCUAGAUUUUUACGAGGUCGACCACGCUUAUUUUUUGGUCCCUCGUAAACCACAGUUUGGUUUUUGCAUCCAGUUUUAAUGUGUCCAGACUGAUGACAGUUGCUACAUGUGGGUAUGCGUCCAUGUCUUGACGAUUUUCCAGCAGCUUCAAGCGCUUCAAAUGGCUCUUUCUUCCUCUCUCGUGUCCUUGGUCUCCCUCUUGGUUUCCUUAUCUCUGGUAUCCCAAUAGGUGGCUUGCCUGUCAUCUUCCACAAGUUUUCGCCAUUCACAGGUUUGAUGUUGUCAGAGUAAGUUCUUUUCAUCACAUGUGUGUAGUAAUAUUCUGCAGUAUACUUCACAGGAUCCUCCUGGUUGUCAUCAAGCACACACACAGCAUGUUUACAAGGAAUACCUGUGAGAUCCCAUCGCCUGCAAGCACACUGAUGUGUAGCCAUGUCCACCCUGUAACCACAGUCGAACUCAUUCACCUCGUACAAGCUGAAACCGCUGCGUAUAGUUGAACAAUGUUUUUUUGCACAUCUCGCUUUCUCCAACAAAGCCAUUGUAAUAGGUGUUACAAUGGUGUCCCACUUAUCUGCCAUAAAGAACCGCCUUGAUAUCCUUUUCAUUGCUUGUCUGCGUAUGUCCUCCAGCAUGUUGAUCACUGGUUUUGCCCUCGCCAUCUUUAUGGUUCUGUUGAAACUUUCUGAUAAAUUGUUGUGCACAUCAGGACAAUGAGACUCCACAUUGAAGAAUGCUCUACACCAGCGCUCUGGGUCUGUUUUGAGUAGUUCAUUGUGUGCCACGACAUCGUAAGCCUCUACCAAACGCAUCUUCUCUUUGUACUCUCCCUCGGUGUAGCUGUAUGCGACUCCCCAAAACAAUGACUUAAACUCUGACCUUGAGAAACCAAGCUUCUUCCAAUUAGCAUAAAUGUGCCUAGCACACAUGCGAUGUUCUGCCUCAGGAAGUUCUAACUCGAUAGCGUGAACAAGUCCUUUUUGCUUAUCCGAGAUUACAGUAAGAUCCUUCCCAAAUUCCAAGCCGAGAUCAUGCUUCAGAUUUCUCACAAACCAUCCCCAAGUAUCUUUGUUUUCUCCUCUCACAACUGCCCAAGCAAUAGGGUACAUCCUGUUAUCGGCAUCUCUCCCAACUGCUGCAAGCAAAUCUCCGUUUAAAUCCCACUUCAAAAAGCAUCCAUCAAGUCCGAUAACAGGUCUACAACAACUUUUCCAAGCAGUCCGCAAUUCUUUAAAGCAAAUGUAGAAGCAGUCAAACAUCUGAGCACCAUUAACCUCUCUUGUGCAUAAAUCAGUGCUUAUACCCUGGUUUGAUCUACGCAACUCUUCUUCAUAAUCCCAUAGCUUCCCAAACUGUGUUGUUUGAGCUUCGAGAAUCGUCCCCAAAGCAAUGUGUCUUCCUCUGUAGCACUUAGAUAUAGGUACAACAAUGUCAUACCUUACCUUUAUAGCAUCUUUGAUCGCUGAAGCUUGUAGGUUAACAUUUCUGCGUAAUUCUUCUCUAAAAAGGCCAGCAAUCACACCUUGCUUCAACAUUGAGAUCCUGCUUGAUUUACCAUGGUUGUGCUUCAUGUGACACACUUUCACCAUCAACUUGUUAAUCGGCUUCUCCACUGAACAAUAAACCCGGAAAGGACAUUUCGCUUUGCAACAAAUCACACCAAUCCUGAAUGACUCCGACCUUGCCAUCUUCACAUCAUAUUGAGUAUUCAUAGAAUACUUCAAGAGCUGAUCUUUAAACUCUAACCCACUGUUAAACUUUUGAAAUAACCAAAUGUAAGGUGGUUUUUCAUAGUCACCAUGGUAUUUAUCACUCCCUUUGACCUUUCCUUUUCCUUUACGCUCUCGAUUCCAUUCUUCCCAUUCAUCUUCUGACUCUACUGGUGUGUCUGGAUAUUCAACAUCUACUGGGGCCCUCUCAUCUUCACUGUCAUCGUCUUUGUCUUCUUCCUCUAUACCAUUUCCAUAUGCUUCUUUAUCUGGUAAAGCUUUUUCUCCUUCCUCAAAGACAGACUGAAACCUUACAUCGCUAGUACCAUCUGUUACAUCAGCGACAACUUCAUCACCACCAUCUUCAUUGUCUUCCUUUUCAGCCGGAUUCACAGUCGAGUUAUCUUCCUUUUCAGCCGGAUUCUCAUCUUCUGAUCCUUCUGGCUCAUCAUCUUCUUUAGGUCUAUCGACCUCAUCAUUCUCACUCUGUUCUUCGUCUUCAAUGUGUUCUCCAUCUGGAAGCUGAAUCACACCGGGUAUGUGUUCUGAGCACUCGUGUUCAACAAACACUUCUACAACAUCUAUCCCUAGCUUGCUGACAGAUCGUAGCAUCAACAUCUCCUCAUCGUACCUAUCAUAUACAUACCGCAGUUGCUUCAUCUCCUCUUUUUCUGAUUUAAACCAAAUCAAGCCAACGGGUGCUAUAAUUAGCGCUUCUUCUUUGCAAAAAUCGACAAACCUAUCCCACACUAUCUCAUCGAUCUUCCAUUCCACAUUUUUGCUCCCUAAUUCACCUAAGUACUCAUAAUCUCCCUUUCCAAUCUUCUUCACUGAACCACCAAAAUGAAUCUUCAAUUCGAUUUCCUGCGAUUCACUGUUAUAAAAAUUGAGUCUUUUGAAGUUUCUAAGAGACAAGAACGAAGUAGAAGAAGUGAAAAAUCGAUACAAACUUACGUCAUUUUUGGGUUUUUCUUGACGAGAAUCGUCUUUCUCGUUUUAGUUAGAACCCUAAUCCCCAAAUCGAUUUGGAAAUAAAAUUAAUGUUGUGUUUUUUUAAAGGUGUAGUUUUUAAUCAACAAAACAACAUGCAAUUAGCCCAGGUCAACGUCGUUAAUUAAGCCGUUAAGUAGGGUUACGAGCAAAACGCGGGAUACGACUUCGGGGUUUGUUUCGACAAUUUUUCUAGUUUGAGAUAUUAAAAUGCUAGUGAAAAAGGUUGAGUGUUUAAACUGCUAGAAUGUGUCACCUUCAGAGUUUAAAAUGCGAUUUUCCCAAAUUUAAAUGAUAAGAUCUCUUAUAUAUUAAUUGAGAAACAUUACAACUUUUAAGUGUAGCCACGUGUCAUCACCAGAAUGAAAUUCAGAGUCCUAAGAAAAUAUGUUGGUUCAAUUAAGUAUAUAUUAUACUUUUCAUUAAACUAAUCAUAAAAUUAAUUAAAGUGUACAAUUAAUAUUUUUUUUUCUUUCCUUAAAUAAAAGCUACAAAAUUACCAAAUAUUACUAAUAUAUAUAUGAGAAUUAAUGAUUCUAAUAAUAAAGAUUUGAUAACAAUUUAUAUCUCAUCCAUCAUUUUUGUUUAAUUUUAUAUUAUUAAAAUAUAUUAAAAAAUCAAAUAAGCUAUAAAAUUAAAAUAUAAUUUUUUCGUAUAUGUUAUAUUUUGAAUUUUAAAAAACGAUAAAAGUACUAAAACUGUUAAAAUUAUUAUGUUAAAAAUUAAUGAUCAAUGGUUUAACAUUCCCUAUAUAUUAAUAGAUAAACAUUUAAAACGUUUUAAACAUGUAGUUUGUACUAAUUAAAAAAAUGUAAUGUUAAGUUGUGCAUGUUUCCUAGAACUCAGAAAAGAUUAGAGUUGACACAGCCUCUCCAUCUUGAGGGGAAUGUAAGAGAUAUAACAAGGAAACACUAUAUUUUGUACAUAUAUCCUUCUCCACUUAUGGAAUGCUUCAUAAAAUGCUUGGACCUAGAACCUUCAUCUGUAUCAAUGUACAAACCUAUGUAUAGUCACUCUCUCAAUGAGGUAGAUCCAUCUUCUAUAGAGAGAACUUAUAUUUAUACAAUGUCACUUAAUGUGACUGAUUACUAUUUACUUCGAUCUAUACAAAAGAAUAUUUCAAAUUACUUGUAUUACCAAGUGGAUGGUAGUCUAUACUUUUUGUCAAAAAGAUGAUAAGCAAAAUCUAAGAGCGUACGUGUUCGUAUUUAUCACUAGUAAUUAUAUUUAGCAUGAGCGAUUUAAGCAUUAAACAUGAUCAACGGUUAUCUUAAACACUGCAAGAGAUUAUGGACCAAAACUUAUACAAAAUCGGUAUUUCCUUGUUUCUCAACAAUAUACAAAUAUAUUUUGAUCUCAAAACCAAUCAACAAAAGGUUCAAAAUGUAUCAAACGAUGGUGGCACAAAAGAAGAUGGAAAACAAUGGAGGAACUAAAAGAAACGAUGUGCUUAUCAUCCAAAAAAUAACACGGCAAGCCAUACAUCGUUUUUGUAAUUUUUUAGUUUGUAAAUGUUUUAUUGUUGUUUCAUUUAUUUGUUAGAUUUUUUUCUAAUGAGAGAGCAUCCAAGAACCAGAUGGAGCUUUGAUCCUCUCUUAUUAUUUUAAAGUUUUUUUUUUUUUGAACAACCUCUUAUUUUAAAGUCCACUAGAUUUUGACCCGCCCUUCAAAGGGCGGGUAUAUUUUUUGUUUUAAUUUUUUUUUUGAAUAAUUUUAUACUUAUAUUUUUAUGUAAUCAUAUUUGUGAUUUAUCUAUUCUAUUAAAUUGACGUCAAAAAAAAAAAUUUAUUCUAUUAAAUUAGAAACAUGACCUAUUGAUAUAUGUUUAGUACAACUAUUAUUUUUACUUGAUCUACUUAAAUUUUCUUUUGAUUUAUUUUUUUUGAGAAAUUUAAUUUUUAUAUAUGUGUUUUUCUUGUAAUCAUAUAUUAUAAGUGUUUUUUUAAAAGAAAAAGUGAAACUACUAUAAGUGUUACUAUAAGUGUUUUAUUUUGUAUUUCUUAACAAAUAUAAAGUAUCUAUAAUAUAAUAACUACAUUUUAUACUUCUUAACCAAUAUUAUGAGGAAUAAUUAAUAUAUCAUUAUAGAAAUAUAUGUCAAUAAUGUAACUGUGUACAUAAUUAUAUAAAAUAACAUGUUAUAUUAAUUAAAUAAAAGGUUAAAAUUCUAAAAAGAAACAGAUUGAGAUUAUUUAAUAACACAAAAAGAUAAAAAUUGGGUGAAAUACUGUCGAAAAGAGUAAACUUAAUUUUGGAAUAAACCCAAGAGAAAUGACAAAAAAGAAGGUAUAAACCCAAAAGGAAGGAAUAAUUUUUUUUUUGAACUUUUUUUUUUUUUUUUUUUUUUUUUUGUCGUCAACUUUACAGACUCAUAUAGACUCUGUAAACCAAGCCGGAAGAUAUUGAUCCAUGUGAACGACGAAAGACGGCUGAAUCCUAACACUGCGUGCUAGGCUAUCCGCCUUUGUAUUCUGCGCUCUUGGUACAUGGACGAUCUCUGAUUGUAGGAAACUUGCUCUCAGACUUUUGAUGUCUUCCAAAUAACUUGCAAACGCUGGCCACUCUUCUGGUUCCGAAACCAUCUUCACCAAUUGAGAACAAUCCGUUGCAAACGUAACCUGAGAUUGACGUAAAUUCCUCAUACAUUCCAUAGCCCAUAGUAGUGCUUCCAUCUCCGCAUGUAGAGGAGAAAGGCUAGCCCGAACAUUCCUCGCCCCCAGCAACCCAGCGAAGCCUUCUAAAGUGCUGUGCCAACCCUGGCCGGAGAAAGUAUCUUUCUCUUUCCAGGAACCAUCUGUGAAACACCAUCGUCCUGGAUUUAACAGUGAAGACCUAAUCUCUUCCUGUGGGACCAUUCUCUGUUCAUUCACUAGUUGGGCUUCAGCCCAAAGGGUUGAUUCUGUUUCCGCCAAUUUGAGCGUAUCCCUAGGAUCAAUAUCCAGAUUACUAAAAACCUUACUAUUCCUUCCUUUCCAGAUAUACCAUAGUAUCCAUGCGAACUGAUGAUCAUCUAACUGCGGAAAGACUCUCCAGAAAAGAUGAUCCAUAUUUGCAAAAAGGGAUUGUGUGGGAAAUGUAGUUGGAUUUGAUGGUAUCUUUGAGAGAGCCCAAACCUGAAGUGCUGGAGGACAUUCGAAAAACACAUGAUUUAUCGAUUCCUCCUCAGCUCCGCAUCUUGUACAACAUAUAUCGCCAGUUAUCCCUCUCGCUUGUAAAUUUUUCUUAACCGCUAUACACCCUGUCACCAACUGCCAGAGAAAAUGUUUAAGCUUUGGUGGACACCUGACUUUCCAGCAGAAUGAUUUCAAACCAUCGACCGUAGGUCCAAAAAAUGCUGGUGGUUUUGCUCUAUCCGGGUAAACUCGUUCUACCUGAUAUCCCGAUUUAACCGUGUAUUUCCCAGUUGUUGUGAAAUGCCAUCCAUCUUUGUCCUCCAACUGAUAUCUACUCAGUCGUAUACUCUCGAUAAUUUUCACAUCCUGAAUUUUUUUUUUGAACUAAAAAUGCCAUUUCUGAAUUAGUUUAAAAGAGUUUUUAUAUCUUAGGUACAAAAAUAUAAUAAAAAUGGCCAAAAUUUGGAAACAUACUAUUAAGAGGAAAACUUUUGCUGCAGCAAUAAGGAUGAUCACCUAUAAUUGUUGCUAUAUUUUCGUUUGAAUAAUUGUUACAUAAUAUAUAAUUGUUGGCUAAUAUAAUAUUGAAAAGAGGUGGCCACCGAUAAUUUUGGUGAGGAGGUUACAAAAAUAUGUAUUGACCAAUAGAAGGUAGUUACUGAGAUAGAGUUUGUUUAAUUUUCAUGCAGUUAUAAAAUAUUUGUUUUUUUAAGUAGAUCAUGUGAAAAAUAAUAGUUGGACUAAACAUAUAUCAAUAGGUCAUGUUCCUAAUUUAAUAGAAUAGAUUUUGGCAUUUUCACAAUGUUCGCUAUACCUUUACGUUUAAGAUUCUGUGUGCACUCAGCGUUUUAUAGAAUAUCUUUGGUCAUAAUAAAACAAUAAAAUAAAUAAUUUAGAUAUAUAUGCUGAUUCUCUUGAUCGUUAUUUUUUUCUACAAAAAGAUGAUAAGCGAAAAUUUUAGAACGUGUUUCAUGAGAUCGUAUUUAUUAGGAUAGUCUGGCUUUUAUUUCUAGUACAUAAAUAUACUAAUGGGGAAUUCUAUCCUAGGGAAUUUCUCUAUACUAAUUGAUAGCUUUGUCAUUUAAUUGAUUUUUUUGUCUCAAAAUAAUGCUGCUUUAUAAUUUUUUUAAUAUUAUAUUUAUUAAAAAAUAUAUAAUUUUAUUCUGGUGAACAUUAAUAAACAUAUUGUACGAUAGAAUAUAAAUUUCAAAAAUGAAACUUUCUUUUUCGGGUGUAAGAAAAUAUUGAAGCAAUACUUGUAAAAGUAAAAGAGAAAAAAAAAUAGUAGACACUGCAUCUUUUAUAAUCUGUAAGAAAAACGCUCUCUUUGAUACCAAGAGAUUAGGUAUAUAUACCGUUCAUCUUUUUAACGAACCAAUUAUCAUGACGAGUCGUUACUAUACACACUUAGCCUUAACACUUUACUAUGUAUAAAUAACUCCAAAAAUAUGGUUAAUUUCAUCCUCACACCGACCGACUAAGAUUGCUACUACGAGUCUGAAACCUAAAUUGCUAUUUUCCAUUACAUGGCUUCUUCUUCUUCACUAGCCAAAUCCAACAACGAAGGCAAGAACAAGAUCAAGAUUCCUCAGGAUAACAAAACGCCAGAUUUUGUGUCUACUCAUCUUUACAUUAGACGUAUUCCUUCCACGCAAGCACUUGAUCGGGAAGUCGUUCUUCGACGCAUACGCCAACGCCGACGCGCAAAUAAGGUCAGAUCGGUAUUCCACCUGCUGUUCGGUUUCCCAUUUUUAAGUAAAAAGCACGAAGGUAAUAACGAUCACGAUGAAGAUGAUGCUUCCACAGUGCCUUGAAUCUUCGACCGAUUUAUUUGUCAAUAUAGUUACCGGACUUGGUGAUGUUAUAGUUUGUAAAUUGUUACUUCCAUUGUUGUUACCAAGAAGGGGAUUAAGCUAGUGCACAAACCCACAAUUCAAUUUCUCUAGACUUUGAUAGGUAAUAAUCUUAAAUGAACUCAAACUAACAUGGGAGAAAUAUUAAAGGAAUGAAGAUGGACGUCAAGUGUUAUUCAGCCUUUUUCCAAAGCUUAUUCCCACUAUUUUCCCAUUUCUACAAACUCUUGGAAGAUUCAAUAGUUUUGAGCGUGAAAAGAAACUGACCAUUGAGUUCGUCAGAAAGCCUUAACUGAAGGAAGCUAAAUGACAUUGCAAACAUUGGAUUAAAAUAUCAAAUACAUAUAGUGACAGUCCCACAACAAGAUUUCAAUACUUUUUAGAACAAUAUAGGGAUUUCUGGAAAAAUUGAAAUGAGAAUCUGUUAUUUCCAGAACAAAAUCUUAUCAAGUUUUUCUUUUAAUAUCAGUGAUAAAUCUUAAAAUCAAAUCAGGAAUAGUAUCAAAUUAAUCUCAAUUUAAAAACUAAGUCCACUUUUUCUAUAGACAAAAGGUUGUCUGGGCGUUACGGUCCAACUAAUAAUCCCUUAGGGCCGAGGACAAAAGUCAUUUGUUUAACUCUUCCCCAAAUUAUCAGUAUAUUUUAAUCAGGAACUUCUAACACAACUACUUCAGAUCUUUUUUAGUUGAGGUAUCUCGUCUUAGAGUAAAACUAAAAAUAUUCAGUGAUUUCUUUUUUGUUUUUACAACAAACUUAUUUCUACGGAUUUCUCAUAAAUCAAUUUUCCAGUAUUAGUAUUUGACAGUUUCAUUCAUUAUUGUUUGAAUAUAUAUGUUGAUGUAUUCUCCUUGGUUGUGUGCCAAUUUAUAGUUGACGAUUGCUGUUAGUGCAAAUUAAAUAUGUUAAGAGUUCAUGUCUGCAACCUAUCAUCUAUCCAGUCAAUUAGAUUUAGACUUCAAUGAUAAAAACAGUUUGAAUGGUGUAGAUCAUAUAAUUUAUACAAAUAAAUGAGAUACUUGUAGAUUAAGUAGAUUAUACAAGAUGAAUACAAAUUAAGCUUAUCAAACAUGCUAUUGUUGUUUUGAAUGAGUAUAAACAGUUUAAAUAGUACAUUUCAAAUAUAUAAAUAAUAAUCCAAGUAACACUUAAAUCAACUUUGUGUCAUAUAAAGGAAGACUCACUUAGCAAGCAUUUACAUUAUAUGCAGCUACGAUUAUAAGUAUUGACAUUUGUUAUUUCAUGUUUACAAAACACAUGAAUAUACAAAGUCAUCACCUAAUCAAUAUGAUUUACUUUUGGUUACUAUAAAUCAUCUCAAUUGAAUAUAUGUUGCCAAUAAUUGUCUCUAUCUCUAAUAUAUGUGUAGCAUACCACAGUUUUGAGAUCAUAUUAAAGAUGCCGAAUUGAUUUAAUCGUACUGAGUUAAACAUUAAAAUACAUGCACCAACAUUUUAUGGACCGAGUUAUAAAUUGGAAAAUAUAACAUGGCGGUCCGAAGCCUACCAACUUGCCUACCUCUUAAUAUCUGCCCGUUAACAUAUAAAAUACAUAUAUAUAUAUAUAUAUGAAUAGUCUAAGAAGAUGUGAAACAUAAGUAAUAAAUAAUUAUAUAGUGGAAAAUAAUAUUCAGGUUUUAUGUCUUCAAUUAUCCAGUAAACUGACCAAAUUGAUGUAACAAUAUAUAGACAUAACAAUUAUUAACGAAUGAAAUAAUAUGUAACAUUCUUACGACCAUUUCUCAUAACCUAACAUUGUAUGUUGUUCAUGGGUAUUAAAAGACAACAUGGUUGGACACAUGAGCAAGUUGUUAUACUAUGAAAAGCUUUGACUUUAGGAAAAUGUGUCAUUUUUAUCUCCAAUAUUUCAGGAUCUUCUUGUGUGGUUAUACAAAAGUUUCAUGAUUAAAAAUCCAUUGAUCAUACAUUUGAUAUUAUUGGCUGUCAUAUAUAAGGUAAAACAGUCUAAAAGCUAUCACAUCUUUAGUGACCGUGAAAGUUCCAAAAACGUUUGCAUUACACAACUUUAAAAUGAAGAGUGUUUAUGUAUAGAUAACUCGGUUGCAUAGCCGAUUAAUUCUUUUUUUUUUUUUUCAGUAAAACGAUUUUGUAUUUGAAUUAGGUGAAAAAAAAAAAUUAAUUGAAAACCGGUUUGCAUAAUGUGAAAACCAGCUACGUUUUAUGUAACAAUCUAUUAUUAAAAUAUAUAUAUGUAAUCGAUUGAUCGAACUAAUAAUUGGAAAUGGUCCAAUUAAUUUAUCUAGUAAGUUUAAUGCAUUUAAUAUGGAUGGUGAGAUGAAUUGUGGUAAUGACCCUCAAUAUAGUAAGCAAGAUUACAACUUAAACAAUACUCCUCAAUUAUAUAAAGGAAAUAUCAUAGAAUGAUACGAAGUCAUUCCUAUAGCCAUAUAAUAUCACAAAAUGAUACAAAUAUACUUUAUUAAUUUUGAUAAAUAUAAUUAAUAAAUAGUGCUUAAAAUAUUUCUAGCUAUAUAAUAUCACAAAAUGAUACAAAGAGCUUCCCACGCGCGCGUCGCCGCCGCCGUCCGACCCGGCUCGGGUCGGCAUGCGCUUGGGCUUAGGAUUGGUCUUGGUCUUGGUCUUGGGUCUUGGUGAAGGGUCUCCAGCCCAAUAAGAUUUUUUUUUGGACUAAGUUAAGCUCAACGUUUUGCCAUUUAAUUUCCAAAAAACCGCAUGCUUUUUUUUUUAUUUUAAACAACAUGUAGUUCGUUUAAAAAACAACACGCUGUCUCUCUUAUUGACGAUAAGAUUAAACGAAAAAGAUCUUGCGGAGAAAGUUCCGUAACGCUUCAACUCCGAGAUCUUCGUGAGAUUUCUGCCAACGUGCGCACGUGCUGCAUCAGUUACGGAAAGUGGCUCGUCUUCUCCUCUUUAAAAACUCGUCUCCUUCUCAUUUCAUUCUCAACGUUUUACACAACGAAAAAAUCAGCAAAUCCCUUAGCGUAAGUCUAUAGUUCGAGAGUGUUUCGUAGAUUUAUAGCUUGAUAGGACGAUUCACGAGUGAAGCGUGAUCAUCUACCAUGGUUGUAUCCUUGGACUCGAUAUUCGUACAGUCCCAUUUCACUACAGAGCGAAUAUUUAGAGUUUAAGGAAGAGAUCAUAUCUCGACUCCAUGUCUAUUUUCGAAUCGUCGAUUUCCUUAAUAUCGUUCUUAUUAUUUCGUUUAUGUCAAUCCGGUUUUCCGGCUUCUACAAUCUUAACUCUAAAUCACUUUAAGUUUAAAGCUUCAAUCGGGUUGAAGAACGAUUUAGAAAAUUGGGUUUUCGAAUGGUGUUUGCGAUUUGCUUUCUAGCACCUCCGUGAAGAGUUUGUUAUUUAUCUUAUAAACGGUUCACGUUUUGCUUUGUAGCACUACCAAAAAACGUUUAUUGAUAUACGAUUUGUACAAACCUUUUCUGGUUUUAUUGAAACGAUGUUUGCGAUUUGCUAUAUGCUUAUCCGCAAAACGUUUUUUAUUUAUUUCAUAACGAGUUGCGGAUUGCUUUGUAGCAUUAUCGCAAAACGUUUUUAAUACAUUCUUAAAACGUUAUUAAAAUGAUUCGUUUCCACAAACGCUUAUAAAGUGAGUUUGUGAAACAAUCUAAUAGUCUACACAAGAUGGUUUCUGCAAACGCUUUUCAAAGCAAGUUUGUAUGACCAAAUUGAUGGAAUAAUGUAUAGACAUAACAAUUCUUAAAGAAUGAAACAAUAUGUAACACUCUUACGACCAUUUCUCAUAACCUAACAUUGUAUGUUGUUCAUGGGUAUUAAAAGACAACAUGGUUGGACACAUGAGCAAGUUGUUAUACUAUGAAAAGCUUUGACUCCAGAAAAAGAUGUCAUUUUUAUCUCCAAUAUUUCAGGAUCUUCUUGUGUGGUUAUACAAAAGUUUCAUGAUUAAAAAUCCAUUGAUCAUACAUUUGAUGUUAUUGGGUGUCUUAUCUAAGGUAAAACAGUCUAAAAAGCUAUCACAUCUUUAGUGACCGUGAAAGUUCCAUAAACGUUUGCAUUUCACAACUUUAAAAUGAGGAAUGUUUAUGUAUAGAUAACUCGGUUGCAUAGCCGAUUAAUUCUUUUUUUUUGUAUUUCACUAAAACGAUUUUGUAUUUGCAUUAUGUGAAAAAAAAAAUUGAAAACCGGUUUGCAUAAUGUGAAAACCAGCUACGUUUUUUGGUAACAAUCUAUUAUUAAAACAUAUAUGUAAGGGAUUGAUCGAACUAAUAAUUGGGAAACGGUCCAAUUAAUUUAUCUAGUAAGUUUAAUGCAUUUAAUAUGGAUGGUGAGUUGAAUCUAACCUAUAUUAAAAGGGUUAUAUGAGGAGUAGAGAGGCUGUCCACGUCACCUUGAAAAAUCAACCAAUGGGGUUUGUUCGUUUGUCCACGUCAAACAAGUUGAUUUUGGGCUUCUAUCUUUUAUUGAUCCGUUCAAAAUAAAAGAAAGCCCAUCCUCAUUAAACCGUUGAAACAAAAUCAUCCAUCGACAGUGGCUUUCGCGAUUCUUCCUGCGAUCUAAAACGGUUUGAUUAAUUGCUGCAUGAUAAAUCCAAUUGAUUCACCUCAAAGGAGAGGCCUCUCCACGAUUCAUCUUCUUCUUGAACUCAUCUUCUCUUUGUAUCCUUAAAUCAUUCUCUGAUGAUCGCUAUAAAUCUCCCCUUCAGGUCUGUUUGAUUCUCUAUUGUUUUUUAUUUGUUAAUCUGAUGUUCUGGGGUCACUCUUACAGUAGGUUUGGUCACAGACGUAGCUCAUGCUUGCUGCUUAGCUGAUGAAGUCAGCCAUGGCGGUCCCCGAGGAAGGUAAGCACGACAGAUGAGUUAUAUAUUUUUGUAUGGAGUAAUUGAUAAGAAAUUCAGAAAUAAAUACAUUAGAGGUGAGUUAUUAUAUUUCUGAAUCUAUUUAUUUUAAUGUACUAGAGAAAAAGCCGGCCAGACAAACCGGAAUAUAGCCGAAAAACGCCACUACGAUGAUCUCUAGACUGACUGUUGGCUUUCUCUUGAUAACCCUUCAGAUAUUUACAUCAUCGCCUCAUCGGGUAAGUAUGAAAAAGAUUCUACCAUGUUCAUCUGAUUAGAUUAAUCUAAACUCCUUUGUGUUGACCUGAGGCCUUCUGAGACCAUUUCAAUGUGUCUGCUUAUAAUCAACAGACUGAAAAUAAUUGGUUACUUUGUUGAUAGCCCACAAUGAAAUGUAUUUCUGUCAGCAUAAUGACCGAAGCUUUGGUGGCACUUAUAUCAACACAUUGUGAAUUAUAUUUUAAACUAAUAUAAUCAACGGACUCAGCGUGUUUGUUGCUACUAGGAGCAACCAAAGCUUCAGAUUCGUUUAUGCCCCUGUGUCUAUUCGAUUCACUGAUCAAAAAAAAUUAAAUGAGCUAGGAGAGGCCAGUAAGUUAAUCACGAUGGAACAGUUCCACUUUUGAAAUUGCUAUCAGCUGAUGAUGUUUUCUAACACGGACACCAAGUUGCCAGGUAUGUUUCAUUUAUCAGCUCUCAAACUCCUUCACUCGAAGCUUUCAGUAUCUUUGUCUUAUUUACUCAUCUCUUAAUGUUUUAUGGAUGUUGUUGCUAAAGUUAUGGAUAUCAUUACUGCUUACAAUGAAGAAACACAAAGCAUUCACAGGUCAUGCCCACAGCCCACUUAUCCUUCUAAUGUUGGUAAACUCUUUGAAAAACUUAUUUUGGUGUUAAUUGAUAUGAGUUUGCACUCCUCUCUUCCCAAACGCAGGGAUACCACGUUCUGUGUGAGUGUCUUUGACAGCUUAGCUAUGCAGCUUAAUGCAAAAAAAUUUGGCAAUGAUGUGGCCUUUUUCUUAACGCUACCUUCGGAACCCAUUUUUUACUUUGACAGCGAGAGAACUGCUGGCGAUAGCUACGUCAAAGGGUAAGGUUCUUUGCAUCAGCUUUCUAUUAUUCAUGUGUUUAAGCUAAAAAAAUCCAGUACUGCUACAUUGUGUUUCAGACAGGGCUUUGAGGAGUAAUGACGGUUCUCUCUCAACUGCUUUCGAAUAUGACAAUGUGAAUAAUAUUGAGUCAGUGACACUAUCUGAGCGAAAUGUUUAUGUCCUUAGUUCACCACUACAGGUUAUACUCCAUCUUAACAACACACUCAUUGUUUUAAAUCCGCCUCUAACUAACUCAAUCAAUUAUAAACUGCUUGUGGUGAUAUGUACCAUGUUCCUACUGAUUUUAUUUCGUUCUCUUUGCUUUUUAAUUUAUAUUCAUUAUCAACUAAACCCAAAAUAUAACCUGAAACCAUGAAGCUAAUUCAAAUUUGUGAAAUAUGGAUCUGAUGGUAAAGCACUAAAGCUGCUCCAAAAGACAGAAAAGCUGUAGCUCCUGACGAUUACAUGUACAUGAAAAUGUGAGACUUCUUACCCUAAGUUUAAUACACACGCAGAAAAAGAUAGAUAUAUAAAGAUGGUACUGAAAUGCAUUAUUGACUAACUUUUUUUUGUUAUCUUCCGAUGCAAUAUGUAACCACUGACCAUUACAAAGCUUCACAGCAUGUUGGAUGGCGAAGCCAACCAGACAGCAGUUCGUAAGCUAAUCCAAAAAUGCUACAUGGAAGAUUCUAGCAGCCGCAGUCUAGGUUUGCUUUCUCAUGUCAGACCCUACUCUUUUAAGGGUUGUUGGUCUUAUAAGGCUGCAUCACUGAUGCUAUGGAUAUAUACAAGGAAGCAUGUAAUUCAAUCCAGUCUAACCGAGUAGAAGCUGAAUGUAUUUAGGAGAAAAGUUAAUGACCCAUUGACCACAGUGAAGGCACGUGUGAAGAAUGAUGGUGUAGCCAACGCGCUGAUCCAAUACCAGUGGCGUCCAAAGUCGUAUAUCACUGUUUGUAGUUUGCUAGAAAAUUGGGAUCUUGCAGUUUCCACAUCGAAUAGUCCAAAAGCUGAUUUUGGCAUGGCACAUCAGGUGAUUUAGCUGUGGACGCUCACCAAGAAGAACUCGAAAGAGCUAUCAGUAAAGUGACUGUUGACAUUCAUGGUUCUUUUGUCUCUAUGUCGUCUUCGGUCCAUCCAUAAUAUGAUCUACUCAGGUUUAUUAAGUUUCUGAUUGCCAUCACUUUAUAUUUUCUUUUGAUUUUCUAUUGUAAAUUGGUGUAAGAAAUCAAAUUAAGGAUAUGCACUACAAUAGAGAAGAUUAUUUUGAAUUACAAGACGGUUAGUGGAUAAAUUUGCUAACUUUUUCUAAAUACAUCUACACUGAUCUAUCUUGCUUGAAAGGUACAUUCAAGCAAGCUAAAUUAAUUAAAAUGUCCCUCUUUAAAAUUGUUUUUAAUUAUAACCAGAUAAAUGGUUCAGCGAGACGGACUCGACAUCAGUUCGAAAUGGUGGAAAAUACUUGGUGAAUUUUCAUAAAGUUAACAAAAGUAAAUCCUUUUCACUACAAUUACGCCAUGUUCAAACUUACGUUUACAUCUUGACUUUAAAAAUUUAAAUGCAUGGCUUAAAGAUUAUACAAAGACACACUACAUUUAGCGCCCAAAAAUUCGGUUUACUCUUUACUAGCCCCGAGCAUAUUUAUCUAAAACCGAAGAACCGGGCUGAACCAAACCAAAAAACGAGGUUCGUUUUGGAUUUGGAUCCUAUCAAUUAUAGUAGUGAAUCCUAUAUCUCUAAAACCAGAAAACCAUAACCGAAUCAUGAACCGAAUGGAUAUCAGAAUAUCUAUAAUAUAGUUUAUAUAUUAUAAACACUAACUAUAUUUAGUUUUACAAUAAUCUAAUAAUUUAAAAAUACUAUUUAUAACUCGAGAUACCAAAAAAUUUGAAUUUUUAAAAUUUAUUUAUCCAAAAUAAUUAAAAUUGUCUGAAUUAUCCUAAUUUUAUCUGAAAACCCAAAACCAAAUCUGAUCUUUAAUCCGAAAACUCGAUUUUUUUUCACUUUUAACCCGAACUAACCGAAAAACCGGAACCAGAUGGAUUUCAAAGUUAUAAGCCGGUUCCCAACUUUGUUAUCCGUGCCGAACUGAAAACCCAAAUAACCGAACCGAAAUUGAACCAAACUUUUUAAAUAACCAUACAGGUCCUAAACCUCUAGAACCAAAAAACCAAAAAAAAAACUAAAAGAAUAGCACCGGAAUUGAACUGAGAACCGAAUGUCCGUGACUACUCUUUACUUUUGUUUUUACACUGAUUUUUGUUUAAGCAUUUUUGAGACUACGUUUAUAAAGCUAUCUUUAAAAAAAAAAAAAACCUUUUGCAUGUUAAAGUUCCUUUGUUUUCAUUUAAUUUACCAACACAAUUACCAGUGAAAUAUAAAAUACGGUUACAUCACACACAUGCGAUCUACCUACAUGAACUUCGACGAAUCUCUUCAAAACUAAAAUUGGUUACAUUUCAUCACAACACACAUUAGUUUGGGUCGGUUAGGUAAGAAUUCGAUUAGAUUGGGUCGAUCAAAAUUUUACCAAGGUAAACUGAAAAAAAUAUGGUUCGGUUUGGUUUCCAAAAAUCAUUGCGAUGUAUCAAUAGAAAUCAUUGCACUAAGUCAAUAGAAAUCACUGCGAUGACCAAUAGGCCUCAUUACACCAAUAGCAAAUCUGCUUUCCAAAUUAGACAACAAACCUACCCAAAAAAUUUAUAAAAAAUUACAAAUGUUAAUAACAGAAAUGUCAAAAAAAUCUGUUCUUUCUAUGUACUGUCCACAUCAUACUUAACAGUAUAAGUAUGUUCUCUACAUAAAACAUUUAAGUACACUAUUUGUCUAAAUUCCAAUUAAAUUAAUUUUGUUACGAUUAUCGAUUUUUUAUUAUAUUUUUAUUGAAUCAAUUAAUCACAACUACUUAUGUUAUUCCAGUUCAUCGAAUUAAGAAUUAAUAUUAAAAGAUACAAUAUUUACAUAUUACCACAAGAACAAAAAUAAUUAUGAAGGGAUAAAGAAGAACUUUUAAGACAAAAUAUAAGCAAUCAAAGAAUGAUAAGUAACAUGUAAUCUAGAUAUAUUGAUGGUUUUGUUUUGGCAGUUGCUUGCGGCUGGAGGUGGAAUGUCAGUGGAAAUUUCCAACAGAGGAGUGAUUCCAUUGGCUUAGAACAUCACUAAGAAGAAUAAAGUCGGAGAAACUAGCACUUAUUUGGAUGGAGUCUACCUUCUUUUCACUUGCUUAACUAAAACUUGAAUACAUUACUCCAAUGGAGACUGCUCUUACUACUGCAGUAUAGCCCAUAACGACAGUAUCCGUUUUUCUUCCUUCAAUAUAAAGAAGAAGUACAACUGAAGAUACGAUGAACAUUGCAUGUGUGUAUGUGACCAAAUUUAGGAUUCUAGAUGUUCCUUCUGAAUUAAAGUAAACCUAUCUUUAUUUCGUAUGUGUCUUUGUAUCAUUUGAAAAGUGCAUGUUUUCUUUAUCUACAGAGUGUGAGAAACUGCAAUGCACUUUUUAUUAUAUUAGCUAUUCAAACUCUUUCCUUUGAUAUGAAAAGUAAGUCUGGAUUUGAUGAUCAACUAUAUAAGUUUUUACGCAUACUAUAAACACAUGAGGACAAAUUACCUGGCAUAGAAGAAUAGCUUAUCAACAUUCUUGAACUUGGGGAGAGACAUCUGAGAAUGUAUGCACAGUUUAUUAGGUAUAACCGUAUAAGCUUGACUUAAUGAUGCGUGGAUUCUAUUCGUCAUGUCCCAAAUUGUUUUUGUUAUAGCUGGAUAAGUUAGCAAAAAGGCGAAGAAAUAUAUACUUUUAUUCCAUUCCAAUCGAUUUAAGAGCAAGAGAAAGAGUCCAUACCGCAUUCAUGCAUCUCGGUGGAAAUACCCAUAUAGAUGCAAUGAUUAUUGAAUUGUGACUUAGAUGUUUACGUCUCUCUAAAAUUUUAUGUUUCUUAGAUGUUUAUGUCUCUGUAAGAUUCAACAAAGGUGCUCGGAUUGAGGUAUGUUUAUCCGUGACUUUUCUUUGAGUCAAGAGACUUCAAUUUUAUUCCAAGUUAUUUUUUUUUCUCUGUAAGGCAGCAGCUACGCUCAAUUACUAAAAAAAAGAACAAAAGGCAGAAGCUAGGUGCCUUUUUGACAUCACACCAAACCAGGAAAGGAACUCUUUUAUUCAUAUUUGUUUUUUGAUUUUCACUAUAUGAUUCCAUCCAAAAAAGUAAAUAUAUAUAUACGCAACAGACUGUCCAUGAAUGAAUAUAUUACAAUUGCUAACAAAAAAAUAAAUAAAUAAAAUGUAUAACUAAAUUAUAAAUAAGUGGAGCUUAACAGUUUUUAGUGAAAACUCAAAUACAAAAGAUAUAUGAACUAAAGUUUGAGUAACUUUUCACUGAGUUUGCUUACCACUCUAUAUAUUUUCUGAUAGUAACAAACAAAUUUUAAAUUUUAAUACUUACAAAUUGUUGUGUGCAUGGUAAAAUAAGAAUAGUUUAAAAUGUUUACUUCUCUAAACAUUAUAUGUUUACAAAAAAUAAAGCACACAAUCCGCGCGUAGCGCGGACACGGACCUAGUUGUGGUAAUAACACUUCAACAUAGUAUGCAAGAUUACAACUUAAACAAUACUCCUCAGUUAUAUAAAGGAAAUAUCACAGAAUGAUAUGAAGUCAUUCCUAUAGCCGUAUAAUAUCACAAAAUGAUACAAAUAUACUUUAUUAAUUUUCAUAAAUAUAACUAAUAAAUAGUGCUUAAAAUAUUUCUAGACAUUAACAUUAAAUGACAAAUUCAUUCAUUUAAUAUUUAUGUUGUAGAAGAAAAAAUUAUAGUCAUGAUUUUGUUGUCAAAUUGUUUGCACUAAUGUUGUAUUAUGUCACCACCCAAGUUCAAACUCGCAUUAUUAAAAGACAAUUUAUUAAAAGGUAUAAUUUCAGUUAACUUAUUUUGUAUUUACUGAUACUUUUGGGCUAUAAUAAAUUUUAGAUCCUAUAAAAAAGGAAAAAAUCCCUAUAAUUAAAAAGUUAAAAGUAAAAUUUGGUAAAUGUGAUUGCAUCUUCGAGAUUAUGACAUAUGCUUGUUUAGUAUACUAAUAAUUUCUUUUGGAAAGUUUGACAAUUAAGUAUUAUAACCUUUAAAUAGGUCGUAUUAAUUUUUUUAACUUUGAUAUUAUUUAAAUAUCUAUUUGUAUAUGUAGGAGAUAGGCCGGCCAAAUCACGUGUAUAUAUUGCAAAGCAAAACCAUAGAGAAGAGUAUUCAGACGUCAAACAAGCUAUAAAAAUGGCUAAAGCACAUAUAUGUCUUUAUUUCGUCAUCUUUUUAUACCUUUAUUCAGGUAAUGUGAUCACAACUAAUCAUCAGACCCAAUAGAAUUUAGAGAUCAAUUUUAACGAUGCAUAUGGCUUUAGGUCGUUUGGGAGUUUUAUUUGAUUGUAUGAUUUUCCAAAUUCUGUAACAAUCUUAAUUUCAUUUUGAUGUUUUUAAUAGAAGGAACUUUCACGAGAGUCAACGCAGAGGUACAUGUUUACGAUAACCCAAAAGUUGAAAACAAAACAAAACAUCAAUCUCAUAUGUGUGUGUGUUUUAUCAUUUAAUGCUCGCAGGGUCAUCAUGGGGAGUGGUGUGUGGCGAAACCAGCUACGAAGAAAGAAAAACUUCAACAAAUUAUUGAUUUUGCAUGUUCUAAAGUCAAUUGUGCAGCUAUAUCGAAUGGCGGUGCAUGUUAUUCUCCUGAGGAUCUCCUUCUUCAUGCUUCUGUAGCCAUGAAUAAUUAUUAUCAAGCAGAAGGAAGACACUUUUGGAAUUGCAAUUUCGCAGGCUCUGGCAUCAUUGCCAUAACUGAUCCGAGUGAGUUUCAUCUGAUUUUUUUUUUGUCUCUAAACAAUUAUGAAAGUCUUCUUAUGUCAACCUAGAAUCAAUACUUAAUUUAUUAAUCUUUUAUUUUCAGGCACUGGAAAUUGCAAAUAUCAAUUAAAAAAAUGAAGUAUAUGAAGUAUAUAAAGCUUCGUCUUUGUUACAAAAACAAAAUAGAGAACUCUAGUUCUCGAAUUUCAUAUCUGAUAUCUAAAGUUUAUGUGGUUCUAUUUGCAACUAUUAAAUGUUUAAGUUUACAUCAUCUAUCAUCGUAAGUUUCAGAAAAAGUUUUCCAUCAUCUUAUCAUCGUUAGAAAAAUAUAUAUAAAUUGUAGUCUGCUGUUAGUUUUUACAACCUGCACAAUAUGAACUUGAGGUAAGAGAAUCUGAUGAUCCAACGUUCUCCAGUUAAUAAAACAAAGUGGAGAUAUGGACAGAAAAUCCAAUUUUUACAUGGUCCAACAAUAUUUUUGGGGUGUAAAUUCUGGUCUAUGAAAUCUAAGCAUAAUACAAACAUAAAAUGAAGUGAAAAGCAAUAUCAAAGUAGAAAAAUCAUGGAAUAAAGUUAGAAAAACAAACUCAUGUACAUAAGGACACAAUCAGACCCAUACCGUCAACUCGGCGUUAGUUCUGAAGUGAAUGGAUAACUGAAUAAAAAAAAUAACAAAGUGUUUUGAUUCAUAAUGGCUGAAUCAAGCGGAGUCAAUGAAAACGUUACAUGUGACUUUGAGUUAUGAAAAUAAGCUGAAAAUUACAAGAAAUAGACAUAAAAUUUCUCUCAACAUAUACUAGGCAAUUUUUUUUUUGCUAUAUUAUUUUUCUACUUUUAUCUGAGAUUUUGAAAAAAAACUACAAAGUCAUCAAUACUAAAAUUUAAAGAAUUAUAAAAUGGUUGAAAAUCAAAGGUCGAAUACUGUAUAUUGUUUGUGUUAUGAUAUAUUGGCAAACAAAAACUUUUUGAUCAGUUUAACGUAAGUAUACGAAGUGCAAAAUAGAACUUACAUAAUACAGAGAAACUGACAUAAGUCAUCUCAUUUACUGGAACAAAAUCAUUUUUUGGUUAAAACUGGAACAUAAUCAUUUUUUUGGUUAAAUCUGUAACAGAAUAAUGAGAAGUUGAAGGUAUCAUUUUAUCAAAAGAUCAUAGUUUCUCCGUAAGGAAUCUUCAUGGAUUUCCAUGUCAAUGAUAAGCAGAGCCGGGCCUGAGAUUUUCGGGGCUCUAUCCGAAAUUAAAUUGUUUACAGAUUAAUGUAAAGAUUUUACAAAUUUUAUGUAUAAAUUUAAACUAUAGUAGUUGAGUAUAGUGCCUUUUUUUAUAGACAAGUUGGAAACAAAUGUAAAUACAUAUGAAACUGGAAAUCAAGAAGGAAGAAAAUGUGGCAUUCACUCAAUUAUUGUAUUUCAAGUAAAUCUUCACGAUAACAUAUUAACAUAUAAAUUCAUUUUUGCACAAUUUUUCUCUGGUAUUGGGGGGCCCCACAAACUGGGGGUCCAUUCAAAUGUUUCAUUCGGAUGGUAACCGUCGUCCUGCCCCGCCCCGCAGUUAACAAUAACAAAAAUCUCUACAUAUACUAUAUAUCUAUACAUUUUUAUUAAAACUGCACCGGAUUUGAACCGCUUGUCCCGUACCGCUCAAACCGUAGUUACCAUUCGGAGCCUUAAUGUCCCCAUGCCCCGCUCUGACUAUAACUCCUACAUAUAUAUAAAUGAACUAUAUAUUUAUAUGUUGCUUGGUUUAGAAGGAGAAGAAACUACUAUUGGAGUUGUGAAUCAACCAAUAUCAACAACAUCAAUUUCAGUUGCGCUUGAUAGGUCACCAAUAUCAUCAAGCCACGAAACUGGUGGAUUUGGAUCUUUGUUUGUUCCAGUUUGGUCGUUACAGGACAUGUUUUAUAAGACUUAUAUUACACUGCUAUUUCGUCCAAACAAGACGAGAAGUUUGUGCCGGCCAAAACAAUUUAAAGGCAUAUAGCUUUAGUCUAUGGUUCAAAACACUGUGUUUUCUUUAACAGCCUUCUUUCUCCUCUUUUGGCGUUCUUUAUUCUCCAAGCAUAAAAAACUAUCUCUUCCUGUUCUUCUUUGGCAUUUUUCUUCUUCUUUACAUAUCUCUUGGCGUUCUCAUUGAUACUUUAUAGCCAAAUUUAUUCAAUUGGAAGAACACAUUAUGUGUUCUUUUUUGGAUCUGUUCAAAACAAUUGAUCUUCACUUCCACCAUAUUGUGAAACAGUGAGACUUAUAUAUAUAUUAUGAAGAAGGGAAAUAUCAAACAAAGUGAUACAAUGAUAGUGAGUCUGAUGUAUAUUGGUGUGAAUUAUAAAUAUGUUGUUAGUAUUACUUGUAUUCAACGAAGCCGUCUUAGCUCAGUGGUAGAGCGCGUGACUUUUAAUCCCGUGGCCGUGGGUUCGAUCCCCACAGACGGCGAACUUUGCCCUUAUUUUCAGUUUAUAUUUAACUAGAAAAUCUUGGUAUCAAAAAUAUUUUGAGAUGUUUUAUAAAAUUACGUUGAUUUGAUUGUUCAGUUUGAAAAUGUUACACCAAAUGUUUUAUUACAAGAAAAUUCUACCAAUAAUCUCCACAAGAGCAACUACCAUCUCUAAAAUGAUGAAACCUCUUGUUAUCCCUUACAAGCUGUCUUAGCGUUAAUCCCGUGGCUGUGGGUUCGAUGCCCACAGACGGCGCAUCACUCAUUUCGGUUUAUAUUUUAACUAGAAAAUCUUGGUAUCAAAAAUAAUUUGACAUGUAUUGUAAAAUGUUACAACAAAUCUUUUUAUUACAAAAUUGUUUUACCAAUAAUCUCAACAAAAGCAACUACCAUCUCUAAAAUGAUGAAACCUCUUGUUAUCAUUUACAAGCCGUCUUAGCUCAGUGGUAGAGAGAGUGACUUUUAAUCCCGUGGCCGUGGGUUCGAUUCCCGCAGAUGACGAACUUUGCACUUAUUUUCGGUUUAUAUUUAACUGGAAAAUCUUGGUAUCAAAAAUAUUUUGAGAUGUUUUGUAAAAUUACGUUGAUUUGAUUGUUCAGUUUGAAAAUGUUACACCAAAUGUUUUAUUACAAAAGAAUUCUACCAAUAAUCUCCACAAGAGCAACUACCAUCUCUAAAAUGGUGAAACCUCUUGUUAUCUCUUACAAUGAACUCUCUACCUUCAAUACUCGACAACACCUUAAUGAAGUUGUGGCAAUCUCCGCAUAUCCUCAAAUUCUUCAUCACUCUUAUGGUCGUCCCAGGAGGCGUGUUUAUAAGCCCAAACGCAAUAGCUAACCGUUCACUGUGAUGCAUCAAUGCUCUCUCUUUAGCUUCUUCAUCAAUAUCAUGAAGAACAUACUUUGUCUCUGGUACAUAGCCAGCCUCUCUCACUUCUUUUCCUAAAGAUUUCAGCUUCACUACGGCCUUGCUUCUAUCUAAAAUAGCUUUCUUCUGUCCUGAGAUCUCCUGCUUAUCUUCCAGUACUGAUCCUGAAAGUCUUCUUGAUGUUGCUCUGCCACUAUUGUGAGCUUGGGUCUCAGCUUUCUCUUUCUUGAAAACCCUUUUGACAUCAGUGCUUAUCCUUAAGUUUUGAACUUCACCCUCACCUGCAAUUCCCUUGGCUCCCGAGGUAAUGAUUCGGCGAAAGGAUAAGGUUUCUCUCUCAAUGGUGAUUGCUUUUGGGAAAGGGAAGGAGCAGAAACUCGCGGAGAAAGCAGACUCCAGAGCCAUCUCUUGUGGCUAAUCCAAGAAAAAGAUAAGCUUUCUUUGGAGGGAAGUUUACAAUGUGGAGAUAGAAAUAGAGAGACUUAUCUCUCACACCAAAUAUCUACAAGAAGCAGACAAACAACACAAACAGCCAAACAAAAACCUCUGUUCUACUAUUAGCACCAGGUCCACAAAAAGUUUCCUGCACUAUACCAAUCACACAAUCCUUUAGCGCUGGAAGUCUUGGUUUCUAUCAAUUUAAAGAUAGUUUCUCUCGUUGACAAUGCUUUUCUGCCAUAACCAAAGCUUUCUUGAAUUGAACCAAUUGAUCGUAGAGAUCAAACCAUUCACACCAGCAAAAGAGCUGAUAACUUGUUCUUUACUUUCUUGGGGUUUUGUGAGUCUCACGAGUUUGCAAUCUUGUUGACAGAUUUGGAUACUCUGUUUUUGUUAGCUACGUCACUAAGAUGGUGGUGAUGAGGGAGCAGAGUGAGCUUUGUGUUUGCAACAGUGAUAAAAAUCAUGUCUUGUGAUCAAUCUAUCAAGCUUUCGUGUAGAAUUUUUCGAGAUAGUUUUCACUUUUCAGGUGAUCAAGUUUUUGUUUUUUAUAAGAGAUCGUUGGGUUCGCCCAAAAAAAAAAAAAAGAGAUCGUUGGGUUUUUGAGACGCCGACGAUAUAAAGGUAGUUUUGAUAUACUAUGAAACUAUAGGGGUAAUUGUGUCUUUUAAGCUUCAGUACAUUUGCGAUUUGCCCUAGUUUCUGGGUUUGCUAUAUAUAUAAGACGAUACGAGUCAGUACUGAAGCCAACCAAAAGGGUGUUUAAGCUUACAGAUGUUAGUUUUCGUUUUUCAUUGCGUUCUGUUUUAUAAAUCUUAAAUUUGCUCCGUCUUUUGUUUCGAUGAUUUCAAACUCUUCUUUGAUUUUGAUUUUCUCAAAGGAAACAAAAAAAAUUGUGGCGAUGACGAAGAAAAAAAUGACCUUUUAUCACAUGAGUGAGAUUUUUCAAUCUCGUGAUUACCUUUCAAGCACUUCUGAGCCUUUUUUUUUUGUUCUUGAUCGUUAGUAAUUUCUCAAUUUAUUGAGUUUAGAUAGAUAAGUAGCUUAAAAGUUAAUACUUGCAAUGUUAACAGUUAGUUUGCAUUGAGACUCUGUACAAUGUUUUCCAAAAACCUUUCGGCUAUUUGUUUAAUUUAUUUUGUUCGUAUCCUUGAAAUAGAAAAAAACAAUAGAUCUGGUUUAUAAUUACACAUUAAAGGUUUUAGAAUAUGUGGAACAGUAAAAGCAUAACAUAGAUAGAAUGGGCUCAAUUGAUGAAUAAAGAAGCAAUUGAGUCUGGAUAUUUGGUUGUUUUUGAAGAUUUAAUUAAAUCUUGACGUGACCGACCAAUCAAAAGCAUUACGUUAAAAUUCUCAUGGUUUGUGGCUAUUAUGAAAGUAAGCGUAUAAAAAUAUAUUUUACUAUCAAUAUUUUACGUCCUUCACAUCAAGAUUGAUUGCGACAAAAGUCGAACCAUGACGAGACCGGGCAUUUUCCGAUUCUAAAACUUUGAGAUGUCUUUACAGUAGUGAUUUUCACUAUAUUAAAUGUUUUAAGUGUAAAAUACGUUGGGAACUUGUUGCUGGUCGUAUACUGACCGGAAAAGCAGCACAAUCCAUAUUAUGGAAUCCUAGAGUUAGAUCCGAUGAAGUAGAGUAAACUGAGCCCUUUGCAGUAUUUUAAAAAUCAAGUUUAGAGAAUGCUAGUCAUGCGCUAAAUUCUGAGAACAUAUUUCUCUUAUUAAAUUUUUUUAAACAAACAUUAUAGAUCUGUUUAAUCUGAAUUCAUCAGUGGCUCUGAAUUCAGUGUUCUUAAAGAAAAUAAACUAUUUUUGCCACAUACCAAUUACUUAAGAACAUAAACUAUCUUUGUUAUUAAGUUCUCUCAAAAUUUCACCAGCUAAUCUAAACAUAGGCUACUUGUAUAUAUAUCUACUAGUGGUAUUCCGGCGCUAUGCGCUAAGUUCGUAUGUUUUAUUCUUACAUGAAUUUACAAUACAUUUAAUGGUUUUAAUAAAAAAAAAUGUUCAAAAAUAUGAAAAUGAAAAUAUGUUGAGAGAAAAUGAUCUUUUUCUGAUCCAAUUGAUACUGGUUAGCUAUCCUAAUGUAUUACUUUUUUUUAAAGUUACUUAAUUCAAAGUGAAAUAGCAUAAGUGGUUGUAAUUAAUCGAUUCAAUAAAAGUAUAAUAAAAAGCCGAUAGUCGUAACAAAGUAAAUUUAGUAAAAUUUAAAUAUAAAGUUAAUUUUAUUUAGAGAACAUACUUAUACUGUUAAGUACCAUAUGGACAGUAUAUAGAAGGAACGGCAUUUGAAAUUUUUUUUAGUGACUAAUCUGAAUUUAAACAUGUGUAAUGAAGUUUUGUUCAUAUAUGUUUUUAUCUGAUUUUUGGUUUUAAAAACAAAAAACUAAUUCUGGUAGUGGAACAUAUCAGGAAAUGAAGAAAAACAUUUAUAUAUUAUAUUGUUUAAAAAUUUAAACGAAAAUCAAAAGCAGUAUGUAAAUAAAACUGGAACAUAAGAAACACCCAUAUAAAUUGUAAUAAUGCUGAAUCAUAGAUAAUUUUUCCUAUAUAUGGGAAAUCUUAUGUUUGUACGAAGCCAUUGAUCAAUGCAGCAGAUAAGGUUGACGUCAGGUCUUGCAGUCGCGUUUUGGUUGUAGUCUGUGAUGGUAAGAGUAACUUGAAGAUCAUCAGUUACGUUAUUCUCUUCGUCUGUUAGUAAUUUCACCACGUAUUGGGUUGUUUCUUGAAUAAGCAGGGUUGAGUCGGGUUGCUCGAUUUCAUAGUAUGUUAACAUGAAUUCCAUGCCAUCAUUGGAGGACUCGACACCGCAAAGAAUGGGAUGCGAUAAAAUUUCAUUACGUGGGAGCUGAUAAGGUUUGAGAGGCACGACUGUAAACCCUAAUGACUGAAUUCAAUCGAUUGAAGAUGAAGGACACCGACACAAUUGAUGACUUUGUGGGCAAGCUAUCAGAAUUAUCAUCCAAGUCAGCUGCAUUAGGAGAAAGUAUGGAUGAAUCAAAGCUAGUGAAGAAAUUCUUAUCGUGUUUACCACGUAAGAAGUACAUUCACACCAUUUCCUCUAUCGAAAAAAUCCUGAAUUUAAAGACUACAAGCUUCAAAGACAUUAUAGGUCGUCUGAAAACAUACGGGGAACAUAUUUUUGAUAAAGAAGAAGACACGCAGGAGAGUCAAAACAAACUCGUGUACGCUAAUUCAGAACCGCAAACAUAACACGACUAUCAUGGUGAGUACAGAGGGCGUGGUCGAGGUGGCCGGUAUUAUGGCAGAGGAAGAAAACACGGUAGGUCGUAUUGGGACAUUCGAGACGCGACGAAGAUCCCAUGUUUUAGAUGUUAUAAAUUAGGACACUUUACAGCUACAUGUCCUGAUAGAGUACUCAAGUUACUAGAGACAAAUGAGAGUAAGGAUGAAGAUGAAACCCAAGAAGCCGAUAGACUCAUGAUGCACAAAAACAUCUAUCUCAAUGAACGUAACGUUAAUCCCAAAGAAUAGACAUUAAAGGGAAAGGAUCUAUUUUUUUCUUGAGUUAAGACUAGAAAAGAAAAAUUCUUGCAGAUGUCAAUAUCAUCAUAAUACUUAAGAGAAAUAUCAUAAGUCUCGGGCAAGCCACAAAGUUGGGAUGUGAUGUAAGGAUGAAAGAGAACUACCAGACUUUACACGAUAAGGAUGGUAAUAUAAUUAGGAAAUCUCCAAGAGCAAGGAAUCGUUUAUACAAGGUUGUGAUGGAGAUAGAAGAACCAAAGUGCCUGUAAACUCAACUACAAUGUGAAUGCUUGGUUUGGCACGCACGCCUAGGACACCUUAGAGUUGAUGCUAUGAAGGCAAUGGUAAGAGAGGAACUCUUUACCGGACUUCCCGAGUUGAAAUUCGAAAAAGAAACAUGCAAUUGUUGAUUGCGUACAAAGCAAAAAAGGCAGCCCUUUCCAUCUUCAACCUCAUAUUGUGCAUCUGAAGUCCUAGAACUCAUACACGGUGAUCUAUGCUGGCCAAUAACACCACCCACUGCAGGAAGAAACAUCUAUAUAUUUGUGCUCAUAGAUGAUCACUCGCGUUAUAUGUGGUCUAUCCUUUUGAAGGAGAAGGGAGAAGCAUUCGACAAGUUCAAACGAUUUAAGAAAAUAGUUGAAUACGAAACCGGUACAACCAUUAAGACGUUGAGAACAAAUAGAGGGGGAGAGUUUAUAAGCUCAGAAUUUUAAGAGUUUUUCGAAGUAUCAGGCAUACAACGACACCUAACCGCUCCACACAAGCCACAACAGAACAGAGUAGUGGAGAGACGAAAUAGAACCUUGUUAGAGAUGACUAGGAGCAUCUUAACACACAUGAAAGUGCCAAAUUACCUGUGGGGAGAAGCGGUGAGACAUCGACCUAUCUAAUUAACCGAGUGGCAACAAAGACGUUGACCUUGCAGACCCCGUAUUAGGGUUGGGCAAAUAAACCGAACCCGAAAAUUCGAACCGAACCCGAUCCGAUAAAAAUGAAUCUGAACCCGACAUAAAUACCGAAUGGAUCUUGUUUUUUGGUAUUUUGGGUUAUGGGUAUUAUCCAAACCUAACCCGAACCUAAAUGAAUAUCCAAUAGAACCCAAAACAUUUAAAAUCACAAAAAAGAACUUCUACCAAAUAUGAUGUUAAUUCUUAAUAUGUGUAUCCAAAAUACUUUAAGAUAUUAUUGAACUUCUAAAAUAAUUAUCUAUUACACGAAGGUUGAUGGUGGAAUGUGGCGAUUGAAGCCUGAAGUUUUUAGAUUUUGGUUUUGUUUUCAUUGAAUAAUGUUUCUCAUUUCAUGAGAACUUAAUAGUUUUUGUUUUAUGAGUUCAUUUAUCUGGUUUUAUUUCUAUCACUAACUAUGUUUAUCUUUCGCUUGAUUGUGAAUGAUCACGUUUGAUGGUUUUUCUUAUUUUUGAAUCGAUUUUACUUAUGUUUUGGCUAUUAAAAUAUGUACAAAUCAUGUAUUUUAAAUCCAAAUAACCGAUUUCAUUAAUUUUUAGUUACAAAAUAGGUAUAAAUCAUGUAUUUUUAAACCGAAGAACCGAUGGGGACCCGAACCCGAAAGUACAAUGGGUUAUACCGGUUAUUUGGAGAUUUACUUACCCCGACCCAAACCCGAUAGAACCCGAACCGGUCCCGAACUGAACUUUUAUAUAACCCGAAUGGGGGCUGAUUUUGAUAAACCCGAAAAAUCAAAACCCGAAUGGAUAAAACCAAAACUCGAUUGGGACCCCGAAUGUCCAUGCCUACCCCGUAUGAAGCGUUCAAGAGAAGAAAACCCAACAUUAAACACUUAUGAGUGUUUGGAUAUUUGUAUUGCGCAUUCUAAGAUAGAGUCAACAAACUUGAGAAAACUGAAUAACAGGUCUCGUACUCUAGUACAUCUUGGAACCGAGCCCGGCUCUAAAGCAUAUAGACUACUUGAUCCCACACAAGAGAGAAUAGUCAUGAGCAGAGAUGUAGUAUUCGGAGAGAAUAAACUAUUGGAAUGGAACAAAAAUGGUCAUCAUGAAGCUGAGAAAACAUGAGCACUUACAGUCACAUUUGAAGAGUAUGGGAAUCAAGGUCUUGAGGAAGCAAGCAACGAUAUAUCUAGCAGUGAACUUGGGCACGAAGAUGCAGUCGAGGAAGAUAACAACGAUAAUCAAGAGGAAGCCGGUGAAGAAACAAAGCACUACCAACCUCAAAGGUCAAAUAGAAAUGUGGGAACAUAAAUUCACACUAUCGAUUUCCGUUUAAAUAAGGAAAGUAAGAGAACCCUAAUUUCCCAGAGGUCUCAGAUAUCUGCUAAUACCACAGGCCAAGCAAUCAGAACAUGAAAUAAAGGCGAUAAAAGAUAAAUUGAAAAGAUAGCAAAGUUGAUCUUAUUCCGAAUUCACGUUUGAGCGUUACAACAAGGUAAGAGCCUGGGUUACGAGAGCUGUCGGCGAGAUUCCUAGUUCUAAAACCCUAAAGCUGCUAAACCUAAUUGAGUCACAGCUCGAAUAACAAAAACGAAAAAUUGCCUAAAUUGCUCUAAGUGCUAAGUUUGCUGUGUAUUGCGUAUCCUCCUCUUCCUCUCGCCUAGGACUCCUUAUAUACUUGCUCUUAGUUUGGUUUGCGCUUUUCUCUUUCUGCCCUUAAGCCGUCAUAACUCAUAAAUGGAGAUAUUCUGUUUUUUCUGAUCUUCGUGAUUAUCUUCAGAAACUUUACAUUUAUCCGCAGAAACUUGACAUUUAUCUUGCCUUAUGAACCAAGCAUAAACCAUCAUAAGACUUAUGUGAUUUCGGUUAAGGAAUCGUAAGUGGGCUUCGAGCUGCGUUUAGGUCUCUUUGGGCCGUUCUUUGACUCAAAACGUUUAUUAUGGUUUCUUUGAUAAAAAUGAAUUUCUGCAGUUUUUAUCGUAAAGUUUGACUGAUGACUUCGAGUGACGAUAAACAAAGAACAGUUUAGCCAUGGCUCAAGGGAGAUAGCAUUGAAGAGUAGACGAGAAUGCAUGGAUUCAUGUCGUAUCGACGUUUUGGGAGAGCUCGGUCGCUGUGUAACGACCAAGCCGUGUACAUGCUCGAUCGCUACGUAGUGACCAAGCCGUGUGCGUGCUCGGUCGCUACGUAGCAACCGGGCUUGGCGAGAGCUCGAGCUCUGUCGCUACGUAGCGACCGAGCCGUGUAUGUGCCUGGUUGCUAUGUAGCGACCGAGCCAUGUGUGCGCUCGGUCGCUACGUAGCGACCGAGCUGUGUGUGUGCUUGGUCGCUACGUAGCGACCGAGCUUUGGCUUGUGCGUGACCGAUUUGGAUACGUGUCCGUUGUUUUGGAAAAUUGGUACUUAGUGGUUCGAUUGAGAUUUAGAAUAAGAUUUUACCGCAAUCCUCUUCGUAAAGGUUCUUUUUACGAAGAAUAACUUUCGUAAAAAAUGUUUACACUGAUUUUUACGGAGAUUUGGAUAUCAACUUCGUCGUAUCCGUUUUUGACCCCAACAAGAAUCGAUAAAAAGCCUGCUUAUCUUGAUGAUUAUAUUUGUCUCGCAGAAGAGGAAGGAGAGCGACUCUUACUUCUCUUGAAUGAAGACCUGUGGAAUUUUGAAAGUGCAAUGGAAGAGAAUGUGUGGCGUGAUGCAUGCAAUGAACAGAUCAAAUCGAUUGUGAAAGACAAAACAUGGGAUCUCGUUGAACUUCCACCGGAAGCCAAACCAAUCGGUUUAAAGUGGAUCUUCAAGAACAAACGGAAUGCAGAUAGAAGCAUCAACAAGCACAAAUCAUGAUUAGUGGCUAAAGGAUAUAUUCAAUGCCAUGGUAUUAACUUCGAGGAAGUCUUCGCACCAGUUGCGCGCAUUGAAACUAUUAGGUUUAUUAUUGUUUUAGCUGCAUCAAACGGAUGGGAAAUCCAUCACUUGGAUGUCAAGAUCGCUUUCCUUCAUGGAGAGUUAAAAGCGGAGGUGUAUGUCAGGCAACUUGAAGGCUUUAAGGUUAAAGGAGAAGAAGAUAAGGUAUACAAACUUAAUAAAGCUUUGUAUAGUCUGAGACAAGCUCCAAGGGAAUGGAACGAGAAGCUCAACAAAUUCCUUGGGAAGCUAAGUUUCACAAGAUGUUCAAAAGAGCCUGCCUUGUACCGCAAGCAAGAGGGAAAUUGUUGUCUUCUCGUAGUCGUAUACGUUGACGAUCUGCUAAUAACUGGUUCUGAUCAAGCCUUUAUACAAGUUUAGGAAGGAGAUGUCGAGUAAUUUUGAGAUGAGUGAUCUCGGGCUAUUGACUUACUACCUCGGAAUUGAAGAAUGUCAAGAGAAGGGAAGGAUAACAUUGAAUCAAAGAAGAUACGCAAACAAGAUUCUGAGUGAAGCAGGUAUGGCUGAGUGUAACGCUACACGCACUCCUAUGGAGUUUGGUCUGAAGGUACCAAAGUCAGCAGAAGAAGUGAGCAUUGACGAGAAAGACUUUAGACGUAAGAUCGGGUGCUUGCGCUAUCUACUCCGCACACGUCCAGACCUACCAUUCAGUGUAGGAUUGCUCAGUAGGUACAUGCACGAUCCUAAAACGUCACAUGGAGCAGCAUUGAAACAUGUCUUGAGAUACCUAAAAGGGACAACAUCGUUAGGCCUCGUAUACAAGCAAGGAAGCGCGACAUCACUUGAGGGGUUUAGUGAUUCAAGCCAUAACAUCGAUGAAGAUGAUGGUAGAGUUACUACAGGUCACAUAUUUUACCUGAAUGAUUGCCCAAUCACUUGGUGUUCUCAAAAGCAAGUGACUGUGGCAUUGUCAUCAUGUGAGGCUGAGUUUAUGGCUGCAACCGAAGCUGCAAAGUAAGCAAUAUGGCUUCAAAAACUCUUGGAAGACGUUACUGAAAAACCGAAUGAAAGAGUGGUGAUAUGGCUUGACAAAAAAUCAGCCAUAGCACUCACAAAGAAUCCCGUCUUUCAUGGUCGCAGCAAGCAUAUACACAAGCGUUAUCACUUUAUCCGAGAAUGCAUCGAGAACGAGCAAGUCGACGUCCAACAUGGAGCUGAACAAAAGACAAAUAUUCUAACUAAAGGUUUGGAAAGAAUCAAGUUCAAGGAAAUGAAAGAUGUUGUGGGAGUUCAAGACAUUGAUGAAGCUAACUUCAAGUUUAAAGGGGAGAAUGUUGGAGAUAAACAUGAAGUUAACUUAAAGAAGAAGUUACACUAAUCCUAAUGUGUUUAGGAAAGUUAGUUCCUAAGGGUUUAGGAAAGUUAGUUCCUAAGAGUUUAGGAAAUAUGGAAACAUUAAUCUCUAUAUAAAGUAUAUGCAAGAGUGUUCACAUAAGAGUUUUAGAGAUUGUGAUUGAGCACUUAAGUUUUGAGGAAGUUUUUUAAGAUAAUAAAGAAGAGUUUCUUUAUAUUGAGUUCUUAUACAAUCUUAGGCUUACAAAUAAACAUGGGAUAUCAAACAGACCCCCAAACACAACUAUUCUCUAAAGAAUCCUUACUAAUAAGAAAUGAGACAUUGCUCUGUCAGAGAAGAAACAGAUUGCCUUAAGAGACGAUUCUUCUCAUGCACCAACAACAUGAUGAGAGAAGUCUGCAAAGCCAAAACAAAGGGAUCAUAUAGGAGUUAUCCUAAUCACUAAAUGUUAGCAGCAUCAUAAACCUACCAGCAAGACUCCAAGAAGAGAGGAAACCAGAAUGGCCCGACAUUCAAUUAGACAUAUCUACAAUUCCAGUUCUCGUCGGAACCUACUCUUUUUAUUUCCUCCUUUGGGACCUCUUCAAUGAUGGGAGAGUCUUCCUUCGGGUGAAAAUAGUAUAUAUUGUCUCUGGCAGUUAACGGAGAGAGGUAAAAUGAGUAAAUCACUUCAUUGACUCUAAAGGUGAUGUCUUGCAAUUUUCUCAGAACCUAGAUAACAAUGAGAGUCCUCAAAGUCGGAAGAUUAAGUGGAGCACGAGAAAUUACAAAGUACACUGCAAUCUUGGCUAUCAGAUAAGGGAUUUAACUUCAAUAUUGUAUUUAUGUAAAAAAUAGGUUCCAUGAUACAAUGAGAUUUUUUUUUCUUUUUUUUCUCUUGGAUUUAACCUAGUUUACAUCGUUUGUCUCGAUCUAAUUUUUUAUAAAAUUGGAGCAAGUCAAUUCUCAAGUAGUACACCACGUGCCGAUUUCCAAGGAAACUCAGCCAUCACACUCCUUGGAAGACUGAAUGUUUUCUAAGUCUAAUAAUGAAGAUAGGUCUUGUAUACCUAAUAAGAUGCUUUUCUCGAAAGUCUUUUUGGCUUUUCUAUAUAUAUUGAUAGCCCUCUCCUCAUUUCUUUCUAUCAGAAAUCAGCUAGCUCGCUCUCUGAACUCUCUCUUGCUAUUUUCCUUUUUUGUAGCUACAUAUCAUCCGCUGCUUCCACGGUUUCAUUGAUUUCUACGAUAUAAUCAAGACCUAACCCUUGUUUUUCACAUCAAAAUGCCUUCAAUACAUUUUUCAUUUUUGGGGAAGGAAGUUAUUAAUGCUUUAGGAUGCUUGAAGUCUAAUAACCAACAUGAUCAUAAAAAUUCCAUCGUUUUCAAGUACAGAGCCGCUUCUGAUUCCUCACAUAUAUAUAUACUGGAGCUUGACCGUGCAGAUGCACGUGUGUUUAAUUUAAUAAAAUAAACAUAUAAUUUUUUUUUUACAAUACAAAAAUAUAAUGGUUGUACAAACAUACAUUCAUAUGGGUAUUUGUUCGAUUUGUAAUUAUGAUAAAUGGACUAUUUUUAUUCUGUGUAAUUUGAUGAUUUCUCAAUAUUGUGGUAGAAUACAAAACCAAUCAAAAAUAUAUUAUGUAACAUAUUUGUCAAUUUAUAUUUUUGACUAUAGUAAUCAUUUUGAUGUAUUUAUUUCUAAAUUAGAGUACCAAUUAUUAUGUUUUUAUAUAUUAAUAAAUCUAUAUUUUCAAAAUUAAAUGUAUCAUGUUUUAAUAAAAUAGAUAUAUAUGUCUAUAAAAUUUUUGUAUAUGCCAAAUAAAUUUCACUUCUAUUUUUAUUUUUUGAGAAACUAUUAAACUGAAAUUUAUUUGUUGUAUUCUUAUAAUUCAAAUUUAUAUGUGUGAAUUAUAUUAAUCAUCACAUUAUUUAAUAUAUAUUUUAAAAAUAAAUUUAUAUAUUUUAAUAAAAAUAUCUAUAGUUUAUAUUUUGUAUAUAAAAUAGAAUAAUGAUCUACAUGAAUAUAUAAAAUUUAAAGUUUGUAGAUACAUUUUAAAUAAAUUUGUUUAGUUUUACUGUAAAAUUUGGUUAGAGAAUAAUCCUGUUAGAAAAUAAUCGUAAGUUUCGUACUUUUGGUUAGAAAAUAAUUUAACAAAAGAAAUGAUUUGUAGUUAAUUAAUUAAGUUUGAAGUUAGGAUAGAGAAAAAUCUAACAAAAUAAAUGAUUUGUGGUCAAUUAAUUAAUAGUUAUUAAUUAAUUAAGGUGAUUGGUUGGGCUUUAUCUCCAUACUUUAGUUUUAUUUGCUUUUAAAUCACUAAAUUUUACCAGUUCUGUUGUAGCAUUAUUUUUAAAAGUUAAAGCAUACAUCAAGUUUUUAUUAAUUUUUACCAAUCAUGCUUUAACUUUAUUUUUAAAGCUACAGUAAAAAAAAAUAAGGCAAAUUUUUUUCAUAUGUAUUUUAGGCAUUGAAUCUGUAAAAUGAAAACAAUUAUCUAUAAUAUCAGAUAAACUAUAUAAUCAUAAUAUAAACUUUUAUAAAUAUUUUAAUUUUGAUUUUGGGUGUUUUUUAAAAUUAUUAAAAUAUUUAAAUAACAUAAAUAUUAUUUACAUAUCACAUUUUAAAUAACAAUAAACUUUGAUAAUAUAUAAAAUAUAUUAAUAUUAAUUAUUUUAAUUGAUAAAAAUAAUAAUUUUAUAUAUACAACACAUAUUUCACAUAUUUUUUUUAAAAAGAUCUAAAGCCUAUAGCUUACAGCUCUAACAAAUUCAACUACAGCAAAAGUCUCUUGAGAAAAAGUAUAUUGUAACAACUUGACAACUACAACCAAUUUAUCCACAUCUAAACUUCUACAGCUAAAUUUUUAAAGUCACAGUCGAACCAAUCAUCACUGUAGUUAUUAGAAUGAAAAUAUAUAUUUCUAAUACUUACUUCACUUUUAAUAAUAUAGAUAUAUAUUAAAAUAGAUAUUCUGAUUAUAUUGCAUGUAUGGAGGGCGUAACAAAGAUAUAAUAUUUAUUGAACAAAUGGACGAUCUCGUGUGGUUAAAAUGAUUGUUUCACAUAUUACGUCAUUUAUUUUUUUUGUUUUUACACUAUAGUAUAAAUAUAUAUAUUCAAAAUUGGAUUGUAAGUUACAACUGAUUUAUGAUAUGAUUAUUAAAUGAGUGAAAUAUGAGAACCAUGUAAUGAAAAACCUGCAAAAAAUAUGAUAAAUUAGUGAGAAAGACAUGAGAGAAAAAGAGAAAUUCAUAUAAAAUUUGGUGUUUUCUAGUUCAAAGAAAUUGGAGAGAAGUUGGAGAGUUUCAAAGUGAAAAACAUUACAUUUUUGUUGCGGCCAUUUAAGAAGAAGAGAGAGAGAAUAUAUAAAAUGUUUUUAUAUAAUGAGAUAAAAAUUUCAUUACCUGAAAGUCUUGUAAACCCUAAGUUUACUAUUCGUCCGAGAAGACUUACCAAGAAUCUUUCUACUGCAUUACAUGUUAAUUAGAAGUAAAACUAAAUAGCAACAAACACUUCAUUAAAUAUAUGAUCGAGUUAUAAAAUUGUUAAUAUAUACAAAACUAAACACAUAAAUGUCUAAUUGAAUUUUCUUAAAAAAAUUAAGCUUCUAAAAUCUAACUCUAAAAUAUAAACAAUACUACAACAUAUUUUACCAAACCUUAAACCAAAGACAUUAAUGACUUACAACCUAUAUUCACUCAUGUAUGUUGAAAAAAAAAUCAAUUUAGUAAAUCUAAAUAUUCAUCAUUAGAAAUGUUUAUAAUUACAUUAUUUCAAAAAUUUCUCCAUAAAAAUAUUUUUUUUUAAUUUAUAAAUUAUUUUUAAGAUCUAAUAUAUGAAAAAAAACCUUUCGAAAAUUCUUAUAAUGUAAGACUUACAAAACCACACAAGACUUCAUGUGGUUAUAUUCUUAAAAGUGCAUACAUGUUUUUUGUUUGGUCAUAAGAGGUUUAUUGUAAUUUCACUAGAUUUUUGAGUUACUUUAGCAUUUGAUUGAAUUUGUGAUAUACUUUUAUAUUUAAAAUUGAGUUUUAGGUCAUGCUUGGCAAUGUUCUCAAAAUUUUGUACUUUUAAGUCUUUUUCUUAGAGCACCAUUAUCGACAAAAUUUCUCAAUUUCAUAAUAUUAAUAUUUUAAUAUAAAUAAAUUGAUUGAUUAAAAUUUAUUAUCUAAAGCAAAUCCAAACCUCUAAUCUAUAUGCCAACACAUGCAAAAAGAGUUCUCAAGAAUAUUUAACAUAUUUUCUCUCCUCUCUCUUAUUUAUUAUAUUUAUUUUAGUUUUUGUAAUUAGUUAAAUAUUCAUUGGGUAUCUUCAAAGAAGGUGCUUUUAUAUGACUUGGUAUAUAAUUUUUUUCUUGUCACUGUAACUUGGUAUAUAAUAUUCAACAGUUUCCCGAGACGUGGUGACUACAUAUUUCAUGUUAAGUAUUUUCUUCGUAAGGCCAUGUCCAACGGUAAUAAAUAUCUAAACAAAUAAAACAAUGAUUUGAUUUGGUAAGAGCUGUGAUUUUAUUUUAUUUUUGCUAUAGAAAUAUUGCUGUGAUAUGUUUUGUUUUGACUCUAGAUUUUUAAUUUUAAAAGUCUUUAAACUUAGGCUAUAGGUAUUUGUCUUUUCAAAGCAAGUAUAAAGACAUGAAUUUUAAAAAGUGUUGUGGAUUUAAAAAAGAGCUGUGAACUUUAAAAAAAAAAUAGAAAUCAAGAUUAACAUAGAUUUAUGACUGUAAAUAUAAUUGUGGUUGUGGAAAGCAUCUACACCCAAUAUAAAACUCAAAAAGUAGAAGAGAGGUAAAAAAGUUUUAACAUCCCGUGUCUUCUUUUUGAGGUUACAAGAACCUUAAAACUAUAGAAACACUUGUCACCCUUAUAACCCCAGGGCUUAUAACUCACCAAUCUUGUUUAAAAAUUAAAUCUAAAUAAUUAAAAUUAAACAGACAAAAGUAAUAAUAUUUUAUUAUUCACUUCCUCAAUUGACCAUUUCUACCGUUGAGGUUGCCCUAAGCUUUUCAUUGAGGUUUACACUUACUGAAUUCAUUGAACAAUUAGGUAUUAUAGUCAGCUUAGCAAGAUAUUUUUCAUUAAUUUAUAUUCUUCUCAAAGUGAUUUAUUCAUUAUAUAAUUUUACAAACAUGACAGUGGAGCAAACCCACGACAAAGACAUGAUUAUCAUAGUACUGUCAAAACAUUGAAAUGGUAAAGUGAUGUCCAAACAUCCCUUCAGAAUUAGAUGACAAGUUUACACGAAAAAUACAUAUAAUUUUCUAUAUGAUAUAAAUUGUGACGUAUGAUAUGAUACCCAAAUCAAUGUCGUCCAUGAGAAUGUCCAACACCUGGGCUGUUGCCCGGAUUUGUCGACCUGAAGUCUGUGGGGUGGGUGAUGACCGCCUUUUGAAGAACACUACGUCGUGUAUAUGUGACCACAAUGCUAGAAUUCUCAGCCUCAGGAUUCAUAUAAGUUGACUCAAUCUCUAACGAAGUAAUUUUCAAAUGUCUCUCUUCUGUAUACUGAAUUCCAUGCAAAACAGCCAAUCCAAGGAAAAAUAUAAAUGUAGAAACAUGCUUGUUUGAAAUUGCCAUAGAGUCACGGACAAACGAGUAAAUAUAAGAAUGUGUAAGAAACAAAAAAAAAAAUAUUAAUGUUAGAUACACAAGAGCAUAAGAUGGAAACCAGAGGAAUGGGGUAUUCUGUAUUUAUAAAGGUAAUUAAAGAGUGAAGCUUUCAUUGCCUAGCAUUGUCUUAAAUGUGGAGAAAUUUUACUUCAAAUAGGGAAAUGAUGAUGUUUUAUGAUGUCUGAGUAUAUAAUGUGAUCCAGGUGAUUCAUACUUCCAUAUGUUUCCAACUGUGCAUUUCUGCUCUCAUAUGUAUACAUGGCCCAUGUAUUUACACGCUCAGGUUUUUGGUCCACAUGUACAGUGGAUUGAGGAAAAAAGCUAUUUAGAUCACGGCCAUAGUAUGCAAAGAUUCAGCUGGAUUGUCGACAAGAAGGGGGCUUGGCCGGCUUAGGGUAUGGGGCAAAGGGAUGUCGGUUCCGGGGCCCAAACAUUUUUUUAACCAAAAUAAUGUUAAAGAGGAGUUCAAAUUUUUAAAAAUAAUUAGGGAUAAAGGUCCCAAAAAUAUAUGCUGCCCAUAAAUGGAUGUAAAAAAAAUUAAAAAUUCUUUUGUCCAAGGAUCCAUAAAUACCUUGAGCCAGCCCCCUUACUGUGACAAACAUGAGAAUAAAACUGCAUAUCAUAAGACAAAUCUUUUAGAUCUGAUAUUUGAUUCUCCGAACGGGUUUCAUACAUAAGCAAAGGUUUCAUUAACGAUAUUUGAAUAUUUUAGGCAGUGUUUUGAAACCCAACCCGGACCCGCGGUUGAACCGGUAAACCCGGUGACCCAGAAAAAAUCCGGUUUGGGUUUUGUGAAAAGCCCAAUAUUUAAAAACCCGCAAAAAUCCGCAAAAACCCGGUAAAAUCCGAAACCCGGUACCGGUUGAACCAUCGGUCGAACCAAUAAAUAACUUUUUACUUUUGCUUUUCUAGUUUUUAAUUAUAUUUUUAGAUUAUGUUUUAUAUUUUAAACUUCCAAUUAAGAAGUUAUGUACUGACAAAAAAAAGGUUAGGUUUUCUUUUUCAGUUUUAUAUUUGUGUUUUUAUAUUUUGAUGAAGAUUUCACUAUGUCACCUAAAAAAAAUAAAGCGAACAAUGGUAGAGAGAACCAAAAUUAAUUGACAUGAUUUGGUGUUAGUUUAUUUUCGUUAUUGAUAAUUUAUUACAAUGAUCUGUUACUUUUGGUUUAUUUUAUAUUUGUAGUUUAAUUAUUAUUCACAUUAGGCAUCUAAAUAUUUAAAUAUUUAUAAAUUUUAUGUUUGGAUUUAUUUCAGAUGUCAUAACUCUUACGUUGUUAGGAAAAAUUUUAAAUAGUCUAACCUAUUUUUUGAUAUUUUGUAUGUCAAAUGAAAAUAAAAAUAUAAAAACUAAAGUUAAGUAUUUUCUAAAUAUUUUUAAACAUAAAAUAUAUAAAUAUCCAAACUAUUCUUUUAUGUUUUAAAAACAUUUAGAAAAUAUUAAACUUUAGUUUCUAUAUUUUUAUUUACAUAGCUGAUAUAUUAUUAUAUAAUAAAAUUAAUUCAUUUAUCAACCCGCGGUUCAUCCGCGGUCGAACCAGUGACCCAGCAAUCCGGUAAGUAGUCCGGUUCAGUGUCCUGGUCGGGUUUAAAAACAUUGAUUUUAGGUAAAUCCUUGCUUAUCCUAAGUUUUCUAUCUCCUAGUUUAAUCUUUGUCAGCGUUAAAUAAUUUUUAUAAAAUAAAAUUCAAAUUUAAUCAUUCCGAAAUCACAAACUCCAAAUUUAUUGUGGUUUAAAAGAAACUUGAUGUUUUUCUUGUCCCAUGUAUAGUAAUUAAUUAUUUUAAUUAAAUUAUACAUGAAAAUAAAUUUUUUAUUAAUAUUGUAGAUUUUAUUAUUUUACCAAUAUUUUAAUAUAUAUUUAAUUUUAAUUAAACAUAAAAUUAAGAUAAAAAUAUUUUUUCAAUUAUAAAUUAUACUAAAGAAUAUUUAUGUAUAUAUUAAAAUUACAAUCUUAGAUACAUUUUUUGGUUAAAUAUAUUAAAUCAACUUGUAUAAUAAAUUAAUAUAAUUAUUUAUAAUUAUCAAAAAUUAUAACUAAAUAUUAUUUAUAAAAUCUGUAGAUAUAUGAAGAAACUAAUUAUAUUACGAUUAAAAGUUUAUAAUUUUCUUAAAAAAUUGUAGAAUUGUUUUAAAAUUUUAGUAUAAAAAUUGUAUAAUUAUAAAAAAUAUAAUAAAAUAAUAUUUCAAAAAUUUUAAUGUCAUAUUUGAAUAUAUUUUUAAUGGUGAUAUAUGAGUUAUUACAAUAUUCUAAAAAGUUUACCAAAAAUAUAAAUUAACAAUAAAUGAAGUAAUUGUCUAUGUCAUAAGACAUGUCAUAUAUUUUAGUAGCCAUGUCAUAUUAUUUAAGAAAGUGAUUGUGAAAAGACGGGCGGCUAGGGCUUCUGUGGUGACUCCAAUGGCGAUUCUUCAGAUCACAAACUUCCAUUGAAGUUUUGAUCUUCAUCUGAUCGACACGGUCUUCGGCGUGUGGAUCACCCUGGCUAUAGAACGCUUCUCAUCACACGCUCCAUCUCGUUCGAUCUUACCUGGCGUAUUCCUCACGGCAGCAAAGGUUGAGAUUCUCAUUGGAGUCUCAAUCUCUUCUCCAUCAAGCGGAUCUGUGCGUUGCCGAUCUCUCUUGAUCUGCUCUCUGUGCAAUAUCAUUGACUCCGGUUCACUGCCGUGUGAUCACGUUCAUUGAUUUCGGUUCACUGUCGUGCAAUAUCAGAUCUUCACGUUCACUGACGUGUGAUCUUCAAGUUCGUUGACGUUCGUUGACGUGUGAUCGCUUGUUUACAUCUCCUCCUCGCUCUGAUCGCUCGCGGCUAUUACAUUCGGCUCGAUCAUACGAUAAUCGGAAGUUUCUACCGAACAUUUUGAAGCAGGAUCAUUGGUGCUCGAACCCCAUAUGGGAUCUUCGUACCGUUCAAAAUCAGCCCAUAUGGCUGAUAUCAAGGGCAAGGGAAUCCUCUAUGAGGAUGAUGAUGAACCGAUCAAGUUAACGGACCAUGAUGUCUCCCAAAACAUUAAUGAAUUCAAGCUGUCUCUGAUCGGAAAGAUCCUUAACCCGAAAAAACAAAGCGUGGAGAAACUCCUCCAGAAAAUGCCGGUUCAAUGGGGCAUGGAGGAUCCCAUCACUGCAAAUGACUUGGGAAAUAGAAAGUUUUUACUCAACUUUACCACCGAAGAGGAGCUAAACUCUGUUCUUCGACAGGGUCCGUUCCACUUCAACUUCUGUAUGUUUGUGCUGGUUCGAUGGGAGCCCAUUGUUCAUGAUGACUAUCCUUGGAUAAUACCAUUCUGGACUAGACUGAUUGGUGUACCUUUGCACCUAUGGACUGAGAACAACCUGAGAGAAAUAGGUUCCCGGCUGGGACAUGUUCAUCAGGACACAAUAGAGCUGAUUGAAGGCAGAAUGCUUUUAGAUUUUGACUCUCGUCAGCCACUAAAGUUUGCAAGGAAGGCUGAAUCUCCGGAGGGAGAUGAGGUUACGAUUGAAAUCAAGUACGAGAUGUUGUUUAAGCAUUGUUCUACUUGUGGUAUGCUUACACAUGAGAAGGAGUAUUGUCCUUUGAUACAGCGCCAAGGCGUCUUUGCGCGGGUUCAGCUGCAGGAGAAUAGGCCACAGCAGUUCUCAAAACCAUUGGUUAAGAAGGAACCUAAUGCGCUACACUCGAAAGCAUUGGUUGGUCCAAAUCUUAAGCAGUCUAGCUAUGCUACUGGGAGGCAUGCCAAUGAAGGGCGAAGCUAUGAUUUAAAUAACCCCCGUGAGGCUUAUAAGGGCCAUGCGGAUAGGGUUAUUCGCCGGCGGGAUGAACCGUCGUGGAGGAAGAAGUAUGGGGGUGCGCGAGAGGAGGCAAAGCCUUACGACAGGUACAUUGGUGCAACCUGGCGUGAGAUCUGCCUAUCCAGAGAAGAGGGUGGAAUUGGCUUCCGAUUGAUUCAUGAGUUUAAUCUGGCGCUUCUAGCUAAACAACUAUGGAGAUUAGUACAGUUUCCUGAUUCUCUGGUGGUCCGAGUCUUACGGGCCCAUCCUAUGUGUGGACUAGCAUUUCUGCUGCAAGAAAAUUGCUGCUACUGGGGAUUAGACAGAAGAUACACUCAGGCUAUGAGGUUAAGGUAUGGGAGGAUCCAUGGAUUCCAUCGAGUCCCGCCAGGCCAGCUGCCCCCAUAGCUCCUGUGAUGAACCCCAACAUGAGAGUAAGCGAUCUUAUUGACCAGGGAUUGAAGGAUUGGGAUGUGGGACUAUUGGAGAACUAUGUUCAUCCUGAGGAUAUACCGCUCAUAAGGAGUUUGGCCAUAAGCUCAACUCAUUGUCGAGAUACUUUCUGCUGGAACUUUACAAGGAGUGGCCAAUACACGGUUAAAUCUGGAUAUUGGGUGGCGCAGAAUUUAUUAAAGUUAACGGAGGAGAAGGAAGUUUUGGAGCCAAGUAUUACAAAGCUUCAGGCCUUUGCGUGGAAAUUGAAGGCCCCUACGAAAAUAUGUCAUCUUAUAUGGCAGUUGUUAACUGGUCAUGUGGCAGUAACGAGGAAUUUAGUUAGACGUAAUAUGAGGUGCGACAAUUAUUGCCCAAGAUGUGGAGAAGCAGAGGAGACUGUCACACAUGCAAUUUUUGAAUGCCCACUAGCUCGUCAAGUAUGGUCUUUAUCUUCAACUCCGACGUGCCCAAAUAUUUUUCCGGUACCGAGCGUCUACACAAACAUGGAUUAUCUGUUCUGGAGGAAAAAUAGUAUCAUGGAGCCAGACCAAGAUAGGGAUCCUUAUCCCUGGAUAAUAUGGUCCAUUUGGAAGACUAGAAAUGAAAAACUAUUCAGAGGAAUAGAUAGAGAUCCUCUAGAACUGGUUAGACAUGCUGAGAGUGAAUGCCAUGCAUGGUUUGAGGCUAAUGAAGUGGUACAAGCUGUGACACAAGACACUAUAAAUGAGGAGCCCCAAGCCGUAUGUUUGGGAAAUAUUUGUCUAUUAGAUGGAUCUUGGACACUUUCAGCUAACUUCAGUGGAUGUGGAUGGACAUGGAUAGAUAGUUCUGGGAAUAUUCAGCUUAUGGGGACAAAAAACUUCCCUCGACGGGAAUCGGCCUUGCAUUCGGAGGUAGAAGCACUGCGGUGGGCGAUGGAGAAUAUGCUGCAGCACUCGACCUGCCAGAGCUUUGGGACAGAUUGUAAGGAACUGAUUGCUAUGGUAAAGGAUCCCCAGGCGUGGCCAAGCUUUGCGACGGAAUUGGAGAGAAUAGAGACGCUAAAAAUCUGCUUCCCAGACUUUAACAUCACUUACGUUCCACGGGCGCAUAAUCAGACUGCAUAUUUUUUAACUAAGACUGCUAGAUCUUUCCGUAGAGAGUUACACUUUGUUGGUUGUUCUAUUCCGGUUUGGUUACCCAGACCACCUCAAGUUUGAGUAAUAGAAUAGCCUUUUGACGUCAAAAAAAAAAAAAAAAAGAAAGUGAUUGUGGAGAGGAGAAGUCUGGUAGGUCAAGAGAACCUUAAAGUUAAGCAUAGGUAUUUCUCUUCUUUUUUAUAAUGAUUUUUCAUCUUUUUCUCUCAUUUACAAAUCCAGAGCAAAACAUGGCAGAGAUCCUGAGAAACCCAAAAACCCUACCCAUCAAGAUACCUAUCUCUCUCUCUCCUCGCCGCACCGUCGCUUCACGCACAUGCCAUGCCAUCUAUUGUGCGCCACCGCAAGCUGACUCGCCUUCCGCCAGUCUUGCUAGCCACCACCACUGAGCCAAGGGCUUGGUUCAUGGUUUGCUGUGUAUCUUUGCCUUGUUCUUCUGAUCUAAUCUCAAGAUCUAUGUUAUGGUCAAAAUCGGUCACAACGGAAUCAAUGCUUGAAAUUCUUCGGAAAAUAAUUCUAAACACUUCUCGGAAAGUAAUAUUCGUAAAGAAAUCUCUACGAGAAACUUUGCGGUAAAAUCUUGCACUAAUCCCGGUUGAUCCAUCAAAACUAAACACCGAUAGUCCGAGAACACUUUCGCGAAACAUCGGAACAAGGUCGCUACAUAGCGACCGAACCAGCACGUUCGGUCGCUACAUGGCGACCGACCAGGCCUCUUGUUCGGUCGCUACGUAGCGACCGAACCAGCACGUUUGGUCGCUACGUAGCGACCGAACUGUCUCAGACAUCGAUCAACGGGCACAACCCAAAACCUUGCAUUCUCGUCAGUUCCUCAAUGCUAGUUCCCGAGUACCGUAGCCAUAUCCUUUUACAUUUCCGUCUAUUGGAGUUAUCACUUAAACUUUACGAUAAAAAUCGCGGAAAGUUUAUGUUUAUCGGUAAAAAUCCUAAUAAACGUUUCGAGUUGAAUGACGGCCCAAAUAGGUCUAAAACGCGAUUAGAAACCCACUUACGAUUUUUCAAGGAAAAACCCAUAGAUACUAUGGCGGUUUACACUUUAUCCGCAAAGAAAAGGAUAAAUGUCAAAUUUCCGCAGAUAAAUGUUAAGUUUCCGCGGAUAAUCACGAAGAUCGAGAAAAAUAGAAUAUCUCCAUUUCUAAGUUAUGACAUCUUAAGGGCAGGAAGGGAAAAUCUCAAACCAACCUUGGAGAGAGUAUAUAAGGAGUCCUAGGUGAGAGGCACAAAGUGAGAACUUUUUCAGAGCAAUUUUAGGCAACUUUUUGUUUUUGUUAUUCGAGCUGCGACUCAACUAGGUUUUGCAGUCUUAAGGUCUUAGAACUACGAAUCUCGCCGACAGCUCUCGUAGCCCAGGCUCUUACCUUGUUUUAACGCUCAAACGCGAAUUCGGAAUAAGAUCUAUUUUUCUCUCUUUUCGCUUUCUUAUUUUUCUCGUUUUUAUUUAGCAGAUAUCCAGGACCUCCUGCGAAAUUAGAGUUUUCCUAACUUUCUUAAUUUAAACGGAAAUCUAUAGUGCGAAUUUGGGUUCCCACAAUCUAGGUGGUUCGAAACUAGUGAGUUUUCUUCUCUUGAUCAUUUAUACGUUUUGAUGCUCAAUUAGGAUUGGUUGGUUUGAUUGUUGUUAGUUGAUGGAUCAAAAUAUAUGCUAAAUUAUUAGAUUCAUUUUUCAUGUUGCAUAAGAACACUCACACUAUUUAAAGAACUUAGUAGACUGUCUGGUGUUGAUGUCACCUUGUGAUAAGAACAAAAUGAUCUAGGUGGUUAGAUGGAUGAAAUGAACUGGAACUUGUGAGUGAUUGUGGUUCAAUUUAAUUUUUAUUCUGUGUGUGACAGCGAAAAUGGGUGGUAUGUAGAAUAAAGAUGAAAGUGAUAAUGAGAUGGAUGAUAAGAAUGAAUGUGUUAAAAGAAAUAUGAAAUGAGGAUGUUAAGUAUUCAGUCAACAAUGUUGGGGAGGCCAUUAAAGAACUGUAGGUGAUAUUAGGAGCAGGUAAAAUUGAGUCAUGCUGAGUCCGUGAAUAAGUGACUAUGAGAUGUGUUGUGGACAUAAGUAGAUCACAAGCGGGCCGUGUUGUCGAUAUAAAUAGGUUACAAGCGGGUAGUCACAUGAGGUCGAUGGGGUAGAUAUAAGGCUACCGGAAAAUUUGGUCUUAGAGGUCUAGGUUAUUUGCUUCUCAAUACUUGUGUUGAAUGUUGAUGUUUAUUAUGAAUGUUAGUGGUGUGUUGUUAAUCGAUUUAAUAUAUGCAGAUAGUAAUUUGUUGUUGUGCAUUGUCAUAUGGAGGCUCAUGGAGAGAAACUAGUAUAGAGUUGUUUAACUGAGUAAUUCAUUUACUUGUGUCUAUCUUUCUUUUCAUGCACUACAACGGUUUGAUAACAGAGACCUUUUGGUAAGUGAUAGAUUAGGAAAUAUGUAACAUCCCAUAUAUUGUACAAAUACCCUAAUGACUCCAAUGUAUAUAUAUACUUUACAAAAUAUAAUAUAUGAGGGCAAGGGUUUUAUCAAGUUACAUGGUAUCAGAGCCAAAUCUUAAUCUCCUAGCCGCCCUUCUUCUUCUUGUUCUUCCGUUGAUCUACGAUCACUUCUUCCUCUUACUCUCCCAAAACAUUUCUUCUGUUUCAUCAUGGCGCAAACAACUGACAAAGCAUUCGGUGUUACACACAUCAAGUCAUACAUUCCCGUGGUCCUAGACAUGCAAAAGAGGAACUAUGAUGCAUAGCGAGAACUGUUUGAGACCCACUGUCUAACGUUUGGUGUCUCCGGCCAUCUCGACGGGACUUCCCACCCUGCAAACGCCGAAGAUACACAAUCGAAGGAACAUGACGGCCUUGUGAAGAUGUGAAUCUACGAAACCAUCUCCUCUUCUCUCCUUGAUGCGGUAUUGAAGACUCGCUGCUCUGCUCGUGAUCUAUGGGUCACAAUCGAAAACCUUUUCCACGACAACAAAGAAGCACGAGCGAUCCAGCUUGAGUACGAGCAUCGUACUCUCACCAUUGGCGACAUGUAUGUCCACGACUACUGUCAAAAACUCAAGAACAUCACAGAUCUUCACGCCAAUGUAGAUUCCCAUGUUACUGAUCAUGAUGUUGUUAUGCACAUGUUGAAUGGUCUCUUAGAGAAGUUUGAUAACAUUCACAAUAUUAUAAAACAUAGAUCUCCAUUCCCAAGCUUCUCAGUGGCUCGCUCAAUGUUGCUUAUGGAGGAAGAUUGCAUCAGCAAGCACACCAAGAGCUCCACACCUCAAGUCCUUCAUGCUGCUACAACGCAAGCCGAUGCUCCAUCCUCUCAACAUAUCAACAAUCGCGGAGCUCAGCAACAACAACAAUAUUAUGAGGGGAACUAUCAGGGUAACUAUCGCAACAAUCAAAACAGAGGCUGUGGCAGAGGACGAAAUAACAACUAUCGUGAAUGUGGCCACAAUAACUGGAACAACAACCAAUCUGGUAGGGUGCAACAACCUUCGGCAUGGCAAUCACAACCACCUUAGUAGUACUGGCAACAGCAGAACUGGCAACAAAACUAGCAACAAUGGCGCCCUGGUACAAUGGCAUAUUAAGUCACUUCAAAUCCAUCUUCUAGCGCUGGCAUACUUGGUCCUUUCCAGCAGAGUGCAAACAAUCAGCCACUGAUGCCAACUACCGUUCCGCUGAACCUUGCUCAGGCUUUUGGCACAAUGACUCUGCAAGAACCUCAGGACUCCGGAGCCACGGCCCACGUCACGUCUCAACCAAGUACCCUAUGUUCUCAUUUUAAUUCGAGCAACACGCCUUCUAUUCUCGUCGAUAAUGGUACCUCUCUUCCUACUUAUGCCAUUGGUUUCUAUUCCAUUUCCACCAUAAAAUGCCCUUUGCAUCUUAAUAACAUUCUUGUCUGUCCUUCCAUCAUCAAAAUCUUAUCUAUGUUUGUCAAUUUGCUAAAGACAAUUGGGUUUCGAUUGAAUUUGAUCAUUUUGGUUUUUUUGGUUAAGGACUUGACGACUCAAACACCAAUCUCCGAUGUAACAGCCUCGGACCUCUCUACUCCAUUGACGCCAGGGUUGCAAUAUCUUCUUCUCCGCAAGCUUUUCUUUCUUCUACUGCAAGCUCCACGGUGUGGAAUCGUCGUCUUGGCCACCCCGGUAAUAAUGUCUUGCAAUCUCUUUUAUCUUCUGAUUUAAUUCAAUUUUCAAAAACAGAUCAUUCUUUAUGUCAUGCUUGUCAACUUGGGAAACACAUCAAACUUCCUUUUGAUCCAGUUAUAUCAGAUGUUUUUUUGAACCUUUUCAAAUAAUUCAUUCAGAUGUUUGGACCUUUCCGGUUCCCAGCAUCGGUGGCAAAAAAUACUAUGCCAUCUUUCUUGAUCAUUACAGCCAUUACGUAUGAGUUUAUCCACUGAAAAAGAAAUCAGAAUUUUUCUCAGCUUAUAUGCAAAACAAAUUUGGCUGCAAAAUCAAAUCACUUCAAUGUGACAAUAGUGAUAAGUAUAACAAUAGCCAAUUUCUAAACUUCUUCUCCUCAAAUGGAAUUACUCAUCGCUUUUCUUGUCCCCACACUUCUCAACAAAAUGGCAAGGCUUUAUCUUUUUUUCAUUCAAAAAAAAAUGGCAAGGCUGAGCUCACUCUACGUACAUUAAACAAUUUUGUGUGAUCUCUUCUCUUUCAAGACAACUUGCCUCCGGUUUAUUGGGUAGAAGCUCUUAACAUCGCAGCUCAUCUCUUCAAUCUUCUUCCAUCUACAGCCAUCAAAAAUGAAAUACUUUUCACCAAACUCUUUCAUAAACCCGUUUGCUAUAACCACCUUCGAUUGUUUGGCUGUCUAUGCUAUCCAAAUCUCACAUCGAUAGCACAACACAAGUUUUCUCCUCGUUCCACAGCUUGUGUUUUUCUCGGUUUUCCUAUUUCUCAUAAGGGAUAUCGAUGUCUAGACUUAAUCACUCAUAAGGUAAUCAUCUCUCGUCAAGUCAUUUUUGACGAAAACUCCUUUCAUUUCUCCACAAACAAACCAUCUUCUUUCGAAACUCAGUCUCAUGAUAUCUCACCUCCAUUCUCUUCCCCUCUGUUCCGUGAGAUUAUCACAACUUCACCCAACUCCGAUCCCAAACACAUGUCAACCACCACCUCUGAAUAACCCUCCUGCAGUUCCACCUACAACUCAUCGUAUGGUGACUCGCAGUCAACAAGAAAUUUUCAAACCUCGCCAACCUCUCUCUCUCUCUCUCUCUCUCUCUCUCUCUCUCUCUCUCUCUCUCUCUUACAGCUAAAGAAAUUUCACCAUUACCUACUUCUUAUCUUCAAGCUCUUGAGGACCCUAAAUAGCGAGAAUCUAUGCAUGAAGAGUAUGAUGCUCAGAUUAAAAAGGGAACAUGGUCGCUGGUUCCCAGACAAAAUAAUGUUAAUGUUAUGCAUUCAAUGUGGAUUCAUAGGUACAAGUAUGACUCGGAAGGCAAUCUAGUCCGUUACAAAUCAUGUUUGGUGGCUAACGUCAGAUCACAACAACCCGGCAUCGAUUGCGACGAGACUUUCAGUCCUGUGGUUUAGGCAGCAACCAUAAGACUUGUACUCGACAUCGCUCUAUCCAAAAACUAGCCGCUCCACCAACUAGACGUCAAGAAUGCCUUCCUCAACGGUGAUCUUCAAGAAACUGUCUACAUGCAUCAGCUGUUAGGUUUCAAAGAAGAAACAAAGCAGAUCAUGUCUGCUUGUUACAUAAAGCGCUCUAAGGCCUUAAACAAGCCUUGCGCAUGGUACCAGCGAUUUGUCACUUUUGCUACACGAGUGGGUUUCAAACAGAGUAACUACGACUUCUCUCUCUUCAUUCACCACAGCCGCUCCGGAAUCGCAUAUCUUCUACUCUAUGUCCACGAUGUUUUCCUCACUGCUUCCUCUAUAGCUCUUCGUGACUCCAUUAUUGCAUCUCUCAACGCAGAAUUCGCCAUGACAGAUCUCGAAAAGCUUCAUUAUUUCCUUGGCAUCACGAUCAAAUACAACAAUGCUGGUCUGUUUCUGCAACAAAAGACAUAUGCCAUGGAGAUUCAACAAAGAGCAAACUUGUCAGAAUGCAACUCUUGCACCACUCCAGCGGAUGCUAGAGGAAAACUCUCCGACGAAGGAAGCCCACCGAUGUCAGAUCCUACACUCUAUCGAAGUCUUGCCGGUGCUCUCCAAUAUCUUACCUUCACUAGACCCGAUAUCGCUUUCGCUGUUCAACAAGUGUGCCUCUUCAUGCAUGGACCAUUGGCGUCUCAUUACAAUGCUUUAAAGCGCAUACUGCGCUACGUCAAAGGGACACUGGACCACAGUCUGCAACUCACGCCCAACACGUCUGACACGCUCACCGCCUGCUCUGACGCCGAUUGGGCAUUAUGUCUAAACACGCAACGGUCAACCUCAGGCUACUGCAUCUUCCAUGGAGACAACCUCAUCUCCUGGUCUUUUAAACUCCAGCAAACCGUUCAAGCGCAGAGGCAGAAUAUUGUGGCGUUGCAAAUGCCGUCUUUGAAGUUACGUGGAUCAGAAACUUGAUGCUCGAGCUAUACUGUCCAUUGCGAACCGCAACAAUAGUCUACUGCGACAACGUCAGUGUCGUCUAUCUCUCCACCAAUCCAGUUUAACAUCAACGCACGAAGCACGUCGAGAUAGACAUUCACUUUGUUCGCGAACGCAUAGCCAUUGGUCACGUUCGAGUCAUACACGUACCUUCUUCAAGCUAAUAUGCAGAUAUUUUCUUGGACUUCAAAUCCAGUCUUCGCGUCUCCAAAGCUCCGGCUUCGACUGCGGUGAAGUGAUAGAUUAAGAAAUAUGUAACAUUCUAUAUAUUGUACAAAUACCUAAUGACUCCAGUGUAUAUAUACUUUACAAAAUGUAAUAUAUGAGGGCAAGGGUUUUACCAAGUUACAGUUAGAAUUCUGUCGGUAAUUAUCUACAGAUUUCUUAUGGCCGCCGGGAUGCCUAUUAUCGACGGUUACCUGUCGGGAAUUCCUUGGAAAUUAUUGACGGAUUUGUGUCAGUCGGGCUUGCCAUCAAAAAUUGCCUUGUUUUCUUGUAGUGAUGUUUGUGUGAUAGAAGUAGAAACACGUAUAAGAUUUCUGGGACCAUUGGCAUAACAUGAUGGCUUACCUUACGGCAUAUACACAUGUCCUUAACCCCUCACCUUCGGGCAUGCGUAGAGGCUGGUGUUACACAAAUCGGUCAUCCUAACAUAUCAAACUUUCAAAUCAAUACGACCAGGAGGCAAGACGCAAUAGAGACAACACAGAAAAAUAAGGGUAAUUCAUAAAUUGUUUUACGUAAAUUGCUAAAUUCUUCUAUCAUAUUUUCACGAGUAUGUACCUAAAUUCAUUCAAAAUCAAAUCAGUGCUAAUUUCUAUUAGUACUCUUUUAUUCAGCCACCUGAUUUUAUGAAGUACUCACCGAUUAAAGAGAGGGUCGGAAAAGAAAAGGUUAUUGAUAUUUAAGUAGAAAGAACAUGAUAGUGUAAAUGCAUAUCAGACUUUCAAAUCAAGCUGAGCAGUAGCAUUCAUGCGUAAGAUGGAUCACCUUCCACUAUGGCUUGUCCCCGAAAGUACUAUACAUGCUAGGUUCCCUAGUCCAUGGCCUACUCUUUGCUUUUUGGGAUUAUAUAUGAUAUCGUUAUCAAUGUAUUCAACUAGGGAAAUGAGUACAAUUUCCUAGGGCAUUUGCAAUCGACAAGUUUAAUUGUCAUAUAUUGCUCGCCCAAUUUGUUUUUUUUUUUAAAUAACUUAUGAUUCACUUUGCAAAAUUGUGAAAAAAUUAAUUGUUAAAUAAUGAAAAUGAUAUUGUAUUUUCAAACCUGGUCACGAUUUUAAUGUAAUGUUAAAAAAAAAAAAAUUUUAAUUCGUCGACUAUUUGUAACAGAUAAAUUUAUUCUCAACUAUUAUUAUGCAUAAAAUACCCUCCAGUUAGAAAUAAAUGCACAGCGUUGUGAUAAAAACAUAAUUUCACGGAUCCUAAAGAUGAGCAAAGAUUUUUCUUUAUUAUUUUUCAAUGUAACAAAGAUUUUUUAGUUGAUUGUUUAACUUCUUGGAGAGUAAUCUAAAACAAAAGUUUAGUUGCUGUUUUUUUGAGAAAUAUUUUAGUUUGUUUGAUUGUUUAAUUGAAAAGAGUCAUAUAACCAUGAUUUUUGUUAUUUUGUUGUUGAUUUUUUACUUCAUCAAGAAUCACCUCAAACAAGAUUUUUGUUAUUUUGUUGUUUGUGACUUAAAUUAAAAUCUUAAGCAACAAAACAAUUAAAAUCUUGUUUGAGUUGAUUCUUGAUGAAGUGAAAAAUCAACAAGAUAUCAAACAACAAAACAACAAAAAUCUUUUUUAAAUGAUUCUCCUUAAAAUUAAAUAAUCAACCAAAUUCGUUUUGUCAAAAAAAGAAAACAUUUUCGAACAACAAAACAAUUAAAAUUAUGUUUUGAGAUUACUCUAGAAUUAAAUAAUCAACCAAAAAUCAAAUAACAAAACAACUAAAAUCCUAUUUCAGAUAACUCUCCAUGUAUGCCCCUCGAUUUCUUAAUUUUGUGAAACAUUAAAAACAUGAAGUUAUGUUAUGUAUUGAUUUUUAGAUUUUAGACUGAAAAAUGUGACGUUAUGUAUCAACUUCCCUGUUGCUGAAAAAAUUGAAACAAAAAUUGUCUCGAUAUCUCCACAUCUAGGAAAUUAUGUUUUAAUUAGAUUGUUGUCCAUGUAUCUCUAAGUUGAAGAAUUGUAUGCAUAAUAAGCGGGUGUUAGUGGGAGUGACAUUUAUAAUAAUAUUAGAAUUUAAAGAAGGGAAAAUUUGGAGAAGUACACUUAGAUAUGAUAUUAAUUUGAAAACUACACCAUUGUUUAAGUUUUUAGAAAAAUACACUUUGAUAUAUAUAAAUUUACUUAAUUGCCCAAUUUCAAUAUUUCUUAAUUAUUUAUCAUCAUAAUUAUUUUAUCCUCAAAAUAACGGUUUUAACAAACAGAUGUUUUCAAAAAAAAAUCUUUAGAAUAUCCAAACAAUAUUCUUUUUGAUAUAUUAUAAACAUUUUAUAUUUCUGAAAAAAAACCUUCGAGACAAGUCAACGUCUCGUUUUCUUCUUCUCUUUAUCUUCCCCUCCAUGUAUGAAAGAACUUUUUUUUUCUCUGAUCUCAUCAGGGGUUUGUUAAUUCAUAAAUUAAAUUUAUGUUUCUAUUUUAUUUCAAAUAGUUUUUCUUUUAGGAAAAUCAUACUGCAUAUAACUGGAGUUUUUGGAGAGAGGAAGGUGAAUAAAGAAUCAUGGAAUUUCAGGUUGAAUACAAAAAAAAGAGGAAAAUUAUAUAACAUUAAAAAAGGUUUGAAGUUUGAAGAUAUGGUUCAGAUGGUUCAUGAAGAUUUUGGUAUAGAUAGGUUGGGUAAUGAUUUAGAACGUCUCAACUAUGAGUUUUGGUGAUACAACGCUAACGCUAGUCUAUACAAAAUCGUAUUAGUGCAGAACGUCUCGAACUGUUGGCUUAGGUCGACUCUUGCUGGUCACACCCGAUAAGUCAACAGUAUGACUAUUUCACUUGAUGCUUCUCUCUGCGCGAGUAGAAGCAAAGACAAUUGUGGUUUUGCUGUGUGAUUUGGCUGAGUGGAGGCAAGUAGGAAACCUGUGUUUUUUUUGUCUAUGAACUUCCGAAAGAGAAUUCAAAGCAAGACAUGAGAAUUCCAUAACAUAUAAGAGAAAAAAAAGAUGCUUCAGAUAUUGGCAGAAUGGACUCCGCUUUUCAAGAAAGCCUGGUGAUGAACAGAUCAAUAAGUUCUGGAGAGAUAGAUGUUCUUCCAUAGGGCUGGGCAAAUAAACCUAACCCGAUCCGAUAAAAAUGAAUCCGAACCGAUCGGAACCCGACAUAAAUACCGAAUGGAUCUUGUUUUAUGGUAUUUCGGGUUAUGAGUAUAUCCGAACCGAACCCGAAAUUAAAUGGAUAUCCGAUAGAACCCGAAACAUUCAAAAUGCCAAAAAAGAACUUGUACCAAACAUGAUCUCAAUUCCUGAUAUGUAGCCAAAAUACACUAAGAUAUUAUUAAACAUCUACAAUAACUAUCUACUACAUGAAGGUUGAUGGUUGAAAGUGGCGGUUGAGGCUUGAAAUUUCUAGAUUUUGGUUUUAUUUUCAUUGAAUAAUUUUUUUCAUUUCAUGAGAACUUAAUUUUUCGUUUUAUGAUUUCAUUUAUUGGUUUUCUUUCUAUCAAUAACAACGUAUACCUUUGAAGAACUCCACUUUUGUUCAAGUUCGACGUAAGUGUCGUUUAUGCGGCUUGAUGGACUAUGAAUUGCUGGAGUUAGUUUCCUUUUUUCUCAGCCUUUUGCUGUAAUGUUUGUAGAAUGGUACCAUGAAGAUGCAUAGAUAUGGCUGUAUAAGCAGGAAACUUUCCAAAACAUCAUUGUUUAAACAUGAUGUUGCUUCCUCCACAAGACACUGCUUAUUUCCUCCCAAUGCAAAUUAAUAACAACAAGAUAAAUGACUACAACAUGUUACUUUCGUAUGUUGCUAUGGAAAUUUAAAUGAUUUUUGUUUCCAUGAUUAUAGUUUCAAUAUAAUUCUAACGUUCUGUUAUUAUAUCAUAUCCUUAUCUUGUAAAAUUUUAAAUGGUAAAAUAAAAUAUUUAUCUCAACAUACAUAUUUAUCUUAAACAUAAAUAAUUAUAAUAAUAUUAUUUUUAUUAAUUUCGAAUUUAUAUUUCAAUUAAUGAAUUCUAAUCUGGGUAAAAAUGUCAAUUCAUAUUUAGGAAAGUGUAGUUUUCAAAAAAUAAAAUAGAUGGUGUACUUUUCAAAUUUCAAACUAUUAAUGGAGUAAUUUAUAAAUUAUCCCUUUAAAGAAUCUAGUGCUAUUGAUUUAUAAAUUCUCAUAUUUUUACUAAAAUUUAGUGUUAUUAGACUGAUGAUUUUAUAAUUAUAUACAAAAUCAUUUGUAAUUCAAAAAAUUUGAGUUUUAAAGAUUAUAUAAAUCUAUCAAAGUUAGUGUUAUUGAAAGUUGUAUUUUUAACUAUUGAACUCAUAUAACAAGAUUUUGAGAAUACUACAUAUAUCCCUUGGAUUCUUAAAAUCAUUAUGGUAAUUUAUUUUUCUAGAUUUCAAAACAUACAAAAUUUUCUCCAACUCUUUCCAAAUUCAACAAAUCUCUAAACUUUUAAAAUCAACAAACUCUAUAUAAACUUUUCUCCCACUAACACCCUCUAAUAGUUGGGGAAAAAAUUGUCGACUGAAAAUAAUUGAGGACAAAACACAUCAAAUAAGUUCUGUUUUGGAUAAAAACCCCUUAACUAAGUAUUUAAUAAAAAAAUCUCGAACUCAUUUUAGUUAACGAAUUAGACCCUUGAACUACAAUAUCGGUAAAACAAAUAGGUGCUACCGUUAAAUUUUUAGUUUAUGGGUUUUUACCCUAACAAAACUUAGUUGAAAGGUUUCUGCGUUGAAAACAAAAAAAAUAAAAAUUGUUAAAUUUGAGUAAUUCAAAUUUAAAAAAUUAGAACUUCAUAAUUAAUAAAAAAAACUUAUAUUUGUGUUUUUAAUCCACGCUACAUAUGUAUAAAUUAUAUGUCUUGGGAUUUUAACCGAACACAAUGUCGUAUAUAUAAAUAUCGUAGUGAAGAUUAAUAUAUGCUCCUGAAACCCAAAAUAAAUGUGUACCUAAGAAGAUAUUGUGAUACCUUUCCCAGUCUCACCUGAAAAAAGGGAACAAAAGAGGUGAGUAUUAGGAAAAUCGUUGCUAAGCUCGUAAGUCAGUGAACUAGGAUUUAGCGCACCGAAUAGAUAUAAGUUAAUGUUUAUAUGUAACAAACACGACACCUAGUUGUGCAAGGAGUGCUCUCUCACCCCCAAAUCCCCAAUAGAGGAUUCAAGUAUGUGAUUCAUGCCCACAACAUCGACCUUAAGGUUAAUCACUAUCUUCUUUUUAUUUGAUGGUCUUCAUGGUGGUAUAUUGAUGGGCAUAUGCACCGAAGAUACUUUGCAUUCUUGUUUCUUUUCUUAAUUUCACUAAGACAUUUCAUUUCAAUUCAUUUGUUUUGGACUUUUAGGGUAUAGUUUUAAGCCCCCUUCAUAUAUUUAUGCAUAAGAGUUCGAGUUCGAUUUUGAUUUAAAAAAGCACUAGAUUUUGACCCGCGCUUUCAAAGCGCGGGAUCGUUACUUUUGUAAAAUUUCAUUUAAAUUAAUAAAUAUUUGUCUAAUCUAUAUUUUAAUAGUUUUUUUAUUUGUUUAUAGUCAAUUUUUAUAAUAUUGUCUUCUUUAUUUUAUUUUUAUUAUUAAAAAUAAAAAUGUUUGUUUGUGAACUAAUUAAUUAGUUAAAAUAUUUUAAAAAGGUAAACAUCUACUCAAUAAAUUUAAUCAUAUUGUGAUGAUAUAUUUGGUAAGGUUAUUUAUUUAUAAUUUUAACUUAUUAAAUAAAUAUUAUAUGAAAAAUGUAAUAGACAUUUCAUUUUUCAUUCUACAUAUUUUUAAUUCAUGCAUAAUUUUUAAAUUAUAAUAACAGAAAUAUUUAAUAAUUAUUAUGUAUUUAAAUUGUCUUAUACAUAGUUGGUUUUAAAAGAAAACACUGUUGGGCUUUGGUUUAUUUAGGAUUUGUUUUUUGUCAGAUAAAAUGGGCUAGAAUUGCCCAAAGAGAGCAACAAAUCUGUUAUGUCAAAAUCUAUGUUUUUGUGGCCGUUUGGUUAAAAAAAAAAACAGAAAAGGGAAAGUAGAAAAAAAAUAUUUCUCGAUCCAAUUUUUCUUUGAGGAAUCGACGACACGCUAGAACUGAAAUAGAGAAUCGAUGAGAGAAUCAGUGGGUAGAUCUAUCGAUCUUGAUGGAUAGGGCGUUGGUGAAGAUUGAAACUGUUGAUUGGUGAAUGUUUCUCAUGAAUCGGGUAUUAAUCAUAAGUAAACCAUAAAUUUCGAUUUGAUUUCCUUUCCUCUUGGCAUAAUAAUUGUUUUAUUCUGCAGGUUCAAAGAAGAAGAAGAUGAAAUGGGUAAUUUGCUUACAAUUGAAAAGGGAAUUGAAUGUCAACUUAAUGGGCUUAAAAAACACGAAAAUGUAAGUAUGUAUUAGUUGGGCUUUUCAUUUUUGAAAAAAAGAAUUGAAUGUUUUGUAAUUAAUAAGAAAAUUCAGGGGCAUAUUCAUAAGAAGUAUUCUGCUUUAAUAGUAUAGAUGUAAUUUAAAAACAAUUAGAUUUUGACACGCACAAAGCGCGGGUUUUAUGGAUUAUAUACGAAGUUAGAUAUGAGAUAGUAUUUUGAGUAUAUUGUGUAUUAUUAUGUUAUAAAGUCGUAUUAUAUCGAAUACAAAAAUUUGUUUAAAACUAUAUAUAACUUAUGAAUAAGUUUAUUUGAGACUUUUUAUAUACACUCUUAUGUAACUCUUUCUUAAGUAUGAAAAUUUUACCCAAAUUUGAUAAACGAACUAAACCAAUACGAAAUACAGGUUGAGGUUCGGGAUUGGGAAAAUGUACCUAUUAGAUUUUUUUGGACAUGCGGUCUCUGUUGUACUCCGGGUACCCAAAGUACCCAGAAUGUUUUGUUCAUAUUAUGUAUAUUUGAGUAAUUCAUAUAUGCUCUCAGUAUAAAAAUAUUAUUGUAAAUUUUGGAAUCGCGUUUUAUGUUAUAGUUUCAGGUUUAGGGUAAAAUUUCAAAUUUUAAAAAUAUAUUUAAAAUAUUGGAUAUUUUUGGUUCUCGGGUAAGAUUUUGGCCUUUUAGAUAUUUAGUUAUUUCUGGUAUUUGUUUGAUGUUGGGUAUUUUUGUGUUCUGAUUUUUUGGCUUUUCAGAUUCUUUAGAUCUUUUUGUCCUAAAUACUCGAACCGAGCUAGACUCAUUACGUAGCCAAAUUACAUAGUAAAUUUUACAGAUACUUGAAUUAUUGACUCAAACUGACCUGAAACUAAAAGGAACUGAUAUGAAGAAAAAAAAUUGAAAUACAUAGUUGGAUAUAAAUGCCUAAGACCCAAAGAACAUGUACCUCAAAGAAACCGAUUUAUAUUUGACCCGAAGACCCAAAUGCCCAAAUCUAACCUUUCAUUAUAUUUUUGUACAUUUUAUAAAAGUUACAGUUGUUCCGUUGGUGAAACUUAAGAUUUAGUUGAGAGAUUUUUGGCUAAUUUAAUAGUAUAGAUUUGUAGGUUUUUUGUUGAGCAGUAAAAAAAAGAUUUGUUGGGUUUUUGAUAAUUUUAAACUUAUCUUAAAUACUAAAUUAUUAUUUAUCAAUAAAAUAAAAUUAACAUAAUGUAUAAUUUUUAAACUUAUUUUAAUUAUAAAGUUAAUGAGACAUAUUUAGAGAAGAAUAUAAUAAAGUGUACAUGAUAUUAUAUUUUCGUGAACCAAAUUUAUGUGGUCGUAUAUAUAUGGUAUAAUCUUUUCGUUUCCAAAAAGAUAUGGGUACAAUAAAUAAAAGCUUUGACUAAAUAAUUGUUAGACAAAUUUAAGGUAACAUAUUUUUUGUCCAAAUAAAAAAAAAGACCAAAAUAUUAUUAGUUAAUGAAAGGGUCCAAACAACCUUUUUAAGUAGAUUUAUUAAACCUUCUUCCUUUUUAAUAGUAUUGAUAUCAAACUAUAUUGUAUCUAGUGUUGAUUUGAAGCAAAUCUAACUCAUCUAUUUGCGUAAUUUGUUUGAAGUGCUAAGAGCAUCUCCAAAAAGAAACUCUAUUUUGAAGUUUCCAAAACUCUAUAUUGAAAUUUAAAGGUGUUCGUUCUUCUGCAAAAGCAAAACUUCAAACUCAACUUCUAAAUUAUUUGUAUUUCAUAAUAUGGUCCUUAUAUUUAUCAUAACUAAUUUGAAUUCUUAAAACUUUUGUAAAUAACUAGUAAAUAUAUAAACAUAUUACAAAAAUAUUAAUUAAUAAAUUAUUCUAUUAAAAUAUAAAGUUUAAAUAAAAAUAACUUAAUUAAUAUUGAACUUCAAACAAAAUACCAUAUUAUUCCAUAAAAUGAUUUUUGUAAUGCAUAUAUGAUAUAUUAGUGCAUUGCGAAUUAAAAAUGGCUCUCCUCAUUUCUACUUUGUAGAUUACGAGCUAAAAGUUGUUAAAAUCGGGUGAUAUUGAUACUUGUAAAUACAUUAGAUUAGAACAAGAAAAUAAAAGAGAAACAUAAAAUAUUGCUAAAAGACUAAUUUCUUUUUGAUGAUAUUAAUACUCGUAAAUAUAUUCGACAUGAACAAGAAAGAAUUGUACGAAAAAUACAUCAAAACAACAACAGCAACUAUCAUAAGUUACACAAACAAUUUGGACAGUAUUUAAAAUUUUUUAAGGUUCCAGAUCAAACUUACCUAAAUAUUAGGGUUGUUGUAAUAUUUAAAUUUGUGUAAUAGUUAUGUUUUCAUGUAAUUUUUUUGUAAAAAAAUUGUUAAGCUUUUUUGUAUAUUAUUGUUGUCUAAAUCUAGUUUAAAAUAUUUCAAAUCUUAUUUUAAAGUUUUAUUAAUUUUAUGUGUAAAAUUUAAAAUCUGUAAAAAAAAUUAAAAUAUCUAUGAGAUAUAUUUAAAAAAAAAUUAAAACAAUAAAUGAGGAAAUUUUUAUGAAUCAUAAAAGUGAUGUGUGAUUGUAGAGACCAGCAAAUAAAAAUAUGAAACUUCAAAUUUGAAAUUUUGAGUAAUGAAACUUUAAAUAUAGAGUUUCACUCUUCAAAACUUUAAAUUUGAAGUUUUGAAGUUCCUUUUUGGAGAACAAAAAAUUUCAUAUUUGAAGUUAUAGAGUAUCUUUUGGAGAUGCUCUGAUAUUGUAAAUUUGAAUUAUUCAAAUUUUACAUAAUUUUUACUUUUAUUUUUUUUUUUGGUUUUUAAUGCAAAACCCUUCACCUAAUUUUGGUUAGGAUAAAACCCUCUAAACUAAAGAUUUAUCGGUACUGCAGAUUGAGUGUCUACUUCGUUAAACAAAGUGAGUUCAAGGAUUUUUACGUUAAAUACAUAGUAUAGAGGUUUUUAUCCGAAACAAAUUAAGUUGGGAGUUUUUAUUAUUAAAAAUCCUAAAAAGUAUAUGAAAACUCUAACAAUCAAAUGGCCGAAAGAGGAACAGAAAAAAGAUUUUGCAAACAAAAUGAAGAUAGAAUAAUAUGAGUUCUCUCAUUGAGAUUGAAACUGUUUUUAUACAACACGAUCUGAAAUUUUGAAAACACAUGAUCUUUCUUUUUUUGUCUACAUAAUCUCUGCAUCGCCUCUCUAUCUCUAUAUAAUAUCUAUGUAGCUCACUCUCUCUCUUUCUCUAAGUCUCGGGAGAAAAAGUGAGUUCCAAGUAAUGAUGAUUUGUUUGUUACCCCUUUCAUGCUUGUUUGGUUCAUAUGUGUAUUUAUGUUUUUAUCUUUCUGAUGCAGAGCAGAGAUGACAAGAAGAACAAAAUAAAAUAAGCAGUGAAAAGGUUCCGACAGAGGAGGAGGUUUUGACUGAGGAAGAGAAGGAAAUUCCGACUGAGGAGGAGGUCUCUGCGAGAAACAUAAGUUCCAAGUGUUUAUGAUUUCUUUGUUAUUCUCUCGUGCUUGUUUUAGGUCUCUCGUGCAUGUGUAUUUAUGUUUCUUUUCUUUUGGAUGCAGAUACAAAAAUAUGAACAAAAUUCAUGAAGUAAAGGAAGAGGAGGAGGAGUUGUUUCUAAACAUGAUAAAUUUACCUUCCCCGUUAUGACUUAGUAUCUCUCACGUCUUAUAAGUCACGGAUAUGAUCACUCAGGCUUGCUCUUGGCCUUGGCUGCUUAGAGACAUCCCUUUAGUUGAUCGAGACCUCUAAGAGUCAGGCCCUUUUUGAUGAUUUUCUCUAAUUACCUUUGUUUUGUACGAAAAAACGGAAAGAGGAGACAAAGAAUGCAAAUUUCUGAAUGUGAUUGAUGUUAGGAGUUUUCAAGGCUCGUAAGACAAAUGUUGUAGUAUAAAUGAUUGUCGAACCAGUUCUGAAGGAUAUCAAAGCACUGAGAAUGUAAGUACUCACUUAAUCUAAGUGCAACCAAUGAUUUAGAUGAGCUUUAAACUACUACUAAUACUAGAAAGCAAUAACAGAAUAAUACUUUCUUGACUAAGGGAAAAGAGAACUCAUGGGCAUAGGGAUUAGACCUUGGGUGAUCAAGUAUCGAACUAAGGAUGACAAAUGAUCAAUCAAACUAUCAACCUUAAGCCUAGACACAAUUCUAAGCAAGCUCUAUGUCUAGAUGAAUGCUCAUUUGCUAACAUAUCUCAAACAUCAAAUGUCUUUGGUUGAAUAAUAUGAAAGCAAUCAUUACUAACAAGUCUAUUAGCUAUCUUAGCAUCUUUAACAACAAAUGUCUUUGGCAAAGUAUACUAAAAGCCUAGGAGAGUUGUCUCAGGCAUUUCAUCGAACACCUUUCGGGUGGGAAAUGCCUAAGGAUCAACUUUUGAGUGGCCAACUCAGAAGAUGCAUUAUGAAUUACUCUACUAGCAAGGAAAAGAAUGAUCUACACUAAAACAUCCUAGAACUAACCUAAUCACCCUUAAUCUCCCUAACCCAUGAAUUCAAAAGGUGAUUACUCACUAAUCUCCAUGAUUCCUCUUAAACCCAUAUUGGAUUUCAGAUUAAUCAUGUAGAGAAACACAGGAAAUAGAUAAGAACACAGAAUUCUCAAUAAUAAACUGAUCAAUUCAUUCAAAGAGAUCCCUUUCCAAAGGUUUUUGGUGGUUUUUCUAAGAACAAAGAUAUGAUGCCUCCUGGUGGCUUACAGAGUAAUAAAACAUAGGUUUAGAAAAUAAAAACGUGCAUAAUGAAAUGACCAAAAUGCCCUUGAGAAAUCACAAGUUCGAGCAGAAACAAAACACGGAGCGACCUCAGCCCGUCGCUCCGACAAGUCGCUCCAGGCUUCGGGAGCGACCUCGCUGUGUCGCUGCGAGAGGUCGCUCCGGGCUCGUUCUCGCGUCUCCGGGUGAUGAAAACGCGAGCGACUUCUCCCUGUCGCUCUGGUAUGGUCGCUCUGAGCUUCGGGAGCGACUUCAGCACGUCGCUCUGGAAGGUCGCUCCGAGGUGUAAAUGUGUGUCUCCAGACGUGAAAACGCGAGCGACCUUGUGCAGUCGCUCUGGAUGAGUCGCUCCGGGAUGUGGUGCACAGCGACCUCAUGCCGUCGCUCCGAGAGGUCGCUCCGGCUGUGCUCGUCCAAAGAUCACUCUUUUCACCUCUUUUGAGCUCCAAAUAACCUCAUGUGGUACUCCAGUACCUAAUAGAGACUCAUGUAUGCAAAAUGCAACCUAAACAUGUCUGAAUCCUAAUCUAUAUGAUGAAAAUGCUCAUGGAUGAAUGGAUAAAACAAUGCAAAUAUGCAAGAUAUCAACUCCCCCAAACUUGUUCUUUUACUUGUCCACAAGUGAACUUUCUAGAACUCAUAGGAAGAGAGGUUGAAGGUGGGAGCACAUAGCCAAAAGAAACACAACUAGCACACUCUCUUAUUACACUCUAGCUUCUCUAGGCCUAUCUUAACUCUUUUUGUUCUUACACUCAUCAUCAAGCAUCCACACAUUCAAAUCAACCAACUCUCACAUUCAUUAAGCACAAAACAUCAGGUGAAUUCUUGCAAAUGGUCAGUUGGUCCAAGUCAUUUGGUUGGGUAAGGGAAGGCUUUUAUUCAAGUGAUUCAAGAGGUUCAAAACAUAUGAUCUUUAAGGUGGUUUACUCUCAAAACAAGUAGCCUUGACAUUGCACAUAAUAUAUCUAAGAAAGGGACCAACUCAUGCAUACAAUGCUCAAUCUCCAUUGUUCUACCCUUUUCCCAAACAUACAAUUACACAAUCAUUCCCAAAUGUCAAACCCAACUCACAUCUCUCACCAAAAGAUCUUAAGAACUUUAACUCUUUCUUUUGAAAUCUACAAGGGAUUUUUCUACAACCUCAAAACAUUUCUUAGCUCCUAACAACUUUGCUAGCCCCCUUUUUUUUUUUUUUUUUUUUUUUUUUUCGAUUUCUUUUUUUUUUUUUUUAUAUAUAUUUUUUUUUUUUUUAGGUUGGGGGCCAAGACUUUUCAAAACUAGAGCUAGAGGUUCUCUACUUAUCCCAGAAAAUCAAUUCACUUAAGCACAAAGAGUCUAUCCUUUUUAUUUUUCAUUUCUCCCAAAUCAUGAUCACAACACUCACCCUCCCACCUAUAGCUAGACAAAGAGUGUCCAAUCUAGCAAAAUGAAGAUCAAGCAUUGUCGUUCCCGAUACUCUCAACAUUAUGCGCAUGUAAGACUUUCCGAAGAAGGCCUCACUCAUCAAACAAUGAAAGCUUAAAAGGAAGGAAAGGUUUUGGGAGUGGUCUACCACUAGAGUUUGUCAAAAAGAUUGGCAUAAAAGAUGUGACAACUCCAGUGUGUAUAGCCAUGACUCAGUACACAAGGGACCCUAAGCAAGAAGCAUUAAGUUCAUUCAUUUCUAAUAAGGUUGUAGUUGGCUUCAAAGACUGAGUUUCAGCAAUCAACAAGUUUCAGGAAGAGUUUUCAAGGCUCGAAACAUACAAGUCUUUUUGAGAGGUGCAAAAGCUACUCAGGUGCAACGUAGUGUUCUUUACAAGGCAUUCAAAUCAUUGCUCCCAAUGCAAGUGAAUGCAACCUAUAUGCUCUAGACUCUCCUAAAAAUGCAAAUGAUGCAAACUAAAUGAUUGUUUUUUUUUUUUUUUUAUGCAAAUAGGUAUGCAAUGCAUGACUCAAUGAAACAACAUCAAAGCAAACAUGAUCAAAUACUUGGUACCUCCCCCAAACUUGAGUUACACAGUCUCUGUGUCGUCAAGUAGAGAGAGAUACCGAAAAGAAGACUAAUAUGCAAAAAUGAAAUGGUAUAUACAAGGGAGUGUGGUGGGUUACCUUCUAUGGGGAAUGAGUAGAGGGAGAUGCUCCCUCCUCGUCGUCCUCAGGUGGUAACUCUUCAAGGUGCUCAUCAGCAGGGGUGUCCAUCUCUUCAAUGUAGAAGGCUUGCCCGAACACAGUUGGUUUCCUCAUUUUUCUCUUGAUGUCAAAGUGGAGGAUGUUCUCUUUACCCAAAUGGAGAUCAAUCGUGCCUUCCUUCACAUUAACAAUAGCUCCUGCUGUAGCUAAGAAUGGCCUUCCUAGAAUCAAUGGGUCUUGAGCCUCCUCACCCAUCUCAAGCACCACAAAAUCUGUAGGAUCUCAUACCUUCCAAUCUUCACAGGGAGGUCCUCUAAGAUGCCCACAGGAUACUUCACUGAACGAUCAGCUAACACCAGAGAGAGUCUACACUUCUUGUACUGAGUGAAUCCAAGCUUCUUUGCAACAGACAAAGGCAUCAAGCUGACACUAGCUCCCAAAUCGCAGAGACUUUUCUCAAAUACCAUAGGUCCAAGAGCACAAGGUAGUGUGAAGCUUCCUGGAUCCUCUAAUUUCUCUGGAACAUCAAGCCUCUGGAUGAUGGCAUUGCACUCAUGGGUAAGAGUCAUCAUGCUUUCCAUCUCCUUCUUCUUUGCAGCUACAACAUCUUUCAGGAAAUUGUUGUAUUGAGGAAUCAACAUGAAAGCAUCGAUGAUGGGCAUUGCAACCUGAGCUUCACUCAUUUGCUUCUCAAACAGAGCUUUGUAUUUCUCUAGCAGCUGCUUCUUGAAUCUACCAGGGAAUGGAAGUUUGGGUUCAUAGGGAGGAGGAACAAAAGAACUUUCACUUGCUGGAGUAACAACUUCACCAUCCUUUACUGUCUUCUUCUCCUCUCCAACCUUUCCUUUACCUUUGGCUUCCACUAUCUUCUCCAAGAUCUCGUCAUUGAUCUUCUCAUCAACAAUCACCACUUCAUCAUCUAUGUUGAUGGCAACCCCCUCACCUAAUUUCUCAGCAUCCUUGGUGAGGGUUCUAGGAGGUAACUGCUUACCGCUCCUAAGGGUGAUAGCUUUGGCCUCCUUGGGAUUUUGGUCAGACUUUCCAGGUAGAGAUCCUUGCUGGCGAUUCUGGUGAGUGUUCAUGGAAGCAAAUUGAUUCUCUAAAUUCCUGACUGUAGAAGCAAGGUGUGAGAAUUUGUUGUUGAGCUCAUUGUAGCUCCCAUCAAUCUUGGAAUGAAGGUUCUUCAACUCAUAACCAACUUGCUUCUCACUUCUAGUCUGAGACUCCAAGAUUUGCUUCAGUAAGGUAUCAGUGCUGCUCUCUUGAGGAGCAGAGGAACCAGACGAGGGGUUUUGCUGAGGCUGAUAGCUGCCUUGCUGGUUGUUUCUUGGCGGAUAGCCACUCUGCUGGUUGUUGGAAUAGGACUUCUGUUGGUAGUUGUUGUACUGAAAGUUGGGUUCUUUCUUGUACCAGCUACCAUUGUUGUUGAUGAAACACAGCUCUUCCUGACCUUCCAAACCCUCAACUUCAUGGACAAUAGCUGGUGGAUCUUCCUGCUUGGAGUUACCAACAAACUUCAGCUGCUCUUGGGUUGCUUUUUCAGCAAUGAGUAGGUCGAUCUUGUCUUCCAAAGCUUUGAUAUCUUUCCUCGUCUGCUUAUCAUCUGUUCUACUGCCUCUGUCGUGGUCUCCACUGUAGACUGCAUCACUCUUUACCAUGUUGUCAACCAGCUCUUCUGCAUCCUCCUCAGUUCUCCCCAAGAAGAACCCAUUGCUAGCUGUAUCCAGUCUGGCUCUGUACUUAGGAAGAGCACCACGGUAGAAUGUGCUCAGCAAGCUCUCCUUAGAAAAGCCAUGGUGUGGGCAUUGAGCUUGGUAGCCCUUGAAUCUCUCCCAGGCUUCACUGAAGCCUUCCAAGUUCUUCUGUUGAAAGCUGGAAAUCUCGUUUCUCAGCUUAGCAGUUCUUGAAGUAGAGAAGAACUUCUCCAAGAAUGCUUUCUUGCAGUCAUCCCAAGUAGUGAUGGAGUCACUGGGUAGAGACUUCUCCCACUGACGUGCCUUAUCCCCCAAAGAGAAAGGGAAUAGCUUGAGCUUUAAGGCAUCUUCGGACACACCAUUGGUUUUUGACAACCCACAGUAGCUGUCGAACCUGUCCAAGUGAUCAAAUGGAUCCUCUAGAGCCAAGCCAUGAUACUUGUUGUUCUCGAUCACGUUGAGGAGUCUUGAUUUGAUCUCAAAGUUGUUGGCUGCCACAGCGGGUGCUCGGAUUCCCAAUCUAUGACCAUGAAUGUUGGGGCGGUCGUAAGUGCCAAUGGGUCGAGCUGGUCGCUGUUGGUUGUGAGGUAUGUCUCCCAUAUCAGUACUCAAUCUCUGCAAGUGAGCCUGUUGCUCUUCUUCUCUUCUAUUUCUAGCACACUCUCUCUCUAAAGCUCUGAUGUCUGCAACUAUUGGAACUAGGUUUGAUGGACCCCUGCUCCUCAAGUUCAUACACCUGUAGAUUAAAGGGAGGUGAAGAAAGAGAAUCAGUAACAAAAGAAAAUAAAAAUGACUUAGUCUCAAGCAAGUGACUAAAUCUCAAUGUUCAAAUCUACUCAGAAUUUGGCAACGGCGCCAAUUUGAUGUUAGGAGUUUUCAAGGCUCCUAAGACAAAUGUUGUAGUAUAAAUGAUUGUCGAACCAGUUCUGAGGGAUAUCAAAGCACUGAGAAUGCAAGUACUCACUUAAUCUAAGUGCAACCAAUGAUUUAGAUGAGCUUUAAACUACUACUAAUACUAGAAAGCAAUAACAGAAUAAUACUUUCUUGACUAAGGGAAAAGAGAACUCAUGGGCAUAGGGAUUAGACCUUGGGUGAUCAAGUAUCGAACUAAGGAUGGCAAAUGAUCAAUCAAACUAUCAACCUUAAGCCUAGACACAAUUCUAAGCAAGCUCUAUGUCUAGAUGAAUGCUCAUUUGCUAACAUAUCUCAAACAUCAAAUGUCUUUGGUUGAAUAAUAUGAAAGCAAUCAUUACUAACAAGUCUAUUAGCUAUCUUAGCAUCUUUAACAACAAAUGUCUUUGGCAAAGUAUACUAAAAGCCUAGGAGAGUUGUCUCAGGCAUUUCAUCAAACACCUUUUGGGUGGGAAAUGUCUAUUGAUCAACUUUUGAGUGGCCAACUCAGAAGAUGCAUUAUGAAUACUCUACUAGCAAGGAACAAGAAUGAUCUACACUAAAACAUCCUAGAACUAACCUAAUCACCCUUAAUCUCCCUAACCCAUGAAUUCAAAAGGUGAUUACUCACUAAUCUCCAUGAUUCCUCUUAAACCCAUAUUGGAUUUCAGAUUAAUCAUGUAGAGAAACACAGGAAAUAGAUAAGAACACAGAAUUCUCAAUAAUAAACUGAUCAAUUCAUUCAAAGAGAUCCCUUUCCAAAGGUUUUUGGUGGUUUUUCUAAGAACAAAGAUAUGAUAUGCCUCCUGGUGGCUUACAGAGUAAUAAAACAUAGGUUUAGAAAAUAAAAACGUGCAUAAUGAAAUGACCAAAAUGCCCUUGAGAAAUCACAAGUUCGAGCAUAAACAAAACACGGAGCGACCUCAGCCCGUCGCUCCGACAAGUCGCUCCAGGCUUCGGGAGCGACCUCGCUGUGUCGCUGCGAGAGGUCGCUUCGGGCUCGUUCUCGCGUCUCCGGGUGAUGAAAACGCGAGCGACUUCUCCCUGUCGCUCUGGUAUGGUCGCUCUGAGCUUCGGGAGCGACUUCAGCACGUCGCUCUGGAAGGUCGCUCCGAGGUGUAAAUGUGUGUCUCCAGACGUGAAAACGCGAGCGACCUUGUGCAGUCGCUCUGGAUGAGUCGCUCCGGGAUGUGGUGCACAGCGACCUCAUGCCGUCGCUCCGAGAGGUCGCUCCGGCUGUGCUCGUCCAAAGAUCACUCUUUUCACCUCUUUUGAGCUCCAAAUAACCUCAUGUGGUACUCCAGUACCUAAUAGAGACUCAUGUAUGCAAAAUGCAACCUAAACAUGUCUGAAUCCUAAUCUAUAUGAUGAAAAUGCUCAUGGAUGAAUGGAUAAAACAAUGCAAAUAUGCAAGAUAUCAGUGAUACGUAGAUGAGAGAAAAAAUAUGGAUUAAACCCCUUAUCUAUUAAAUUUUCACUUCAAUAACCUUUUAUACAAGAGGUCAUUAGCUAAACUGGAAAUGAUUCUGGUUAUUGAGGUUCUCAGUUCAAAUGACCGCAGGGACGAAACUAAUAUUAUAUAUUGUAGUUUUGGGUCUGGGGGAUUACAGGAUUCGGUCCCGAACUUUCAAGCAUUCAAAAAAAAAAUUCCAAGGCUUUGAAGAUGGUCAUAGAGAGAUCUUUUAAAGUAAUUUAGCCAUUUUAACCCUGCAAAAAUGUUAUUAUUGAUUAUUAUAUGAUUUUCACCAAAAGGAUGAUAAAAGAAGGAUAUGCCAAGAGGGACUGAUGGAAUCAAUAGUUUUGGGAUGGACGGAGAAUCAGGGUGGUCAAUCAGAGGAUUUAGUUUCAAAAAUCAAUAGUUGUCGACUUGUCGUCAUGAAAUACCAUCAUGACGGAAGUAUAAUCAACCAUAUGGGAAGGAUAAAAUUCAGAAUCUCCAACAAGCAUUGGAGGAAGUACAAACAGAUAACAAUAGAUCACAAGAGGAUAUUAUUGAGAUUUUCAGGAAAUUACAAGAGGCCUAUAAGGAUGAAGAGGAAUAUUGACAUCAGAAGAGUAGAAAUAUGUGGUAUUCAUCUGGAGACCUUAAUACUAAGUUUAUCACGCUUUGACAAAGCAACGUUGGAUCCGAAAUAAAAUAGUGGGUCUCCACGACGAAGCAGGUAAUUGGGUCACAUAUGAGAACGGUGUUGAGAAGGUGGCGGUAGAUUAUUUUGAUGGUUUGCUUAGUUCUACUAACCCAACGGAGUUUGAUAGUUUUUUGGAGGAGAUAGGAUCUUCAAUUUCUCCCAGAUGAAUCAAAUGUUACUGCAAUCAGCAUCGGAGGAAGAGGUCCGACAAGCUUUAUUCAUGAUGCAUCCGGAGAAAGCGCCAGGCCCGGAUGGAAUGACAGCUCUCUUUUUCAGCACUCCUGAAAUGUCAUUAAAAGGGAUGUGGUUGAGUUGGUGAAUAAUUUUUUGGUCACAGGAGAUAUGGAUCCACAGUUAAACAUAACUAAUAUUUGUAUGAUCCCAAAAGUGUAGAGACCUACAAAGAUGACAGAAUUAAGGCCGAUAAGUCUUUGUAACGUUAGUUAUAAGAUUAUCUCGAAAGUUUUGUGUCAAAGAUUGAAAAUUUGUCUCCCCCGUCUAAUUUCAGAAACACAAUCGGCUUUUGUGGCAGAAAGGUUAAUCACGGAUGAUAUUCUUAUUGCGCAAGAAAUGUUUCAUGGUUUGUGAACGACAAAUCUUGUCAAAAUAAGUUUAUGGCAAUUAAAACGGAUAUAAGUAAGGCAUAUGAUCGGAUAGAGUGGAAUUUUAUUGAGGCUCUACUUCACAAAAUGGGAUUUGAUACUCAUUGGAUUAAAUUAAUGCGAGAGUGUAUAUCUUCAAUUCAAUAUAGGGUACUCCUUAAUGGGCAACCACGAGGCCUUAUAAUACCAAAGCGGGGACUACGUCAAGGGGAUCUAUUAUUUCCUUAUUUAUUUGUCAUGUGUACUGAAGCUUUAAUUACAAAUAUAAAAAGACACAAUGGGUGAAACAAUAAACCGGUAUGAAGGUAGCAAGAGUGUGUCCAGCAAUUUCUCAUUUGUUAUUUGCAGAUGACAGUAUGUUCUUUUGUAAGGCAAACAAAGAGGAGUGUAAAACUAUUCUAAGGAUACUUAAGGAUUACGAGGCUAUUUCAGGGCAACAAAUUAAUUUUCAGAAAUCUUCAAGUCAAUUUGGACAUAAGAUUGAUGAAUCCAGCCGACAAAAGCUGCGAGAUAUUUUGGGAAUUCAAAACCUAGGCGGAAUGGGUUAUUAUUUAGGAUUGCCAGAGAGUUUAGGAGGAUCAAAGACACUUGUGUUUGGUUUUGUACAAGAUCGUCUGAGUAAUAGGGUGAAUGGUUGGACAUUUCGUUUUUUCACCAAGGGGGGAAAAGAGGGGAUUAUUAAAUCGGUGAUCACGGCCCUGCCAAACCAUGUGAUGUCGGUGUAUAGGUUACCGAAAGCUACUGUUAAGAAACUAACUAGUGCACUAGCUCAGUUUAGGUGGAGUCCAGGAGGAAGUACAAAGGGUAUGCAUUGGAAGUCAUGGGAUAAAUUAUGUGUACAUAAGGAUAAUGGUGGACUAGGAUUCAAGGAUUUGACUGAUUUUAAUACGGUGAUGCUUGGAAAGUAUUUGUGGCGGCUGAUUGAAAAGCCUAAUACUCUCUUCUCUAAAAUUUUCAAAGGACGGUACUUCAGGAAUGCUUCACUCCUGGAACCGAUUCGCUCAUAUUCCCCAUCAUAUGGCUAGAGGAGUAUUAUCUCUGUUUGAUCUCUGGUUUGUAAUGGACUAAUCAAAAGGGUUGGAACAUGAUCAUCUAUUUCAGUAUGAAAUGAUCAUUGGAUCCCAUCCACUCGCCCGAGACCAGCUAACAAAAACUUUCAUAAUAAUUACCCGGAAUUCACAGUGGAUUCUCUCAUUAAUCAUGAAUCCCGAACAUGAAAUUUACAGGCCAUUAGGACACUGGUGGAACCCCAAGAUGCAAAAAUGAUGGAAAGUAUUCGUUUGAGUAGGAAUCAGAUGGAAGAUAGGAAUGGAUGGCAUUUCACUAAUAACAUGAAAUACACGGUACAAUCAGGGUAUCAGAUAAAAAGGAUAUAUCCUGAUAAGGAAAAACCACCAGAAUUUUAUGGACCAAAUGUGGACAUACGUAAGGCAUUUUGCUGGAAAGUGAAGUGUCCGCAAAAGUUACAGCAUUUCUUAUGGCAGCUGGUGACAUGUUGUAUAGCGGUAACAAAAAAUCUAAAAGCAAGAGGAAUACAAGGAGAUACAUGUUGUGCAAGGUGUGGAGAUUCGGAGGAAUCAAUAAAUCAUGUGUUCUUUAAAUGUACAUCAAGUGUGGGCACUAUCUAAGAUUCCAUCGAAUCCAAAUCUCUUUCCUAUGGGUUCUCUUUUUGCUAACAUGGACCAUCUAUUUUGGAGAGUUAAUCCAAAAAUGGAAAACCAUCAGUUUGCAUGGAUAUGAUGGUACAUCUGGAAGGGCCGGAAUAAAAAAGUUUUUUGUAAUCUUGAUAUUGAUCUGAAGGAAACACUCAACUUAGCAGAAUUGGAAUCAAGACUUUGGACUGAGGUAAGGGUUAUUAAUGAUACCAGGUUGGUACAAGCGGGUCAGAUAAGACCUAAUUCUGGGACUACAGGAAGAUGGUGUUUUAUAGACGGUUCCUGGAAAGAUAAAGACUUAUUUUCAGGGUAAGGCUGGUUCAGCACACUACCAGAGUUUGACGGGUUAUUAGGGGCAAGGAAUGUAAGGGCAUGUCCUCUUUAUACGGAGAUGGAGACAUUAAUUUGGGCAAUGGAAUGUAUGAAGAAUUUAAGACAAUUUCGGGUGAUGUUUGCAACAGAUUGUUCUCAAUUGGUGAAGAUGGUUUCAGAACCAGAGGAAUGAUCAGCAUUUGAAAGCUACCUGGAAGACAUUAUGCUUUUAAGAAGAAGCUUCACCAACUCAGAUAUCGUUCAUGUACCUAGGACAGAAAACAUAAAGGCGGAUCGUUUGGCAUGCAGUGCUCGGAACCAGCCAUCUUUCGUCGUACACAUGGAUGUCGAGUUGUCGUCUUGGUUUACAGAGUCUACAUGAGUCUAUGAAUGUUUGCUGUCAAAAAAGAAAAGAAAAAAGAAACUCAGUCUAGAAUGGAUUUAACCUAGUCAUCUCUAAGAAAAAAUAUUUACCGUCUGAAAUCACCAAUUAUUCUCUCAAUAUAUUUGAAUAUGAUAAUUUAACAAUCUUCUAAAAGGAAUUCUAACGAAUUGAGUUAUCUACUAACGUAUAUAGCUAACUAUUUUUAAAAAAAAAAGUACAAUAAAUAUUCAGAAAUCGGAAUUGGUGAACUAAGUUAAAUUUGAAUUGUGGGUCCAAUUAUUGGGUAAUAGAAAAAACCUUUGUGUAGUGUUUUUUGCUUAAAAUUAUAUUCAAAAACUAUUAUCAUGGUGAUUUUCGUAAAAAAAUGAAUAUUUGUAUAACUACUACUCUGAUUCCCAAGACCCGUCAACAUUGCAAGAUAGUAACUAUUUCAUCUCAGAUUUACCUUUUUAUUCUUCAUCUGAAUCUCAGGCAAAAGAUUUUUUGUAAAUUGAAUGUCAUUCUCUUUGGUUUUAAAAACUCCUAAUUCCAUGCUUUACCAAUGAAAAUGUUAAUUUAUUCUUCUGUUGAUUUAUCUACACUCCAUCUUUCAGUAUCUUAGUUUUCUUCUUCCAUUUAUUUACAACCGAUCGUUGAGUUUUAUAAGGUUACUCCCAACUCAAGAGACAUGAUACCAUAACGAUAGGUCUUAAGGGAUAAAAGACCUAUCUUAAGGGAUAUGCCAUGGUACCAUAUAUCUUUGAUAAAAGAAAUGUUAUCGAUGUUAUUUUCCUUUGUGUAUUGGAUUUUUUGACACACCAUAACGAUAGGUCUUAAGGGAUUGUAAACACUGUUGCACGAUUAGUAAAGAAUUAUCCUCUAUAUAUUAAAAAAGAAGUAUUGUCAUUUAAUACUUUCACACUACAUUGGACACAUGGCAGUUUUACAUUACUUUGAAAAUACGGAUGUUGACGUGUCUAAUAGAACUUUUCAGAAAAUGUAUACUAAAAAUUUCUUAUUUUUCUUAGACUAAACACAAGCUCGUUUUAUGACUCAUAGACGUGAUGCCAAGCUAUUUUUUUUCUAUACAAACCAAGUUUUGAAAAGCAUAAAUGUUCAUAACGAUACCGAAGUCGAUGGUGAUAGAAUCUAGAAAAGAAAACUUGCUUUGUCGACUGCUAAUAGUGAAGACGCAAACAAUGGAAUAGCGAAAAGAAGAUGUUGAUGCAAAGCCAAUUUUAUAAAUCUAUCCUUGGUGCAUCGAAGUUCUUUGCAUCCUGUCAAGCAAAAGAAUCAAACUAUGUAACCCACGCUUUGCUAAUAAACCAUAUAAUAACAAGCUGAGAAGUUAAUACGCAACAAGAUAAGAAGUUCAUGACUAGGGAAGCUACCCCAUCUAUCAAUGUUGCAUAGAAUAUCUUAAUCUACUGGCAAGGAGUUCUUUAUGCACUUGAUAUCGUUUUUUACUAUGGCAAAGAAAGAGCUAUCAUGGUAAAAUAAAACGACACACACGAAACUGUUUUUACUACAGUAUCACAUUGGCAAGCAGUCUAUAGAAGAUAGACUAACGUUUUUGCAUAGACACUUUACAUCAAUAACUGACAUUUCUUAUAAUACUAAUCGAGAAAACCGUACACAGUCUUUUAAAGACAGUCUCACAUGCAUGUAAGAACUGAGAAUUUCUUUCUAUACAGCUGACAAAGAAGACAAUGUUUGUGUCAUAGCGUAUGAUCGUUAACGCAAGUUUAUGUUAAUGUUAUACAUAUUGCUAUUCUUUAUGACCUUGUGUAUUUAUGCACGUAAGUUUUCGUUUUGAAGAGAACAAAAAAGAGCAAUUGUUGUAGACAAAAGUUAUAAUAUAUGGUUAAGAGUAUUAAACCGAUAUCAAGCAAUUGUACGCAUACCGAAUUAAACCUUGUGCGUGUAGGUUUGGACACUAUUUAAUUGUCUUGAGUGUUUGGCAAUGUUUGUUAAUGAUACUAAAUGGCAUAUGUUUCACAUUUUUAGGUUAUGGCAAUAUAUAUAUUGAGUAGUGAUUGCCAAGUUAAAAAUAUGUGCCAUUCAAUUCGGGAUUUUUCAGAGAUACAAUGUGAAUUGAAUGCUCGCUAUAGUAAACUCAUAUAAGACUCGCUUCUCCCAUUUAUUUUCUUCAUUCCCUAAACCCGAAACCUUAGAAAUUUAUUCAAUCUCGGAUUUCGGAAACUGCUCUUGACUAAUCACUCCAAUCAAGGUUUUUCGGAGAAAUUUUGGUGAUGAAGUUGAAAAGAUCGAGUGAAGAACAAUCGGUGAUGGAUUGGAUUGGAUCGACUGAUGGGAUCAAAUUUUGUAACCCUCUUCUCCGAACAAAUGAUGGAAUGAAGUAAAAUAUGGAAAUAUAAACAACUUGUGGUGAUUGAUUCGAAAGGAUCGACUGAACAGAUCGAAUAUUGCAAAGUUAUGUGGUCUAUCGCGGUGAGUACGAAAUCCUAUACGCUUUCAGUCGUUUUUUUAGAUUUACGCAGUACAUCACUAUUUGGUUAUGGCCCCUAAUGUCCAAACAUGUUUUAAAAUCUUAUGUUUUCUUUGAUUUUAUGCAGGUCCAAUUGUAAAAUAUAUGUUGAACCAUAAUGUAUGAAUGUUAAAAUCUGAUUGGGCCAAGGUAUAAAACUAUGUAAGAAUAAAAUUCAGCAGGCCCAUUUUGUAUAUGUUUUAAUUUUGAUUGUUUAUGUAUACAAUUUGAUUUUCAUUAUAUAAAAAAAAUUGGUAAUGAAAAGAGGUGUUAUUGGUUUAUAUAUUUUGAUUGAUUUAGAAAUCCAUGUAGCAUUUAUAAAUGCAAGUAAAAUAUGCAGAUUUUUAAAUUUUUUCGGAUUAGUAUUUACAAAUCCGAAGGUUUAUCCACGAAUUUGAGUCUUUGUAUUUUGAACAAAAAAAAUCCAAACAAAUUUAUUCAAAUCCAUUAUAAAAUCAAAUUUAUUAGUAAAUCCGUAUGAUUGAAUAACACUUGAUUUGAUAUAGAAUUUAUGAAUCAUUAAACUAAUAACACAUGAUUUUAAUAAAGAAUUGAAAAUCAUAAAACCAAUAACACUAGAUUUAGUUCGGAUUUUCAAACCUAUUAAAAUACAACAACCAAUUACUCCCACUAAGUCUAUUUUAUUUUUAAUAGAUUUUAUUUAAUAAUUUUAUCUUCCAUUUGUUAUAUUGAACAAACCUUUCUUUCAAUAUUAACUAACGGUAUCUUUAUAUAUUUAUGAAACACUUUUUAAAACGUUUACAUACAUAUACAUAUGCACAUUGAAGUGAAUACCUAUAUUCACCUCAAGUGAGGUAUCUAAUUCAAACGUAAUAUAGAAUAUUAUUAUUUUUUAAUUCUUUAUAAUUUUCUUCUGUUUUUUCUUAAACAAUUAUCUAGAUUUGAUUUUACUAUUAAUGCAUUUAGAAAUUAUAAUAUGAAACGAUUGGUUGACAUCAGAAUUGUCUUAAAUUUUGAUAACAUGAAACCAAACAAAUACUAAUUAGUUUUUUUUUUGUGUUGGUUUAUCACCAAAAAACCAAAAAACCUCAACCAUUUUAAUGGAACAAACAAAAAUAAAUAUGAAUUUAGAAUUUAGUUAUAUAAUUGGAUAUUAAAACUCAAAAAAAAAAACAAUCCAAAAUAAACAGACCUAAUGUCUUAACAUCUUAAAUAUAACGAAAUUAAUAAAUUCAUUCUGCGAGUUAUCGCUAGACAGUAUUUUCCUGAAUAUUUGUUUUCCUCUUUAAAGUUAGGAUCUGAAUUUUCUCUCACAAAUUUCACAACACAGCACAUGCCGCUUCCAACCUCAUGAAUAUUUUAUAGGUUAACGGACUAGAUUCAUUAGAUAAACUAUAUACAACUUCCAGAGCUAGGGUAUUAAGAAUAACUAAUUACGUUAUAACCCUUUCCUUAUAUGUCCAUAUAUUUUACAUGGGGUGAAUGACCCCUCACGAAUCAAAUGGCUUGAGGCACAACACCAUGAAGAUAAAAGGUACAUGAGUUUAUUUGCGCCAUGUUCCAUCAUGAUAUAGUAUUGUUAUCUUUUCUAAGUGUUGUUUAUUUUGCUUUGUGAAUCUUUUGGUUCUUUCGUUUUGUUUUUCCUAAACUGAAAUUGAAUCCUUUACUUCUUUAACUUCAUUCUUCCUAUUAAAUCUGAGUUCGGUCUUAACUCCUACCCGAUGGUGGAUUAGUUCGAAGACGUUUUAUUAGACCGGGAUGUAUAUCGGUUACAAGUCAAAAAGAGUAAACAGAAAAUUAAGCUGGAGCUCGGAGAGCUGGCCCGAACAGUACAAGUCGACGAAAAUACAACGAAUAAAACCUUAGUUUCUAGCCGCCAAGUGUGUGUAAAGUUCGGGAUUUCCUCUCCUGUCCGUCCUCUCCUCCUUAAAUAAACGAACCCUCCUCUCGCGUACCUUAGAUCCUGCUCGGCCCGAGCAACUAGGCCGAGCAAUCGGCUUUUAAGCCGAGCUGGUGUGCUUACUUCGUAGAGCCGAAUAAAUUAGUCUGAAACCGAGCCUGUGUGUUCGGUCGGGGCCGUUUAGCUAAACUGAUAUCUUGGGCCGGCUUGACUAGCCGUGUCCACUAUUUUAUGGGCUUUGUGGAAGAAUCCAUCUACACUUCCUAAACAAAAAUUAUAGUUAAUGAGGAUUAAUACAACUAAGGUCUUGAUUGGUAGAGCAUUAGCAUAAGCAUUAUGCUCGUCACUAUCCAAUCAACAUUUAUCACAGAAGCAUUUAGAAAAGCAUUUACAAGAUGCUAAUGCUCUCCAAAUGCUCUUUGCUGAAUGCUCUCAUUUAGAGCUUUUGGUAGAGCAUUUGCAGUUAAAAUAUAUAAAAUUUUUAAAAAAUUAUAUAUAAUUAAUUCUUUUUUAUUUAAUAUUAUAAAAAAUUAUGCUAGUAAUAAAAAACAAAAUUUAUUUUUUAAAAUAAAAGUUGCAAUUAAAUAUUUUUAACUUUUUUAAAAGAACAACAAUAUUUCACACUUAAAAUAUAAUUUAAUUUAACUAAUUACACAUAUAAUUCAUUAUUUUUAAUAACAAAACAUAAUAUAUAUUUAUAUAUUACAUAUUAUAAAAUAAAAAUAUCUAUAUUAUUUAUAAAUAAGUAUAUUAUAUAUCAUAUAUUAAUUUUUAUGAUAAUAUUAUAUAUGAAUCAUUUACUGUUCUACUAAUAAAUAAAGGGGAAAUUACAUGUUUACCGCUUUCAUGGUACCACUUUUCAUUUUUACCACCACUAAGAAGACAUUUCAAAAAUACAUUCUUCAUUAAGUGGCAAAAGACUCUUAUGGCUUUGUUAUUUAUAUAUAUAAUAAAUCAUUAUUUAUAUAAAAAAUAAAAAAUAAAAAUAAAAGAUAAAAAAUAAAUAAAAAAUAAAAAAAAAAGUUUUUUUACGUUUUCGAAUUAUACUUUUUCAAAUUCGAAAUUUUUUAUAAAUUUUUUUUUCUGAAAUUAGUUUUUUCGAAUUUAUUUUUUAUUUUUUAUCAAAUUUCUUUUUGAAGAAUGAAAAUUAUGUUCGAAACUAUUUUUCAAAUUUUUAAUAUAUUUUAUAAGUAUUUAUUUAUAUAUUUAUUAGAAUCCUAAAUUUCACAUUCCAAAAACCCUACCCCACCCCACAACUCUAAACCCUAAGUCUAGAUUAGUUAACCCUAAAGGUAUAAUUGUCUUUUACCCUUCAUUAAAAGUGAGGGUAAAAGUGGUUAGUGUAAACAUGAAAAGUAGUAGUAUGAAUGUGCUAUUUGUGGCAAUUUCCCAUAAAUAAAUAAUGAUAAUUUAUAUAUAAUUAUAUAUAAUUUAUUUGUUUUGAAUAAAUUUUAUAUUUUUAAAUAAAUUUUACAUUUUUUAAGUUAGUACUAGUUCACAUUUAAAAUUUAAUUUAUAUAAUUAAAUAAGAUUUAUUAUUUUUAGUAACAAAUAUAUUAUUAAUAUAUAUUAUUUCAAAAUAAAUAUAUUAUAUAUUAACUUUUGUGGUCAUUUUAAAAUUGUAUAUUGCUUCUGCUCUACCAAUCAGUUUAUUAAAAAAUUUUAAUGAAAACAUACCGCUUCUGCAGCAUACUGCUAAUGUUUUAUCAUCAGCUAUACCAAUCGAGGCCUAAGGUGAAUCAUCCCUGCAAGACACUGAAUAUUGUGCAGACACUGAAUAUUUCCAUCUUUGAUUUGCCUUCUUAUUAUUCUUCAAUUCAUCAUCUACAUCUCAUGCAGACGAUUUUUUGGAAGUUAAAGGUUUUUUUUUCUUCUUUUCCGAAGACUCUCCUACUCCUCUCCAUGAGUUAUCAGUGGUGAUGUCAAUUUAUUCAUCAUUUAGUUUGAUCUACCUACAUACAUUUUCCAGAUUUUGAUUUUUCUUAGAUCUAUUUACAAUAAAUGGUUGAGUUUUACUAGGUUACUCCCAAGUCCCAACUAGGCACAUGACGGCCUGUGCGUACCAUAUAUCAUAGCCAAAAUAAGUUUUAGAUUGUUAACACUAUUUAGACAUAGUAUUUGCAUGAAUUUUCGUUUUGCUUUUAAAGUAUGGAUCUUGUUUUUCUCUCACUCAUCGGUACAAGUACAAUACAGUGCAGCUACAACGCAGAGCAGAUGCUGCUUUCAAACUCACGUCACAAUAUUAGGGGUAAUUCAGCUUUAAAGAGAACACAGCAACAUUAUUGUCAAAAGCCAUGUAAUAACAGAGAAAAAUUGCACGAAAACAGAUUUCAAGCUUCGACUUGGUUUAUAAACAAAGCCAAGCGGCGUACCAUCUCCUUAGCUUCAUCACAAUCAGGCUCGAAUAUAUGAAACACAUGAUCUUUCCCUUUUGUCUCCAUAAUCUCGGCAUUGCCUCUCCAUUUGCUAUUCACCAAUUUCUCGUAAUACAUUUUUCCUCUUUCUCUCAAUAUAUCUCUCUCCGCCACCGUUAUUAUCACUCUCUCACACUCUAACCCUUCAAGAUUCGGCGACCCAUCCGCAAACGGAUUGAUCCAUGGGUCAUCGGAUCCUUUAUCGGACGGGCACACGAAUCGCCACCAUCCGUCCACCAUUUGUUUCCUCGCUUCGUCUGUGACCUCCGAGCCGACCGGCUGUGUUCCCCAGAAAUAUGGGUGGAUCAUUCCGAUGCCUUUGAUUUUAACAGUGUGGUUUGAUUGUUUGGCUCGGAACGCGAGGUGGUGCGAGAUGUUAGCUCCAGCGCUGUCUCCGGCUAGGAAGAACUGGUUGAAAUCAGCAUAGUCGUUGAUCCAUGGCUCGUUUCCGGCUUGAACCCCUUGGAGUGCGUUCCAUGAGUCUUCGUACGCUGUAGGAAGUGGAUGUUCUGGUGCUAGUCUGUCCAAAUUAUUUAAAAAGAUGAAAAUAAAACGUUGCUGAAAAAUAACCAAACCGAAGUCGUUUAUAAACCGUUUGGACUUAUCAUUAUAAAUUUCAAAAUAGCGAACCAAAACGGUGUUAUGUAACCGGACAGAAUUAAAUUGAAUAAACCGAAAUUCAUUUCUACGUGUCAAAAAUAAAUAUAAUCAUAUCAUUAUUCCUAAAGAUCACUAUUUGUUUCUAAUUUUAAUUUUGUUUGUAUGAACGGAACAGACUGAACAAAACAAGAAAUAAUGUCAAACCGAAACAAAACAAAAUCAACUUAUUCAGAUUUUUUCUAGUAUUAAUUUGAUUCUAUGCAAUUUUUUUAUUUCAAAUAUUAAUCUAUACCAUUAAAAAUGAAUCAAUCUUUAAAAAUCUAUUUAUGAAAAGUUGUUGGACCCUUUCAUUAGAAUGAUAUAUUUUAUAUCACCUUAAUUAAUCAAUUUCACAUAAUAUGUUUAAUAUUUGUGCCAAACUAAAAGAUUAUGUGACCAGAUUUUGUGCUUAUUAACAUAAAAUAAUUAUAAUAGCAUUUAUUUUCAAAUACCAGAAAGAUAGUAUUUAGAUUUAGUUUUUAUUGUCAGUUAUGAUGAUCAUUUAUCCGAUCCACAUAAAGACUGAUUUACAACAUUUAUAUUAACAUAUUAUAUGAACCAAACUUUUGUAUACACAGAAUGUAAAACUUUUAUGUAAAACAUAACGUAUAGAAAAAUGACAAUACUUUAAAGUUUUUUUAACUAUAUUCAAAAUUUUAUGUGUAUACACGAAAUUGUUUCUAAAAAUCUAACAUUUUAUUUGAAAUCUGAAACUUAACCGAAAAUCAAACCUGAAACACAAAAGAAUAAUUGUGAUACCGAAGACAUAUUCAAAACAGAAAAAUAUAAUUAAUAUACACAAAACAUUUUAGAUACUCAGGGUACCGGUUCAGAUCUCUGUAGAAUCCAAACCUAAACCGACACUGCGGGUCUGAAAUUUACUCAAUAGAUACUUUGCCGUAGACUUGGAUCUGAACCGAACAUGUAUAUUUGGAUCGGUUUUUAUUCGAACUAGAAAAAAUGUUUGGACCUAGGAGAGAGUUACAUAACAAUAUACAUACAAAAUUUUAAAUAAAUUAAUUCAUAAAUCAUAUAAUUUUAUAAAAUUCUAUGCUUUGAUAUAAUUCAAUAUUGUAGCAUAAUAACAUACAACAAUCAUUAACAUUAUUAAACUUUUGAUUGUAAAAAACCCACGCUUUUGAAGCACGGGUCAAGAUCUAGUCUAUACUAUUAAAAGAGAAACAUUCUAAAAAAAUUUACUUAUAAAAGGUUGUUGGACCCUUUCAUUACAUUAAUAUUUUUUGGUAUUCCCUUAUUUAUCUCUAACAAUAAGUAACUCAAUAUUCAAUAACAUUAUAUACCUUAUCAUUCACCUAUUUUUACUCCUUCUAUGAGCUAAUCAUAUAAUUUACAAUAUUUUUAAACGAGAAUAUGCUAGCGAAUUCACAAUAUCAUUAAAAUUAUUGAAGAUUUUUUCAUUUAUAAUUGGUAAGCCCCAUUCUCAUCUACACAAAUCUUACGUAUAAAUGACAAAUCAAAUAGUUUUUUAAGUUUUGCGUAUUAUUAUAAAAUAUAUGAGAAUUAUAAUUAAUUUUUUUAAAAAUAUUAUCAAAAUUUUCUAGGUUUUUAUCGGGUCAACCUGUGUCGGUUCACGGGUUAAUGUCAUGAUUUUCGGUUUUAUCGGAUUUUUAAUUAAUAGGUUUUCCUUAAAUCUGAAUUUUGUGGAAACAUAUCAGUUGGUAUAAUCAUGAUAGAAUAUUACAUGAAGAAUAUAAGGCAGUCCAUAUUAUAUAUGGCCACCAGUUUACUGGUCCAAUUGCAGGUCCGAAUCAAAUAUGAAAACAAUGCUUAUAUCUUAAUUCGUCAAUAAACUACAUAUGUAUUCCUACUAAAAGGAGUUAAAUCAUUUUCAAAAAUAAAAUGUUUUUUUCGUACAAUUUCAAUGUUUCAAUAUUGGUUUCUAUUUUUUGGUUCUAGAGAUAUAGGAUUUGCUCGAUUAUUUAUGAAAGUCAGUUUAAUGUAGGUUUCGUUUUUCUUCUUCGGUUUGCUACAAUUUAGUUCGCGGUUUCGGAUAAAUAUACAUAAACCUAUACACUAUAUAUAUUAUGUAGAAAUUCAUUUAAAUAUAUAUUUAAUUUUGAAAACAAAUUCGCGCUUUUAAGCGCGGAUCAAAAUCUAGUUAGUAUAUUAAAAUCAUAUCUAUUAUAGUUUAGUACGAUUUUACAGUUAAUCAAACCAUAUUUUCUAUUUAAUUUGAUUUUGAUCGGUUUGGUUAAGUAUAUUCGGGUUAGAGGUCUUAAACCGACCGAACUAGUAAACCUUGGUUCAAUAAGUUAACUUAAACUGGAUUAAUUUACCUGUAAUUGACAGAGACAGCGAUGAUGUUGGCUUGAGCGACUAGUUUGUUAAUGCUGGUGUGGUAAUUGGGUAGGGAGGCGGAGGCGAUGAGAAAUGCACCGCCAUGGAAAUAGAGCACGACUGGAAGUUUCUGACCGGGUUGAAUCGAGUCAGGCCUGUAGAUUCGGGCUGAUAAACCGGUUUUCGGAUCGAUGAUGAUAUCUUUCGAUAGUACGCCGGUUUCUGGAUCUAAACCGGGUGGACAAACCUCGGUUCCGGCUAGUCUCUCUAACGUUCCGUCGCUGUGAACAACUAACCAUGGAAGCACCUCCAACGAUACUUGCUUCUUCGUUGAUUCCAUGAGAGAGAGACAGUUUAUUGUUGUGUCUGUUUGUUAGAAAUAAGAGAAAGAGAAUGAUUAAGGGAGAGAGCUAAUAGUUUCUGUUACAAAAGGGUGUUUUUCAAAACCAACCCAUAUUUUCAAGUCAAACCCAAAACCAACCCCUUUUUUUUUGUCCAUACUAUUCAUCAAUAAAAUUUCCAUAUUAUCCUUAUGUUUUUGAAUUAUUCACAAAAUUGCCAUUUUUAUUUAUUUUUUUAUUAAUUUCGAAAUUAACAAAAAACCAAAUACACCAUAACCAUUUCUUCUUAUUUACAAAAAUGCCAUCAUCAUCAAUUUUUCCAACCACCAUGAACCACCAUUUUUGAGCUCUAAAGCUCUAGAAUUCAAUUUUCAACCACUUUUUUUCUCAUUCUAACCCAAAAAACUUGAUUUCCUCUCAUUUCCUCUACAUUUCCAUCUAAAAAACUCUCAUAACUAUCAUUUUCAUAAUCACAAACUUCAUAUUUUCGAGUUUCUUCAUUAGUGAAUCGUUAAAGAUGCUUCUUUUUGCUCAUAUUCGGAGUUUGGACGGUUGAAAAGGUUGGAAACGAGCUUUACACAUGAAACAGGUAACUAUUUACAUGGUUUUCGUUCUUUUUUCAGAUCUGUGUCGUGACGGUAGACUGUUUUGUAUGUCUACGCCUCCGUGGAGACUUACGAUGCAGUCUUUUUGUCAACGCACGGGUUAGUUUUGCAAUUGACCAGACAAAUUUUUUUUCUAACGCAGACUUCCCCAGUAGUCUCCGUCUUUACCUUUGACAACAAAAAUAAAACUUUCGGUAGACGUACUAAGACGUCUACCUAAAAGAGGUUAGUUUUUCAUUUGACCGAACUUUUGACUUUUCAAAAUAGACUUCAACGGAACUCUACAGAAUGUAGACUGCCACCGAAGUCUAUAAAAGGUCAGUUUUGCAUUUGACCAAAACUUUGACUUCGUGGAAUAGGUUAGUUUUGUGUUUGACCAAAAAGUUUUAAAAGCAAUCAAAAAUUUAUUAAAUUGUAGACUUCAUAUGCAGUCUUCUUAUCUUAAAAAAAAUUGUAGACUGCGUAUAAAGUCUACUUUUUUAUUUUGGUCAAAUGCAAAACCAACCCGUCGGAUUUGAGAGUAGACUUCACAAGAAGUCUACACACCCGUAGACGUUCAUUUCAAUCUACUGAUUUGAAGUCAAACUUGGUCAAUUGCAAAACUAACCUCUUUCAAAAAAAUUCAAACAUGUAGACUGCAUAUGAAGUCUAGUUCUGAAAGUCAAAUCUUGGAUGAAUUCUGGUCAAUUGCAAAAACUAACCUUUUUAAAUUGUAGACCGAAAAGAAAGUCUACAUGUACAAAAUCACAACUUUUAUUCAACUAUAGAAAGCAACCCGUAAAAUGGUCAAUUGCAAAAACCAACCCAAAGAGUAUACAUAUUUGACAGUCUACGUCUGUAAACUAAAAAGAACGUCUACAUCUUCAGAGACUGAAUAUUAAGUCUGCAUAGAAAAAUCUAUAAAAAUGUAAAUUUGUGUAUUAUUCAUUAAAUUUUUUCUAGAUUUUUUGUUUGACAGUGUGUGUUAGUUAAACCUAAUGGGUUUGAGUGAUUUUGAAAAGAAUUUUUUUUUAUAAUUAUGAAGGUAUAAUUCAUUUGAUUUGACAAUGUUGUUAGCUAAUAAUUGUAGACGUAUUUGUAAGUCUUCGUUUAUAGUUUUGCUAGUAAGGCUGAGCUUGUUUCAAAGCUGAAGUCGGUGACUGUGGAAUAUAAAUUUACAUUCCCAGCAUAUAAGACAACGAAAACUAUGUAUGUGGCUAAGUGUCGUGUUCAAGGAUGUGGUUGGAAACUUAGAGCGAGUGUGAAACAUGGGCCAAAGACAUUUUAGAUGACAAAAUAUUCGAAAAGGAUGAAGAAUCAGAAAGGUUGAAGAAUGUUCAUUGUGCAUGAUGGCUGUACACAUGGUAAACUUCUUGAAAUGACACAAGAAAAUUAUGAUCUGGACAACAAAAUUGAGAAGAUGGUGCUAACCUAUUUCUUACCAAACAUCAUUUAAAACAAAUGACUCCGAAUAGGAAAAUACUCCUCUUAUGCCUGUCACGAAUAAUCGACAAGUACGGAACUUGAUCGAGUUAUCUAAGACACACUUUGUACGCCUUUGUGUAUCAAGCCUGCGCCAAAUACACUAAAAAUUUUUGGAUUUACUAUAUGUUAGAUAAUAAGUGUAGACGUUUUUGUAAAUCUACAAAUGUAGACUGCAGUUGAAGUCUACGUCGUAAAUUCUAUUAAAAGUGUAUUUGUGUAUUAUUCAUCAUAUUUUUUCAUGAUUUAAUUAUUUUACAGUGUAUGUUAGUAAAAUUUUAAUGGUCUUGGAUGAAUUUCACAAUUUAAUGUGUUAUAAUUAUACACUUGAUACUUAUUGCAAAUUGUUUUGAUUAGUGUUAUUCUUGAAAAUUUUUGGGAAAAUUUUGUAUAGAUUUUCUUCUUCUCACAUGUGUGUUAGUUAUUAUUUUAGCUUAUGGUGGUUUUACUUGUUUGGUUGGUUAGAUCUUGUGAAAAAAUUGAUAUCUAACAAAAAAUUAAUAAUAUCAUACAAGUGAAAACAACUAAAAAUGAAUACAAUGUUUAUAGAUUAUGCAUUAAAAAUUAUUUAAAAAUUAAUAUUUUAUUAUGAAAGUUAUUACAGAGCAAUAUAUUAAAAAGUAUUCUUGAGUAUGUUUGAUUUUUCAUAAUCUUGAUGCUUCAAAUAAAGUCUUGGAAAAAGUACCUGCAAAAUAAGAUAGAGUUAUGAGAAAAACAUAAGAUAAAAAAUAAAAUCAUAUUUUAGUAGACUUUUUAUUAAGUCUACGUAAAGUUAUUGUUUAGUAGACUUUAGUUGAAGUCUACACUAAUGGAAAAUUUUCAUAUCUAAAACUGUGCAUUUAGAAAAUUUGAAAAUACUUUGUUCUAGAAAAUAUUUCAAAAAUGGUUUUUUGUCAUCCUUGUAACAAAGCAAAAAGAUAAUGUAUGAAUCUAUAAAUUUAGUUCUUUAUAAACACAAAAUAUCUUAUAAUGAAUAUAUGGAAAGCUUACAUUUUUGGGAAGAUGAUUUGAAAACAUUGGAUGAGAAUACCUGCAAAAUAAAAUAAAAUUAUGAAAAAUAAGAUAAAAAUUAAAAUCAUAUUUGAGUAAACUUCUAAUGAAAUAUGCUUAAAAGUCAAGGCUAGUAGACUUCAUUUGAAGUCUACCAGCCAUAAGUUUUAAGUAGAUUCAAAUGAAGUCUACUCUAUCAAAAAAAUAGAUCUGAAAAAUAAAUACAUUAAAAAUAUAAAAUAAGUUUAAAUAUAAAAAACUUUUAAAAAUAUGAUUUAAUAGACAAAAUAUUUAUAAAUUAAAGACAUAUUAAUAUGAAUUUUAAUAUGUAACUUUAUUUGAAUAUAAAUACUAGAACACAUAUUUUAAAUCUAUAGAUGUAAACCUUACAUUUCUAGGACGAGAAGAGAACAACUAUGGAAGAAAAUACCUGCAAAAUAAGAUAAAAUUAUUAAAAAACAUAGAAAAAAAAAAUUAAAGUCAUAUUUUUGUAGACUUCCAAUGAAGUCUGCUUAAACUUUGUGGUUUAUUAAACUUCAUAUGAAGUCUGCAAGCUUUAAUAAACUUCUUUAGAAGUCUACACUGUCUGAUAAUUUUCAGAUCUGAAAAAAUCUAUAUAUUUUGAAAUGUGAAAAUAAUUUUAAAUCUGAAAAUACUUUACAUAAUAGAAUUUAUAAGGUAAACUAGUAGCAAAUUAAUGUAGAGAGCUUGAUCUAUAAAUUUAUUUGAAUAUAAACAUGUAAAUAUAUAUUUAAAAUUUAUUAAUCUAAAACUUACAUUUUUAGAGGAGAUAAUGAAAUCCAUGAGUGAUAAUACCUACCAAAAAAAGAUAAUAUUGUGAGAAAUAAACAUAAAAAAUACACAUUUAAAAUCUAUAGAUCUAAAACUUACAUUUUUUAAAGGAGAAGAUGAAAACCAUGAAUCAUAAUAUCUAAAAUGACAAGAUAAUAUUGUGAGAAAGACUUGAGAAAAUUUUAGAGAGAAAGAAGAUAAUGAGAGAGAUUUGGAAACAAUUGAGAGAAUUUUAGAGAGAAGAGAGAAAGUUUUAGAGAGAAGGGAGAGAGUUUUAAAAACUUGUGCAGCCACUUUAGAGAGAGAUUGUAUAAAUUUUGUUUAUAUAGGGAGACAAAAAUGUAACUAGGUUAAAAUUUACGAUACUGUAGACUUCGUUUGAAGUCUACUAAAAUUAAAAUUUUGGAGUAGAUCUUACCUUAACAUAGUAGACCUUUUUGGAAGUCUACUAUAAUAAUUUAAUUAUUGUUGUUUAUUCUUUAUUACUUUAAUAAUUUUAAUAUAUGAUUUAUUAAAUUUAUUUUUUUAUUUUUUAAUAGUUAUAGUAUAUGAUUUCACUUUUUUAUUCGUAAGGAACUUAACUUAGUUUAAAUAUAAUGAUUUUUUGUAAAACAAAUUGAAAAAUAUAGACUGAAAAAGACGUCUUCAGAUAAAUAAACUUUAUUGUAGGUCUACGAAACCCUAAACCACAAAUCUCAAACCCUAAAUGUUUUGCUUGAUAAUCAAAAAGUCUCAUUUAUACAAAAUAUAAACUACUAAACAUUAAUAUGCAGAUUUAAGUUAAUAAAACAAAAAAAAAACAAAAUCUAAAAUCUAACCCUUUGAAAUCAACUACUAAAAGACAUAACAUGUUAGAACCUUUUGUUUAUAAACUAUGAACAUAGUAUAACACAUGAUAACCAAAUUAGUAUAUAUUCUUCAAAAUUGUUCGAUUAUAUGAAAUUUUAAUUUAUUUACUUCAUAUUAUCCAUUAUAUUGAUGAUUAGUUAAAAAUAUCACAAUAAUUAUUUUUAUACAUUUUCACAAUUAAAUUAUUAGAUCAAAUUAGAGUGUAGACUACAAAACAAGUAUAUAAAGUAGACUUCGUAGGAAGUCUAUAUAUAUGUAGACUUCUUUUAUUACGUGUAGACUUCCAAAGGAUAGAAACGUAAAAUACAUUUCUGUUUUUUGUUUGGUCAUAAGGGUUAAAUAGUACUUUCACUACUCCUUUAGGUUGGUUUUGCAUUUGAAUGAAAGUGGGGUAUACUUUUAUAUUUGACUUGAAUAUUUGGGUUGGUUUUAGCAAAUGUACCCAAAAAAAUAAGCAUCGAGAUGAUUAAGUUGUUUCUUUGACAUAUUAUAAUGAAAAGCCAUUUUCAAUUUGAAUUUAUUAAGUGACUCCGAGUGAUUAGCGUGUUUUGGUCUUUAUUAUUACAUUUAAUGAUCCUACCAGCCGAAUCCGAAUGAAAACUAUAGAGAUGAAACCAAUAAAACCAAACCGAUUAAAACUGAACAGAAUUAAAAUAGUAAAAAUGGUUUGGAUUUGUUACUACUGAAUAAACUGAAGAAACAAAUAAAUUAAAAUAUAUUAGUAUACUUAUAUAUAAACUUAAUAAUAAAAUUAAUAAUAUAUACAUAAUUUAUUUUAUUAAUAUGAUAUUUAUAAAUAAUACACUGAUUUUAAUAAUUUGUUACUUUUGAAGUAAAAGGCUGUUUUGUUUUCCUCAUUUUCAUCAAUUUAAAUAAAACAUGUUUUUAUUUCUAUUGGUAAAUAUCUGUUCUAAAACAUAUUUAUAUAAUAAUAUUAUGAAAUUACUAUGUCCUUAUUUUAUUUUAAUUUUUUUUGUCAUCCUCUUAUUUUAUUUUAAUUUUUUUAUAAAACAUAAAAUAUUAUAUUUAAAAAUUAGAGUAAGGAAUAUGUAUUUAGUUUUUAAUAAAUAUGAUUUCUAAUCAUAUAAAUUAAUUUACUAUCAAAGGUCAAUAUAUUUAUAUGAUUUUUUGUAUAAAACUCAAUAACCCAAAAACUAAUGGUAUAUGAACCGGAUCAAACCAAAUUAGAUAUGGAUCCAAUAUGGUAGCUAAUUUUUAUAAAUAAAAAUGCCGAAAAAUGAAAAAAGUCGAACACAAAAUAGACCGAAAUCAGGAAUGAAAAAGUCUAGUUUGUAGAUUUUCUCAAAACAAUUGUAAAAUUUUGCAGGGAAUUGAUUAAAGUAAUCAAGCUUUUUUCUACAAUUAGCCAAAUAACUAUAAGCUUCUUUCAAAAAUAAUUUAAAAUUAAUGCUCAAACAAAAAAAUUAAUUCUUUUUGAAUUUUUGUUUUGUUUUAUGCAUCCUAAAAAUUCAACUAAUUCACAAAAAUGUCAUUUCUCUUUUUUUUUGAAAUAUGUUAUAUUCAUCACCUUUUUACAAAACUGAAUUAUUUUCUAUCACCAAUCCUCCUAUACAUUAAAAGAGAAGUCACUUUAAUGAUUUCUUAUGACGUGUCGGUCAUAUAUGAAGUUUCAAAAAAAUUGUUAUAAUUUGAUUGGUCGAUUAUUUUUAAUUUUUAUUUAUUUAAAUUAGAUCUAAAAAUUUAAGUUAAGUCUAAAAACAUUUAAGAUCACUUGCCAUAUAAUCUAAAGAAUAUUACAAAUAACAAUUUAUGGCAACUAAAUCUCGAAAUUAUAGAAAGAUUAAUAAUGUUAUAUUUUAUUACUUUUAAUAUUUCUAAACUAUAAAAUAAAAUGAAAUUUUUUUAUAUAAGAUAAUUAUAAUAGUUUUAUAUUCUACUUGAUGAAUGGUAUUCAAAUAUAAUUAUAUAAAUAACUAUUUAAAUAUUACAAAAUCCAAACAUGUUUAUUAAUAUGAUUUUUAAAUUAUUUAUCGUUGUUUACAGAAUAAAUUUAUCAGAAUUUUAAAAUUAUUUAUAAAAAUAUAAAUCCUACUAUAUAUUGAUUGAGAAGUCACAUAAGUGAUUUUUUAUUACGUGUUGAUCAUAAAUGAACUCUUCAAAUUGUUAUAAUUUGAUUGACCGAUGAUUUUUAAUUUUAUUUAUUAUAAUUAUAUCUAAAAGGAAAGGAUAAUUCAAUUACCACUUUCCAAAUAAUCUACAUAAUAUUAGAAAUAAUUAUUUAUGGUAACUAAUUGUUGAAACUAUGAAAGAGUAAUAAUGCGAUCAAUUUUUUUAUAUAUUUAUAAAUUACAUAAAUUAAUACACAAAAGUGUUUAUUUGAAUUGAUAUAAUGAUUUUAUAUUCGUAUAGAAAGAAUUAUAUUUGUAUAUAAAGUAUCAUAAUAACUAUUAAUGUCUAAUAAUUCAAUGCAUGCUUUAUAAAUCAUUUAUAAAAUUAUAAAUACAUUUAUAAAAUUAUAAAUACAUUUAUAAGAUUAUAAAUACAUUUAUAAAAAUCAGACGUUUUAAAUUAUUAUAAGAGGUUCUAAGUCAUUUAUAGAAGCUUAUAUAUUAAUUUAUAAAAUGUAUUUUGAAAAUUUAUCCUCCUAUUACAAUAUUUUGAAUUUUUUUAUUUUAAUGGUAAAAUUUCUCAACUAUAUUUACUUAGUGUAGAAACCCCUAAACUAAAUAGUUACUGGUAAUAAUAGUAAUUAUGACCUAUCAGAGUUUAAUUCAUUAAAUAAAGUUAGUUUAGGGUAUUUUCGUUAAAUACUUAGUUUGGGGGUUUUUGCCCAAAACAAACUUAGUUAGGGGGUUUUAACGUUAAAAUUCCUUAUUCUUUUCUUAUUAUCUAUUAUUUAAAUCCUUAUAGUGGGAUUUGUUUUAUCAAAAACCAUUUUCAAUCAACUGACGAGAUAUCUUCUUUUCUAAUAUCAUGCAUUUAAUAUUUAAAUAUAUAUAUAUAUAUAACAAGAUUUGAGUUAUCAAAAUUAUGUAUAUAUUAUAACCAGAAUAUUUUUAAAAAUUUAUUAGAAGAUAUUUUAUCUCAUGGCUGAAUUAAAAUUUAUUAGAGGAUAUUAUAUCUCAUUGCUUCUCUUGAAAACUAGGUCAUUUAGAAACUUAAACUAAUUUGCUAUAUAAAUAUCGCACCACCCACAUUAGUUUCACGCAUCUAUCUUUUAAGUUUUCAUAUGUUUUUGAUCGUUAUAAUUUAAAUUCUACUUUUGUGAUCUUGCGCAGGUGUAUGAUAAUCAAUAAGUAACUCAUAGACGGGAACACCAUUACUGGUAAUUUUAUGGGAGAUUCUUCUUCUCCGUUUAUUUUUGUUCUCUUCCUCUCCAUGUUGUAUCUCUAUCUAUAUAUUUGCAUCAGUAGUGAUUCAACUAACAAAAAGAGACGACUCUGUUUAUCCAGGAACUGAUCAUCCCUUUCGAAAAAGGUAAUUUUUUUUUAUAAAGUUAAAUCACUUAUCAAGAAUAUAAUAUAAGAUAUGUAUGCUAAUCAAGUGCAAUUUAUUUAUUGUGCGUGAUCCUCUUCGGUACGUCUGAGAGCCAAAGGUAAUCUCAAAGCUUUUUAAAAGCUUUGAAACUCAUUGAUGUUGUCCUAUCAAUUAUAUAAUUUGUGAUCUUUAAAUAUUUUUGUUAGAAUUACCUCUUUUUUGACUUAAAGCUUAGAGAAAGAAACCGUAAAUCAUCUAUGUUGUUACAAUGAAACCAAUGAUAAUAAAUUUCAGGUAAUUCAAAUCUCUCUUUUAUAUUCCAUGGCUGAUUUUUUUUAUUGGAGUUAUGCAUGAAAUAUUUAUUUUUUCUCAAUUAUAUUUUUCUGAUGUUUUAUGAUUAAUGUUAAAUGUGAUCGUUUUUUAUACGUUCUAAUGUAUUCUUUGUUUAUAUGAACAUAGUAUAAAUAUCAAUAUGUAACAUCGAAUCUUUCAUAUUAACCAUAUACAUAUAACAUAAGUAUUAUAUAGUUGUAAAUAUAAGAUCAAUUUAAUAUUAAAGUUAAUGUCCGCACAUACGUGCGGGCGGUCCACCUAGUUACUAUUAACAACCAAACCCAAACUUUAAAUGCACUAGAAGUUGGUUUAUAUAUCUUUUUAUUGCAUUUAUUACACAUACAAAUAAUUUAUCUUGAAUGCACCCCUUAAGGUGAAGCAAAAAAAAACUCUUUUUAAUCCCAAAUUUAUAUACGAAUAUUCAUCAGAAUUUUUCAAAAUGGGUGCAUUUGUGUAAAGUUAUUUCUUUUUGAAUUCAUUUGAAUUUAUUUCUUUGUUUUUCCACAUGAAAAUAUUAUUGGUUCUCAAUAGCAAUAAACCUUAUUAACUAUCCAAUAAAUAACACUACAUGAACAUAUUUGUAUAUUCAAAUUACAUGAUGUUAUAACAAUAAUAUUUUAAAUAUAUACUAAUAAAAUAAUUUUAAUACAUCUUACUCUUAUUCUUUUUUUUCAUAAAUAUUUACAUGAAUCAUACUUGAUGUUUUUUGACUAAUUUUAUCUAUAUAUAUACUAUUAAAAUUAAAUAAUUGUAUUAAAAAGAAUGUUAAAAUACAUAUUUGAUUUUUUAAUAUUAAAAAUUGUAUGAAAAGUUUAGUCAAAUUCUUUUAGAAAUAUUAUCAAUUUUAUAGGAUUUCUCCGGGUUAACCGGUGUCGGAUCACGACUUAAUGCUAAUUUUUUUGAGUUUUUACAGAGUUUUAUGAGGUUUUUAAUUAACGAACUUUUUUGUUAAAUCUGAACUAGAUUACUUGCGGGUCAUCGAGUUUAUUGGUCUGGCCGCGGGUUUAGGUCGAAUAUUAAAACAGUGAAACAUUUAAAUUGAAAAGUUAUUCCGCGCUUUCAAAGCACGUAUCAAAAUCUAGUAUAUUUAUUAUAUAAACAAGUGAUGAUAUAUUAUUAUAAUCAACACGUUGGCAAUCCUUCUUUUUUUCAAUAUUUUAUUGAGUAAAAUAACCGAUGAUACAUCUAUCUUCUAUAUAUAUAAUAAUAAAGUAGACUUACUUCUAUCCUCCUGCGUCCAUAGUAGUCAGAAAAUUGGGGCAAUUUAUGACACGUGUCACCUAAAAAUAAGUCCACGCAACCAAAUAAUUUCCGUCUCCUUUUUGUUUUUUGAACUGGGCUCAUGCGAAACCAAAUUUUCCGUUUCAUUGUUAUUCAGUUGGGCUUUAUGUUGUUUAUCUCUAGAUCCAAUAUUCCGUUUGUUUUAGUAGAAAAAGAAGUUCCAUUUAGGUCAUAUGGCAUCGUAGUUACGCCUCCGAUGAGUUCAUCCUGAAACACCUUGGGUUUCCAUUAAAUACUAUUUCCAGGCUGUGUAACAUCUUUAGCCUCAAAUCAGUCGACGUCAUAAUGAGUGGCGGAGCCAGAAAAUUUUGUUACCGGAGUCAAUAUCUCACAUUUUUUUUUAAAUUUAAAAUAUAAAUUUUUAUAAAUAAUAUGCUAUACAAUCUAAAAUAUUUUAUUAUUAUUUAAGAACCUUAUAAUUUUUAUGUUAGUGAACCAAUUUCUAAAUUAAAUUAUUUAAAUUAUAAUUUGUUAUCCAUAAUUUAAUUAUAUUUAUUAUAUACAUAGAUAUUAAUUGAUAAUUUCUAUACAAGUUAUUGUAAACCCCAUUUUUUAGCACUAAUUCUGCAAUGACUUUUAACUUUUCGAACUUGUACAUGAUUACUUUAGUUAGCAAUAAACCCAUUUCACGCGGCCUAAUUUUAGCAUGGGGACUUGGUGGGAAAAAAUAAUUGGGUUAGAUUUAAAAUGUUACUAAUUGUUUAGUUGAAGUAACGUGGGCUUAUGAAGGGACCAGUUUAAUUCUCUCUCUUUUCUCUGACCUUUCUCUAGAAAACACAGCAACAAUCUUUAGUGGCCGGUUGGCUUACGCCACCGGUUACCAACCCCUCCUUUUGUUUUUUGCUGUGUAUAUAUCUUCGAUCGUUAGAAUUCGGUGGCGGAUUCGAAAGGAGCGGUAGAUGUUUAUGCGUCAUCUCCGGAAAGACAAGUGGAGGAAUGAUAGAGAAACGACCGGAGGGAUGAUCGGAACAGUAGCCGGCGGCGAGAAACAAAAGCAGUGUGUCACAUUUAGUUUUUUCAAAGAGAGUAGAGAGAGUACAAAUCAGAUUACAAAGCUGCAAUAUCUAUCAAAAGUAGCAUCCUCAGUGAUGAGAUUCUGUAGUCUAACAUGGCAAUUCUUGCAAAGGUUUAUUGUUACAUUCAAGAAUUAUGUUACGGCUGAGAGGCAGAGAUUUAGUAUUUAUUUAGGUAUUUUUUAAAUUCUAAACAACAGUACCAAAACCAAAUCAUUCAAAUCUAAAAUAGUUAACCCUAUGCAUAACGGUAUAAGUGUUUUUUUUUUGUCAACACGGUAUAAGUGUUUAUUUACAAACAUUUUUAUGGUCGUAGAAUUUUUCAGUACAGAAAUAUCAUCAAGAGCUUGAAGAAAAUAUCAUCAAUGGGCUUUAAUGGGCUGGAGCCUGUGAGUUUCAUGGCCCAAAAAAUCUAUACAGUCCAGAACGUGGUCACCGUCAUCGGAACACCGCAGGUUGCGAGAAGCUUUCGCAUUCAGAUUGACCACAACAAAAAAAAAACUCUACGAUGCUACUUGUGCGAUCCCUCUGCCGUACCGCUGCGGCGGCCUCCGUCGCUACGCUCCGAUCAUUGAGAUCCGCCCCUCCAAAUCAGCUAUUGCGCAAUCGUUCCCUCCUCACGCGAGGAUUCUUCGCUGUUUCUUCAUUUCCUUCAAAUCGAACUCCUUACGGUAAUCAACUAUAAUCGUCGCCUCUUUGUUUCUAUAUGUUCCGGUGGGAAAGAUCGUCUACUUACUAAUUAGUGUUGGUGGAAUCUUAAGCUUACUGUGUUGAUCUUUAAAAGGAUCACGACUUGUUUUACCGUUACCUUUGGGAGAUAAAGCUCUUUUCUAGAUACUAGGGAUCACGACUUCCAGAUUCAUUGUUGUACUAUUUACCUUUGAGAGCUAUAGCUCCUUUGUUGCCAAGACAUUUAGGUCUACUCGUUCAUUCACUUUGAGAUUGACAUGUUUGAUGGUAAAAAUGAUCUGCAAAGACGAGAGUUCAUUUUAAAAUUACUUUUGAAAGCUAUAUCCUUUUUUGCAAAGACUUUGAGGUCUUUGUGAUUGUUUCAUAGUGAAAAAGAGUUUGUUUUGAAGUUUACCUUUGAAAACUAUAGCUCUUUCAUUUCGCUUUGUAUAUAACGUGCUUGCUGGUGAAAAAAUGGUCAGCAGAGAUGUCUGCUCCUGCGUGCACUUUUUUUUUUUUGACGUGUUUGAUGGUGAAGCUGCAGAUUGUCGGUAUCCUCGAGCAAUUGGCAUAGGAGGUGUGCGCAACUUUAGCGAAGAUGUGUCUCACAUGCCUGAACUCAAAGACAGUGAUGUUCUUAAUGCUUUCAAAGGUUUGAUGGCUGCAGACUGGUCAGCGCUGCCUUCUGCUGUUGUUAACGAGGCGAAAAAGGCAGUCUCGAAAAACACAGACGACAAGGCAGGGCAAGAGGCCUUGACGAAUGUGUUCAGAGCAGCUGAAGCUGUUGAAGAGUUUGGUGGGAUUCUCAAUUCCCUAAAGAUGGAAAUCGACGAUAGCAUUGGGAUGAGUGGAGAGGUUUGUUUGUUGUUGUUGUUGACUCACUAACCAACCACAUUCUUUUUUUGGGUUUGACAUGUUUGAUGUGUUCUUAUUUUGUUUCAGGAUGUGAAGAGCUUACCAGAAGAUAUAACCAAAGCGCUGCGUCUUGCUUAUCAUAGGUAUGCUACCUACCUAGAUGCGUUUGGACCUGAAGAAGUUUAUUUGAAGAAGAAGGUUGAGACGGAGUUGGGGACAAAGAUGAUCCACUUGAAGAUGAGAUGCAGCGGGCUUGGUUCAGAAUGGGGAAAGGUAAAUGCACAUCUUCUUCGCCAACAUAUAUUAGUUAGAACAGCCUGAUUCAAGUGUGGUUUGCAUAAUUAACGACAAGUUGUAUAUCUGAUCUUUUUGUCGACCUUCAUGCAUCAUCCAUGCUAUCCAAAUUCAUGAAUUUUGGUUUGAUUUUCUUUGGUAGGUUACCGUUCUUGGAACAUCAGGACUCUCGGGGUCUUACGUGGAGCAAAGGGCUUAAAACGGACAGAGAAGAAUCUUAAAUAAUGUUUGUUAUUUGCGUUAUUGUGUCUUCAACACAUAAUUUGGUCAUUGUCGCUGCCCCGAAAAAUUUUAAACAAGCUUUUGUGUUCUGUUUUAUUACAUUAGAGUUUCUUUACUGCUUGUGAUUCAACAUUUUUCAAAUAAAAGAAUUGGGGCAACUCUAUCUGGUUUUCUCCAUGACCAAGACUCUGCAGGAGACUUAGGAGGCGGUGGAAGCAAUGCAGCUUUUCUUCCUAAACCAAAUGGCCAUCGUUGGCAAUCACACAGCUAUUGAAACGCUGACCAUUUCUUAAUUUCAUUCAAAUAAUACAUUUGUCAUUGAUUCUCCAGCUCUAUACCUUUCAAGCUCGAAUACCUUGAAAACUUUCGCCGUGAUAUAUCCUUCUAUACUCUAAUCACUCGGACAACACUGAAAAACUACUGCUUCCGACCGAACAAACUCCAUGCCCUCUUGCUCUACAAUUUUGUGUUCGUUGGUGGAUUGAUAAUUUAGGGUCUCCAUGUCUAUCCUUGGCAUAUGCCUUAGUUUUUCCAUCGCCCGAGUUCUGAUCUGGAUAAUAUGGGGCUGUUUAUUUCACUAUUUAUCAUCUUCAUCCAUUUCACCAUUUAUCAUCUUCAUCCAAAUGAUUCAUUUGUAUGAUCUAUUCAAAUGAUUCAUUCAGAUUUUUGUGAUUGUUUGUUUGUCCAUCCACAUAGUUCAUAGAUGAAUCAUCUAAAUAGAUUUUUAAACAAAUUACCAAAAUACCCUUGUAUUGAUUUAAUCAUAUGUUUGACUAGGUGAUUUUCCCGUACUCAUGCACGGGUAUAAAUAUUUAUACAAUAAAUAAAAUAUAAUAAUUUAUUGACAUUUACUUUUAAUUUUAAAUUAAUUUAUAAUUUAUAUGUAUAAUUUAUAUUAAUAAUAUUAUAUUACUUUAAUUAGACAUGAUUUUUGAUAUGUUAUAUCUAGUCGGUUUUAUUGUUUUUACAGUCAAUUUAGUUUUCAUUUGUGCAUAUUGGAUUGCAUCUAUUUAUCUGAAUUCAACUAUAAUAUUUUUUAUUUUAAAUAUAUUAAAGUUUUGAUUAAUUUUCUUAUUUGCAAUUAGGUUGGUCGUUGUUUUAUAUAUGUAAAUGUAUUUUAGUAAGAUUAUGUAUAACUUAAAAUAUAUUAUACUUAGAUUGAAAUAAAAAACAAACGAAAGUAUUUGAUUCCAAAUUACAUAAAUUAAUAUAACGCUCUGAAGUCUCAUGUAUAUAUAUAAAUUUUACAAAAGAUCUAAUAUGUAACAGUUGGUUAAUAUUUUAUUUUAGUUUAUUAAUAUAGUUUGAGUCAUCCUAUAUUUAUAUUUAUAAAAUAAAUAAAUAAAUUAUUAUUAUAAAAUUAUAUAUUCUCAUUGUAGUUAAAUCUAUGAUUUUAGAUAUUAGUUGGAUUAGUCGAUAUUUAUAAAAUAAAUAAAUAAAUUAUUACUAUAAAAUUAUAUAUUCUUAUUGUAGUUAAAUCUAUGAUUUUAGAUAUAAGUUGGAUCGAGUCACUCAUGUUGUGUGUAUAUUCAGUUACAUAUAUUCUUUCAAAUUCAGAUUGACAUGUACUUAUUAUUUCUUAUAAUUAGGUCAAAUCAAAUUAGUUAUAUUGAUCUCUUGAAUGUGCAUGUAUUUCCAUAUUAUUUAUCAAAUUAUAUGUUGAUAUUUAAAAGUAUUAGAAAAUAAAACGAUGAUCAAUAGGAAUUUACAUAAGUAACUGAUAAAUUUUUGAAAGAUCGUGAACACAUAUCAAUAUUUAUAAUAAUUAAAAUAUUUGAUAAAUUCUAAAUAUUUUUUUGCCUUAGAUUUAUUGAAUGACAACAUGAAAUUUAUUUUUAAUAAACUUAAAAUGAGAAUUGAGGUUUGCUUGGGUAUUUUGUUUACAGCUAUAUUAAGUUCCACCAACAUAAAAACAUAAAAUAAAAGAUCAAUCUAAAUAUUAAGAAAACAAAUAGUUCUUUUUGUAUUGUUUAAAAUUAUGUUUUAAAAUAAAAAAUAUUAAUUUUUCUAAUAUCAAGAUUAUCUAUGUAAACUUGUUGUUUGAAAUCACAUUAUAUACAAAAAUAUUUUUUUUCAUCUAAGAAAAAAAAAAUAGAUAUAAAGAAUGUAAUUUUUUGAACAAAAAAAGUAUUUUAUUACUUCAAAGGUAUAUUUAUGUUAUUUAAAAAUAUGUUUUAAAUGUAGUAUUACUAUUUUGUGAACUUUCCUUUUUAAUGAAAUCAUAUUAUAUAUAAUAUAUUUUCGCUUUUAAAUUCAUGUUUUUAACUUUAUAAAUAUUACCUUUAUAUGUUAUUUGGAAGUUUUUUAAAAGGAAACUAUAUAAAAAAUCAAUAAUAGUAUUUAAAUUUAAAAUUUUUUAUUCACUAAGGAUUCCUCGGUAAUUAACCGUCGUAAGAAUUAACGUAAGCGCGACACAUAGGAAAGUGACUUCUCAAAUAAUAUUAUAGAGAGAUUAAUUUUAACUAUAUUACAUUUAAUUAUUUAGUUUAAUAUAUUUACAUUAGAAUUAUUUCAAAAUUAACGAGUUUUCUUUUUGCGGUUUGGGCGGGAAAAAAAAAGAUUUUUCGGUUUUAGCGAGAAAACACAUUUUUUUUUUGUUUUGGCGGGAAAACAAAAUUUCUUGGUUAUGGCGGAAAAACGAGAUUUUUCGGUUUUGACGGGAAAAUACAAAUUUUCAGUUUUGGCGACAAAUUAGUUUUUCUAGUUUUGGCGGAAAACACGUUUUUGGUGGGAAAAUGCGUUUUUUGCGGUUUUGGAGGGAAACACGUUUUUGCGAUUUUCGCGGGAAAACAAAAUUUUUCGGUUUUGGCGAGAAAACGAGAUCUUUCGUUAUUGGCGGGAAAACGUGUUUUUGCGGUUUUGGCGGAAAAACACGAUUUUGCAGUUUUGGCGGAAAAAUACGUUUUUGCGGUUUUGGCGGGAAAACACGUUUUUGCGGUUUUGGCGGGAAAACACAUUUUUGCAGUUUUGGCGAGAAAAUGCGUUUUUGCGAUUUUCGCGAAAAAACGCGUUUAUGCAGUUUUGGCAGGAAAUCAUGUUUUUGCGGUUUUGGCGGGGAAACACGUUUUUGGCGGGAGAACAUAUUGUUUUGCGUUUUUUGCAAUUUUUGCGGAAAAACGAAGUUUUUCGGUUUUGGCGGGAAAAUGAGAUUUUUCGGUUUUGGUGGGAAAACGUGUUUUUUCGGUUUUGGCGGAAAAUAAGAUUUUUGGUUUUAGCGGGAAAACAUUUUUUUUUUGUUUUGGCGGGAAAACACGUUUUUGCAAUUUUGGCGGAAAAACGUGUUUUGUGUUUUGGCGGAAAAACGAGAUUUUUGGUUUUAGCGGGAAAACACGUUUUUUUUUGUUUUGGCGGGAAAACACGUUUUUGCAAUUUUGGCGGGAAAACGUGUUUUCUGUUUUGGCGGAAUAAUAUGUUUUGGGGUGUUGGCGUGAAAACAUGUUUGAUUUUGGCAUGAAAACACUUUUUGUGUUUUUGCGGGAAAACACGUUUUUGCAAUUUUGACGGGAAAACACGUUUUUGUAAUUUUGGCAGGAAAAUGCGUUUUUGGGGUUUUGCCGUGAAAAGUUUUUAGGUUUUCGCGCGAAAACGUGUUUUUGUAGUUUUGUUAGUUUUCGUAUAUGAUAAAAAUGAUAUUAUGUUUAGGUUUAUAAUUUGUGAAUUACAUUAGGGGCAUAAUAGACAUUAUACCAUUUUGAAUGAACCAUCUCUUUUCAAAUGAUCCAAAUUGUUUCAGCUGAAUGGACUUUAAAAUUAAGUCUAAAUUUCCAAAAAUCAUCUAGAUGAUCCAUCUGAAUGAAUUGCACUUUUAGUACCUAAACAAACAAAACUCUCAUUUUCAUCUAAAUGACUCAUCCAGAUGGAGAAACAAACGAGCUCUAACAGUCUGAAACCAAACACAAUCAGAACGAAAGGUUUGAAAACGAAACACAAAAGGCAAAGGAGUUUUUACUUCAUGGUCAUAGUCAAAAUCCGUGACAAGUGAAAGGGUUUUUAUUUAGAUUUUUGGGGGUUUAGGUUUUAAAGAGAAGUGCUGAGCUGCACAGUGACGGUCUAUCUUCCUUUUUUUGAGCAACCAGUGACAGUCUAUCUAACAUCAUUUGGAUUGUUUUUAAUGCACGAAUACUUUUAAUGUUUCUUAUCUAAUAAACAAUUUUCUAUAUAUUAAAUUAAAAGAACAUUUUAUAGUCUCAGUAAGAGGAAGAAGGGUUAAGAAUUUACCCAGUUUGAAAUGUUACAUUGUCCGAAGAACCCUAGAUGCUGUGGGAGUAAAGGAUCGUCAAUAAAUGCGUUCUAGUGUGUUGUAGAUUCUUAUCCAAGACUUGUGUGAUUUGAUGAUGCCAUGUGAAUCACUAAAAACAUGUGAAGUGUAUGGCUAACCCUAUAAUGAAAGUUUCGUAAGGAGACUGAAGCAGACUACCAUGAGACAAAAGAUUUGUUUUUCAAAAGAGAUUCAAUUUGAAACUCUUAUAUGUCCAAGGUUCAAUAUUGAAAUAAUUUCAGAGGUUUUCCCAGACUUUGUCCGUGUCAACAAACAAUUCAAAAUGCCUCAAAUUUUUUAGAACACGUCUCGGUCAAAUAACAAUGAUUCGAAGCACUUAUUUUUACACUAUUUCGGAAACUAAAAGACUCAAUCGUAUGAAUAUGUAAAAUACAGGAUUUCCAAUCCUAGCAGGAAAAGGAGGGAAACAGCUACCCAAUGACUUCGAAAGAAUUGAACGAGGAGCCGUAUGAAAUGAAAAUCUCAUGUCCGGUUCUGUAGAGUGGCAGUAAGGGUGGCUUAUCUGUCAACUUUUCCACUAUCACCCUCAAAAAAACAAACUCUGACUUACGUAAAGUUGCCAGAGUACGAUUAACCUUGGGAAAUCACUGCUUAUAUACAUGGUAUUGGCCAUAAUUUACAAGAACAUUAUGUAGUCUUAGUAAGAGGGGGAAGGGCCUUGUGUUGAAUCAAAUGAUUCACUUCAUAGUCUGAUAGAUCCUUGGUGGAACUUAUUAAUCGGACGAAAAUAAAGAUAGAGUCUCAUUCUACAUGUCAAUACUGACAACAAUGAAAUUUAUAGUAAGAUGAAAAUCUGUUGACUUUUAAAAUCGUGAGGGUUCAAGUCCCUCUAUCCCCAACCCUACUGCCUAAAAAAGCUUGUUUGACACCUUACCUUUUUUUUAGUUAUUCAAGAUACAAGUUUUUAGCUUUGUGCAUGACCGGCUAAAUAAUAUAAUUAAUGGUUAGACUUUUAAGUUUUUCACAAAGGGAGGAAAGGAAGUGAUUAUAAAAUCAGUUGUUACAGCAUUACCAAACCAUGUGAUGUCUUAUUACGUCUACUUAAGGCAACCGCCAAAAAACUGACAACCGCGGUCGCACAAUUCUGGUGGAGUCCAGGGGGAAGUAGAAGAGGAAUGCACUAAAAAUCAUGGGAUAAAGUAUGUAUCGAUAAGGAGGAUGGAGGACUAGGUUUUAAAGAUAUCAUUUAUUUCAACACAUUCAAUGCUCGGUAAACAGUUAUGACGUCUGAUUGAGAAGUCAAAUACUUUAUUUUCCCGAGUGUUCAAAGGACGAUAUUGCAGGAAUGCCUCACCCCUAGAACCGAUUCGUUCAUAUUCUCCGUCAUAUGGCUGGCGGAGUAUCGUUUCUGCUAGAUCUCUGAUAAGCAAAUGACUAAUUAAAAGGGUGGGAUCAAGAUUAUAUAUAUAUAUAUAUAUAUAUAUAUAUGUAUGGAACGAUCCAUGGCUCCCAACCACUCGCCUGAGACCAGUAAAUAAAAAUCAACACAAUUUCGACCUAGACCUAACUGUGGAUUCUCUUAUUAAUUCUACUUCGUGAACAUGGAAUUCAUAAGCACUCCGGGCUUUGAUGGAUUCCCAGGAUGUGAAAAAUAUAGAAAGUAUACCACUGAGUAAAACCGAGAUGGUGGACAGGGAUGGAUGACAUUUCAAAAAUAAUGGGAAGUAUACGGUUAAAUCAGGAUAUCUGAUAGAACGAGUUUAUCGAGAUAGGGAAAGACCACCUUUAAUGUUUGGACCCACAGUUGAUGUUUUGAAGGCGUUCUGCUAGAAAAUACGAUGCCCUCCAAAGAUAAAAUAUUUUCUAUGACAAUUGGUGACAUGGUGUAUAACAGUCAAGAAGAAUCUGAAAGCGCGAGGAAUACAAGGGGAUAUAUGUUGUGCACGAUGUGGAGCGGAUGAGGAAUUAAUCAACCAUGUGUUCUUUGAAUUUCAUCCAACACUUCAGGUUUGGGCUCUCUCCAAAAUACCAUCAAACCCAUAAAUUUUCCCAACAAGCUUCCUCUUUACAAAUAUGGAUCAUCUCUUCUAGAGAGGUUUCCCACAGAUGGAUGAUUAUCAGUUUGCGUGGAUACUAUGAUAUAUUUGGAAAGGAUGGAAUAAUAAAAAUUUUAGUAAUCUGGACAUGGACCUUAGGGACACGUUCAAAUUGGCAGAAACAAAGUCAACACUUUGGGCUGAUGUUGGGGUCAAAAACGGUUACGACAAAUUUAACAUUUAAAACGUCCGAGGAAGAAAAUAAGAAUUUCUCCGAAGAGUACUUUUCGAAAUAGAUUCUUUCUUACGAAAAAGCUUUACGGAAGAAAGAAUCGAGAUGUCCGACGAAAGCUCGAAACAGGUCGUUACGCAGCGACCGAACGUCCGUCCCGCUCGGUCGCUACGUAGCGACCGAGCUCAAGCCAAGGCUCGGUCGCUACGUAACGAACGAGCUCGAGCCAAAGCUCGGUCGCUACGUAGCGACCGAGCGAUCGUCCCGCUCGGUCGCUACGUAGCGACCGAGCUCAAGCCAAAGCUCGGUCGCUAUGUAGCGACCGAGCGCUCGUCCCGCUCGAUCGCUACGUAGCGAUCGGGCUCGAGCCAAAGUUCGGUCGCUGCGUAGCGAUUGAACUCUUCCGAACAUCGACAGACAUCAAUCCAUGCAUUCUCGUCAAACCUUCGAAUGCUAUCUCCCGAAGACCGUAGUAAGCUCAGUCCAUGUUUUCCGCUAUUCUAACUUAUCAAUCAAACUUCGCGGAUUAGAAACCGCGGAAGGUUCGUUCUUUAUCAAAAAGAUAUCGUAGUAAACGUGUCGAGUCGGAAGACGGCCCAAAGGGACCUAAAACACGACUCGAGGCCCAUCCUACGAUUUAUUAACUAAAAGCCCGUAAACCGCAGCACGGUUUACGCUUGGCCCACAAUGAAGGAUAAAUGUCAAGUUUCCGCGGAUAAAUACGGAAGUUUUGAAGAUAAUUGUGAAGAUCGGGAAAAAUGGAAUAUCUCCAUUUUUGUGCUAUGACGGCUUAAGGGCAGAAGAGUAAAAGCGUAAACCGACCUUGGAGCUAGUAUAUAAGGAGUCCUAGGCGAGGAGCAUGAGGGGAGAACUUUUUUCAGAGCAAACUUAGCACUUAAAGCAAUUUAGGUAAUUUUCCGUUUUUGUUAUUUCGAGCUGCGACUCAAUUAGGUUUAGCCGUCUUAGGGUUGCUAGAACUAGGAAUCUCGCCGACAGCUUUCGAGCCCAGACUUAUACCUUGUUGUAAACGCUCAUACGCAAAUUCGGAAUAAGAUCUUCUUUGCUCUCUUUUUCGAUUUCUUAUACUUUAUCGUUGUUAUUCUCGUGUACUGAUUGCUUGACGUGUGGUAAUUAGCAGAUAUCCGGGUCCUCUGGGAAAUUAGGAUUUUCCUAGUUUCCUUAUUUAAACGGAAAUCGACAGUGUGAAUUUCGGUUCCCACAGCUGAAGCACACGUAUUGAACGAAAAUAGGAUAGUAUCCCCGGUCGAGGUUACGACUCUCCAAUCAAUCCCAUGGAGAUGGUGCUUCAUAGAUGGUUCCCGGAAGGAGUAUGAUAUUUUCUCCGGACAAGAUUGGCUUAGUACUCUAGAAGGAUUUAAUGGGCUUUUGGACUCAUCAUGGAUCUAACCAUUCCCAUAUAAGUACGAUUACGCCUUUCAGGUACACCAUUCCGCCAUGGAGAAUCAGGAGGCGUUGUGUAUUGAGCAAUGAUUCCUAAUUUCUAGAGGAGUUUGGCAAAUGCUCCAGGAUGUUGUCCUGUUUCAUCAUAUCUGCCAUAAAAUUCACCACCUCUAUCUGACCUAAUGAUUUUCACCUUUCUAUCUGAUUGUCUCUCAACUCCAGUAAUGAAUACUUGUACAUCAUCCACAGAUUGAGACUUUUCAUGCAAUAGAUAGAGAUAACAAUAACGUGAAUAAUCAUCGAUAAAAGUAAUGAAGUACUUUUCGCCUCCGAAAGUUGGAACGUCAAAAGGUCCACAAAUAUCUGUAUAUAUGAUUUCAAGAAGUUGUGUACUUCUUGUGGCUCCUCUUUUGGUGUGUUUAGUUUGCUUGCCCUUAAUGCAAUCUAUACACUCUUUACUAUUAGUAAAAUCAAGACUCGGAAUGACUCCAUCUUUUACCAACCUUUUGAUUCUUUCACUAGAAAUGUGUCCUAGUCUUUUAUGCCACAAGAAAUAUGAAUCAUUCGCACAUGCUUUAGUUUUACGUUUAUCUUGCAGGGUGAGAUGUGUUUCAAAAUUUUGAUCAGACAAAUUUAAUUUGUAAAGACCAUUAACUAAUAUUCCAGAACCAAUUUUAUUAGAGUUCAGAAAUAAAUUGAAACAACCAUCUCCUUGAGAAGACUUAAAACCAGCCAAAUCAAGAUUGCUUACUGAAACUAAAUUACGGGAAAUAGAUGGAACAUAAAGAGUUUGAAAUAAAUCCAAACAAAAACCACUAUCUAAAAUGAGACGAUAAAUGCCAAUAGCUUCAACUGGCGCUCUGUCUCGAUUCCCCAUAAGUAUAUAGUUUUCAUUUGGAUUUAUGGUCUGGGUUGUAAGGAAUCCCUGCAAGGAAUUAGUUACAUGUACAUUAGCACCGCUAUCAAUCCACCAAGUAUCAGAAGAAACAUGAGCAAAGUUAGAUUCGAAAAAGCUUACUGAACCCAUAGGAUUACCUUUCUUUUCAAACAAUUCUUUUCUUUUAGGGCAAUCUUUCUGAAAAUGUCCAGAUUUUUUGCAAAAGUUGCAUCGGUCAUCUUUUCUUGCCUUCUUCUCAUUGACUUGAUUAGAAUCAUUCAUCCUGGGUGGUGCUCUUUUAUGACUUGCUUGAUAUCUUUUCCCAGCUUUAGGUCCAGCUCCUUGGACAUAGUGGGCAACCUUAAUACCUUCACGACCAAGCCUUGAUUCCUUUUGGACCAGUUUGUUAGCCAAUUCAAUCGACGUCCACUUUUCAACAAUGGCGUUGUAAUUGAUUUGGAAUGGUCCAUACUGAGGAGGUAAAGAGUUUAGGAUAAACUGGACAAGAAAUGAAUCAUCCACACUCAUUCCUGAACCCUUUAGCUUAGCCGCAAGAUUGGUCAUUUCAAUGCAAUGUUCAUGCAUAGACUUUGUGCCAUCAUGUUUCAUGGUUGUAAGAUCUGCCAUAGGUUUCCCAGCAAGGGAUUUGUCUGCAGUCUUAAACCGUUCUUCUAUAGCUGCUAGAUAAGCCUUAGCUUUCUCUGCAACUGGAAGGAAAGUUUUGAUGUUACUAGCUAUUGUCAUCCUUAAGAACAUGAUGCUCAAUCUGUUGGCUUUCUCCCACGCUUUAUGGAAACUCUUUUCUUCCUCAGUACUAUCAUUUGUGAGUUGGCUAGGCUCUUCUUCACGAAGUGCCAAGUCCAAAUCUAGUACACCUAAUGUGAACUCAACUUAAUUUCUCUUUCCAUUCGGAGAAGUUGGUUCCAGUGAGGAUGGGGACAUAAGAGACCAUAGAUGACAAAUUAGCGGGAGAAGAUGCUGCAUUUUAGAGAUAGAACAAGUAUUAAUUAAGUUUCAAAAUUUAAUCAACACGAAAAGUUGAAUGUAUAUGACAAGAAAUUAUAAUGUUCCUGUGGGAAUCACAUAAUCUCAUAUAAGGUCACACAUUCAUGGAACUUUAUUGAAUGAUGUACCGAAUUACUCAAAUUAGGUUAUAUGUAGAUAUCCUUAGCUUUCACGAUAACAAUCAUUCCAUUAUUGAAUGAUGUAUUUAAUUACUCAAACCAAAUCAUAUGUGGAUAUCUUUAGUUUACACAAUACAUACGCUCUUAAGUAACUGAUCAAUUUUCAUGAUUAUAGUCUACCUGUGGAUUACUAAAUAAUUCAUAAGAAGAUCAAAAACUUUGCUUAAAUAAUAAUUUUUAGUUGCAACAAUUAUAGGGUAAAGUCACUAUGGUGAUAUCUAAACCCUAAUAAGCACUUUAUGUGAAAUAAUGUUUUGUACUAAUUGUGUUUUAUAUGUAUAUAAAUUAUUUCUAUACAGAUUACGAAUAGAAAAAUUUAUAAAGUGCAAAUUCGGUUUUGUACGAAUUAUGUACAAAACGAUUAUGCAGUAUAUACAAAACACGUUGUACUAAUUAUGCACAGAUCGAUUAUUAUUAUCAAUUUUGCACAAAAACUUCACGAAUCAUUAUUUAGGUCUUUGAAAACCCUAAUUUACAUAAUCCCGAAAUUUGCACGAAAAAGGAUUUGCGGAAAAACCCUAAUUCGCAGAACACCGUUUUUGCACGGAUUCUGUUAAAUUAUAAUUCGGGUAUGCACAAACUAUGCACGAUUCUUUUAAACAGAAAGUUAAUUAUUUCAGAUGCACAGAAUACGCACGAUUUUAUCAAAACAGACCUAAUAUAAUUUUCAGAUCAGCACUAACUUUGCACACAUACGAAAAUUAAACCCUUAAGCAGAUCUAGAAAUCAUAAUACUUAGAUCUAUCAGUUUCAGUUAUCAAGUUCAUAGAUCUAUUAUUUUUAAUGGAUUAAAAAGAUGUUCAUAACCUUGCUCUGAUACCACAUGUAAGUUAAAAUUACAUGAACCCUAAAAUUUUUAAACAUCUAGAUUAAUCACAUAAUAGAAUCAUAUGAAUGUUUAUAGAGUUACUUGGAUUCAUUGUGCCUGAGAGAUCUUCCUGAAUGGAAGAUGAACAGCUCAAUCUUUUCUAGAAACUUUUAGGUUUCUCUCGCCUCGUCUAUAACGUUAGUUGUUGCUUUUAAAAUAUCUUUAUGAUGGUCUAAAGAUAUGUAUGUAUAGGUGGAGAGAUGACCUAAUUCCUCUUUAAGGUUUCCUUUAGAUUAAUCUCAACCGUCCAUCAAAGUAGAGAUAGAUUAUGAAUUACUCCAUUAUUUUCAAUUUCAUUGGUCACCAAAUAUAUUAAAUAAUAUCAAUAUUCUAAUAGAAAACGGAUAACUAUAAGACCAUAUAAUAGGGAAAUGAAAUAUUCCUUACACUUACAUCUCCCUAUAUUUUUCACGAUCAGUUAGAGCAACAUUAUCGGGGCUUCUAAGCCUCGUUGCUUAGCCCAAUUCGGCCCAAAUUUAAAUCAAAAUUGGAGAAUAAUAAAAGAGUCGUUUUUCAGGUAAGAAGUUUUUGGCCGAAGUGCUUGUGUCACGUGGCAAGUGGUAAUAGGAAGUAGGAAGCGGUAGAGAGAAGUGGUCGUUCGGUCUCCAUCCAUUCUCUUCGUCUCCCUCUCUCUCUCUCUCUCUCUCUCUCUCUCUCUCUCUCUCUCUCUCUCUCUCUCUCUCUCUCUCUCUCUCUCUCUCUCUCUCUCUCUCUCUCUCUCUCUCUCUCUCCGGAGAAGGCGAUUUCUCGAGCAGUGAAGCAGCGUCGCUUACCACACCGAUCUACCGUUCAAUCCAAAGCUCUACCGCUGCAUCGAAUCUCCACCAGGUUCGUCCUUCUUCUCUGAACUUAUUUAUUGCGAUAAUCGGUGAGAUUUGUCGAUCUAAUAUUUUUUUUGGUUUGAUUCCUUUUUGCAUGCGUGGUGUUUGAUCUCGGUGUGCAUCGUCUCACUAUUCUCUCUCUCUCUCGACGGUAGAUUUCGGCCGCCGUCGUCUAUUCUCACCCAAUCCACAAGGAUCUCGCCGUCGUGCUCUGAAUUGAAACGAUACAAGGUUUGUCUUCUAUCUCUGUUAAUAUUCUAUCUCUAUUAUAGCCAAAGAUUUAGAGGAAUCAUAUAAACUAAUUGAUUGGUUUGUCACUGAAUGUUUGGUUGUAUAGUUCGUGUGUAUAGUUUCUGAAUGUUUGGUUGUAUAGUUUCUGAUGGUUUUGUUGGCGAGGAAUUUGAUUGUGAACUGAUCUGUGUUUGAUUGUAUAGUCGAUUGAUUUGUGUAUUUUAGAUUAAAUUUUGGAUUUUAUACUCGAUGGAUUUGUGUUUGUUUGACAAUUUGAAUGUAUACUUGAUUGAUUAGUGAAUUCGACAAUGAAAACAAAGAAGAAAUUUAACUAAGUAGGUGUGGACAUUUAAGGAAGACGUUGUAGUGAGUGUUGUAGUUAGUUUGGUUUUGUAGUUAUUAGUUUCGAACUAAUAAGCCGUCUAUAACGAGUAUAAGUUUAUUGUUUGGCUCUUUGUAAGUGGAGUGUAUUUUGUUUCUAACCAAAUGAAAAUCAUAUUUAGUUACUUGAUUGCUUUGAUGGUUGUUAUGCUUGUAAUAACUAUUGAUUAGACCCUAGUAGUUGAUGGUUAGGUCUUUAUUUAAAGCUCUUUGAUGGUUGUUAUCCUUGUCUUUAUGAUAUCUUUCUCUCUUAUUUCUUUAUAUAAUCCGCAACAAGCUUUAAUUCUUGUUGUGGUAAUCUCUUUCUCUCUUGUUUAUCUCUUGUUUCUCUCUUGUUUCUCUCCGGUUUCUCUUUCUUUCUUUUAUAAUCCUCUCAUUCUGCUCGCUAUGGAUUCAACGAAUCCAUUGAAUCCAUAUAGUGACUCCCGUAGCUAUAGCUAUCUUCUCCACAGUCAAAACUUCCAGUAUGGAAGUUAUCCUUCGAGUCAAAACUUUGGAGGAGGAUCCAAGAUACCUCCUUUUAGUUCACAACAACCCGACGCUCCAGCUUCACGUGAAGACCCACCAGUUGCCUCUAGGGAGAGAAGGCAACGGACUCCAGCUGAUGACGAGGUCGUAAUAAGUGUGUGGCUCAACACAUCUAAGGAUGCUGUUGUUGGAAAUGAACAAAAAUCUGGGACGUUCUGGAAACGUGUUGCUGAGUAUUAUGCAUCAACCCCACAUGCUAAAGAGAGUGGUGAACCUAGAGAGUGGCUCCAUCUUAAGCAGAGGUGUCAAAAGAUUAAUGACUACACCAACAAAUUAUGUGGUGCAUACGCGGCAGCAGAGAGACAUAUCAGUUCUGGUCAGAGCGACACUGAUGUCCUCAAGGUGGCUCAUGAUAUUUACUUCGCUGAUCACAAGAGGAAAUUCAAUCUGGAGCAUGCGUGGUGUGUGUUAAGGUUUGAGCAGAACUGGCUCAGCCUUAACACUCCUAAACCUACUGGGAGUUCAAAGCGAAACGCUGGAGAGUUUUGUUCGCAAACAUCAAGCACUACUGUUGGUGAUCAAGAGGUGCGUCCAGAGGGUAGCAAGGCAGCUAAAGCUAGAAAGAAUAAUACUCAAGGAAUAAAAUCUAUUGCUGAUUAAACGACCGUCAUGGAGUUGAAGAAGGAGGAUCUCAUGAUGAAGGAGAGAUUGUCAAAGCUUGUCAUUCUAGACACACUCCUAGCCAAGACAGGACCACUAAGCGAGGCUGAGGAAGUUGUGAAGAACAAGCUGCUCGCUCAGUAUUUCUGAAAAUGUUAUCGCAUUUAUUAUGUAUCUGUUUCCUGAAAAUAUCUUUUAAAUUCUGUGUUUUCUGCUUCCAUGUCUAAUGUAUUUCUGCUUCGUAGUAAUGAAAUAAAUGUUUCCUUAAAUUAUUGUUUUUCUGUUUACUUUCGUGAUGUCUAAUGUACUUUCGUAGUAAUGAAAUAACUGUUUUUGCAGGUUUAUUUAAAUGGGGAGAUAUAGUUACAGCCAACCUUCAGAUUCUUCAGAGUAUGGUGGGGAGAUAUCUGAGUACAGCGAGACGGAAGACCUCAUUCGUCGUGACCAAGAAGAGUUGAGCAUGAAAUAUGGUGACACGGCUCAGUACCCUCCGCAGUACCCUCCACAACCGGAGGUCGAGUUUGGAUUCCCCCAGGUUUGCUACUGUGGUGGUGCACCAAAGAUAGCUACAUCAUAUACAAGGCUUGAUCCAGGGAGGAGAUACUACACUUGCGAGCAUGUGGAUAAUGGAGAAUGCCAUGUGUGGAAAUGGUGGGACAUCGCAGUCAUGGAGGAGAUGAGGGCGAGGGAUAAACACAUACUUCAGUUGGAGGAAAAGGUAGACAAUCUGAACCUUAUGAGUGACUAUGAGACAGAUGAGAAGGUGCUUAGGCUAGAGCAGUUAGUUUGUGACUUGGCAAAGAAGGAAUCUAGUUUUAUAAAUGGCUUUGAGGUAUUCAUUGGUGUAAUGCUCAUCGUUUUAGUUCUACUAGGGUUGGUGAUCGUAUUGAAGUGAUUCUCCGUGCUUGGCAAAGAAGAAAUCUAGUUCUACUUGGGUUGUUGUUUUAGUUUCAAGCGUAGUGAACUUUAAAGACAAAGACUAAUGUAAUGAAGGAUGUAUCUUUAACGUGAACUUUAAAGACAGAGUUUUGUUGGUCCGUGAAACUUGAAAACAAAACAAACAUCCCUCCUCACCAAAAAUUGUUGGUCCGUGAAACUUGAAAACAAAACAAACUUGAAAACAAACAAACAUUAGAUGUGUAAGAGUCACAUGAUUUGUUUUUUAUUUCCACAACAAAACAAUAUACAAUCACAAGCUGUAUAAUUUCAAUCACACUAGUAUCACAAGAUACACUUAUUUGAUCCUAUAAAUAUGAUAGAUCGUUGGAAAUUUUAAGACAUCCCUCCUCUUAUACCAAAUCUUCUUCUCUAUCAUCAACUUUUCAUUUAAAAAAAAAAAUCUAAUGGCAUCUUCUUCUCAUUAUCACUACCACAAAGAUGAUGAUGAUGAAAUUGAUUCCAUGUUAGAUGAUUAUGCUGAAAAAUUUGAUCUUAUUCCAGAACCAAAAGAGCGAAAGCAACGUAUUUUUAUCGAGAGGCACCAGAAGAAGGCCACCAGAUGCUCUGGGAUGAUUACUUUAGCGAGACUCUAACUUACACGCUCCAAUUAUUACGGAGACGGUUUCGAAUGAACUAAUCAUUGUUCCUGCAUAUUGUGCAUCGUCUCUCCAUAGAAAUACUGUAUUUUAAACCAAGAGAAGAUUGUACCGGACGGUCUAGUCUAACACCCCUACAAAAAUGUACUGCAUCAAUUCGACAGUUGGCAUAUGGCGGUGCAGCUGAUUCACUUGAUGAGUAUGUUCGACUUGCUGAAACGACAGCUCGGAAAUGUUUGCACAAUUUUACGGCCGGUAUAAUCAGCUUGUUUGGUGAUGAAUACCUACGACAUCCCACACAAGAGGAUCUGCAAAGACUACUCUAUAUCGAAGAACAACGUUGGUUCCCGGGGAUGAUUGGAAGCAUCGACUGUAUGCAUAGGGAGUGGAAGAAUUGCCCCACGGCUUGGAAAGGAAUGUAUUCACGAGGAACCGGAAAACCAACAAUUGUCUUGGAGGCGGUAGCUUCAAGUGACCUUUGGAUAUGGCAUGCAUUUUUUGGAGCUCCAGGUACUAUGAACGAUCUUAAUAUUCUUGAUCGAUCACCCGUUUUUGAUGACAUUAUUAACGGAAUAGCGCCACAAGUAAACUUCUAUGUUAAUGGUAAUCCAUACCAUUUGGCAUAUUAUCUCACUGAUGGUAUUUAUCCGAAAUGGGCGACUUUUAUUCAAUCUAUCCGACUUCCACAAAGUGAGAAACAUUCGUUAUUUGCUAAAACCCAAGAAGCUGUUCGAAAAGAUGUUGAGCGUGCCUUCGGAAUUCUGCAAGCUAGAUUUGCCGUUGUGAAAAAUCCAUCUAAGUUAUGGAAUAAAGACAAAAUAGCAAAUAUUAUGAGAGCAUGCAUCAUUCUCCAUAAUAUGAUUGUCGAGGAUGAACGAUCAACAAACACUCUAGAUAAUGUUAGAGAAUUUCAAGAAAGCGAAGACGAGGAUACAUUUACCGUUACUAGGCCUUCAAAUCUCGGCAGUGCAAUGGAUCGUCGAACGAGCGUUCGUAAUAGACAAGCCCAUGAACAAUUAAAAUACGAUUUGAUUGAAAAUAUAUGGGCUAAAUUUGGACAUCUUCCAAAUAACAUAUGAUUUUUAAGUUUCUAUGAAUUGAAUAAAAUGUGUGUUUGCUAUUAUUUCUGAAGUUUUUUUAUGUAUGGAAUGUAAUAAAAUGUUUGUAAUUUUAAAUCAAAUUAAUAAAAAUCUUUCUUUUUUUUAGUGGUGAUUAUAAAUGGGUAUAUGUUCAGGAUUAUAUGUCUUAAUUACUAAUUAUUAAUAAAAAAUAAUAUUUUAUACCUAAGAACCUUCAAAAAGUUCUAUUGAUAAUGUUGUUUUUCACUUAAGUAUCUUAGAAAAGUGCUUAGACUAGAAAUACUAAUUAAAAACUCUAAGAAAUUUUCUAAGAAGUGUGUUGAUAAUGUUGCUCUUAGGAGCCUUAAGAUGAGGAUUUUUAGUGCUUUUGAGCUUUAAGAAGUUAUGCUCAGAUUUCUCAUACUUUGGAUGGACCAAAAUUAACGUUAAUUAAUGAAGCUAUUAAAAAUUGCAUGUCCAGAAGAAAGAUCUAUACGCCUCAUUGUCUCUGGUUUCCAUCUGCAUGCGUGGCUUCCCGUUAGUCUAUUUCGUAGUGUGAAAAUUUUCACGACUAGAUGAAUAAACCAAUGGGUUCAAACUUUAACUUGGGCUCCCUUAUAUUGGAAAAACGAAUAUUGCGUUGAUUGAAUUGAAUGAAUAAAGUAAAUGUAAACCAAAAAGUACAAAAAAUCUAUGAAAACUAUCACACUUACGCAAAAUUUUAUAACAUUAAAGAGUUUAUUUAGAUAGAAGUCCGUUAAAUUACAUAUAGAAAAAAUAAACUAGAUUGACAGUUAAUUAAGAGAUAAAAAAGUGAUUCUGAUUAACAAAGAGAUGCAUUUCUACAUCAAUGGGAAGCCCUGUUUUAUCUAAUUAAGAAGAGUCACCACACUAUCUAGUACCUAAAUGGCCUAGCUAGGUAUAUAAAUACCAUAUCAUCUCUUUUCCCCUCCUAAUUUACAUUUUAUACUAAUAGGAAACAAAUUACGCAGCCGGAGCAUAAUCGUAGCCACCGUCAUCGUCAUCACCACCAUUUUCAAUAUACGCCGCUCGAGACGUAUCCACCACAUCUUCAGCAGACACUGCAUAAUCACCGUCAAAACUCUUAAUGACCAAGUGUGCGACUAAAUACAUGAUUACUUAUUGGUUAUGAAAGUAGAGAGAUGAAAGGCUUGAAGAGGCCGAGAGAGAGAGAGAGAGAGAGAGAGAGAGAGAGAGAGAGAGAGAGAGAGGGAAUAAGUGAAAUAAGUUUGUAAUAUGGAUGUGAAUUUGGUGGUAGAAUAAGAGAGACUAAUAACGUUUUUAUAGAUGGAAAUAAAAGGUAACACAAGUGGUGAACGCACACUAAGGUCAGGACUGCCUCCGUAGGGUUUGUGAUUUUCUCAUGGAGAUGUGUGUUUCGCCCAAGAGAUUUUACCUUUUUUCUUACACGUAGGAUUUUAUUAUGACACAUAAGACGUUAAGUCAUGUCACUGGUUCAUCUUUAUUCCUUUCUAGUAUACAUGUAAAGGCAAGCAUUGUUCCUUUUCACUAAUAUUAUUCCCCUAGAACAAAAACCGAGUGGAGCCUUAAAUAUAGUAUAAAUAAUAUAUAUAAUCUAAUCUAAGGUGGUUAGUUAGCGGCAACAUCGGUCACCUCUAUUUGAAAUUGGGGGGAAAGAUUUAUGUUAUUGGUUCAAGUAAAGAUCUCUUUUUCUUACAAGAGUAUUAAUAACUAAUCGUACAUCUAUCUUGUGACACAGCCUGUUCAUAUAUUAUAGUUUUAACAUGUGUCACCCAUACGCAAUAAUGAUUCCACGUUUUGAUUACAAUUAUUGUUAUGUACUUAAUAUACAAAAAAUGUAAUAGUAGUUUGUUCCGAACAUGACCUUACAAACAGGUCGACCAAACAGAAAUCUGCCCGGUGGCCGAUGGGAUAGAAGGGUCGACCAGCUGGCUCAUGCUUAAUGGUCGAUGAAAAUGAUGAAUAAUAGAGAUAUAUUAUGGAUUUUAUCCACUUUUAACCAUAAUAUAUAUAUAUAUAUAUAUAUUUUAGAAACUAUUUAUUAGAUAUUGGAGUUUUUUUUAGCACAUUUACAUAUUCAUGAGUGAUUUGAAAAAAAAAAUGAAGAUUUGUGUGCAUUUUGAAGAUAAAAUGAGAGAAUCUCGUAGCUGACCAUCGAAUCAGUCCGAAAAGUCAACAUUUAGAGUCAAACAUCGAUCGAUGCACACACUGUACCAUCAAUUGACAGCGAAGCGCGCAAAGCCCAACCGGCUUAAAACCAAAGUCAAGACAUAUUUACAGAGAUAUGCUUGGCCGUUUUUAACCAAAUUUUUUUGUGCUCUCCCAUUGUUCUAGGCAACACACACUUUCCAGACGCUCUAAUUUUACACAACAAACUAAUCUUAAGGUUUUUAGUAGAAUUGAAGAGAAAAUCAUAUACUCUUUCAUAGAUUUGUAUUGGAACUCCAGUAUUUCUAAACUUAAUCUAUUUAUGCAUUCUUUUAUGUUUAUUGUUAGAAAUUGUUUUGCUAUGUCUGAGUAGUUCACCUUGUUAGGUUUAGGGUUCAAAUAGGAUUACGAAGGAUUAGCCUCAAAUAUAGAAUUUUUGAGUUGUUUGUGACAUCCAUCAGUUGAAUUAAUUUUAUUGCAUGUGUUCUAGAGUAGCUAACUAGAAUCCUAAUAUUAAGAAAAUUAGGUGCACGCGGAAGCCUGAUCUUUUACCUGAACUGAUUCAUGUUGUGCUAGAAUUGCUAGAAACAAAUGUAAGUUGAUCUAGGAAACCUAGUAAACAUAAUUCAAACCUGCUUGGUAAAGCUUGCUGGAAGUAACAUCAAUCGACAAUCUUAUAUGUGUAUUGAUCGACGUUCUGAAAGGUGUAUCGAUCGAUUAUCCAUCGACGGUAACGAUCGACACUUUCUCCACAUCAACAAACGAGAGUUGAGAUCUGAGAUUCAGCCAAUAGAUAAUCUAGACAAACGGAAGUUGAUAGAUUAUUACUUAGUUUGCGUUCUAAAAUAUCCAAUAUACAAUCCUAGAUUCUAUACUAUUAUAGUUAUGAUUACCUGAAUAUAAACCUUAAGUCUAACGCUUUCUCAUAUUGCUUACAAACCUCUAGACCAACCAAUCGAACAACUGUCUUAUUCACCCUGCAAUUCACUAUUUACAUUAUUUACCUAGCUUAAUCAUAAACUGUUUAGAUCUAUUGUGUACCCUAGCUACCUGUAGAUUUGAUCCCUAAAUAAUACAAUUGAACCUCUUAUUUGAGAGCGUAAAAUCACUCUUUAGGGUAAUUUGAGUGAUAUCAAAUUUGGCGCCGUUGUCAAGGAGCUUUGAUCGCCAUUACAUCUUGUCUAUUUAGAUUUAGUCUAGAUUUUAUACUGUUCUAAGUGUUCUAAGAAAAAUGAUAAAAAAAAAAAAUUUAUUGACUUCUUUCAGGUGAAUGCCUAACAAUACUAGAAGCAACAAGGAAAAAUCACUACUUUUCUCAGAUCCAACACUUUUGGAACACACGAUCCGCAAAGAAAAGAGAAGCGCAUCGAUCGACAACAACAUCAGUUCGUCGACCGAUACUUCUCAGCAAACAUCGACCGAUACUCCUAAUCCGUCGACCGAUAGUUUUGAAGUACUGACUAUCGACACUUCGAUCGACAUCCAUCCGCGAGACAUGGUUGCAAAUCUAAUCCUAUAGUGAGAUGAGAAUGGAGACUUACAUGACCAGGAAUGUCAUAUGCGUAAUGCAGCAGGUCAUAGGUUAGAUGAUCAGAGGGAUGUAAUUUUUGAUCAAUAUGCUGAAGCCCCUGCAGUUGCUCAAGCUGUAGACGAGGCUGCUCGACCCAGAACGUUGGUUGACUAUAAUCGUCCAUAUCAGUACUACGCCAACAUAUCUGCUAUUCAUCCUCCUGCUAUUCAGAGAAACGAUUUCGAGCUGAAACCCAAGUACUUUACACUAAUGGCGCAGACACCCUACUAUGGUUUGUCACGAGAGCAUCCUAUGCCAUCUGGAGCGGUUCAAAAAUCUGAUUUCUGCCAUUAAAGCUAAUGGAGUCCGUGAACCUAUCUUUUCUGCAAGCUCUUCAAGUACUCAUUGGCUGGAGAAGCUUCGCGCUGGCUUAAGCAGUUACAACCAGAAUCUCUCACAUCCUGGGCUGACAUCAAAAUGUGUUCAUGCGCAAUUUCUGUAAUGAGUCACGAGCUGAAGACUUACGAAGCAAGAUUGCUACAUUCAUUCAAGAGUCUGUCAGAAACUCCUGGAUCAGUUUAAAGUUCUGUCAGAGAGACUGUCCACACCAUAGAUUUUAUGAAGUGCAACUGCUCAACAUUUUCUUCAGAGGCAUUGCACUGGCAUAUCAGAUGGUUGUGGACACAUCUAGUGAAGGGAACUUCAACACUAGAAAUCCAAAAAAGAAGAAGCUGAAAGGCUAAUUGAGAACUUGGCGUCCAGAAAUAGCACCAAGAACACUGAUUUUGAGGGGAGAAAAUCAGCCACUCUAGGAAAUGAGGAGUUGGAUGAAGUUAAGGCUAAGUUGGACAGUGUUCACAAGCUUCUCAAGAAGUAUUUUAGCUUUGCAGAGGAUAUGAAAGCUAUAGAAAUCAACAGUGAUGGAGAUUUAGAAGAGGAUGUGAAUUUUAUCAGUGGUACUGGUUUUCUGAAUCAGAAACCUGGGAAUCAGAGUGUGUACAAAAACUCCUAUGAGAAUGGACAGAGGAGUAAUUUCAACCAGAGUUCACAGUUCGAGAAAUCCUACCGCAACAACUUUAACAAUAACAACAACAUAAACUAUGGAAAUUCUUCCUAUCAAAACGUGCCACCACAAACUCGAGAGAGCAAGAUAGAAGCAAUAAUUGAACAAGUUCUUAAGGGUCAUCAAAAGCUAAUGGUGAAUAUCAAUGGGAAUAUAGAUAUUGUCUACACAGAGCUAAAUGCAAAGUUUGAGGCUUUAAACACACAUGUGAAGAAGUUGGAGACACACGUGGUUCAGAUAAGAGAAGCUGUUAAAAAGCAAGACACCUUCAUCAAGAGUAAAGGAGAUGAAGCACUGAAGUACCACAUGAAUGCCAUUAUAGAGGAUGAUUUAUGGCAAGUGGUUAAGGAGGAGAAGCUUCAGGAGGGAGACGUUGAAGUUGAAAGCUCCAUGAGCUUCGGUAGUUCACAUUGGUGUCCAUCGACGACGCCGGGUAAGGUACAUCGAUCAAUGGAAUCAGAUGAACACCGGUCGAUAUCUGUUGUUCAUCAUCGAUCGACAAAGUCAGUUCCAUCAUGCGAAACGGUUAAAAUCAUGACCCAUGAAAAAUUCACAGCUAAGCACCUUUAUCCUCUCAAACCCUUUAUUGCAAACAUUGAUUGGCAGAAUGAACAAGUCACCGAUUGACAGAGCGACUAAACCGUGAUCGACAGUCAACCUUAGUCAUUGAUCGACAUACACCUCUCUGCUACUGAGUGCAACUCCCAUAAAUUGAUGUAGCAUGAUUGAAUGUACUCAGAAAUCCAUCUUAGCCUUUAAAGAUAUCAAUGGAAAACAUCAGUGAGCAAUCUGAAGAUGCACCAAAGUCUAUACAAAUUGAUAAGGCUACUGUGGGAAUGACCUUGAGGAAGAAGAAAGAAAAGGUUCCUGAGCAUCUGAAGCUAGUGAUAUAGAGAUGGAUAGUUUCACAAAGGGGAUUCUAAGGUUCCCAUUGGAUAAGCCAUUUGAGGAGGCUUACUUUACCUACAGGCUGUGGAUAUUCUUCAAAGAAACUAAAGAAACUGAAGAGGACAUUAGAAGAAUGUUCUACCAAGUCAGAGAGAAAAUAAAACAAAGGAUUACGCUAAAGAAGAAGAGUGAUCUUGGAAAAUUUGUGGUACCAUGCUUGAUAGGAGGCAUUGACUACCCUAGUGCGCUCUGCAAGAGAGGAUCGUCAGUCAGCAUUCUACCUAAGGUGAUGGCAUACCAUCUAGGUUUGAAGAUAGGCCUUCAGGAGAAUUCAUCAGAAACCUUGAGGUUCAGAUUGGUAUGCCUUAGUUCCAUUAGAAUUUCAUGUCCUUGACAUCAAGCUCAACUAAAACUUUUCUCUAUUACUUGGGAGAGCCUUCAUAGUUAUUGUAGGAGCAGUAUGCGACAUGCAGACCAACAAGUUGUGCUUUACACUCAAAGACUUUACUGUCUAUUAUGAUCCAGUGAGAGUUGUCAAGCAACAGACAUGUUACAUGAAGUUUGGAGAUAAUCCAUGGUUCAUUGCAGUAUGCCACUGCGACCAUGAAGUUGAACAGGAAUCUGAGGUUGAAACAUCGUUCGUCACUAAACUCCGUGCUUGCGCGGAGACAAUGCCUCUAGUAGAUACAAAACAUCAUACCUUAAUUUGAUUUGGAAUACAAACAUGAGUAUUUAUAUUCAGUUUAUCAUAAAAAUUAUGUUUAAAGCUUUUUUUUCUACUAAAAUUUUAAGUUUAUUAUGAUUGUAGAACAAAAGAAAAGUUGCUGUAGUGGGAAUUAGAUUAAGGUCAAUUGUUAGAAGAUGUAUUUUAGUUAAUUGUAAUAUUUUUUAAAAGAUAGAAAUAUAUCCAAAUUUCUAUAAUUUUUAUUUUUAGCCACAAUUAUUUAGGUUUAUUUUCAGAUUUAAUACAAUUUUAAUGAAAAUCAAAAGUAAAUACAAUUAUUUUUACAAACAGUCAAAAUCUUUUUUUGUUGUUUCCGCACUGCCCUCUUUUUAAUUAUUUUUACAAAUAGUCAAAAUGAAUAGAAUUAAUAAGUUUGUUUGCCAGUCUUAGUUUGUGUCCCUCAAUUUGACUUUCAUAAUCAAUUGUUUUUAGGUUUUGAAAAAUAGAUGAAUACAUGAUGUUUAUCUUGUGUUUAUAUUGGACUAUAGAAAGAUAUAAACAACAGAAUUUUAUUUGUUGUAAGUUUACCAACAAAUAUAACCCUCAAAUAACAUUUUUCACACUGAAUUAUAUAACAUUCAAAAUAAUAUAUCUCAAAAUAACUUUUUUCUAUUGUAAAUUAUAAAACAAGAACCGUGCAAAGCACGGGAGAUAUACUAGUUAUAUCAAUAAAAUGUCAAUAAGAGCAAAUGCUAAGCACAGAAGUUUGAUGAGAGGACACGAGUUCGUUGGCCUCUUUAUAGGUAAGAGCAAAAAAGUUGAUGGAAGUUUAGACUCGCUCCCGUCUUACACUGACUUCAGUCAGGAGUGUGACAUGUUUAUACAAAUUGUUGAAUAGCACAAUUUAAAUAAUGAAUCACAAUUGAACUUUUUUUACACAAAGGAUUUUGAAAUGCCACAUACGCUGCACGUAUUAAUUUACAUUUCUUUAUCUAGAAAUGAUAUGGAGGAGUACUAUUUCCAAGCAAUAAAGCAAGAAAAGGUUUAGCCUUUAUAUCUGAUGGGAAUAUUAUUUGUAUGCGUGACAUAGUGGUGUAAAAGUAUUUUGUCUGUAUUUUGUUAAAUAAUACAGAGGUCUGAUUCUUAUAUAGAUAACUGAACAUAAUAAAAUAGAGAGAAAAAGUUAUUCGAACAUACUAUAAUAGAGUAUAAUUUUUCUUCGUUGCAUUUACUUUAGAUUUUCAGUCUCUUUUAGAGUUUAACUCCGAGUUUCACUUAAAUUUGAUUCUUUUUUUAUUUACUUCAAAUAAAUUCAAAUUUGUUUUUGACUUAAAUCGAUAGCUUUAGUGAAGUUCUUCAUUUUUAUUUUAGACUGUGUUCUUUAAUUUAUUUAAUUACACUUUUCAUUAUAUUUUUUAGUGAAUUGGGAUUGAUAUGCCAGCACAUAAUAAUCCCAUUUUUUAUUAAUAUAGUUAUGUAUGCGAAUUACAUUUAUAAUCAAUGAACACAGACAAAUAUAUUUUGUACCAUUAUGUCGCCACUACAAAUAAUAUUCCAGUGAAGGCAAAAAAACAUUUUCUUGCCUAUCCUGCUUUGAAAAGAAAAAGGAAAUGCAAACCGAUGUGUCGCAGACGUGUCACUAUAAAUUCCCAAGUGUCAAAAAGUUAACAGCGAUUCAUAAUCUGUAUUGUGCGAUUCCACGUUUCUUACGAGCAUAUCACACUCCUUGGCGAGGUCAGUAGAAGGCGGAAACGAGUCCAAAAUCUCAUCAAUUUUGUUCCCACACCUAUAAAAAACCAACGAUCUCUCGUUCCCUUAUCAAACUCAAAUCAAUCUUCUUUGUUUUUCAUUUGCCCUUCUACGCUUGAUUGAGCGGUUUAUUUGAAGAAAAAAAAUGAUUAAUGUCUGCGAUUUUUUUCCCAACAAUAAUAUUUCUGAAACGUGCAUUAUUGGAGGCGUCAUGGCUAGUAACGAUCAAGCAUUUGAGUAUGCUCAAGUUCAAGCUACCUAUGUCGAAAAUGGUGACAACGAUGAUGACAUUAUAUAUGAUUAUGCUCCAGCAGCCUGAAUGGUUUUAUGUUUAUGAACAAUGAUUUUGCAUUUUUUUUAUUAAUGAUUUGAUGCCCUAGGGUUUGUUUUAAGUUUCUCGACUUAAUAUAUAGUCGAAUAAAAGGUUUUUUUUUUCAAUCUCACUUUUUCUCCCACUUUAUCUUUGAAUAAAAUAGAUAAAACCAGAUCAUGAACUGUUACAAAUAAGACUGUCAGUGAUUUUCGAAAUGUUAUUGUAAUGCUCCUAUCCUCGUUAGUUGGGUAUUCGAAAAACCCCGAUAAUUUCUAAGGAUUAUCUGCCACACCGAACAUCCUCUGCUUAACAUACUAACGAUAGUAUAUAUGAACUUUUAACAAAUCUAUCACUAAAUGUCGUACAAUUCAGUUCAGACAAAAAUGCCGUAUAGUUAACCAAAUAAGUAUACAAACAUGAUUUAUGUGAGGCGGUUCAGUGAUGAACAAUGUAAGCCCCCGACCGUCUACAGGCCUCCAACAUCCGCUUACUCGCUCCAUCCCAUAAGAUGAGUAGUGCGUUAAUUUUUCGGAGGCUUACAAAUCAUGUUUGCUGACCUUACAAACAUCACAUGAUUACAUUUCGUGUGUAAGCUCGCACGAUAUCACAAAUUUUUUUUUGAUAUACCACCCAUCAUUCUACUACUGCAGCUCAAGCAUGUUUGACUCUAGAGUUCUAAACGAAUGUGUGCCCGAAAAAAGUAAGCGCAUUUUGGUGUUACUGGAGCUAAAUCAAUUAUGUUAAGCUUUUCCAUAUACCACAAAUCGGAAUGUUACUAUUCACCUCCUCUAACAGAGCGAAACAUCCUAUUUGCGCACUACAACAAGUCUCAAGAUGCCACCCGAGAUGGAUAACCAGCUCUGAUACCAUACCACUUGUAUCACCCCCGACAACCCAUGGCUAAUGAGCCUCCCACGCCCGCUCACUCGGCCCGUAGGCUCCAUCCCGUGCGACGGGUGGUGCGUUACUUUUCUGGAGGCUCAAGAUUGGUGGUUACUGACUUUGCAUUCACCACAUGAAUUUUCACCGUUAUUAGUCUCACUCGCACGAUAUCACGAAUUUCUUGCCAGUAUGUUAUCCACCCUUCUACUACUCCUUAAUUGUAGAGUUCUAAACGAAUGUGUUCCCGGAAAGGUAGGUGCACGUUGGUGACAUAAGUAGCCAAAUUAAUUCUCUUAAACCUUUCCAUAUACCACAAACCAGGAUGUUACAAAUAAAUUCAGUAUAUUUUAAAGUAGCAGUGUACUAGUAAUUUUUCUUUGAUCUUAAAUACAGUUCACUAUGAAACUGUUGACCAUAAAUAGUACUCAUUUUCUUUUAUAUAAGUACAAGACUAAUAACAAGUAUCACUGUUACAAAACAAAUUAGCGAGUAUCAUUUUUGCAUUCUACAUUCUUAUACACAGUAUAUAGAAGUGAUAGAUCACAAUACUAUAGUAAAUUGACUGAGGCUAAAAUACAUAAAAGCCAUCUGUUUGACAUGAAAAGACUAUUCUAUCACUAAACUAGAGGUGCUCAUGGAAUCCAUAUCGGAAUAAAACAACCAACAAAAACUAAACUCUUAUAAAAGCUUGGGUGGUCUUAGCUAAAGUAUAUGUAGUUCGAUUCUCUGCCCUUGAUACGUGAAUGAUCUUGAAGUCUUGAAACCUACCUUGAAUAUCUGCUAGCUAUGCUAGUUCCGUAUAAAAAUUUGGUCAUGCUUCCGAAUCCUUGAUCGUUGAGAUUAUAUUCUUGCAGUCUGUUCCGAAUUGCUGACAUGUUGUAUGUUGAACCAUAUUCUCCAUGGACCAAAUAUGAGCAUCUAAUUUUGAGUAUAGCAGGAUAAUUGUCUAUCUUUGUUUCACAACAGUAGGAAUUGUUUAACAGUAGGAAUUGUUUAUUUCCAGAAACAUCCAUUCAUACCCAAAGAUAUCCACUAUAAUGUGGUUCCGAAGUCCAUGAUCCAUCUACUAAACAAAUACUCUGCAACCAUAAGGCUUGUGUAUUAUGUGUCUGGUGUGGUGGAUGUGCAUCAUCAUUGGUCUUUGAGUUCAUCUGAAAGCAAGCAUGACAUUCACUUUGAGCAUGUCUAAUUGGCUCUAACGGGUCUCGUGUAAUUCCUCUAAACAGUUUAUCAUUCCUGGCUUUCUAGUAAUACCAUAUAAUCUAUUGAUAUGGGUCUCUGUCCAACUCCAGAUGUUCUAUUUCAUUCUUCCUCCAAAAUAAAUAAUCUAGAUUGGAGUACACGCUCGAUAUAGAAAACACGUUCGAACACGAUGGUGUCGAAGAAAGGCCCAAGAUUGUAAAGCGGGUGGACAUUCAAGAAUCGUAUGAUUUACUAAUUCAUUAGCUUCUCCACAUCUUGGAAAAUGGUUAUCACAUCGCAUAUGACGACGAGUUAAGUUUCUUGUUACCGUUAAGUAACCAGAAGCCAUUUGCCAAAUUAGGUGAUGUAUGUUUAGGGAGCCUUGAUUUUCCAACCGAAGGCUCGUCAUUUUGCGAUAUUGUGCUCAUAUACCAUAAUAUCGGAAGUAUGGGAGAGGAUAUUCCAUGACACCUAAUAUCCAGAUUUUACGGUAUACAACCCACUCUUCGUAUGAAUUCUUUAGAAGGCUAACGAGCGACAAAGAAUCUCCUUGUCGUAAACCUCUCUGUGGGACAAUGUUUCCUCUAGGUUGACAGUUUAGAAGAACUUGAUACUUAAUAGAAGAGACGCAUCACAUAAUCCAUUUUAUCCAAGUUUCUGAGAAACCCAUCUUCUCCAUUACUUUCUGUAUAAAUAUCCACUCCAUGGAUCAUACGUUUUACUCAUAUCAGUUUUGAUGGUCAAUCUCUUGUGCCGCCCACCUGGUUUUGUUUUGAGAGUAUGAAAAGUCUCUUGAGCAAUCAUUAUGUUGUUAGUAAUAUUCCUACCUGCAACGAAAGCCUAUUGGGUUUCCGACAUGCGAUCUGGUAGAACUUUCUUCAGCCUUUGGCAUAAGUACUAUCUUAUAACUCACAUUGCACAAACUGAUAGGUUCAUAUUAACUUUAUUGGCAAAACAAUUGUGGAUAUUGAUACAGUUCCCCUAUUCUCUUCUUGCAAGAGUUCUUCGCCGAAAGUAUCAUUGUAUAUGCUCGCCUUUGCGAGCAACAAGAUUUGUAUCAUCUUCUUACGUCUUGACAAGCUUGAUGGCAACAAGACCUUUAUUGACACUGGGGAUCAGACAAAUUGUACAUUUGGGUUAUCAGACCCUUGGAUCCCUACAAUUCCUACUAGGUCAGCUAGACCGGCUGUACCAGUAGCUCAACCACGUUUGACAGUGGCUGAGCUCAUCCAUGCUUCCAUAUAUAAGAGUAUGGAAUGUCCAAAAUGUUAGAACAAUUUGUGGCUUAAGAGGAUAUAUCAUGUACCUAAGCAUGAUGUAGUUUUGACUGGCCAAAUGGAAAUGGUUAUAUAGUUCUCUGCUUGAGAGGAAGUGAUCAUGGACAUGAUCUACGAAGCAAUUCCUCAAUCAGGAACCACUAAACCACUACCUUUUGGUAGUUACAAGAAAAGAAAAGUUCAGACCAUAAUGAUCUAAACUUUCCCAUUUGUUUGGUGAGCUCUCCUCCAUCUUGCUUCAUGGAGUUAAUACGGCUGAUGUUGGAGACGUUUCCAAACGUCUUUGAGAGGGUCUCCAACAAGUGUUUGGGAGUCACGCGCCUCCUCUUCCCUUGCAACGGACUGAUACCUUAGCUAAGAGAAUAGGGCUUCUCUUCUUCUUCCAAAGUUACCCGGGUAACUAGUAUAACUAGUAUACUAGUAUUACUAGGGUAACUUUGGUUUACGCUUUGUAAGUUACUCGGGUAACUAGUAUUACUACGGCCUCUUCAUCAUACUCAACUCCUCAUGUCUUUCUCUUCCUAUAUAUUGAUCUCAUCUCAACACUCCCUUGAUACAUAGCCAACAUCUUUUAAGCAAGCCAUGUUAUCUAUUAAUUUUCGCAAAGCCACGACUGAAGAGUUGCAAGCUAUGGAAGCAAAUAAGAUAUGGACAGUUUAGUCUUUACAUCCUGGUAAAAAUGUGGUAGGUUGUAAAUGGGUUUAUACAAUUAAGUACAACGCAGAUGUCAUUGUGGAGCGUUACAAAGCUUGCUUGGUGUCUAAGGGGUUCACAUAGCAGGAAGGAGUAGAUUUCACUGAUACAUUUUCUCUGGUUGCAAAACUUGCUAGUGUCAAACUUCUCCUUAGUCUUGCAGCUAUACAAGGAUGUAGUAUGUCUCAGAUGGACUUCUCCUUGCUAGUGUCAAACUUGAUAGUGAUUUUGAUUAGGAAAUGUUUAUGAGCAUUCCUUACGGUAUGUACCCGCUUAUGGCUCUCUUUCUCCAAACCCCUUCUUCAUAAUUCGCUCUAUGGGUUGAUGCAAGCCUCAUGUAAAUGGUACCAAUGUCUAUCUGCAGUCUUCCUAUCUGCUGGUUACACUCAAUCUCCAGCGGAUAACACAUUAUUUUCAAGCAACAUGGUUUUGUCUUCACUGCAGUUCUUGUGUAUGUAGACGAUAUAAUGAGUGUUGGAAAUAAUGAUGCAGAGGUUGCUCUCCUCAAAAAGACUUAGCUCUCAUUUCAAGAUUAAGGACUUAGGACCAUUGCGGUUCUUUCUUGGUUUGGAGAUAGCUAGAUCAUUUGAAGGUAUUUCUAUAUCCCAAUGGAAAUAUGCAUUGAGUCUUCUAGUUGAUGCUGGUCUUCUCGUAUGUAAGCUGAGUUCGGGGCCAAUGGAUCGUUUGGUUAAGUUGAGUAAGGACUCUGGUGCUAAGCUUACAGAUCCGAGUAGCUAUCGAGCUCUGAUUGGUCAUCUUCUAUAUUUGACAAUCACUCGUCCUGACAUCACCUUUGUGGUGCACUGUCUCAGUCAAUUCAAGGCUUCUCCUACAGAUUUUCAUCUUGAAGCUGCACAUAAGAUUCUUCGAUACAUCAAGAAUAAACCGGGACAUGGACUCUUCUACUCUGCUUCAUCUCGACAGUGUCUCAAUGCAUUUGCUGAUGCUAAUGGGCAACAUGCCCUGAUAGUAUACACUCUCUUACUGGUUAUUGUGUCUACGUUGGGAACUCCUUGAUUACAUAGAAAUCGAAGAAGCAGGAUGUGGUUAGCCGCAGUAGUACCGAAGCUGAGUAUCUAAGCAUGGCGCAUGCUACUUGGGAGUUACUCUGGCUACAACAACUUCUCACUCUUCACAUCAAGGUUUCAACGAAUGCAAAACUUUUCUGCGAUAAUAAGUCUGUAAUGCAUAUCGCAACCAAUCCCAUCUUUCACGAACAGACAAAGCAAAUGGAGAUAGACUAUCACACCAUUCGUGAUCAGGUUAAGAAAGGCUUCAUUACCUUGAUGCAUGUUUCGAGUGCAAACCAGCAUGGAGAAAUCAUGACGAAGCCUCUACACUCUGGACCGUUUCAUUCCAUUCUCAACCGUUUGUCCAUAUCAAGUCUCUUCCUUCCCCCUGAUGGCUCAGUUUCAGAGACUUGACUGCGCGUAUUGUGUAUAUACCGGUUUAGUAGACUAGAUAACCGACAUGGUUUAAGUUUCCUUUUGUUUAACCUUGUGUAUAUGUAUUGAUUGUAACAAACUUUGGUAAAUUAAUGAAUUCAAAUCAUUUCAUUUAAUAUUAAUUGAUAUUUAUCGUCAUCUUGGUCUAAGUUUUCUACAUAUGCGGCUUGAGUGUAGUCAAGUCCGUGAUCAUUAUCCGUGGUGUCGUCCCUAAGCAAGCUUCACAAUCACAAACAUGGUCGCAAGUGCAGAAAAAAUUAGACAGAAAACAUUUUUCUUUGUAUGGUUAAUCAACAAGAAAAAAAUUGCUAAACAAGCAAAUCGUAAACAAAAGGGCGCUAUUUGCGUUUACUGAAGAGAAUAAGGGUUCGUUUUAAUCUUUCUAUCUUCAAGUAAAGUAAAAGUUAAGAAAAGUGUGAGCACAAUCUUUCUUCAGUUCACCCAAAGGUCAAGCUUACUACAGAGAGUACGGUAAACUUAAAGUGACAAGCGUGCUUGGUGUUUAUAACAAAACUGACUUUUCUCAACACUUUCGAUUUUCUUAGUUACACAGAUUUAAUGAAAUCAUAAUGUGGCACCAUACGCGUCUCAGGUUCGACCACAGCACCGGAUGCAUGUUUUGUUACUGCUGUGAUAAUGCAUGUUUCGGUUAAUAAACCCUUAUAAUACCUCUGAUUUCUAAACACAUGCGUGGCUUACUGCUUGAGAGUCUAAUUUCAAAAUUUGAAUUCUCACAACUUUAUGAAUAAACCAGUAGGUUAAACUUUAAAUUCAACUUUUGAAAAAUUGAAUAUUGUGUGAAUAAAUAAAUUCAAUACUAAACUGCAAACACAAAAUCUGUGAAAACAAAAAAAAAGACAAAUUCAAAUUCUUAUAGUACAAUAUUUAUAUAGUUAAAUAAGCGUUAGAUAAUUUAAUAGACAAAAAAAUGCCACAAUAACUUAAAAUGAACGUUAACUUGACAUCCAAAAUGAAUAGAAAAUGUGACACGGUUGAAGAAGAGAUGAUUUUGUACAAUAUAGAGCCAUGUUUGUUUCUAAGAAGGCUCCUUACAUUUUCAGUACAUACUUGGCCUAUCUAGAGAUCUAAACUCUCUCUUUUAUUCUAAAUUACAUUUGAUGUGUGAGAUGAAUCAUGCAAGCAUAACCAUGGCCAAUGUCAUCGUCAUCUCCACCAUUCUCAAUAAAUGCUCCUAUAGAACUGUCCCCCAUAUCUUCAACACACACUGCAGACGAACGGUCAAAAUUCAUGAUGACCAAGUUUGCGGCAUACAUAACAGAUUUGUUGUUGAUUAUGAAAGAAGAGAGAUGAAAGAAAUCAAGAUGCCUAUAGAGAGAGCAACAAAGUGUUAUGAGCUUUUAAGUUGAUGAGGGUUUGGUGGAGAAAUAAGAGAGGCUAAUGAGUCUUUUUAUAGAUUGAUACAAAGGUAAAGCAAGUGGUAAACUCACUCUGUAGUCAGACUUCCUUGAUAGGGGUGAUUUGCUCAUGGAGUGAUGUGUUUGGCACACCAAAUUUUACCUUUUUUUCUCACAUGUAAUAUUGUUUUAUGACACAUCAGACGGAGAGCUUAGCAUGUAGACAUACUUUGGGCUAUACAUCUUUCACUUGGACAUACUUGCAGCUUGUGCUGCCUUUGGGCCUUUGCUGGCUUCAUUUUGUGACGAAUUUGCCCCUUUGGCGGAAGUUGUACGUUUAGUUACUAUAUCUUUUAUUUUUAAAACACUAGUUAGGCUGUUUCUUUGGAAUUAAUUAUUGGCAGGUUUAUUGUUUUUCGAGUUGUAUCCCUAACCGUUAGAUUGUUUUAUUUUUAGAUUAAUCUGAUGGCUGGUGUUUGUAGAGGCUGAAGUUAUAUGGUCAGGAGAAAUAUUGAUGUGGUUGUAGGUGUUAUGGUAAGGUGACACAGUGUUUUGGUGGUAAUUGUGGUCAGGGUUGUUGUAGAUUGAAGGGUCCGUAUGCAUAUAAUUUGGAUUAGAAGUUUUGUGGUCAGGGUUGUUGUAGAUAGAAGGGUCUGUAUCCAUAUAGUUUGGAUUAGAAUUUUUGGUCAGGGUUAAAAGUUAUGUGUUCAGGAGGAGCAGUGAUGUGGUCAAGAAGAGGAUAUACGACUGAUCAUUACCCAUUCUCAUCACAAAUGCUCUUCAUAAAUUUCAAUGAAACUCCCCAGCCAUGAAAAAGUAUAUGUGCUAGUUUGAAGAACUCAGUCCUUAAAGAAGUGAUGUGUGGCCAAGUGAACAGUUCAAGAGGACCGGAGAUUUUUGACAAAGGCGAUAGCGAUUGAUGAGCAUGAAGAUAAACCACCAAAAAUCCCAUGAAAUUAUGUAGCUAAAAUUAGAUAUGUGGUUCAUGGUAUAAGUAUAAGAGUAAAAUCCUCCUACGAGAUAAUCGAAGCCUACGAAAAAUAUACAGAAGACCAUAAAAUGAAGAAGGAUAGGAAUGGUGAAAGUGGAGAGAGAAAUUCCCUUGGAUAACCCUUUUUAAUUUAUUUUCACAAAAAUAGCCUAUCAAGGAGGAAAAUGACCAAAAAAAUGUUUUAUUAAAAAGUAAAAUAUGCAUUUAUACCCCUUGGAUUAAUUAAUCUUGAUUUAGGAUUUAGAGUUAAGGGAUGGGUUUCAAAUUUCAAAAAAUAAAAAAAUUAAAAAUUAAGAUUAAAAUUUUCAAAACAACAAGGGGCAAUUUUGGUAAUUUUAUUUUUUGAGGGCUAUUUUUGUGAUAAAAACUUAAAAAUGGCUAUUUGAGAGAAUUGCCCAAGUGAAAAUGGGAACAUGAAUGUGAAUCGAGAGAAGAAAUUAGAAUUUUAACUCAUCAGUUUUAUUGGAGGACAUGGUAAAGCUUGUAAGUAUCAACCAUGGAAAAUUAGUUUCAAAAUGCAUAAGAAGAGAGAGAGAAGAAGCUAAUAAUGUAAAAGAAGGUUGUGACAGUGAAAGAAAGAAUGAUUGAAUGUGACCAAACCACACAUUUUUAACUUAUUUAAAUUAGAAGGCUUUUUUAGAGAAUUCACAAGGAGAAAGUACUCUGCAUGCUGGAAGUAUGUCGAGGUGUAAAUAGACAAGUUAAAAGUAUCUCUAGAUGUAAUUUUUUUCCAUCAGACGUUAGUUAAUGGAUCCAUAUUCCUUUAUAAUAUUACUCGUUGGCCAUUUUAAGUAACUAGGUUAGGUUUCAAUCGCAGAAUUUAUAAUUUAAUAUUUAUAACUUGUAAAAAGAAAAAAAUUACCUUAAACCACAAAUUAUUAUUAUUUUAUUUCUUUGAUGAUCCUGGUAUUUGGAGCCUCGAGAGGAUCCGACUAGCUCUAAUGACCGUCCACCGGAGCUUAGCCAGGGAGCCCACCGAGGCAUCCAGGAGGGUUGGUGAUCACCUCAUGUAAAUCCCACCAGUGACCACACGUUAGCAGGCUUCUCUGUAUUAGGCCCGAAGGUCCUUCAAGAUAAUCACCUCCCAGCAGCACUCGAAAUCAUGACUUCCCAGGUUGAGUUUAACCACUGGACCACUAACAUGUGGUUAUUCUAGCAUAUAUAUCUUUAGUUUUAUGAUCAUUUGUAUAUUUUUAUAAAAACAAAUCUUAAAUUAUUGAUAACAAAAUUUUCAGUGUAGGACUAUUAAUAGUUAUAAAAUUUAUAAUCGUCCUUGGAAAUUUUCUGCAUAUAUAUUAUAUAAAUAAUUAUUUAAUAUAUGUAUAUACAUAUAUGUAACUUAUUCUGAAUAUCUAUUAAAUAUUUUUUUUUACUCAUAUAGUUUUAUGACCAUUUGUAUCUUGUUAUAUAAAAAUUACCACAAAUACCACAUUCAUAGUAUCAUUUUUCAUGUUUAUACUAAUCACUUUUACCUUUUCUUUUAAUGAAGGGUAAAAGAUAUUUAUAUCCAAGAGUUAACUACUAUAGACUUAUGGUUUAGAGUUGAGGUGUGAAAUAUGUUAGUUUUAUCCAUUUUUAGUAUAAAUCAAAGAAUUGGAGAAUUUUUUCCAUCUCUUUCUGAUUUUUCUUCGAGUUUAGUUUAUAUAAUUUAUUGAAAGACAUUUUCUGGAUUAUUUUCAUUCAUAAAAUAACCUUUAAAAAGACUUAUCAUUUGUUUCAAAAUGUUAUUUGAAAUAUCCCAAAUGCAAAAUCCCUAAGAAUUUAUUCUUGCUAUACCAAAUCGAAAGGAGAAAUUUUGAAUUUACCACAUUGGUUGUACCUUAUUUGUUAAAAACACAAAAGACCCCUUAUACCUUUGAUAUAAAAUAUAUAAAUAUAGACAAUUAACUAAAUAAAUAAUAAUAAAAUAAAAAAUAUUUUUUUUUUAAUUUUUGAAUUAUAUGUUUUCAAAUUUUAUCUUUCAAAAAAAAUUGAAACUUUAUUCAUAUUUUUUGUUAAUUCUUUUUUCAAAUUUUCUUUUUAAAAUUCAAAAUUAUUUUUGAAAUUAUUUUAAAAUUAUUGAUUUAAAUUUUUAGUAUUUUUUUAAAAAAUCCUAAAACUCCAUCCUCCAAAAUCCACCUCCCCACAAUCGAAACACUAUUCUAUAUUAGUUAACCCUAUGAAUAUAAAUAUUCAUUUAUUCUUUUAAAACUACGGGUAAAUGUGGUUAAUGUAAACAUGAAAAGUGAUACUAAAAAAGUGGUACAUUAGGAGAUUUUUCAAAUCGAAACAACUAUCGUUAUCUUUUGUUGGUUCCUUUGUAUUGGACACACGAAAUUUUGACAAACUCUUUCAUAUGGUCGAAGAUACUUCUAAUUCUAUGCCCAAAUUGAUGAGCCGAUUCAAACAGAAUGUUAACAAACAGUCGGGCAAUAACACAGAGAUGGACUGUAACAAACGAUUUGUUCGAAAUAUUCAAUAAUUUAAUAUUAAAUAAUAGAAUAAAUCUUUACGAACUAGAUCAUGAAGCCAAGAGACUAAGAACAAAAACUGAUAACUAGUUAAUGUUCUUGCUUACACAUCGAUUUAUCUCCCUGUUUAUGUAUUACCUAUGGUUCUUCUUCUUCUGCUAUGAACUGGUGAAAGGUUUUAUAUCUGGUAUGCAUUUCAGUUUUAAUAAUUAACUAGACCAUGACCUGCGGAACAGGGUAAAUUUUAUUUUAAAUUAAUUAAAUACAUUUUAUAAUUAAUUGAAUAAUAUACAUUUUUAUGCGGAUUAAUUAAAAUUAUUAUAAUUAUUAGAAAAAAUUAAUUUCCUAAUAAUUUGGUUCAUAUUAUAAUCAAAUUAAAUUAUAAUCAGCUUAAAUUUGGUUCAUAACAGAUAUAGAUAUAAGUAGAGAUUUGGUACAUCUGAUUCUUUUUAUUAUCGAAAUCUAAAUUGAUACCCAUCUUCUAACAGCUUUUUCAUCGACAAAAACAAAUAAACGUUCAUGUAAUCUUUAAUGUUUUUUUUUUAUGUUGGAACCGCACGGCCACACAGAUUAUUUGUUCUUUCAAUCUUAUAAACUGUUUUAAUAGAUUAUUUGUUCUUUCAAUCUUAUAACUGUUUUAAUAGAUUUUUUAGUGCAGAAAUAUCUUUUUAAGAAAAUAUAAUUUACGAAACCAAAAAGUUUUCAUAUUUUUAUUCAAAAGUAUUUGAAUAUUUUUAUAUAUUGUACUAGGGUCGGUCCGCCCUACGGGCGGGAUAUUAGUUAAUUUGAUAUUCACUAAAUGCUCGAGUUGAAAUUUGUUUUAAGAUUCAAGAAUUUGAUUCUGUUAUGUGUUACUUAUUAGUAUGCGGUGGUAUAGUUGUUUUUCGAUUAUUCUUGCUUUGGUAUUGUAUCAAAUUAACUAAUUGUCCAACUCAUAAUUAUAGAUGUACAAAUGUGGAUUUGUGAUAAAGUUUGAUGACAAUACUGUUUUUUUUUUAUUUCUUAUUCAUAGUGGAGUGUGCAUGUGUCAGAAAGAGGCUUAUAACAACUUUUAUGUUUUUGCGUAUGGAUUUUAAAUAUAUAUAAUUUUGUAUAAUGCAUACUUGCUCUUUGCUUGUAGACUAAAAAAACUGUUUUUCUAUAUUUUUAAAAGAGAAAAUAUUUAGUUUAGAAUAUAACAUGGACAUAUGUAUUGACUAUAUAUAGAAGCUGAGUGUUAUUUUAAAAUGACAUAUGUAUAGAGGUUUUUCAACCAUUACUUCACUGACACAAAACAUUUAUAACUGCAAAUACCUUCAUUUAAAAGCAAAACUAAUAAAAGCGUGUACAACAAAUAUAUUUUGAUAUAUAUUAUAUGCAUCAAGUUAUAAAUGUUGGAAACAUUGCAAAACUGCUUGCAGCAAAGUUUUUAACUUCACGAUCUUCAUCUUGACGUCAGUCAGUGCCGGCCCUGGCCACAAGCAGAAGAAGCAUGAACUUCCAGCCGACACGAUAAUAAGUAUUUUCGCGGUCACAUAUUUAUAAAAAGUGACUUUAGGCUAGUGGUUCUAAGACAAAUUACCAGUGCCGGAGGUAAUGAGUUCAAUUACCUCUGACUGCAUUCAUUUAUUCAACCUUUUGUUAUAUUUUGGUUCCAAAUAUAAAAUGGGACACAUGUCACUCCCAUAACGCACGACUUGAUGAUGUGGCAUCACAGGAGAGAAGCGAACAUAUUUAUAUAUAUAGAUUUAUUAAAUAUGAAACUGUAUAAGAUAUUAGUUAAUUUAAUUAUUAAUUAUUUCAACUCUUUUUGAUAAUUUUUAAAAUAAUAUCUCUGUAAUUUAUUUGAUUAAUUGUAUGAUAUAUUUCGGUAGUUUAUUUCAUUUUAUUUAUAUACAGUAUUUAAUUUAAUAUGAAAUUUUAUUUAAAUUUAAAUGAAUGUAAAUUUUAUUUAUUAUAAUAUAUCUUUUAGAUAUUUUUGCUCUUGUUCUUUAUGAAUUUAUAAUAAAAUCUAUGUAAUUUAUUUGAUUCAUUUUGGGAUAUAUUUUGAUAAAAAAUUUAAUUAUAAAUUUAUUUAAUCUCAGUUUAUUGUAUUUUACUUAUAUAAAUUUAAUUCAAAUGAAAGGUUAUUUAAAUUUAAAUUAAUUUAAUUUUUAUUUAUGAAUAAAAAUAAAAACAUCAUUUAAUUUAAUUAAUUUUAUAUUGAUUGAAGUUAUUUGGUAGUAUCUAAACGUUCAAGAAUAAGUUAUACUUAUUUUUUACUAGAGUUUGAUCACGAAUCCACGUGGAUAUUUGUUUUUACUUUUUAUGAAGAAAUAUUUAUUUGUUUACUUGAUAUCUAUAAACAUAAUAAUUUUAUAGUUUAUAUUGAGUAAUUUUAUGGGUGAGUUUGUUGUAUAUUCAUAAGAGAGCACAAAAUAAAAAAUAUAGCCAUAAAACAGUAAGAGCCAACUUAUAGGACAAUUUGAACACAGUCUUGACCUUGUUCUCCCUAGGGUGCGUUCACGUGCAGCUCAUACAUUAUGCAAAAACGUAUUAUACUGUAAUAUAUUAUUACGUAGAUAGUAUAGAAAAUCUGAUUUGGUGUAUAUUAUUUAGAAAGGAAGAGGAGCAAAAGCAGGAAGAGGAGUAGGGGAAAGAGGAAGGAUGAGGAUGCGAAGGAGGAAGGUGGAGGAGGGAAAAGGAAGAGGGGGAGGAGAUCAAAGAAGAGGAGAGGUUAUACUAUUUCGGUGAAUAGAAUAGUUUACUAUAAAUAUUAGGAAAUCAUUGUUUUGGAUAUACGUUUAAAUCAUAUAUAGUAUUAUAUUUUAAUAUUUUCAGAUAUGGUGUAGUAUAAUUUUUGUCUGACAUUGCUUUAAAAAUGUACUACAUAAAAUAUACAAAACAUACAAACUACUCUAGCUUAAUUUUCGUCCAAAACAUGAUUGUAAAUAAACAAAACGUAUUAGUUUUGAUUUAUGUGCUUACUCUAAUGCAUAUAAUUUUAUGUAUAAAAAUUAUUUUUAAAAUAUGUGGCUUUUAAUAUGUUAUUUGAUCCUAACAAUCUCAUAAAUAAACUUCUUCAAAUCGAAGUGAUUUUUAAUAUUGGAAGCACUAUAUAUAUAUAUAUUAUUUCAUUCAGAUUAAAUAUAUUUCAGUCUUGAUUUUUAUUCUUAAAAACUUUAAAUGAAAUAUCAAGACAAGAUUCCAAUCACCUCUUUUUGAGUUUUUUUGAAGAAUGAGAGAUUUGAUCAGUUGUCUAAUAUUUGUUUUUCUCUAAUAUCCUAUCUAGCUAUUAUAAUUGUAAAAAUGAGAGAUUUGAACUAUGUAUUAUAAGUUUUCUUGUUUAUCUUUUAAUAAAUCAAACAGUUCUUACUUUAUACAUAGUUUACAUAUACUAAAAUGAUAAAGUAUUAUAUAUUUUUUUAUUGGUACACUCCUAAGUAACUAAACCUCAAAAGCGUAUGCUAAUAAAAGAAGUAAUUUGUUCUGAUUGACACUUAUAUAAUUCACUCAAUUCACAGAAGAAGUUAAAAAAGAAACAAAACUCAUAUUAGUGAAACAUGAACGAGAACGAAAGCACAAUUUUAUAGAAGUAGAAAAUGAAAUCAUCUUUGGAGAGUCAAUAGUAAACAAAUCGAGAGGAGAAAACUUAAUCUUUUUUGUCAUUUUACAAUCGAUGUUUCCUAUCUGAUUUUUGUGAUUUGUGUAAGCCACAAAACUUAUUUUUUUUGUGAAAAUGAAAUCUUAAAAAUAAUUAAAGUGACUUGUAAUACGUUAACUCUUCAAAAGUGAUAAUAUAUUUAAGAGACCAACAUUUGUAUUUGUCAUUUUACAAUCGAUAAGGAUUGCAGUGCUGCAAAAUGUUAAAAUCAUUUAAUGAACAAACAUUAGUAUAAAAAAUCACUCCGCACAUGCGCGCGGGUUGUCAUCUAGUAAGAUAGAUAUUGUUUGGAUCCAAAUUUACUUAUUGUGUUAUUUGAAAAGAUAGAUAGUAGUAUAACACUGUUUCAAUAAUUACUUUAUAAUAGAUGGGGUAAUUUAAAAUCUUAUUAAAAAAAGUUGUGUCAAUGGAAAUAUUUAUAUUUUAGUAAGACCGAUAGAGUUAGGAAAAUAAUAUAGUGUAGUUGUGGCAAACGAAACAUUUUAUUGAUGUCGACAAAAAAAUCUUGAGAAGUAAUAGGCAUAUUUACCAAUGUUAUUCUAGUGAAUUAGUUGAUACAGUACUACAAAAUUUUAGGUUCAAAAUAACAAAAUCGGCAAUGGAAGAUGUUGAGGAUAAAUCCUCUCCAUGUUUAAUUCAAAUGUAAUAAUGUGGGAUAAAUUCUCUAUUUACUAAAUGGUUUCUUACCGUUUCACAACGAGUAAAUUUGGUAUUCUUGUACUUACGACAGGAACAUAACAUCUUACGAGGUGUAUUUCUGGCCAAGUACAUGACUAUCUCUACCUGGUUGAGAAAUUUAUUUGCCAUUAUCCAAUCGAAAUCUUUAUGUACAUACAUCCAACUUCAUAUCUCGUAGAUAUUGCCAUCAUAUGCCAUUUUUCUUUGAAAUGGUUUUUUUUGUGGAUUUUACGAAAGAGAGGAAAUAUGCAUAUUUAUAGAAAUAUUUUUGAACUUUGUUAAAUAGGUAUGUUAUCGCGAAUUUACAACGAAAUAUAUUUUACAAUGCCUUAACGACUUCACUAUGACCAAAAGUCCUUUUCUAACCAACCAAACACACACACAACAAACAUGUUUUCACCAACCAUCUAUUUUUAUUCGUAUUUUAGUUGUUAGUUGAUUGAAAAAUAUUUGGAUGUAAUAAUACUGUAAAUUAAUAACUACAUCACGACUACUUAUAACUGUGGUCUUUAAAUGGUCGUAUUCGUUGGUAAAUUACAACUAUACUACGACAAAUUAUUUUUGUUGUUGUAAUGUUGUUGUAAAAUUGACAUAAUUAUACGAUGACAAAUAUUCGUCGCUAAUUGUCGUUGUUAUACGAUUGUUUUCUUGUAGUGGUAGAUAAAAAAUUUUGUGUGAGAGAGAGAUAGAGAAAUGAGCAAUACAAACAUCAUUAGCGACACAAGCUUGCAAGUUAGUAGAAGGUUUGUUAAUCCGAUGUCCUCUGCCAAAAACUAUUGUAGUCAGUUCUGUUACAGUAUUUUUUUUCUUCAAGUAAUUGUGUAUCGAGCACAUGAGGUUCAUGUAAAAUCGUAAAGGGUUGUAAAUAUAUUAGCAGUGAAUAUGAUAAAAAAGUAUGAAAAAUAAUCGAAACAUACAACAUACAUACGAUCUAUAAAUUAUACAUACAUAUAAUCUAAAUAAUAUGCAUAAGCAACCACAUAUAAAUUGUAUACUAUAAACACAUACAUAUAUAACUUAUAGGUUACAUUUGUGUGGUAACAAAAUAUGUCUAAUUUUAUAUAUAUACACGCAUAUAAUUUAUAAAUUAUACAUACAUAUAAUUAUAAACAAUUGUAUAUACAUACACAAUCAUCAUACAAAUUGUAUACUAUAUAAACAUACAUAUAUAAAUUACAUUAAUGUCAGCGGCAUAUAUAUAUAUAGAUAUGCGGGCCGUCCACCUAAUCUUUUUUUAUCAACAAACCCCAUCUAGUCUUAUAAGUUAUAACUAAUUUAAACCCAUUAAAAUUCAAAUUCAAAUAAUAAUGAAAAUAAAAUUAAUUUUGGUAAAACUAUUUUAGCGACCGAGCUUUAGCAGAUCAAUUGGUGACAACUCAUCCUAGAGUUAUUAGUCAACUAGAAAAUAAAAACUUAGCCGAAGUCAGUAUUGAGGAAUCUGCUUUGAACUAAAGAAUGGUUCUUUAUUUUAUUGAUUUUUAUUCUAUAUCGGCAAACAACCAUUACUAUUACAUAAGUUUAAUUUCAUAUUACUUUGGAGGAUAAUGAGGAGGAGGACAAACUUUGUCGCACGAGGCUUUGUCGUGCCAGCAAGGUAUACCUUUUAAACUUUUACAACACCAACCGAACUUCUUAAACCAUUUUACAUUAUAACAAUUUGAUGAUAUGAUAAUGUUUGAUUUAUCUAUUUCUCUAACUUCCAUCCUUGCACCUUCACAUAGAAAUCUCACAACAACAAAAUGUUAGUUAACAAUGGAAAAACAAAAAAAAAAGUUGAAAUAAAAACAUAAGUAAUAUAAUUGCAAAAAUAUAUACAUACAGUGAUGCAAAACAAAUAGAGAGAUGAUGAGUAUACAGAUGAGAGAUGUCUGUAUUUUCAUGGUUUUCUUAAACAACGAUGUGAUGUCUUUUUUUUUUUUAGAAUUCUUAUUUCAAAGAGUGUGAUUUUAUCUUCUUGAUAUUAUGUAUAUAAAGCAUCAUGUUUAAAUAAUAAUCCAAAAUCUAUUGUUUCAUAGAAUCAUUAUUAAGAAGUCAUAUAUAUAAUCAUUAAUUAAUCACUUAGAUUGUUAAAUGUUUCUAUUUUAUCCAAGAUAUUUUUGUGUAGUUCUUUUUAUGAAUUAUUUAUAAAUAUUACAAUGUGUAUAUUUUUGAUUACCAGACAUUUAAAAAAAAAGCAAUUAAGAAAAAUUAAACACCAACAAUUAUAUUCUAUUCUAAAACAAACAUAUUAUGACAUUUGUAGGGUCUUAAUCAAAAUUACAUCUAAAAUUAAACUAUUACUUAUUAUAUUUAUAAUUAUGUGUCCUUAGAUAGAAAUUUUUACCUUUGGAAUAAAAUUGUAUAACAAUUUUGAAAAUAAGGUACAGAUUUUGUAAGAUCUACAAUUUCUACCUAAUUUUAGCUAUUUACAAUAAUUUGGUACAAUUUACAUUUAUUUUAUUAUUACUUAUCUAUAAUUGUGCUUAUUUAUAUUAUUCAUAAUAUAUUAUUAACUUAUAAAGUUUAAUCCUAUAAGUUUAUUUUAAUCAUAAUAUUUAAUAUUUACAUAUAAAAGACCAAAAUAGCACUAAAUCAAGUUUUUGUUCCCAAACUAGCACUCAAAGACCAAAAGUCACAAAAAUAGCACUCAAAGAGUGGGGUUUAGGGUUUAGAAUUUAGGGUUUAGGGUUUAGAGUAUAGGUUUUAGGGUUUAGAGUUGAGAAGUGAGGUUUUGGGGAUAAGAUUUCAAAUUUAGAAAAAUAAAAAAAUUUAAAUUUUUCAAAAGAUAAAAUGUUAUUUUGGUCAUUUUAGUUUUUGAGUGUUAUUUUUGUGAUAUAAACUUAGAAAGGUGCUAUUUUGGAGAUUUCCCAACUUUUAUUCCUAUUUUAAUCAAUAUUAAAUCAUGAAAUAUUCAUUAUUAAUAUAUAUAUAUAUAUAUAUCAAAUUAUACAUUAAAUUAUGAUAUGGAAAAUUAAAUAAUAGUGAUUUCUUAAGAUUUAAAUUUUAACAUAUUUCUAACUAUUUACAAUUUUUCUUUUAAAUUUUAAUUUUACUAGUUUUGAUAUUUAUUGGUUGGUUGGUUUUUUUUAUUUUUUUCUUAUUUUACCUACUAUUAAAUUUAUGUAAAUAUUAUUUUAUUACAACUUAUAGAAUUUUCCAUAAUUAUUAUAUUUAUUUAAUUAAUUUUAAUUUUUAUUCUAUUUAAAUUUAUAUUAAAUAAAUUAAUUGUCAUAACUAACAUUUAUUAAAAAUUAAAAUAUAAUUUAGUAUUUAAUGCUUUUAAAUUAGGAGAUACUUUAAAUCGAGAAAAAUAUUGUAAUCUUUUUUUUUGAAGAAGAAGGGCUUUUAAUUUAAAAACAUAAAAUAUUAUAAGAGAAAACGAAGGGUCUUCUAGAGACGAAAGGUCCUAUAGUAACAAGUUUCAUGAAUGAAUGAAUCUCAACCCCUGAACAACAUAAAUUGAGUCUAGAAUAAACAACAAUACAAUGAAAGUCAAUAGCUAGUGAUAAGAACCACGACCGCGGCGGCCAAGCUUCCCACUCCCUCAUAUCGUCUUCCAUUCCAUUUCUUGGUAUUUGAUAGGGAGUUUUGUCUCCCUCCCACCUUUUAUCAAGUUGAUCGAGGAAGAUGCCUCUGUCACAACUUCUUCCACAUCUCCUAACCCUUUGACCUGAGAAGGACUCUCAAAUCCAAAAGUGAUAGGUUUUGUGGUUAAUGGAUCAACGACUAAAGUCUCCCGUACCUCAGUGUUGAUAACAGUUGAUGGACAGGAGUCCAUAAUAGGUGCUGCAACGGGAGUAUAUUGAGAAUAUAUUAAUGUGGAAAAAUUGGGACAAAGUUUGGCGAAGCAGUAGUAUUCUCUGGCUGAAAGGUAGGUUGCAGAGCUGGAGUGGUUUCAAGUUCAGAUAGGAGACCUUCUAUCUCUUUAAUAUUUUUCUGAGGCUCAAGGACACCACCAUCUAAUGCUGGGGGGGGGGGGGGGGGGGGGUUGUUUAAUCGGCGUGUAGAUCCUCUUAAUGGAUAGUGGGUGGAGAAGAGCCAACAUUAUCCUUUAGCUGCGGAAUGGUAUCAAUAUCCACUAAAGGGACAACAUAGCUAGUGUCUAUAGAAGGUGAUGUAAAGGCAGAAACCUGAACAGUUGAUGAAGGUACAAGACACCUCUUCUCUUUAUGUCCUAGAUUUCCACACCUCUCACACCUCGAUGGAAUCCAUGUGUACUCAAUAUUUACAAGGAAAAUGUUACCUCCUUGUUUAUCAUCCAGAGAAAUAAUCUUCGAAAAGUUUCUAUCCAACUCAAUCUCGACUAAAACCUUUGCUUUGCCCAAACUGGUAGGAUCAAGUCGAGGUUUAUGCGUAAGAAUGGGUUCUCCAAGUCCUGAUGCAACAUGCCUUAUUCCUAAUUUUGAGAAGCAACAAUCUAGGAUGUUCUUCAAAGUGGCCCAGAUUGGAAGGGUGGAGAUUUCAGAGACUUUGAAGGAAGCUUCUGGAGUCCAUGGCAAUACAAAAAGUAAGCAGUCAUUAAUAUGACAUACUCCUCGCUGUGAGUGAGUAGGCUGGUGCGGGAUAUGGAACAUGAAAGAUGAAUCACCAAGCUUCUUACAAUUGAUCAUACAAAUUCUUCGGCAAAUUUUAUUUACCGCAGCAUGUACUAAACCACCUGGCGGUAGAGAACAUUUAUGGAACUUUCCAGUGAUGUACUUGUCCUUAUUCUCGGUACAUAGCCUAAAAGGAAUAGAUAUCUCAGGUGUGCAAUCAAGACGGUAAGUUUGUGUAUCUGCUCGGUACAGAUUGCGCGAUUGAGCGCAAGAUCUCGCAGUCCAUGUAAAAUGGAGGCUCCCAUCAGCUUUUAUUUCCGGUGGGGGAAGCUUUUCAAUAGGAGGCUGGAUAGUACAGGAUGGAUACUUAACCUUUGGUUGCUUAUUUAAGAUCUUGUCUUUUAAAGUCGGCCAGAGAGCAGCUAAUUGAUUCCCGACAAUCGUUGGAUCAUAGUCUCGAGUACUAGGUUUGGGAGGUGUGACCCGAGGUUUGAAGAAAAGCAGUUUUGCCCAUAAUCCCAAAGAUGGGACAAAUUUUUCUGGAGCUUGAGCAAGAUCAUCAGAUGGAUGUGUUGGUAAUUUACCCUCAGGGAUUGGAAGUUUCUGUAACUGACUUGGUCCAGAAACCAGCGAUUGGUUGUUAACCUCAAUAGAAGCAGGAACCACCCUACUGCCAUCGUGGGUGGUUGAGCAAAAGGUCUGAGGUGGAGCUAUCUGUACUGUAACAGAUUCCAAAGUCGGAGAAAGGACCACAGUUUCUGAAGUCUGAAGAGGACCAACGAGUUCAAGGAAAGCGGUUUCACUCAUCAACAUCAACAGAGCAGAGGAAGUAUGAGGAGAAGGAUACAACGAGGAUAGAGUCUGAUCAGUUCUAAUCUUCAACUUGCGCCAACAGAGGCGAUGAAGACGAAGGAAUGAACAGAUAGAGAUCACUUCUUGAUUUCCAAAAUGGUGAUAAAUUAGGUGGAUGAGGUCGUUCAUCAUCGGGCAAGUUGGGUGAGGUCCAUCCAAUUUGUCUGAUGGGGGGGUUAGACGAAGCCGGUUUGGUUGUUUCGUCGCUCGAGAAUCAUCUGCUCGAGAGAUUGAAUAAUCUUUUUCUAGGAACUUGUCGUAUAAUAUUUUUAUUUGAAGUUUUAGUUUCCCACAUUUUAUUUCUUUUUUAGAGAAGAAAAUUUUCUCAGAAACUUUCCGACAUUGUUUUCUUCUUAACCGAUUUUGACCCCAACAUUCUGUAAAUUUCAGAUAAUUUAUAAUUUUUCCAAGCCUAGUACAUAUUGUCAGGUUGAAUGAUGAUAAUAGUGAAAAAAAUAAUAUAUAAACAAACGUUAAGUAUGUAUUUGGAUGUCUAAAUGUGAACAUAUUUGUUUGGUUCUCUAGACCUUAUUCUGCUCAUAGAAUAUUGUUUGUUUGGUGAAGAUGAAAUUCGGAGAGUUGGGUUCGAAAUUUCAUUUGGUAUUAGAUAGAUAAGCCGGAAACCUCUCAAUUUAAUGUGGGAUAUAAAUGUUAAAUGUGGUAUAUGUGUAUGAUUUACCUGAAGGCCUCUCUCUUUCCACCCUAAACUUGAAGUUUUUCUUUUCAUUUGAUAUUAUCAUACAAAAAAAAGGUUGAAUUCUUGAUGGAUAAAGGCUAUUCCCGACAAAACUCUAAGAUCAUUCCAUAAAUUUAGAGUAAAAAAUAUUGUAUGUUACUUGCCGUUAUUAAAAACUACGACAUCAAUUAACAAACAUAUUACGUGCAACUGCAAGACUUUAGAGAUAUAUGUGUCUUAUGCUAUUACGCCAAGUAAAUGAAAGUUUACAUUAAUGAUAGUGUGUCUUCUCAAAUGACUGAAACACACUAAAGUUUUGUUUGCAAUGAAUAAACAACGUUCUAUAUCAAAAUUUAUAUAGAACUGCUAUUGCUAUCCGUUUUAUCCUCAUUCGAGAUCGGUACGAUGAAUGUCAAAUUUAUAGAGAAACUCUUCGCUAACUUCAAUACCACAUAAUUAAUUAGUUUACAUUACACAACUAUCAUUCUUUUCCUCUCUUCUUCAUUAUCAUGUUCAGCAAGUCAUAAAUCAGAAACCUCUAUGGCCCAGGCUAUUCAUACAAACGUUAACCAUAAAAUUCACCAAACUCAUCAUUCCGAGCCCAAAAUACAACAAAACACAAACAACUCACCCAUUAUGGGUUCAAUGUUAUUAAAAGAAACAAACAAAAGACCAUUUAAACUUCAUAACAACAUUUAUAUGUUAUACACUGCAAUAUUUACUAUCAAAAUGUUAUACAACAUCUAUUCAUACAAACGUUAACCAUGAAACUCACCAAACUCAUCGUUCCGAGCCCAAAAUACAACAAAAUCAUACAAAAUAUAAGUGUUUAUAUCCCAUAUAAAGCAUAUUACGCGCGUAGCGCGGACCGACUCUAGUAUCAUUAUAAAACUCAUGAAAAAAUGGAAGUACCAAUUAAGUAAAAUACACAUCAAACGUAUUAAAAUAUCUUCACAUCCAAAAUAAAAUCACACCAUAGAAUUAGCUCAUUUCAUCUAUUGUGUUGGGAGCAAUGAUCAUGCUUACAAAGAUAAAUACGUGUUUCCAUUUUAAAAAGGCAUAAUAUAAAUAUCAAAAUAAUACAAUGUCACAAAAAAAAUUCAGUAGAUAAAACUUAAAACACAUCAAAUAUAAAUAAAUGUUAAUUUUAAAACUAAAUAAAUAUAAGUUUUUUCGCGAAACGCGGACAUACCACUAGUGUAUCUCUAAAACAAUAGUUUCAAACUUAAUUUUGAGACUUAUAUCUCCACGUUUUAAAAAUUAAAAAAAAAAACUUAUAAACCGUAAUUAUAAUUAGUUUGCAGUUUUUAUAUUAAACUAUAACCCACUUUAAAUCGAUGUUUAACUAAAUUAAAACUAGAAUUAAAUCUAUCAUAAAGCUUCUGAAUGAAAAUGAUCCAAGUUAGGCUCAUAAUUGGAUCUAUGUCAGCUUUAAUUUAGUUAAGUGUCGAUUUAAAAUGAUUUAUAGUUUACUUUUAAAACAGUAAAUCAAUUAAUCAUGGUUAAUGGUUUUUCAGAUUUCAAACUUCAAUGACAUGGGGAAUUAAGUCUGAAACUUUUUUUUUUGAGAUAUGUAGAACGAGAUCAUAGUUGAAAAGACAUAUAAUGUUAUAUAAUAUUUUUCAUUGGAAAAUAGCUUGUCGAUCCAAUUUCUUUACAUGUACACUUUUCCUAAUAUAACUGAAAACAGGUAACACCAAAUUUUGUGAUUGAAAACUAGAAAAUAAAAUAGAGCAGAAUUGAAGAUCCAGGCGUGAUUGAUGUUUUCUAAGUAGUACAUAUGUAUAAAAUGUCUUUAUGUAAUUUGUUGAAUUUUUGCGCGAGAUUUGGGGGUUAAGCCAGGUCGACCACGUGGGAAUCGAAAACGACAGCGUUUUCUUUUAAUUUGCGCCGAAUAAAAACAUAACGGUGCAGCUCAUGGCAGAGAGAACGGCGAAGGUUUUCAAUUAAUUUAAAAAUAUAAAAUAUUACAAUAAAAAGAAAUUAAAUAGACAGAAAAGAAAGAGACACCUUCGUUUGCGCGUUUUCUGCAAAUCUCUCUCUCUCUCUCUCUCUCUCUCUCUCUCUUACGGCUGUGUCCAUGGCAUUUCUGCAGAGCGCCGUGAUCCGUGAUUCUCGAUCGGAGGAAGAACUAAAAGCUUCAUCGCCGUCUCUCUCCGCGUAAUAUCCGUCGCCGAUUAUCGCAUCUCCGUUCGAUCCAAAUCGUAACUUCUCCCCCCCCCUCUCAUUGUGUAGUUUCUCCUCACGAAUGUGUUCGUAUCGAUUUCGCGAUUUCGUUAGGCUAUUGAGAAUCUGUUCGUUCGAUGCCUCAGAUCAUUACGUUCAUAUUCGUUUUCUUCACUGGAUUGAUUCGUUCAAAGCUAAUUUAAAGAACGCAUUUCAAAUUUGAUUUUCUUAGGUUUUUAAUUAAUUUUAAGAUCUAAUCUAGCAAUGGUGGAUCGAAAUGUUGAGCAUGUGCUAGACAUGUAUAUAUUUUUGUUUUUAAUAAUAAUCAUGUAUAUUAAGAUCGUUCAUAAAUCUAUAAUUAGAGAUUAAAGAGGCUGUGAUUAAUUUUUUUAUUUUUAAUUUUGUAUCAGGUCUUUUGUACGGUGGUAGAGAACUAGAGACAAGCUAGAGGAAGGUUUUAGUGUGUGUGUGUGUUUUUUUUUAAAUUUAUUUAAGCUUUGGGAGACAGACAAUGUCAACUAAAGGAGAGCAUCAUACAGUUCCACUUUCGGUUUUGCUAAAGCGUGAAUCUGCAAAUGAGAAGAUAGACAACCCUGAACUUGUACACGGCCAGUUUAACCAGAGCAAGAAAGGAGAGGAUUUCACUUUCGUUAAAACUGAAUGCCAACGGGUUACUGGAGAUGGCGUUACCACCUUCUCCGUCUUCGGGGUAUUUGUUCGCUCUUUCUUGCAUUUUGGACCAUGAGAAUAUAUUUUAAUGAUUGGAUUGACGUGAACAUCUUAUUCUGUAAAUCCUUUGGUAUUGGGGUCUCACUAGUUAAAUAUUGCAGCUUUUUGAUGGACACAAUGGUUCUGCAGCAGCUAUCUACACUAAGGAGAACCUGCUGAACAAUGUACUAGCUGCAAUACCCUCUGACCUCAACAGAGAUGAGUGGGUUGCGGCACUUCCUAGAGCUUUGGUUGCUGGAUUUGUUAAAACUGAUAAAGAUUUCCAGGAAAGAGGUAUUUAACUCUUUCAUCAUUGAGUAAAUUUAUGAUUUUAGUGAAGGAAAUGUUUUGAGUUUUUGUUGUUGUUUCCUGUCUUUUUUUUUCAGCUAGAACGUCUGGAACGACUGUAACGUUUGUCAUAGUAGAAGGAUGGGUGGUGAGUGUUGCGUCUGUAGGUGACUCUCGUUGCAUACUUGAGCCUGCGGAGGGUGGUGUCUAUUACUUAUCUGCUGAUCAUCGGCUUGAAAUAAACCAAGAAGAGUAAGUCAGCUUUGUUCCUUCUGCUGACCUUCAGCUAAUAAUAAUAAUGAACUUAUUGUAUGUAAUAGAAUUCAUAAUAUCUUUGUUUUUAUUAACAGGCGAGAUCGCGUCACUGCAAGUGGUGGUGAAGUUGGUCGUCUAAAUACUGGUGGUGGAACUGAGGUACUUCUUUUAAACAAUACAUUGUCAACUAAUGCUCGUUUUGUAGAAUGUAAAACAUAUGAAACUUCUUUGUGCUGUGAAAAUCUGUAUUGUUUUAGAUUGGCCCUCUGAGAUGUUGGCCUGGUGGUCUCUGUCUCUCGAGAUCCAUUGGAGAUCUGGAUGUUGGCGAAUACAUUGUUCCAGUUCCUUAUGUGAAGCAAGUCAAGGUUCAAAAUUCUUUAACUCUCUCCUGUUGUGGUUAUAGGGCUAGUUGAAAAAAAUGUAUCUAAUUUUUGGCUAUUGUGUAGUUAUCUUCAGCUGGUGGUCGACUUAUCAUCUCAAGUGAUGGUGUGUGGGAUGCAAUUAGUGCAGAAGAGGCUCUUGAUUGUUGCCGGGGUUUGCCACCUGAAGCUUCCGCGGAACAUAUUGUUAAAGUAUGAUAUUUGAAUUGCUUAUAUUCUUUUCCAUGCAGUACCUUGAUGUGUUUUCAUUGCUUCACACAGGCAGCUGUGGGGAAAAAGGGUAUUCGUGAUGAUACAACAUGUAUCGUGGUUGAUAUAUUACCAUCAGAAAAACCAGCUGCUUCCGUGCCGCCUCCAAAAAAGCAAGGAAAGGGAAUGCUAAAGUCCAUGUUCAAAAGAAAAUCUUCAGACUCCUCUUCUAAUAUUGAGAAAGAGUAUGCAGAACCUGAUGUAGUUGAAGAGCUCUUUGAAGAGGGGUCUGCUAUGCUUUCAGAGAGGUUUGAUUCUCUGAGAACAAUAGUUAAUACAGAAUACUAUAUUUUCAUUCAUUUUGAUAUGUGAAACUUAACUUCGUUCUUGUUGUUUAUUGCAGAUUAGACACGAAGUAUCCACUUUGCAAUAUGUUUAAGUUGUUCAUGUGUGCUGUGUGUCAAGUAGAAGUGAAACCUGGAGAGGGUGUCUCGAUCCAUGCUGGAUCGGCUAAUUUCCCAAAGCUUCGUCCAUGGGAUGGUCCAUUCCUAUGCGCAAGUUGCCAAGAGAAGAAAGACGCAAUGGAAGGGAAACGAUCAUUGGGAGGUAUCUACUUACAUUUCCUCCUGACUCCACUAAGAAUGUGUGUGUUGCCGAAGCUAAUAGUCAAUGUUGUUAUCUUGCAGAUAGACAUAGUAGUGAGAGCGACUAGCCAACAGAUUCCACAACUUGCAAUUUAUUUGGUCAAUCUACUAACAAAAACAGUAUUGUGAGGUAAUAUGGAGCGGUCUUAUGGAUCUUAUGGUUGUUAAUUUUCACCCAGAGAUAUGAGUUCGUUGAUCAACCCACCACCAUUCUCCAGCAAACUCCAAAGCAGUUUAUUUUUAAUUUUGAUAUGGCUCUCUCACUUCACACCCUCUUGAAAGUUCUUUUCUUUUCUUCUUUCAUUUGUGAUGCUUUGGUGUUUCAUGAGUAGAACUAACUGCCGAGAGAUGGUAGGUACAGAAAGAUAUGCGAGUCUGUGAAAUUAUUUCAUGUAUAAAACCAAUGAACACAAUUCUGGAUAGAAGCAUCAUUUUCAUAUAAUUUAAAUUAUAUCUUUCGUGUUCGUUGGUUUAUUACAUAAGCCAUUCUCUUCUAUCGUCUGACACUUGAUAAUCUGACACUUUCAAGCUAUGUAUUCAAACAAGUGAACUUCUUGUUUUAAGAACCCAUAAAGUUUACAUGUCAAACUCUAAGAGAUAAUAGAGCUCAGUAAUAAAUCAAUUACUGUCUAUUUAAUACACCAAAUUCACAAUAAAAUUGCGUGAAUCUGUUGCGGCUUUAACCUUAGGAUUAAUAAAGUUGUAUGGUUUUAAGUUUUUACACUUGUUGAUAUAGUGGUACACCAUUGGUUAGUACAAUAAAGUUUUCAAAAAUAAAUGUUGUUCUUACUCUUAAGUUUGCAAAAUCUAUCUAUAUAUCUAUAUAUAUUAUAUAAAACAACAUAAUAUGAAUAACUCAGUGAACAAUAUAUACAAUAUUUGGAAAGUAUUUUUUUGAAUUUUGUUUGUGUGUCAUCACCAAAUUCAUUUAAUUAUAAAAAUAUGACAUAAUUCAGUAAAAAUGAUGACAUGUUUUAAUUUUGACAUGUCAAAUUGCAUUUAUGAAGUUUUAAUUUUUUUUGGUAAGAUGCUUCAAAUAUACCAAUAUAUUAUAUGUAUCAUCAUUUAAAGAAAAUUUUAAACUAAUAACCAAACUAGAAAUAUAUAAUUUUUAAAUUAACUUAGAAUUGAAAAUAAAAAUAUGUAUAUAUUUAUAUUUGUAUAAAUUAAAAUGAUUAUAUAUUUGUUCACUAAGUGUUCGAAUUAUGUUUUAAUUCAUUAAUUGGCAAAAGACUAAUAAAAAAAGUGAGAUCAAGAUAAUCCACAUUAGUAUUAAAUGAUCCAUGGUUUUCAACCAGCAGCCUAAUACCAGUAAACAGUAUCAACAUAAUCAUUAUCUAAAUCGUACAAAGAAUUUUCUCAUCAAUGCGACAUCAGAAACAUGGAACUCACAUGCAAUUGGGCUUUGGUGGAUCCAGAUGAUGUGGAAAUUAUAGAAAGUAUAAUACUGAAUCGGACCCAAAUGAUCGAUCAAGAUGGAUGGCAUUUCACCAAAAAUGGAAAAUACACGAUUAAAUUUGAUUAUCAAGUCGAGCGGGUGUGCCCUGCUACAAGAAGGACGCUUCCUGUGUAUGGACCAACUAUCACCUCCUCUAAAGGCAUAUUCUUACAAAAUAUGUUGUCCACCCAAGAUUAAGCAUUUUUAUGGAAAAUAGUAGGAUGUCGAGCGGGUGUGCACGAUGUAGAGCAGAUGAGGAAUCAAUAAAUCAUGUUUGUUUUUAAUGUCUCACGACUGUCCAAGUGUGGGCUCUCUCAAAAAUCUCAUCGAAUGCAGUUAAUUUUUCUACUUAAUCGAUUUUUUCAAAUAUGGAUCAUUUGUUUUAGAGGAUUUCACCCCAAGUGAUAAUCAUUAGUUUGCAUGAAUUUUAUGGUAUAUUUUGAAAGGACGAAACAACAUGAUUUUUUCAGCAACAUAGAUACCAAUCCUAGAGAUACUCUCCAAUUGGCAGAAACUUAAUCAACACUUUGGGUCGAGGCACAAACAUCACUAACACAACGAGUCACCGAAACUAGAGAGGUGAGCCGGAAACAUUACCUCACAUAUUGGGACGAUGGUGUUUACGGAUAAGUCAUGAAAGAAUAGCCCAACUACUCGGGAAAAGGUUGGUAUAGCUAGCACAUUAGAAAAAAAUUGAUGGGAUGAUGGAGGCGACGAACAUGAGAACCAGCAUUUCAUCCCUUCAUUCGGAAUUAGAAAUCUUCAUUAGGGCAAUGCAAAACAUGAGGAAUCUAAGACAGUUUCACGUAACGUUUGCAAUCCUUAAUUGUUGAAGACGGUUUCAGAACCAGGAAUUUUUUUAUAAAACGAUUUUUAUUUCAUCUUCCUAUAGUUUUUAAAACUCUAACAAAGUUAUCUAACAUAAAUCAUUUCCUAAAAUUAUACUAAAAACAGAAACAUUUUCUUUAGAAUCAUGAUGAACUUUAGAUAACUAACUUAAUAUUGUUAAAAUUACUAUCAACCAAAAAAUCUUUUGUAAAUCUAACCUAAACAAACGAUAAUAACAAGAGAUAAAGAUUUAUUAAACAUUUACCUUAUCUCAUGAUAUGUUACAUAAAUAAUUUAAACUUUGUUAUGUUUAAUAUUUAUAAUUCUGAACUUAUUUUCUAACAAUGUGAUCAAGAUUUAAUUAUUUUCAUUUUAUCAAGAUUUAGAUCAAGAUUUUAUCAUUUUAUUGACAAAAAAAGUAACUGAUUUGCGAACUACCCAAUGUAAAUAUAUAAAUUUACGUUUUUGAAAAUAUAGUAAAUUCAUAUGUAUCCAACUAAACAUUUUCAAAAUAAAUUUUUAUACUACCCUUUUGCAAAGUAGAAAUUUUAAUAUUGUUUAAUAAAUAUGAUAUCCAACUACAUACAUAAUGAUAAUUUUACAUAAUCAACUAUGGUUCAAAAUCCAUUUAAAUAAUAUAUUUAUUUAGAGUUCUACUUAUAUAUAUUGAUAAAAGGUUGUUAUUUAAAUUUGGACAUAUGAACUUUUCCGUUAAUGUUAAGACUAGAUUGGAUAUUAAAUAUAUAAAUCUGAAAAUUAUGUUACACUAAUUCAUUUUGCUUACCAAUUGUUUGGAAAUCAAUAAACAUGACUGAUAUUCUUACCAAAUGACAUUUAGUUUCUACAUACAAAAAUAUCUAUCUCUAAAUAUGACAUACACAAUACAAUAUAGUAUACCUGAAAUCAUUUCAUUAUGUAUUUUUACAUUUCUCACUCCUACGUAGACUAAUUCAAACCUUUUAUUUAUCAAGAUUUUAAUGUAUGCAAUGGUAAUUAAUAACCGGUGCUAUAGGGAAUUGUUUUAACUAAGCCAUUGUCCAUUUUUUGUACAUAUAAAUAAAUUUAUUGGUAGAAAAUAAGGUUAGAUGCCGUUUUAAAAUAUUCAAUAUUUCGAGAAUGAAAUGUUUACAUUACGUUUUUGACACAUAUUUACUAGAAAAAAUUCAUCCUAAUAUUCUUAUAAGAAAACAAAAUAAUUAUAAAACAAAAAAAAAUAAGAUUAACUGACAAAACAAGUCAGUAACUGAAGUACAAACCACACAUUCUAGUUUAAAAUCAAAUUUAAAUUUAAAAUAACUGUAAAAAUGUUAUAACACCAUUUUAUAAAAAAAUAAUCAUGCGUCUUAACACGGGUUAGAAUCUAGUAAAGGUUACAAAGACGGUAUUUAGCAAGGCCUAAAUAUGACUUGUCGUUAAUACUAAAAAGUAAAAAGUCAUGUGGAGUUUUUGCUACAAAAACAGUAUAAUUGCAGUUGAGAAAAAAAAUGCAAAAUUUCUUCUUUUUUAUUUCACCCAAAAAGUAUCCCCUAUAUAUUAAUUCUGGAGCAUUACAACAUGUUUUCGUAGUCACGUGUCAUCACGAGAUUGAUUCUUAAAAUUGUUAGAAAAAUAAGUUGGUCCAUAUAAACAAAUAUUAUGUUUUCUUAUUAAACUAACUAUCAAAUUAAUUAGUAGAGUACAAAAGAAUAUUUUUUCUUUCCUUAAAUAAAAGCUACGGAAUUACCUAAUAUGGUUAACAUAUAUAUGACAAUUAAUGAUUAUGAAUAAUACAUAUUUGAUUAAAAAAAUUCUAACCUCUUUCUUUUUUGUUAAAUUUUAUACUAUUAAGAGAAAUUAAACAAUCACAUUAAGCAUAUAAUAAAAAAAUUAGAUUUUUUCUUAUAUGAUAUAUUUUUAAUUUUUAAAAAUGACUAUAAAUUAUUAAAAAUGGUAAAAAUCCCACAUUGAAAAUUUUGUGAUAAGUGAUUUGACUUUUUUUUGUUUAAGCAAGAUACAAAUGAUCAUAUAUCAUAGGGGUAGGCAUUCGGAUACACGUUCGGGUUUUGUAUCGGAUAUUUCAGUAUAAAGGUAGAAUCAGUUCGGGUAUUUCUACACUUCGAGUCGGGUUCGGGUAUUUUAUGUUCGGGUUCGGAAUAUUUUAGGUCGGGUUCGGGUAUUUAAAAUUUGAAGAAAAAAUAAAUAAAUUAUUCAUUUUUAAGUUUUUUGAAUUUAAAAUAUAUUUUAAAUUAACUGGUUUUCUAAUUUUUAAAAUAUUAAACUAUUAAUAGGUUUUAAGAUAGAACUUAAAAAUAGAAAGACACUAAUUUAGUUGUUGUUUUGAAAUUUUAGAUGUAACUUUUGUUAAUGUAAGAAAACAGAACUUGAUAUGUAUUUUAAGUGAGUAGCAAACGAUUUUGUCCAUAAUUGUAUGUAUAUUAUAUAAUUUUGGGCAAUAAUCAUCAUUAAUAUAAAUAUUUUGAAUAAAAUGAGAGAAAUAAACUAGAAAUAUAGGGUUAGGUAUACUUAUGUUUGGUUAUCUUCGGAUUCGGAUAUUACCCGUUCGUGAAAUAAGUAAUUUGUUUUGUUAUUCUAAUUAGAUGAUUUUUAGACCGAGCUGGUGAAUAUAUACUAGACAGACAUUUAUAUUUCGAGUCUGCACUUGUAUUUUAUAACAGCUUGAUAUAUUAGAUUCGAAUUAUAAUCUAUUAAUAUAGUUUCCUAUGAUUUUUUUCAAAAUUUUAAUUCUUACAUAUGUAUAUGGAGUGAAACUAAUUUUUACAGAUGUCCAUUUUUUUUAAUUGACACUUAUGUAAUUCACCGAAUUCAUAAAAGAAGUUAAACUUAUAAAGUUAACUCAUAUCAAUGAAAUAAAGACGAGAACGAAAACACAAUUUUAUAGAGGUAGAAAAUGAAAUCACUUAUGGAGAGUCAAUAGUAAACAAAUCGAGAGCAGAAAACCUAACCCCCUUUCGUCAUUAUACAAUUGAUGUUGCCUAUUUGGUUUUGGUGAUUUGUGUCAGGCACAAAACUUAAUUUUAUUUUGUGCAUAUGAAGUUUUAAAAAUAAUUAAAAUGAGAUGUAAUACGUUAACUCUUCAACAAGGAUGAUAUAUUUAAGAGACUAACAUUUGUAUUCGUCAUUUUAUAAUUGAUAAAAACUGUAGUGUUGCAAAAUGUUAAAACCAUUUAAUAAACAAACAUUAUCAUAAGAAUUCACUCCGCGCAUGCGAGUGUAAGAUUUGCUAAGAAAAGGAAAUUCAGCAAUGCUGCCCAAAUUUUUUUUAUAUCUAUCUUAUUAAAACAGUAAAACUCAAGUACAAAUUAAAUUUGUUUGGAAACAUGUAUAGCAAUUUUUUUAAAACUUCCUUUGGAAACAUAGAUUGUAUUUUAAAAAAAAAUUGUUUGGAAGCAUGGAUUGCAGUUUUAAAAAGGAGGUUUGUUUGGAAACAUAGAUUAUAGUUUAAAAAAAUAGGUUUGUUUGGAAACAUGGAUAACAGUAUAAUUAAGAGAAAAAAAAAGUAAUAGGCUUAUAUUUUUAGAAAAUUUGGAAGUGCAUUAUAUUAUGAAAAACUAUCUAUCUGGUACCUAAUCGGGUUCAAUUCGGGUUUCUGUGGUCAAAGAUUUCAGCAUCAUUCUAAUAUUUUUAAAUUUUAGUUCAGGUUCAUUUCGGAUUUUUACGGGUUUGGUUUGAGUUCGGAUAACUCAUUUAAAUUACUUUUAAAUUUUUAAAAUUCAUUAUAUAUUUAUAUACUUUAAAUUUCUCAAAAACUAUAAACAAAAUAAUAUAUUAAAUAUAAAUUUGAAUAACAUAUGUAAGGAUACCUAAACUUAACAUAUACACUAUUUUAGUUCAAAUAUUUGGAUAGAGAAUCAAUAAUUAUUUUAAGUAUUUUUGGUGUUUUAAGUAUACUUUUACUAUUUUAUAUAUUUACUAUAGAUUAUUUGUAUAUAUUUUCAAGUAUUUAAACCAGCUUAAAAGUAUCAUAUAUAUUCUAGAUGUUUUUAUAUAUAUUAAAUCUAAAAAUAAUUAAUAUAUAUAAGUAUAUAAAUCCAUUUCAGAUAUAUUCGGGUACCCAAAAUACUCGGUUCGGAUCGGAUUCGGUUUCGGUCCUCCAAAAAAUAAAAUUUUGAAUAAUUCGGAUAUUUAAUCAAUUUCGGUUUGGGUUUGGUACUACUUUUUUGGAUCGAGAUCGGUUUGGUUCUUUUGAUUCGGGUAUUUUUAUCUAACACUUAUAUUAUUAACAUGAAAAACAAAUAGAAAUAUAUUUUUGAAAAAUAUAUCACGGGUGUGCGUGUCAAAGUCUAAUUUUCUCUUAUAACACCAUUUUAUAAAAAAAUAAUCAUGCGUUUUAACACGGAUUAGAAUCUAGUAAAGAUUACAAAGUCGGCAUUUAGCAAGGCGUAAAUAUGACUUGUCGCUAAUACUAAAAAGUAAAAAGUCAUGUGUAGUUUUUGCUACAGAAACAGUAUAAUUGCAGUUGAGAAAAAAAAAUGCAAAAUUUCUUCUUUUUUAUUUCAUCCAAAAAAUAUUAAAGUUUAUUUGGUAAGAAAAGGAAAUUCAGCAACGCCGCCCUAACUUUUUUGUAUAUUUUCUCUGCCGCUUUCCAUAUGGUAGCUAGGUCUUUUGACAUAGCUAGGUUUGCCUAGGUCUUAAUAUAAACUUCAACACCUCCCUCUCUCUCACACAGACAAGCAUAACGAUCAUGGCUACGGAUCCUAUCCCUGUGGAACUCAGCCACGAGAUAUUGUCAAGAUUGCCAGCAAAGUCAAUCGCUAGGUUUCAUUGCGUGUCCAAGCAAUGGGCAUCAAUACUUGAUCGGCCAUACUUCAAAGAUUUGUUCCUGACCAAGUCUUCGACCCAGCCACGUCUCAUAUUCGCUAUCGAAAAAAAAUGUGUGUGGAGCUUCUUUUCGUUGCCUCAGCAUAUGAGUCCACAUGAGAAGCCAUCAUCUUCUCUUGUAUUAACCCCUGAAUUUCAUAUGAAGUUCCCUCCAGACGAUACGUGGUGGAUCUUUCCUCGUUAUGACCGAAAGUUCGCAUGCGGGUAUGCCUCUGGUUUGAUCUAUUUCUCUUGUAUGUCGGUUAAGGCGGGUUACGAUGGAGUGCCUGUAAUUUGUAACCCUAAAACAGGACGAUAUGAGAUCUUACCUUUUAUCAGAAGGUACAGAAAGUCGUACAGUUUUUUUGGGUUUGAUCCUGUUGAAAAGCAAUACAAGGUAUUGCACAUGGCUUAUCCAUGUGGUCCUAAUGAUCACAGAAUUAUGACACUGGGAACUCAAGGAAUGAGGUGGAGAAAGAUCCAUUGUUCAUUAAGACUUGAGAAUCUGAGUGAAGGGGUAUGCAUUAAUGGGGUUUUGUAUUACUUAGGUGACACGUCUCAGUGUAUGGAAAAGAUUAGGGGGAAGUCUAGUUUUGCAAUAGCAUGCUUUGAUAUUAGGUCUGAGAAGUUCAAGUUUCUUUAUCCGGAAAGCUUUUGUGAAUUGGUAAACUAUAAUGGUAAGUUAGGUGUGAUUUACUAUGAUGAUCUCACUGAUGAUGCCAUUGAGUUGCGUGUGUGGGUUCUAGAGGAUGUGGAGAAAGAAAAAUGGUCGAAAUAUUCCUACACUCUGAGGGGUGAUAAACUCUUCCCGCAUUAUGCUUCAGUGGUUGGAGUGAUUUCUACUGGUGAAAUUGUGUUGUCGAUGGCUGAUUAUACGUCCAAACAGCCGUUUUAUAUUUACUACUUUAAUCCUGAACGGAACACCAUUCGACGUGUUGAAAUCCAAGGCUUCGGAGAAUACCACAAAGCUUCCAAAAAACCUAGUAGAGUCUACGUCUUUUUAGACGACUGUAGUAGAUUCUACCCUUCUGCACACCAUGCUGAGGAUCUUAAUGUUAAGGAUCCAAAGCUACUAAACUCAAGCAUAUAUGCUCCAUAUGUGUAUAAAGGAGAAGAUGAAGAAGUAGAAGAAGAAGAAGACGAUGAUGAUGAAAAUGGUUUUAGUCAAUUUUAUGGUAAAAAGAGGAAGAAUAAACCAGAUGAAAGCAGGAGUAGAAAACGAAGAAAGCAGAAGGGGAAGAAAAAGAAGAAGAAGGAAGUAGGAGGAGAAGACAGAGACAAUCAUUGGAGUUAGGUGAAAGCAAUGGGCAUGUCAUUUUGUGCUUUUAUCUAUGCGUUUAUGCUUUUGAGUUAUGUACCCUCUUUAUAACUAUUUUAAUAAACCAAGUUUUCUUUUAAGAUUCCAUCUCUUCUCAGUUUCUAAAUGCAAUAGCAUCCUCUGGGCGGUAAUGAAUACAAAACCGUGCGUGGAGAGUUUAUAUGUGACAAAUAAUUAUAUUUUGAUGCUGUCUUAAACAAAAGGAACGUGUAUAUAUUGAUAAGUAAAUCGGUUACUCCUGCAUCUUCACUAUUAUCCUGUUGGGGAUGUUCAAGGGUCAGAGCAAAAACAUUUAGCUUAUGAUUCUUCAGUUAGAAUCUCUAAUGCUAAAAAGAGGUGUUGAGUUUAGCUGAAGAAGCUCUUGAAUAACAUCCUCCAAGAUGAUAACUCAGACAACCUCUUCAUUGCCAGUCACGAUCCCUGUAGACAACUGCAAUGUUGCUGUGACCCUUUUGGAACUUAUUUAGGAUAAUCAUAUAAUAAUACACUGGAGACAAGAAGGUUAUUAAUAUGAACGCUUGUAUUAUAGGAUAUCAUAUAACGACGCGGUCAAGAAUGUGAUUUCCCGCGGAAUUCUCUCAUAAUGUUUUUUUCCUUUGAGGAACUUAAUAUUUUGUUAAUUAAGCUGACAAAAUAUAUAAAAGAAAAAUUGAUUACAAACUGAUUAGUAAUACACAAUUGUUUUUUGGGAUUAUUGGGACUAUGGAGUCAUCUUCCUUAGUCACUCUUCUUAUUGCCGAAAAAUCUCAAAAAGAAAAUGAUCAAUGCUACAAAGAUUGCAAUUGGUAUGGCAGAGUAUCCGGUCGUUGCAACAAAGUUAAUAUAGAGAGUAAUCAGAAUGACUAUUGCAAUGAGUGUCUGCUUCUUCCAUUGAACUGUAUCAUUAACUGCAAAUAGCAACCAUGCCACAAAAAAUCACUCUUUUCAAUAUACAAAUUAAAACGAAAGGAAAACAAUGGUAUACGUUAAACCAAUACGUACCCUCUUUUUUGGGUUGGUUUUGAGCCGUCAAAUGUGAGAAUGAGUCUAUUGUCCUCUUUAUACCUUCCUGUAGUUAAAGAUUAGUGAAAGUGAAACGGAUUACUGGCACCGAAACAGAAUGAUUAUAUCGAUCUAUAUGUCUCUAAUGAAAAAAGAAGUUUGUGUAAACCUGAAGUGGCACAACAGGAGCGUAGCCUAAGAUAUCCUUUGCUUUUGAGGAAUCAAAAGUUCUGCUGCAAGACUUUAGAUUUAGACUAUACUAGGUCAAACAAUGUAUUAAGCAAUGAAUAAUAAAACAGUAAAUAUAGCUAAGCAAGGUGAACAAGGUAGUUGUUCGGUAAAUAAUAGUGAGGUUGUUUGAUGGAAAGAUGGUUACUAGACUUAGGGUUUCAUUCAGGUUAUUAGAACUCUAGUCUAUAGAUGCUAAGUCUUGAUUCUAGAACUCGAUAUCUAAUGCAAAAGAAAACCAGCUCUCACUGUGAGUCUAAUCUAUUGACUAAGUUCAGUGUUUCAGCACUCGUAUGCCAACACGGAUCGAGCAUCGAUCGAUGCUAUGGUAUGAGUGUCGAUCGAUGCUAUGGUAUGAGCAUCAUUCGAUGCUACGGUAUGAGCAUCGAUCGAUGCUACGUUAUGAGCGUCGAUCGACGCUGCCUUAGGCAAGCGUUAUCGAUCUGAUCGAUUAUGUUCAACUAGAUUCCUAGACCAAUGCUAGUAUGCGCCUAGGUGUCUAAUCCAACAGGAUUUAGGUUCCGUUAUUUGAUUGCACUCUUGUGCCUCUCAAUUGUCCUAUGAUUCUAGGUUCAAGCAUUUAGUCACACUCUCGAGAUUUUCCAACUACUCUAGAUCCUAAUAUUACAAUAUAUCCUGAUGUAGAGAUCUUUAGAUAUCCUAACAAUCAUAUAAUUCAGAAGUUCAUUCAAAGCCCUAGAAAUUCCUAAACCUAGCAGGUGGAUUUACUCAUGCAUGAUGUUUGUCACAAAAAUCAUAGAUGUGUAGAAGAAAUUGCAAGAUAUAUUAAAACCAAAACCAAUGGAAUUCCAAAAGGACUCUGAAGGAGUUCAUCCCUUCUCUCCUAACUAACAACAAUGAAUAAAAGAAAGCGUAGCCAUCAACAAUGGCUUAGAAAACACAUAAAUAGGUUUUUAGGUCAUCUAAGGGUAUUAUUGUAAUUUGUGGUUGCUUAUGGGCUUCAGUCGGCCAUAAAAUAUGCUCGGCCCAUAUUCUGGCAUUACCGUCGAUCGACACCAAGGGUGCACCGUCGAUCGACAGUCCUUCAUCUCCUUGACAGCUUUUUCUCGCGAGGCAGACUGGCCACUCUUCAGUAAAAUGGGCAUAACUUCUUCGAUAAAAUGCUGAUUGACCUCAAACCGGUGGAACUGGAAAGCUAACUCAAAGCGCUAACAUGUGUCAAACGAUGGGAUCAAUAUAACAGUGGGAUAGUCUCCAUCCAUAGCUAAACAAUCAAAAUGCUCCAAAAGACACCAAAAUCACCACUUUCCUCCAAAUCGUCCAUGAACCUGUAAACUCUCUAAAUAGACACUAUAUCGUAGUAAAUAUAUCUUAAAACACCUAUAAACCAUGGCUAGAAGUGGGUAAAAUCCAUGGUUUAUCAACUCCUACAGACUUACCCUUUUGGUUGUCCUCAAGCAAAACAUACAUAAAUGGCAUGUAUAUGGUUUUAAAUUAGAGUAGCUUCCUUUGGUCAACACAUUAACAUACUGAAAAACUUCAAAUUUAUUCAGCUUAAUUGAUUCUGUUUUCUCUCUGCAAAACGUCUUAUGAAGUUUUUUUUUCUUUUCCAAGAGUCCGCUCAAUUGAUUGAUGUUUGUUUUUUCCACCUUCUCUGCAAAACUUUUUUGGUAGCCAAGAGUCACAUUUUUAAAACUUCAGGCUUCUGAACUCUCAUUCUAGGAAUCGAUUUUUGUGGGGUUCUCUCAUUCUAUGAUCUUUUGUUCGUCUGAUAUCGUCAAUUUCAAAAGCAAGUUGUUCGUCUUCAUAUCCAACUUCUAACUUGUACUUCAUGCAGGUUUGGAAAAUCCGAAAUUGACAGAAAGAGAAUUAGCAAGGAGAGAUGACAUUGGAGAUCAUUGGUUUUAUAACAAAAGUCCAAUCUUAUUAUUGGGAAUUGCAUUCAUUUAACAUUCAUAUUAUUAUUUAUUAUAAAUAUAUCCACAGAUCUGAUACAAAUAUUAUAAUACUUUAUUUUAGUGACACAAAAUAUUUAGACAUUUAUUGUUAAAAAGGUAAUAUAGACUUUGGGUUGUGUAUUACAUUCACAACCUUUAGCGAGAACCCUUACAAGGAGCAUUGCAGUCACAAAAUCCCUUAGAAUCCGAACAAACACCACUACCACUAGGUGGGUAUUUCUUCUUACACUCAUUUCGACAUAGUAUUGGAAAACAUUGCUUUGAGUUAUGUGCGAUUUUAUAAGGACAUAGUUUUGUUUCUUUUUUCUGUGCAUCUGUCAUCAUUCCUGUUAGAUACAAAAUCUCAAAUUUUAUAAGAGAGAAAAAAUAAUGAUAAUAUUUAUUUAUGAAUUAUAAAAAAAUAUAUAUCAACAAAAUUCUUACUUACUUUUGUUUUAAGCAUUUUAAAUAAAAAUACACAUAUACUUUAUUAGUAAAUCAAAAACAAAAAUUAUUUGAUGAAAAAAAUUAUUUUUGUAUUUUACAGAAAUGCGUGCAUAUUAAUUUUAAUUUCUUUUUGCAGUUUUAAGCACAAAUAUUGUAUAUAUUGCAAAAUCAUAACAUAUUAACUAUAAUAAAUUUAAUAUAUAUAUAUAUAUAUAUUAUGUUAUUCAAAAUAUAACACAAAUUUACAUAAGAACUAUAGUUCAUCCAUAUUAUGAAAAAUGUUGGUUAAAAUAUUUGUAUGUGCAUGAAAAAAUGUAAAGAAAUAGAUGAUAAAAACAAAAAUAUCUAGAAUUGUUUUAUCACAGUAUUUCUCCAUCAUGUAUAAAAAAUAUACAUUUAAAAAUAAAAAUGGAUCAAAAUAGUAAAUAAAAUCUUAAAAUAUUUUAAGGUUGAUCCUUUUUAGUUUAACACAAAAAUGUUUGACUCAGUUUCAAUAUUUUCUAGCUUGCUAGGUAUUUAUGAAUUUGCAUUAAAAUAUAAUUGAUACUAUAUUUUAUAUAGUAAAAGAAAUAAUGCAGGAGGUCUACAAUAUAUUGAAAAUAUAAUUUAAAUUAUCUAAUUAUUAUAAUCAAUUUAUUAUAAAAUUAUUGUAUGCAAUAUAGUAAGAUAUAAAGACAAACCUAAUGAAAGAAUGAUGAAUACGGUUAAGAAGGUGAAUAAGAGUUGAAGGGAUUUCCUCAUUGUGGAUAAUAGAAAUGAAUUGAUGGUGAGUUAAAAUUUAGGAAAUAGAUAAAGUGUUCUAUUUUUUUUACAACAGAAGAAGAAGUAUUCUUACAUAUAUACAUAAUAAAAAUAUCUAAUUUAAGCUACUCACAUUAUUAUGUUCCGGUUUAAACGAAUCAAAUUUAGAAAAAUUCCACAUUCUUUGCUCAUGUAAUAUGUGAAUGCUUUAGACUUGUUCGUUUUCCUAAAAGCAAAUAGAAGGAUGCGUGUUUUACGCCUGAAAUUAAUUUUGAUGUUCUAAAAAAGUUUUGUUAAUUUGAGAAUUAUAAAUUAAUUUAAAGGAAAUGUCAAUAAGAAACUUGAUCAAAUAUUACUGCUUGAAUAUACAGUUUAUCAUGUGAAUGUUCCACACAUAACAUAAUUUAUAGAUUAUAUACAAACUUAUAUUAAUUAUACAGUUUGUAUGGCCAUUGCAUAGAUAUGUAUAAUAUUUAGAGUUAUAUGUAUGUAUAAUUUAUAGAUUUAAUGUAUAUUUAUAAUAAAAUAAGAAAAUUACCUUGUGGUUUAUGUUAAUAUAUUUGUAUAUCGAAAAAGGGAGCGUGCGAACACGUGACUUGCUCAUAUGUUAUUAAUAUGUUAUUACUUAUUUGCCCUUAUUUGUGGUACUAUUCCACGUGACUUGCGUAAUUACUUGCGCCAAAAUGUAAAAAAAUCAAGGGAAUGAUCGGUGAUAGUCAUGAGUGCUCUAUACAAUUCCAAUAUUCUCUGCAGUGAAAACUAAAACAAUCAAGCUCUAGUAAGAAAAUCUAAAGUUAUAGCCCAAAAACUUGAAAAUGAAAUAUAUUGAUUUAGAAAUUAAUGUUUUUACAGUUUUAUGUUUAGUGCUUUUAAACUUUAAAUUAGUUCUACAGUAAUAAAAUCUAAAAAUAAAACCACAGAAUCUAAAGCAAAAAAAUCAAAGCUAUAACCUCUUCUAAUCAAUCUCUGAAAAAAAAAUUUAAUUGCUUACUGCUAGCGAAAAGAGAGAGUGAGAUAAGAGUACGAGAGCAAAAUUACUGAUUCUCGCUUGGGGUUGGUAAUACGGCAUGCAAUCAAGCUCUAGCUAUCAUUAGUAUACAUUCUUCCCUUUAACAAUCCUGAACUUUUCCAAAUCCAACCAACACACACAUAGAACAUAACAUAUUAAAAAAAAAAAUCUAAAAUAGCAAUCAGUCUCUGGGUUAUGAUUACUCUAAUUCAGAUUAGAAAAAAUUCACUAUCUUCAAAUGAUUCUCGUGAAUGAUUUGUUUUGAAGUUUUUAUGAAUUUUUGUAUUUUCUGUAUUUUUAUAUUUAUUUUAUUAAUAAAAUAAUUUAAAAUAUUCGUUGUGAAUUUUUUUAUUUUUUGUGAAUUUUAUUGACUUUUUAUGAUUUGUUUUGAAUUUUUUAAUGAUUUUUUAUAUUUUGUGUAUUUUUAUAUUUAUUUUAUCAAUAAAAUAAUUUAAUUUUUUUGGGUGAAUAUUUUAUGAAUUUCUAGUAUUUUUAUGAUUUGUUUUGAAUUUUUUUAUGGAUUUUUAUAUUUUACUUAUUUUAUACUUAUUUUACUAAUAAAAUAAUAUAAAUAUUGUUAUGAUUAUUUAUUUUUGUAAAAUUUUAUGAUUAUUUUUAUAUUUAUUUUAUCAAUAAAAUAAUUUAAAAUACAUUUUGUGAAUUUUUGAAUUUUGUGAAUUUUAUAGACUUUUUAUGAUUGGUUUUGUUUUUUUAUGAAUUUUAUAUUUUUGUAUUUUUAUAUUUAUUUUAUUAAUAGAAAUAAUUUUUAAAAAUGUGGUGAAUAUUUUGAUUUUUGUGAAUUUUUUGUAAUUAUUUUUGAAUUUUCUAGUGAAUUUUUAUAUUAUUAUUUAUUUUAAUAUUUAUUUUAUUGAUAAAAUAUUUUUUUUAAAAAAUUAAAAAAAAAGAAAACUGACACGUCAUCGAUUUUGAACAGUACCGGUUAUCGUUUUGACUUGAUAUACAAGUAAGCCAGAGUGGAGGUUUCUUUUGAUAAAAAUGUCGCUUUAAAGGAUUAAAGUGCUUGUGAAAUACUCCGAGGGUUUAAAGUGUAAGUGGCUGCCACUUUGAAGGUUUUUUAUGCGAUUUUUUCGUUAUUCAAUGUCCACUAGGAGUUCUCCUGCACGAUGCGCAGAUAUAAAAUAUUUAAAAAUUUUAUAUAUAAAUAAAAUUUUCUGUUUUUCUAUUUUACUUUUAUUAGUUUAAAAAAUAAAACCAUAAUGUAAUUGUUUUUAGUUUGAUUUAUUCAAGUUUAGUUUGACCUUUUAAUUUUGCAUUAUUUUACUUUUGAUAAAAAUAAUUGAAAUUUAUAAAUUUACUUUAUUAUAUUAUUCUUUAUUUAAUUACCAUUUUUAAAUAUUUCUAUUUGUAAAUAUAUAUAUUAUUUCUAAUAAUAUAUAAAUUAAAUAAAAAUAACUUAUAUACAUUGAUAAAAUAUAGUUUAAACUACACUUAUUUUAAUAAUAAAAAUAUGAUUCAUAUAUUGAUGUAAAAUUUUAAUAUUUGUUAUUAUUAUUUAUAUAUAAAAACAUAUUAUUUUAAUAGAUAUAGAAAAGUUAUUAGGUAUCAUAAAAUCUUACCAAAAUGAAUAUUUUCUGAGAAAAAAUAUUUUUGAUAUAAAAUUUAUUAGUUAUUACUAUAUUAUGAAGCUUUUCCAAAAAUAUAAAUCCGUAUAUAGAAAAUCAUCAUUAUUAUAUUUAAGAAAUCUUACCAAAAACAUAAAUCUAAAUAUAGUAAUUUUACAUGUAACAAUUAAAUUUAUGCCAUGUCAUAUUUUUUUUAAGCCAUGUUAUUAUUUUUUUGUGAAAGUUAAUGUAUUGAUCACACUUAUACAAAUCAAUUCUCAAAUAUAGUCUAAGUGAUUGGAUUUUAAUAGAAUUUGAGCGGAAUUUGGUGUACUUUUGUAUAAAAAAAUAAGCAUAAACAGAAUCCAGCACUUCUAGCUUGGAUUUUGAAUUUAUCAAAUAUUUUUUUUUCUUUACGAUUCUCUUUGGUUAAGUUUUAAUCCCAGCCCAGAUAAAGUUAGACGUAGACAAAUUCGGUGAAGUUGAUUCUCCGUUAAUCCUCAAAACCAAUUCUCACCUCUUCUAACCCUAAACUCAAGUUUAAUCGGACGUACCAUAGCUUCUGACUUUGAAGCCAUAGUUCCAUUCUCAACCUCGUCGGAGUUUUCUCUAAUAUGCUGUCUUGUUACAAAUCUUGUCUCGUUAUAAUCCGAACAAAAAGGUAAGAACUUUGAUUUAAUGAUAUUAGAAAGUGUAGGUUUUGAUAAUCAACCAACUUGUUUUUAUUAACAUCAUACGAUCCCAUAUUUAUACAAAGACUAAGGCGGUGAAACAUAUUUCCUUGCCUUGUCGUAUAAGGAAACAAUCCUUAUCACAUAUAGGAAAAUAUACAACCAAAUAUAUGACAAUAUCUCCAAUACUCCCCCUCAAGUUGGAGCAGGAGAAUCUUGAAUGCCCAACUUGGAUACUAACUUUUGAAAUGGAACCCGUCCAAGUGCUUUAGUUAAUAUAUCUGCUAUCUGCGAAUCCGUGCGUAUAUGCUGAGUGACGAUGAUCCUCUCUUGAACUGCAUCUCUCACAGAAUGACAAUCAUUCUCAAUAUGUUUUGUUCUUUCGUGAAAGACCGGGUUGGCAGCUAUGUGAAUCGCAGCCUUACUGUCACAAAAAAACGAGUAGGAGUAAACUGCUCAAGAACCAGUUCUUUUAAAAGCUUUCGAAUCCAUUUCGUCUCUCGUAAUACUGUUGCCAUAGACCUAUACUCUGCUUCGGCAGAAGAAUGUGACACAGCUCGCUGCUUCUUAGUCUUCCACGCAAUAGGUGAUCCACCAAGCAUAACCACGAAAGCGCUGAGUGAUCUUCGGGUAAGAGGACAAGAUGACCAAUCUGCAUCGCAGUAUACUGAGAGCGUGAGAUCAGGGUCGGAUUGUAGCAGAAUUCCCAGACCCAACGUCCCUUUCAGAAACCGCACAACACGAAGUGCAGCAAGCCAAUGAGCCUCUUUCGGAUGCUUCAUAAAUUGCGAAAGAAUAUGGACUGAAUAACACAACUCAGGCCUAGUAUUCAGAAGAUAUAUCAGCCUACCAACAAGCCGCCUGUACUUAGUCGGAUCAGCAAGUGUUGGUCCCUCUGCUUUAGCAAGUUGAUGAUUCUGCUCAAGAGGUGUGUGAGCUGGUGUACAACCUAAAUUUCCAGUCUCUGUGACUAUAUCCAAAGCAUACUUGCGUUGACAAAGAAAAAUACCUUCUGGACCUCUCAACACUUCAAUACCAAGAAAAUAUUUUAAUUUUCCCAAAUCUGUCAUCGCAAAGCAUUUACCCAAGUAGUCUUUGAAACGCUUCACCAUAUGUAAAUUAUUACCACAAAUGAGAAGAUCAUCAACAUAAAUCAGUACUCGUAUCUCAAUAUCCUUGCACGAGUAAGAGAACAGCGAAUAAUCUUCAUAUGACUGAACAAAACCGAAUUUAAGAAGUGCAUCUGAAAGUUUCUUAAACCAACACCGCGGAGCUUGUUUAAGUCCGUACAAAGACUUUCUCAGGCGACACACUUUACCAGGAUGUGUAUGACGGAAACCUGGUGGGAGCUUCAUGUAAACUUCUUCCUCAAGGUCGCCAUGUAGAAAAGCGUUUUGCACAUCCAUUUGAUAGACUUCCCAUUUCUUUGCCGCAGCUAGACGCAGAAGAGUGCGUAUUGUGGUCAUCUUAACGACUGGAGCAAACGACUCAUUAUAGUCUGCUCCUGCGACCUGCUUAUUACCUUUCACCACCAAUCGAGAUUUGUGUCUUUUGAUGGUCCCAUCAGAAUUGUAUUUUAUCUUAUAGACCCACAGACUAUCAAGAGCUGCCUUUCCCGGAGGCAGAUCAGUAAUGUCCCAAGUGUGACUAUCCUCAAGCGCCACAACCUCCACUGUCAUAGAAUUAUCCAUAUUUUACUACGCACAGCUUCUUGAAAGUGUUUAGGCUCCUGUGCACUUGUGAUCGCAGUCAUAUAAGCCCGAUGACCUGGUGAGAAUUGUUCAUCAGUUAUACAGUCUGACAGAGGAUAAAGAGGAAUACCUGGAUCGUUAGACGAGGACAACAUGUUGGAGUUGGGAAGAGCGUGAUGUGUAUUAGGCGUGCUCGCGGCAGUCGGCACUGUAGAGAAGAAAAUCUUUCAACAAGACCGAUUGUGUCUUCUCUCUGUGUCCUCUACCAAGAUUUUCGGAGGUCUCACUGGCCAGAGGCGAGCCCAAGUUCUCAACGAGCUCUGCUUCUGGUAAAGGCAACUCAGUUUCAGUUUCAGUUGCUUCAACACUAGCAACAUUUUGUUCAUCUGUAUCAACUGCAGGAGACACUUGACUGCUCCCCCUGUUAUCAAGACCCACGACCCAGUCCUCAUCAAGAAUCACAUCCGACGAUGGCACUGCAGGCUGGUCAAGUUUUGACUCUGCAAACGGGAACACAUCUUCCCGGAACACGACGUCUCGAGAAACCAGAAACUCGUUACGUUCAACAUCAUACACUUUCCAUCCUUUCUUGCCGAAAGGAUAGCCAACAAAUAUACAUGACCGACUUCUUUGACCAAACUUAUCUUUGUCUCGAUUCAUCUUGUGCGUGUAACAGGCUGAUCCAAAGACUUUCAACAGUUUAUAAUCUGGUUGCACUCCAUAAAGGACUUCAUAAGGAGUUCUUCCUUUAAGUACAGAGGUCGGAGUUCGAUUUAUCAAAUAUGCAGCGGUAAGAACAGCUUCGCCCCAAAACUUAAUCGGCAAGUUAGCUUGAAACAUGAGUGCUCGAGAGACAUUCAAAAUAUGUCGAUGUUUUCUUUCAACCCUUCCAUUUUGCUGUGGUGUUGCAACACAAGACGUCUGAUGAACGAUGCCAUUUUCUUUAAAGUAAGAUGACAAGACCAUGAACUCGGUACCGUUGUCACUGCGAACCGUUUUAACCGACUUCCCAAACUGCUUUUCAGUAUAAGCAAGGAACUGUUUUAAGACAACCUUGACUUCUGAUUUUUCAAGCAACAGAUAAGUCCACACUGCUCGAGAAAAAUCAUCGACGAUGGUAAGAAAAUACACUGCACCACAAGAAGAAGGCACUCGAUAUGGACCCCAAACAUCGACAUGAAUAAGAGAAAAACAUUCUGACGUUUUAUUUGAACUAUCAUUAAAAACUUCUCGAGUUUGCUUAGCUCUAAAACAAAUGUCACAUGGACUAGAGCCAGCUAAGUUAGAAGAACCAGAAAACAAAGCCAAAUCCUUAAAUACUGAGAAAGACGGAUGCCCCAAACGCCGAUGCCACAAAGCCUGAUCGGAAAUACCACUGACUCGGUGACUCUUUGCUGAGACUCUGUCUGUGAAGUAAUACACACCAUCACGCUCUUCACCGGUUCCAAUCAGCGUCCUCGAAAAACGGUCCUGCAAGACGCAAACUGUAUCAGUAAACAUUGCAAAACAACUCGCUUGUUUCAACAACUUUGCUACAGAAAUCAGAGUGCAAUUUAAGUCUGGAACAUAUAAAACUCUCGACAACGUUAUUUUAGACGAGAGCGCAAGAGAUCCCCAGCUCAUCGCAUAUGUCUUUCCUCCAUCAGCAAAAGCGACAGAGCAUGGAGAAAUCGGCUCAACGUUCGUCAAAAGCGACAAUAAACCUGUCAUGUGGUGCGAAGCACCUGUGUCGAGAAUAACAUCACCCAGUUUACUCUUACCAGACAGUCUAUCUGCAGCAUUGGCUCCAGACUUCUCUUGAAUCAUUUGUGUACGGAUCUUCCACUGAUCAGAUGUGAAAUCAGGAAAUUCCGACGAGUUUGAACUCGUAGCAUGAGCCGCACAAGCUCGUCCACGACCACGACCACCACUACGGCCUCCUCUUCCACGACCACCACUACCUUGUCCACGCCCUGCACCACGUUCUGGAAACCACUCCGGAAAGCCCACUAUCUGAUAACAAUCCCGUUUCUCAUGACCAGUUCUUCCACAAUGCGAGCACAACAAUCUGGGUUUAAGAAUUGUGUUCUCUGUUCUGCUCUGCGUCUCGGUUGAACUCAACUGCUGACCUUUACGAGACACUUCAUCAGACUGUGUUUGUCGUGCGACAAACCCGACUGCUUCUUGCUGAUCACGUCCACGAGCUGACGCAAGGCGUUGUUCCUCUCUUAUUAUUUUACUGUAAAUCUUGCCAAGAGAGGGAAGAGGAUCUUGACCAAUAAUUGAGGUACAGAUUCCUCCAAACCGUGAGUCAUCAAGACCCAUAACAAACUGGUGAAUCUUCUCUUGCUCUCUUUCACCAGCGAUGGCAGCAGCAGCUCCACAGGUACAUGUGUGAACAGGCUGAUACAUCUGCAACUCUUCCCACAAUGUAGAGAGCCUUCCAAAAUAGUCCAACACGGACUGGCCAUCCUGCUUACACGAAACGAGCUGCACCUUUAUCUGAUGCACUCUCACUGUGUUUUCCACCGAGAAACGUUGCUUCAGAUUCUCCCAAAGCUGAUGUGCAUCUGUGAUGUACGUAACUGUGGACUUCACCUUUGGCUCGAUGGAAGCUCGGAUCCACCCAACAAGCAUAGAAUUGACUGUCAACCAAUUCUCAAGAUCUGGACUGGUUUCAGCCGGCUUCACCAAGGUUCCUUUGAUAAAACCUAACUUUCGUUUUGCUUGAAAAGCAUUCAACAUCUCCGAAGACCAUUCAUUGUAGUUUUCUCCAUUCAAACGAACCGACGAGAUCACGGCUCCAGGGUUGUCAGCAGCGUAUAGCGUAUACGGCGAGACCGACACAACUUCAUCUUUCUUUGGGUUGGCUUGAGCCAACUCACGAUCAUCCGACAUAGCGAAGCUUGCUCAGAAUCUUUGCAAAGAUCCGAUUUGUAACUUCUUCAAUCGUAUCAAUGCUCUGAUACCAUGUAGGUUUUGAUAAUCAACCAACUUAUUUUUAUUAACAUCAUACGAUUCCAUAUUUAUACAAAGACUAAGGCGGUGAAACAUAUUUCCUUGCCUUGUCGUAUAAGGAAACAAUCCUUAUCACAUAUAGGAAAAUAUACAACCAAAUAUAUGACAAUAUCUCCACUAGAAAGUAUUCUACAUUGGCCUUUAGAUUAUUAUAUGCGAUCAUUAGAGAGAAUUAGAAGUAGUGGCCUCGAUGCAAGCUGUAACGACCCGGUUCAUCAAAAUCGGUUUGGUUUGGUUUAAUUACAAUUUUAAUUAUAACUUAAACCAUCCUCUUUACUUCUUGGUCAAAUCGUGCAAUAUAUAUAUCAUUGUACGCAUCUCCCUUCCUCUCAUUUGACCUAGCCGUAAUCACCAUCGCAGCCAUUCUUCAUCGUUAUCUUCUUCUUCAUAUUAACCAUCUCACGUCAUGUUCACGUUCUUCUCUCAUCAUGUUGACCCAAGGCAGAGCCGGAGAUUCCUUACCGCGCCGGAGCCGUCACGUUCAUCACAACUAGCCACAGAUUUGCACCGCCAUGAUCCGCUUGCUGCCGUAGUUGUCAUAAACCACCGUCAGGAUCCAAGCUAGAGAGAUCGUGAUCUCACACCUGCUUGCUCCACUGUCGCUACUCACCCCCGAUCACCAACCGUUACCAUCAGAUACAUGGCUAAGGAGUGGUUUUGCGAGAGGUUUCUAGUACGGUGCAGGGGAUUCUAGGGUGUGCGCCAUGGCUCUUGGGAUAGAUCUCGUUUCCAGGAAUCUGUAGAAGCAAACAGAAUCUAGAUCAGAGUUGUGAAGCAAAAGUUAUUGCUGUUGCUUCUUGGGCAAGAAUAAGCUUAAGCUGUUGCGCUGCAGAGACAGUUCCGACCAGUCUCAGCGUAAAGGUGAAAUGGUCAGCCUAAUCAAAAUAUUUCAGUCUGGAAUUUUGUCAGUAAGUAUUUAACUCUUUUAUCUAUCAUCUCCAAGAAGCGGAUUGUCAUUCCAAGUUAUUUUCUGAGAGUUAAGCUUGUUUUCGUGAGAGGUGUUGGUGCAGUCUACGUUUGCGACCAGUCUGGAGACGAAGCUAAUUUGAUUAAUCAGAUGGAGUCCGAUCGGAGUAAAACCGGUGGCUACGGAUAUAGGACAUCUAGGGCUACAUUCGGACCGGAGAGAUUGAAAAGUUAACGGUCAGUUCUUGAGUUAUGCAUCUGUUUUCUCUUGGGUUCAGUUCUGGCAGAAUCAUCAUACUCAUUUAUUUUCAGACUUUCGGAGUUGCUGUGAUAGAGCCAUCAAGGGCUAUUCUGUGCUUCUCAGGUUCUUUAGAACCGUGGCAAAGGUGAGGGUCUACUCCGUAAAUCCCAUACCAGUAUAGAAUUCUCUCUAUCGUAGUUUAGAUUUCGAAUCAUGAUCCGUCUGUUUGAAUUGAGUCUGUUUGAAGUACAAUCAAACUCUAAUUCCAUUACCUAAUUAUAAUUCUCAAUUCAAUAACACCUCCUAUAAGUGUUUUUAGAAGGGUUUAUCAAUAAGAAAUUAAAAAAGACUUUAAAAUCAAUAAAUCUGACUGGAUAAAAAUAACUUACGAAGGCUUAGGAUUUUCUUAAAGCCUUCAAACUUCAAGGCUUUUGAAACCAUAUUACCAAUUACAAAAAAUAUCUUUUAUGUUUCAAUUUCCGCCAUUACGAUCUUCUUCUUCUUCCACCUUCACCAGUCUCGCUUAGACACCCUCUUCUAUUGAUUGCUCUUUGGCAAUGAAUGAUUCCUGCUACUCUGUUUAGAUCCAGUGAUUAAUAUCUACCCACCAUCUCUUGAACAUUGUGGUUUAUCUCGGUUGUCCAUGUAUCUUGGAAGGUAAAGGGCAAUGCAAUACGUUUCAUAACAGAACAUAGAGACUCAAGGGAAAACUUUCGCACAGUCUUUUGAUGAUCUCCUAAUUGGUCUUCAUUGAACUUAAUACUCCUUCUCGCUACCGGCACAACACUACAACAGCUCUGUGGGAUGAGAGAAUCUCUUGUCAUACGUCUAAGCAUAAGAGGCUACAUGAAGCAUCAGAUUUUCCCUCGAUCUAUCCAAAGAAAGCCAUUUCAUUGCUCUUUACUUAAUCUCCAGCUUAUGAUUCUCAACUAAAAUUAUUAAAUCAACUCAAUGACGAAGUGCAUUAUGAAAGGAUGCAAUUAUAAAUCAUUAUUUAGAUAAUGGAUAUGUUUAUAAACCGAUGGUUUAUAUGGUUUAAGUGUUCUAUACGGUUAAGGGUUACUUAAUUUAUAACAUAAAAAGUAGAUGUUAAUUUAAAAUGCUUCCGCUGCAUUUUAAUAAUAGGUAAUACAUGUUAUGAAAUAUUAACACAAUCUUUUAAAAAAAAUUAUGUUAUGAAAAAUUAACAUAAUAUUAAAAGAAAUAUACCUAUUAGUGUUUUAAUGUUUGUAUAGUUUAUAACAUGUUAGUCACCAAAGUGGCCUUGUUAUUUACUUAUAAAUAUUAAAAGAUAAUAGUAGGAUAAUUGAUCAUGAUCUAAGAGAUGCUAAAAACGACAUUAAAGCUUUAGUGAUCAAUUAUUUUAUUUUCUAUGUUCAAGGAGAUCAUCCAAAGGUGGAUCAUUGAAUAUAGUUAAUAAUAAGAAAAGGAUUAAUCACUUUUUACUAUAGUUGAUAGGAUACUAUUUGACUUGAGUUUCAAGUGAUUAAUCAUUAAAGUAUAUUUUAGCAUCACUGAUAAUGUUUGUGUUUAAGUAUUGCCCAAAGAUUGCUUAAAUACACUUGAAAGUUCAAGUUUACAUUUUUCCACUCAUAUCCCAGUUGAAUUUGAAAGGUGAUACAAAAUAAUUUAUACCGUGAGGCCACUUUUGCUUAAAAGUAUACCAAAGUGGUCUCAUAUCGUCUGCGGUAUACAUUUUUCCACUCAUAUCCAGUUUUCCAUCGCAUUUUGUUCACUGAUGACAUCCUCCUAAUGUGUCAAGCCUCAAUGGAGGAAAGUUCUGAGCUAAAAACCAUCUUAGGAAACUACGAGGCAGCCUCUAGACAAACCAUUAACUUCUCAAAAUCUUCAAUUAACGUUGGCUCAUUGGUUAACGAAAAUAAGAAAGAAGAGAACAAAGGCAUUUUGCGUGUCGAGACUGAAGGUGACGAAAGUAUGUAUAUCUCAAUAUUCCAAAGAUCUUUAGUGGUUUCAAAAUCAAACUCCUUAACUUUAUAAAAGAAAGAAGAGAACAAAGACAUUUGCAAAACUCUGCCACUUCUUAUGAAGGGGUCUCUGGAGCAUUGGCUGUUAAAGAAAGGCUAAAAUUUCAUUGCAUCAAUCUGGACACAACCUGUGAUGUUUGUGGGCAUCACUCCGAAACUAAUAUGUCAUGUCUUUUUUUGUCUCUUAGCACAAAACAUAUGGGACUCCUUAGGCUCCAUUACCACCAGUGGGGUUCUCGCAAAACUCGGUCUUCCUAAUUAACUUUCAUCAUCUACUGAAGACUAGCAAGAGAAAAAACACCGACUACAGGUUACGAAGAACCUUCCCAUGGGUCCUUUGGCAUCUCUGGAAAGCCAAAACCACUCUUCUCUUUGAAAAAGCUCAAACCUCACCUUUAGAUAUUUUGAGCAAAGCCAGGAAGGAUGCAAACUUGUGGAUUCAGGUUAACUACCAAGAAACACCCUCUAUUAACCAUGCUGCCGUUACACCCUCUACUAACCCUGCUGUCGUGAGACCCUCUACUCAUACCUCUGUUUGGCAUAAACCAAGACAAGGAGACCUGAAAUGUAAUGUUGCUUCCUUCUGGAUACUAUACAAUCACCAUGGAGAAACAUUACUCAAUAGUAGAAGAACUUGCACCAAACUAGGCUAUGAAGUGCAUGUUGCACUCCUCAACCUCCACUGGGCCAUUAAAAGCAUGAUGCACCUCCAUUUUCACCGAAUUAUCAUAGAGUUUUCCUUGACUGCUCUGAGAGACGUUCUAUCCUCACCUGAAUUUUACCCUCAGUACCACAAGUCCACAACCUCUUUGAUGAUCUUCAGUACAUGCUUAAGUGUAUUGAUUAUUAGUGCUUUUGCCACGUGUCUCCUUCAGAAAACCAAGUUUCUGAAAGUAUUGCAUGGUCGGUGAUACUGAUAAGAGAUAAUAUAUCUAUUGUACGUGGCAAAAUGGUCCGUUGUGGCUCACCACAAUCCUUAAGGACAAUGCCAUGGAUAUGCUCUAAGACGGCCAUGGACUUGUGUUUCUAUCCCUCAUUGGGGUCUCUUACCAUUUAUUUUCUAUUUUCACUAAUGCUUUCUAGUUUUCAGAGUGGUUUUAUUUUUCUUUUAUAGAGCUCUGUUUUACUUCCUCCUUUAUAACUUCAACAUCAAUAUAUUGAAUAUCAAACCGGUGUUUAAAAAAAAUAACUAAGUUACAGAUGUAAACUUUACCAUUUGACUCAGGGUAUGACUGGUUUCUCCGCUACCACCCGCAAAAAAAACUUUUGCGGUUGAUAGUAGUUGUUGGCGUUUUGCAACAAUCACUCAGACCGCUCUAAACCGCUUCAAACCGCUUUUUUACCUCAUAAAUUCAAAAGUUGGUUCGAGCUAACGUUUGGGCGGUUGCGGGAGGAUAAUUUUAAAAAAAAAAAAUAUAUAAAUACAAAAAUAAAAACAUUCAAUAAAAAAUUUAAAUUAGAAUUAUAAAAUACUAAAAUAUAUCUAUUAUAUUUUAAUUAAUAUUAAAAAAUUUAACAAUAAUUUUUUUUCUAUAAUUAUUAUAAAUGUAAAUGUAAUAUUUUUAAUUUAUUAUUUAACCACUUCUGCAUUUGGUAGUUAACCAGUCAUAAGUACCGCACAAACACACCAAUUUCUAACCGCAUAAACAGUCGUACUAAUCUUUUAAAACUGUUAGAAACCACAACCACGCGCAAUCGCAACCGCUACGUUUGAACCAGUCAGACCAUCUGUAAUGUUUAUGAUAAACAAAAAUGAAAAAUAAAAAAAUCCAUAAUCAUUAACUUAAAUAUUCUAUAUAAGUUAAAGAUUCAAAAAAAAAUUCAUUUUUGAAAUUCAAAUGUAAUUUUUUUAGAAUUUUUUUUAAAUUAAGAAAUUUGAAUAAAAUAUGGAAGAUAACUUGUUCAUUUCUAUAUUUAAUAUAUAUAUGAAAAUUAUUAUACAGCCCAAAUUGGCAAAUUAGGUUAGUUUAGACAUUUUAUAAGUAAGUGUAGUUUCCUAAAUAUAUCUAUAUUAUAAUAGGAGAGUUUUGAGUCUCUCCUAAAGGUGUCCACGUGGACAUAUGUUUAAGUUUGUGGGGUACAUGUUUGGUUUGUUCAUUCAUUUUUUUUUCCGACUUGGGAUCUCCGCCUCGGUUCAAUCAUUUUGGUAUAUUCGGUAUCAUCGUAUUUCGUCUCUUCCAUCCGCGCCGUUUCCUCUAAUCUCUAAACUCUUAGCCUUGUCCUUUGCUUCUUUUUUUUUUCGCGACCGUCCUGCUGGUUAUCUCAACAUGCCGUUGAAGUGGCUAGAUAUCUACAGUGUACUGAUGGUUAGAGUUUUGCUGAAUUGGUUCCCCAACAUUCCGCCAGCCUUUGUCUGCCAUUAGAGAUCUCUGUGAUCCUUAUCUCAAUAUCGUCAGCCCUUUACUUGCUUUUUAUGCUUUGGGUUCCAUUCUCAACAAUAGCAGAUGAUUAAUUGUUCAAGUUAUCACUACGCUUAUGGAUCUUUGGUCUUUUAUGAACAACUCUUAAAUUAAUUGACCCGCAAGUCCACCAAUGACUCGAAUUUUCCAUUGCUUUCCACCAUUACAUCCUUAUUGUAAUAAGUUUUUAUAAUACUCACAUAACGCAUCAAUGUUUAGUGGUCUCCUAACCCCAGCUGAGAGAACCCAAUCUGUCAUGGUGGACACUACUGUUAACCCAAAAAUAUUUGGAGGUAAGUUUAUAUUUAAACUUAAAAACCAUGUUGACAAACGUUUUAGUUAAUGCAAAAUAUUUGGAGCAACCUAUGCAGCUGGACUGGCCGUUUGAUUCUGGAAGGAAGAAGACAUAUUUGAGUCAGGAGGAGAGAGGUCAAAGAACUCCAAAGUAUUCAGACCGGUUAUGGAAGAAAGUGGAGUCGUGGUGCAAAGCGGGGGAGAGAACAUUCGAUCGAAUCUUUGAGGUAAUAUAGAUCUCAACAUUAAACAACUGACCUUCCGUAUGUUAAUUCCUUCUUUUAAUAUUUGGAAUUAGUACUGUGACUAUAGGAUUUUCAAAACGUUUUUGAUUGAAAUUUCUCUGUUUUGUUAUACACUGGAGAUUGUUGACCAAAACGAACCCAAGAUUUAUCUGCUCUGACAUAGGUUGUUUAAGGUAAGAAAACUUCAUAUCUCUUUGAUUGUUUUUUCAGUUUGUGGAUUUUGUUCCCCUUUUAUGCUGGUUUAAAUCUCCAUAUUUACGCAUCUCAAGUUUCAGUCCUCUUACAGAGACAAUCUAAUCAUGAUAGAAAGUCUCUUAACAUUUAUUAGCAGCACACAUAUAUAUCUAAGCUGUGAUAUUCAGGCCACAAUUGAAUGUUUGAGAAAUUUAAAUGGGGAAUAGGUUGUGAAUAGGUUUAUUUUGGUUGAUUAGUUGGUAACAAUAUUUCAAAAAUUUAGUAUAAGUGAGAUCAUCUGCAAUGUUUUAUCAAUCAGUGCUGAUCUGUUUGUGUGAUAGUAGACGCGUGGCUAAAGAGGAGCGGAAAAAAAUGGGGACUAAGGCCGAUGAAAGGUUUCUAUUUCUCAAACAUCAAUAUUGUACAAGUUUUCUUUAUAUCCUUGGUCUCAGCAAGAUUUUGCUUCCCUUUAUUGGGCUGUGUUUUAAAAGCUGUCAUAAGUUGCACUAACUGAUAGUAAAUCAUUGGUGAGAUGGAAAAAAAUAUUACAGGAAAUGCUUUGGGGUUAACAAGAGCUGGCAUGGUGGCCUAUUUUGAGGUGCUGGUAGUGGUUGUGGCGGGGGUGGGGUGAUAGACGUCGUGGGAGCGUCAGCAAUGUAUGUGGCUUUAUGCAUGUGGUCGCUUUGUCAAGACUGAUGACUUCAGACUGAUUAUUUUGCAAGAAGGUUUAUAUCAAAGGUAUUUUUCGAUGUUGAAUCUUGCCUGAUAGAAUUAGCUAUUUAGCCUUUAUCUUAACAUGUUUACCUUUUUCUUGCACUUGAUGGUUAUAUAAGUUGCUAUAAAAAACCUCCCAUGCCGUUCUUCACUUUAUUCGGGAUAGAGGAUGCAGAAAAUUAUGUUGUAAGUUUCUGAUGCUGGUUCCAGUCUCCUUCAUUGACUCUUUGUGAUCUAUUGAUUAUAAAGCUGUAGACAUUGCUAAUUAAUCUAUUGUUUUCUGAACAGGUUGUUGCUUUCAACGAACUCAAAGUAUUCGCUCGAGUUAGAUCCAUCACCAACCAAUAUAAACGUACAAUUUUUCUUUAUAUUUUUUCCUUUCAGUUGUUCAACAUAGUACCUGAAUUAUGUGAUAUGUAUUGGAUUUGCAGAUCAGGUUUUUCGUUCAGGACUAAAUAUAUGCUAACAAUUCACGUCCUCCAGAUCCAGGUUCCGUGGAUAGUGCCAUUUUGUGGUCUUCGACAGAGAGACGAUGAAACUCAUCAAAAAGAGGCUACAAGUCUGGGUCUUAAAGAGGUACGUUUUUCUUUCAUAGUUCAGAUGAUUGUAUAUAAUUGUUUAUUCUGAAGUCCCACAAACCCCAACCUAAUUCAGAUGACCAGCAGUGAGGAAAUGGAGCUACCAAAAUGUCUUGAGGAGUUAGCUGGCAAUGAAUAUGUUUUUCAUCUACGUUGACUCCUUACAAUUUCACUCCAAAUCACCGUACGUUCACUGUAUCAUCAAUCAGUGAAGACGUUUUUACAUUUCAAUCCCACUUAGCUUUCAUUUCAUUUCAAUUGUCUAUUCCACAUGUUUCCUCUAUUUCAAACUUUGGUUGUCUCUAUGAUUUGCUGUAAACUAUUUUUUACUGGUGUAAAAAUUACUAUGACUUUAUAUAAUAAAGGAAGCGUGAACGUGUCUUUAGUUAAUUACCAAUGUCCCCAACUUUAUAGAUCAGUAAAGUUUAACGUCAAUAAUGCAUAAACGUGAGUUAUGUAAACAAGAUUUUUUUACUCUCUCUGACUUAAGAAAUGAAGAUUACAGCCUAAAAAAGAAAGACAUUUAAAAUACAGACAUGUAAACCUUUUCUAUUUUAAAAUUUUAUAGUAGAUGUAAUUUCACUUGCAAACUCUGCAAUAUUUAAAAUAGCAUUCCCUCGCACCCAAAAAACCACCAAAACAAUAAACUAACUGUAACAUAUAUAAAACCACAAACAUUUUUUUUCAAAUAAAUUCAGAGAAACAGCAAACAUAUAAUCAUACCUUCGAGAUAAGUCAUUUGAACACUAAAAGUAAAAAAUUCAUAAACUCACCACAACGUAACCAGUUCUAGCCACACAAAGCGAUCAAAGGUUUACCAAAAAAACCCCACAAAACACAUGAUAUACAAUUCUACUCACAUCCACUGCACAGUUUCAAUAACAUUUUUUUUUGGUAAAAAUGUAAAGAUAUUAUUACCAAGUUUUUAAAUUUUUGACAGAAAUACAAAGAAACUAGUAGCAGAAAAAUGAAAAUAAAAUCCUAAACAGAAACUCUAUCUAGUCUAAACCGGGGCAGACACGACAAACCAAAGCCAUCGCCUCGAAGCUUGACUAAGUCAGCACCAUCCACUUGCCACAAAAGGAAGAGUCACAGUUAACCCGAGAGCCGGAACCCGGUAAUUUUGGCCCUCCCCGAUGAUCCGCUCUUUAAGAUAUUGACUCACCCAAGACCAGCUCGUGGAGAACUUUCUUAGCUUCCGCCCACAAGAACAAGCAGCAGCGGCAAGGGCCAAGCACUCCAGCCGCAACCAAACAGAGCAUUUAUUAGACACAGAACAGACUAGAAACCAAUCUGCUCGAGCCAAAACGGUCGUAACCUCCGUACUCCUUGCCUUGAAGCCCCGAACCUGCACAGAAUUUGUCACGCACACCACCACUAAGCUCAAGAAAACCUAAGUGAUGCUGGGAUGUGAACGAGGACCAAGCGUCGACGUGAAUCGCUACAACGCCUGAAGUCGUCGAGAACCGACGAACUAAAACCCGUGCUGCUAGAAUCCGUCUCCUGCGACAGCAAAGACAGUAUGAAGAACCAGGGCCUAAUCCUCACCGAAGACCGUCGCCUUCAGAGGACAAACAAACCAGGGAUCGAGUAGAGAAGAUCUGAAGUGAAGCGGCUUUGCAAGAGGCCACUCAGGAGGCACAGACAACCGCCCUUUGAACCUAGCACAAGACCUACACGAGCCGGAACAGAGCUCGAGGACCAACCCACCUGCGAACUCGAGCUACAAGACUCGCCACCGUGAUAAUGAGAUCCACCGGCGCACACUUAGACUAAGGAAAGGAGAGACCAGCGCUCGACGACACCGACGAGAACCAAGAAACACCAACCCGAGCCGAAUGACAUCCUAGACCAGAGGCGGAGAACCACCGACGAGCAGGAAGAAUCAAACCGUCUCUUCUCCUCUCGAACAGAGAGAAACCGGACUAGAUCUGAGGAGAAAAAGAUCUAUGUCCUGAACCCAAGAGCCGACUGCAACAACCAACCACCGUUCAGCCUCCUCACCAAGGAUCCAGAGAAAGCAGAUAAGCCGUCGGAGUUGCAUCUCCUCUGCAGCGGAGCGCCCUCCGAGACCAAACCCUAACCCAGAACUUUGUGCAUAUCGAAGGGGAACGAGAGAGACGGAGCGGCAGCAAAACGAGAAUGAUAAAACGAGAAACAGAGGACCUCCGGCGCCGGCACGCGCGCGGACGCGCCACCACACGCCGGGGGAAAAUCAAAGCACCGUAAGAGAGAGAGACUGUUGUUCGUGAGAGAAAUUGAGGGAGGAGAGAGACUGACCAGUUUCAAUAACUUCACAGACUACAACGACUCUUUGGCAACUUACGGUAAAGAAAAAAAAGUCAGUCAUAAUACUGCUAAUGUAUAUAUCAUAUAUAUUUACGUCUAUUUAAUAGUUCAAAAACUAAAACGAGGAUAAAUGAAAACCAUCAACAGCAGGGGCGAAGCUAGGUUGAUGACUAAGGGUGCACGUGCACCCAGUCUAUUUAAAAUAUUUAACUUUUCACCUUGUACAAAUACAAGGCAAGUGGCUAAUUUGGCAAUGAUGCACCCAUAGUUUCCAAUGAACCAGAGUUCAAUACCCCCUACACUACAUUUAUUUGUUAUUUUGCACCCAGUCGUAAUAAAUCCUAGCUUCGCCCCUGAUCAACAGUUCUAUUUAUACGUAAUCACAAAUAUUUUAACGCCAAGCAUUCAAAAUAGUGCAUAUAAUUUCCUUUAAAACCCAUAAAGAUUAAGUUACAAAAACAGUAAGACAAUUAUUUGGUAGUCACACAAACUAUUUUAAAAUUAUUUCUACAGGUCUUUGUUUUCCUAAAAUCUGGUUUCUACGACAAUUUACAAAUUACUAAAAAACACACAUAUAACUACCAAGAUAAGAAUAGUAUACAAUAUUUCAAAAUAUACCAAACUUCGACUAUUCACCUGCUAAAGGAUCAGUCAUAAACAAAAGAUAACAUACAAAUUUACAACUACUCUUUACCGCACCAAAAACGUAUGAAAUAACAAAUAUUCACAUGCAAAACACCACUUCAAAGGACACCAUCUUCGCAUCCAUGAUAAAUCACACUUCCAUCAACGAUCUCCGCGCAAGCGCGGAGGAUACGCACCUGCGAGGGAUACGCACCUAGUGAUUAAAAUGGUACGGUUUUAAAAUUGUACUAGAUUAUGACCCGCCCUUAAAAGGGUGGGUAUAUUUUUUGUUUUGCAAUUUUUUAGAAAUUUAAUUUUUAUAUUUGUAGUUUUAGUCAUAUUUAUGUUUUUUUUGUAAAAUGUUUCUCUUAAAUGAUUAAUAUGAAAUUUUAAUAAUUGUAUUAAUAUAGUUGGACUGCUCCUAUAUCAAUAGGUUACUAGGUGAUUUCCCGUGCUUAUGCACGGAUAUAAAUAUUUCUAAAGUAAAUAUACUAUAAUAAAUGAUUGUUAUUUAUUUUUUUAUUUUAUAAUUUAUAUGCAUCAUUUAUAUUAAUAAUAUUAUAUUACUUUAAUUAUACUUAUGAUUCUAUAUAUGUUAUAUGUAAUCAAUUUUUGUUGUUUUUUAUAGUCGAUUUAGGGAACGACUCGUUUUCCCGCUACCACCCGCAAACGCAUCUUUUGCGGUUGGUAGCGGUUGUCGGCGGUUUGUAACAAUCACUCAAAUCGUUCUAAACCGCUUCAAACCGCUCAGAAUCUCAUAAAUUCAAAAGCUGGCUCCAGCUAGCGUUUGCGGUUGCGGACGGUUGCGGGAGGGUAAAAUUUUUUUUCUUUUUUUUAAAACAAUAUAUAUACAAAAGUAAAAUUAUUUAAUAAAAUUUUAAAAUUGAAAUUAUGAAAAUAUUAAAAUAUAUCUAUUAUAUUUUAAUUAAUAUUAUAAAAUUUUAUAAUAAAAACAAUUUCAAUAAAUUUUGAAAAAUUGAAAUUAUAACUUUCUAAAUAUAAAUUUUAUAUUUAUUAUAGUUUUAUGAUUUUUGAUAUUUUUAUAAUUAUAUUAAAUGUAAAUAUUGUUAAUUUAUUAUUUGAUUGUUACCGCAUUUGGUAGUUAACCAAUCAUAAGUCACCCGCAAACGCACCAAUUUUUAACCGCAGUACCAGUCGUACAAAUCUCUUAAAACCUCUAGAAACCGCAACCGUCCGCAUCCACAAACUUCCGCAACCGCAACCGCAACUGCUGCGUUUGAACCAGUCAGGCCCUUAGUUGUCAUUUGGGUAAAUUGGAUUGCAUCUCUGAAUUCAACUGUAAUAUCUUUUAUUCUAAAUAUAUUAAAUUUUGAUUAAUUUCUUAUUUUCAUUUAGGUGAUUUUUGUCUUAGAUAUGUAAAUAUAUUUUAUGAAGAUUAUGUAUAACUUAAGAUAUAUUGUGAUUGUAAUAAAUUAAAAAAUUAAUUAAAGUGUGUGAUUCCAAAGUACAUAAAUUAAUGUAUCGAUAAUAUUCUGAAGUCUCAUGCAUAUAUAUAAAAUUUUCAAAAGAACUAAAUUGUAACCGUUGGUUAUUAUUUUAUUUUUAUUUUUAAUAUGUUUAGAGUUGUCUUUUGAUUUAUAUUUAUAUAAGAAAUUACUAUUCUUAUAAAAUUAUAUAUUCGAUCGUAGUUAAAUUUUUGAUUUUAGAUAUAAUUUGGAUUAGUCGAGUCACUCAUGUUCUGAGUAUAUUUACUUACAUAUAUUCUUUCAAAUUCAAAAUGAAGUAUAAUUAUUUUUUAAUAUAAUUAAGUCAAAUCAAAUCAAUUUUAUUUAUCAUUUUAAUGUUCAUGUAUUUUCAUAAUAUUUUUCAAAUUAUAUGUAGAUGUUUUUAAAAAAAAAGAUAUUAGAAAAUAAAGCGAUGAUCAAUAGGAAGUUACAUGCCUAAGUAGCUGAUACAUUUUUGGAAGCUAAUGAACACUUAUCAAUAUCUACAAUAAUUAAAUAUUUUAUAAAUUCUAAAUAACUUUAUGCCUUUGAUUUAUUGAAUGAAAACUGAAAUUUAAUUUAAAUAAUCUUGAAAAUGAGAAUUCAGAUUUGCUUUGGUAUUUUGAUUAUGAUUAUAUUAAUUCCACAAUCAUAAAAGAUAAAAUUUAAAAGCAAAUCUAAUAUUAAGAAAGCAAAUAAAUUAAAUAAUAAUAAAAUAUAAUAUAUCUACCUCAUUAUACUAUUUUAUAACUAUUUGAUCAAACAUUGUUUAUUUUUAAAAUUUAUUUUUAGCUUUUUAAUAUCUCUUAAAAAUAAGCAGUCAAAAAAUUGUGAUUGUAUUUGAAAAUAGUACUAUAUAAAUAAAAUAAAAUUUAUCAAUAUUUUUUUGCUGUAAUUGAAAGAUAUUGUAGUCAAUUAAAUAUAUAAAAACUAAAUCAAACAUUUUAAUAAUAUUAAUUAUAAACUAUUUUUAGUCAAUUAUAAAUAAAUCAAUUUAUGUAAUCAUCUAAGAAAAUAGAUAGAUAUAUAAAAGUAUUUCUAUUACUUUGAAUUUUUUUUAUUGUUUAUAAUUAUGCUUUAAAAGAAAUAAUAUUUCUUUUUCUAAUAUCAAGAUUAUUUGUGUAAAUGGUUACUAUUUAAUGAAAUCACAUUAUAUACUAAUUUAUAUUUUUCAUCUAAGAAAAUAUAGAUGUAAAGAAAGUAUUUUAAUACUUCAAAAGUAUAUUUUAUUUUAUUUAAAAUAAUUUUUAAUUUUAAUAUUACUAUUUUGUGAACUUUCUUUUUUAUGAAAUCAUAUUAUAUAUAAAUAUAUUUUUCAAUUUUUUUUUAAUUUAUAAAACAAUUCGUUUUUUAUUAUAUGUUGAUUUUUUUUUUGAAAAUUUUAAAAAGGAAACUAAAUAAAAAUAAAUAACUGUAUUUGAAAUAUAAUAUUUUAAUUCAUUAAGGAUAUCAAUGUAAUCAACUAUCGUGGGAGUUAACGUAAGAGCGACACAUAGGAAAUUGACUUCUCAAAUAAUAUUAUAGAGAUGUUCCUGUUUUAAUAGAAUAGAUGUCAAGUAACUCUUUAUCAAAACAUAUAUACACUUCGUUGUUUGAUACAUGAAGACGUAAUAGGCUAAUAGCUAAUGAAUUUUAUAUAGAAACAAUAUCGACUUGACUAUCUUAAAUAAUAAAUGUAAUCCCACCCGCUCUAAUAUUGAACAGUUAUAUUAUUGGUGAACUGCAUAUUGAUAACAAACGGUUACAUUAGGGUAGUAGUCGAUAAAUCUAUACUAUAUUAAAAAGGUUAUAUGAGCAUCAGAGAGGAUGUCCACGUCAGCUUCAAAAAUCGACCAAUAGGAGUGCUGCUUUACGCCACAUCACAGACGAAACUGGACUUUUAUUUUUAAUCCGUAAAACACAUAUCAUGAUGGGCUUUAUUCGUUUGUUGUAUGUUUAGGCUGUGCGUUUGUUCAUGUAUCAGGGCCGGAAAGAUAGUGUUCACCCUCUAAACCUAAUUCCGCUCAAACAGAAGAUCACGGGUCGUCUCUUUCUCUUGCUGCGACUGUAGACGUCUGAGCUUCCUUUCUCCAUCUGAAACGGCCCGAUUUGUGAUUCAGUGAUUAAUCAUAUUAAUUGCAUCACCCACUAUAAGGUCUUCAAUGCGUUGUUCAUCUCCAAGUCGGUGUGAAAUCUGUAUAAAUAUGUGAGUAUUUCUCAUUUCUGACUCAUUCUCUCUUCUUAUCUCUUGCAACAUACCGAUUCGAGUUGUUAUGGCUAAUUUGAGAGUUUUCUUCUCCGAUCCGAAGUCCGACAGGUGCUCCUCCGUCGUCGAGGCUAGGCUGCUGCGGUUCUGGGAGAGGAGAGAGAUGAAAAGGCCGGUGAUUGAUUCCCUUAUGGUCAUAAAAGAUGCGCUAGGGUCAUUCUGAAAUCUGGUAAGAUUCACUGUCUUUCUUAUGAUUAUGAGCUAGAGUAGUUUAAAAGAUCGGGUAUUAAGGUUCGAAAUAAGUGUUUGAAUGUAGAGCUCAUAUCUUGAGUAUUGAUUUGUGAUCAUGUGAUCUCUAUUCUACAGUGACCACAUAAACAUGAUUCGUUUCUUUGUCGCACCAACUCAUGUGCUUUGUUCCUUACAUUGAUGGGCUUAGUCCUUGACUUUAAUUAUCUCACCUUGAAUCUUUUCCUCUGCUAUGCCUAAUGGUUUUUUUGGGUUGUUUCACCUUGAGUCUUUUCCUCUUGCAUUGCUUUCCAUGAUGAAGAGUGGGGAGUUCCUGUCCAUGACAACAAGUACGUGAUGAUAUCUCUUUUACUGUUUAUUUUUGCUCAGUCUGGGAGAUGCUAUUUGUGUAUUAUAAAUGCUCUUAUUUGUCAAACUGCUUGCAUGAAAAUUUCCAAGUUAUUAAGCCUCUCUGGUGUUCUUUCCGAACUAUCCUGGAAAUAUAUUCUUUUCAAAAGACAAUCAUUCAGGUAAUUAUGACCAAUGCGUUUUUUGUAACAUGAUCUUCUUAUGAGCCAAGUUUUAAAGUGCAUUAUCUUUGUUUUAACAGGGAAAUUUUCAUGGAAUUUGAUUCCUUUCCUACAUCUUCACAAAAAAAAGAGAACAUCCCCUGAGUUGCAACCACUCCAUUACUAUCCAUGAUCCAAGGCUUAAUGGUUUGCUUUCUUUUUUUUUUCCCAUUACAGUAAUUAUCUGGUUACUAUACGAACUUUGUCACUACAUUCUAAAAGCUUUGGUAAACAGCAUAGUUUUUAAAUAUAUAUAAGUGAUUAUGCCUUAAGUAACUGUGCAACCUUUCUUAAGAUCUCAGUGGAUUGACUGUACAUGUAUUGCUUUUUUUGUUCGUGUAGGAAAAAUAACACUCCGCCAGACUUGAAAACGGUUUCAGUCAACCAGGUUAAAGUACUUGACUGCUUGUGAUAGACUUAUCAAGUUAAGAAUUAAUCUGGUACAGCCAUUUGAACGUAUUUAACACAAGUAUCGUGUGCAUGUAAUCUUUGUGCAAUCAAUUUGCUUCGUUGGCUGUUAGUAGAACUCAGACAUGCUUCACUCACAGCUACUUGGGAUGUUUAUUGAUCAGAAUUCUCUCUUUACAGGUUAAACACAGGUAUAGAGUUGCACAUUCCCAUCUUUGGCUUCCCAUAUGAGAAGAAAUUUGGGAACAUCGUCUGGAAAUCAUAGAAUUCUUUCUUUACCUUCACCUAAAACAAACAGAGAUGAUAGGAGUGUUCAGAAAAAUAUCCAGAUUAAUACAGAGUUAGCCAGAAGACUAUGAACGCACAUGAGGCAGAAGCAGCUGCAAAACAGGCAGUUUCACAGGUAGAAGCUGCCAUGACAGCGGCUGAAGAAGCUGCAAAGGAAGCAGAUGCAGCAGAAGCUGCUCAAGCUUAUGCCUAAGAAGCUUCAAAGACAUUGAAAGGAAAAAAACAUCUGCAAAGUGGUAAACACACUUUUCUUAUAUCACACAACACAUGAUAAAGAGAAUACUUUAUCAUGGUCGUAUUGAAAAUUUGAUUAAACAGAUGGUUUGUAAGUGAGGUGACAUAGAAGAAGAAGCUAAAUGUGUUGCAGGUGACGAGAGAGUGAUGCACAAAAGUAGUGUGUAUGUGUUGAUGAAUUUCGACUUAGAACAUUUUUUGUUGUAAAGAAGAAGCUAAAUGUGUUGCAGGUGACGAGAGAGUGAUGCACAAAAGUAGUGUGUAUGUGUUGAUGACUUUCGACUUAGAACUUUUUUUUGUUGUAAAGCAGUAAUUUUAGAUUCACAGCCAUUUUAUUAUUGCUCACAUUUACUUUACGGCCAAAAUAAGUUAUAAAAACUGAAAACAUCGAGAAAUAAGUUACUAUCUACCAAUUUAUUAUAAUCUAAAUUUUCUUAUAUGGUUGAGAGUCUUGGAGUAUUGAACAUGUUAUUCCAAGGAGGAAUAUACCAGCAGAUGCUAUCGCACAAAGUGUCACGUGCGUUUCAGUCACAAUAUCAUUCAAAAUUGUCAUUAAUAUAUUGGAAACUAGAACUGAGCCUACCAUUUUUAUUGUUUACUAGAUUGUCCAGUUCAAAAUUUGAAAACUAUAUUAAUAAAUUAGGAGAAAAGCAUUUUACAUUAAAUAGGAUAAGAAUAUUAGGCCGUAAGAAAAAAAAAAAAAUAUAUAUAUAUAUAUAUAUAUGUAUAUUUGUUAGAUUGUAGAAUAUUCUUAAUGGAAAUAAAAAUAUGAAAAUAAUGUUUUUGGAUCAUAAUGUUGGACUGAAUAUAUUCAAAACAACUUAACAGAUGCAUUAAUACUUAAUACUGUAAUCAAAAAAUAAAAAGUCAAAGUUUAAGUUAGAAAGUAUAUAAAAUGGUAUAUUUAAUAGAAAUGUAAUACCAUGAUUGGUACUUAGAAAAGGUAGCAAUUGCAAAACAAAAUAAUAUUUUUCUUUUUCUGCACAAAAUAAUAUAUAAUAAUAAAAAUUAAUUAAAUUGUGCAUAUAUAUUAAGAAUAUUUUGAUUCUCUUUUUACACUUAGAUUUAAUCUUUUUUUUUGAAACCAAACUUAGCUUUAAUCAAGAAUUAUAUUUAACUAUAAUUAGAUUUUAAUAUAUUGUUUUAUGUUUAUAGUUUAACAUAUAAUAUGGUUAUAAACUUACUCAGACAAGUAAACUAAUAUAUUAAUUUCAAAUAUUUAGUUUUAUUAUCUAUUAAAUCGCUCUUUUCAAUUCACAAAAAAAUAGUGACAGACAAGUAAAUAUACAAUCUAUAUAUUUACAUCAUAUUCCAUUUGGGUGAGAGGUUUGUAUUCCUAUAGAAGGAUACCGCUUUUUUUUUUUUUUUUUUGUCGUCAACUUUACAGACUCAUAUAGACUCUGUAAACCAAGCCGGAAGAUAUUGAUCCAUGUGAACGACGAAAGACGGCUGAAUCCUAACACUGCGUGCUAGGCUAUCCGCCUUUGUAUUCUGCGCUCUUGGUACAUGGACGAUCUCUGAUUGUAGGAAACUUGCUCUCAGACUUUUGAUGUCUUCCAAAUAACUUGCAAACGCUGGCCACUCUUCUGGUUCCGAAACCAUCUUCACCAAUUGAGAACAAUCCGUUGCAAACGUAACCUGAGAUUGACGUAAAUUCCUCAUACAUUCCAUAGCCCAUAGUAGUGCUUCCAUCUCCGCAUGUAGAGGAGAAAGGCUAGCCCGAACAUUCCUCGCCCCCAGCAACCCAGCGAAGCCUUCUAAAGUGCUGUGCCAACCCUGGCCGGAGAAAGUAUCUUUCUCUUUCCAGGAACCAUCUGUGAAACACCAUCGUCCUGGAUUUAACAGUGAAGACCUAAUCUCUUCCUGUGGGACCAUUCUCUGUUCAUUCACUAGUUGGGCUUCAGCCCAAAGGGUUGAUUCUGUUUCCGCCAAUUUGAGCGUAUCCCUAGGAUCAAUAUCCAGAUUACUAAAAACCUUACUAUUCCUUCCUUUCCAGAUAUACCAUAGUAUCCAUGCGAACUGAUGAUCAUCUAACUGCGGAAAGACUCUCCAGAAAAGAUGAUCCAUAUUUGCAAAAAGGGAUUGUGUGGGAAAUGUAGUUGGAUUUGAUGGUAUCUUUGAGAGAGCCCAAACCUGAAGUGCUGGAGGACAUUCGAAAAACACAUGAUUUAUCGAUUCCUCCUCAGCUCCGCAUCUUGUACAACAUAUAUCGCCAGUUAUCCCUCUCGCUUGUAAAUUUUUCUUAACCGCUAUACACCCUGUCACCAACUGCCAGAGAAAAUGUUUAAGCUUUGGUGGACACCUGACUUUCCAGCAGAAUGAUUUCAAACCAUCGACCGUAGGUCCAAAAAAUGCUGGUGGUUUUGCUCUAUCCGGGUAAACUCGUUCUACCUGAUAUCCCGAUUUAACCGUGUAUUUCCCAGUUGUUGUGAAAUGCCAUCCAUCUUUGUCCUCCAACUGAUAUCUACUCAGUCGUAUACUCUCGAUAAUUUUCACAUCCUGUGGAUCCACUAGAGCCUGAAGUGCCUGCGAGUUCCAAAUUCCCAAAGUGGGGUCUAUAAGAGAAGCCACUGUGAGGUCAGGGUAAAGAUUGUGUUGGUUUUUAUUUGCUGGUCUCGGGCGAGUGGUUGGGAGCCAAGGAUCAUUCCAUACAGAGAUAGAAGAUCCUGAUCCCACCCGUUUGAUUAGUCCUUUGCUAACCAGAGAUCUAGCUGAUGUAAUACUCCGCCAUCCAUAUGACGGAGAGUAUGAGCGAAUCGGUUCCAGGGGUGAGGCAUUCCUGAAAUAUCGACCUUUAAAAACUCGAGAAAAUAAAGUAUUUGGCUUCUCGAUCAAUCGCCAAAACUGUUUACCAAGCAUCGCUGUAUUGAAAUCAGUGAUGUCUUUAAAACCCAGUCCUCCUUCCUCCUUGCUAACACAUACUUUAUCCCAAGAUUUCCAAUGCAUACCUCUCGUACUUCCCCCGGGGCUCCACCAAAAUUGGGCUACCGCACCUGUCAGUUUCUUUACGGUUGCCUUAGGCAAUCGAUAGCAAGACAUCACAUGAUUUGGUAAUGCCGUAAUCACCGAUUUAAUAAUCACCUCUUUUCCUCCUUUUGUAAAGAACUUAAAAGUCCAACCAUUAACCCGUUUGUUUAGUCUAUCCUGCACAAAACUAAAAACCUGAACCUUUGAACCCCCAAGAUUUUCUGGUAAUCCUAGAUAAGUUCCCAUUCCUCCAUGAUUCUGAAUGCCCAGGAUGUCUCUCAUUUCCUGUCUGUUGGACUCUUCAAUUUUAUGUCCAAAUUGGAUCGAAGACUUCUCAAAAUUAAUGAGUUGACCUGACACCAUCUCAUAUUCCUUUAAGAUUCUGAGAAUAGUUUGACAUUCCUCUCUCUGGGCUUUGCAAAAGAAAAGACUAUCAUCCGCAAACAGUAGAUGUGAAAUGGAAGGACAUGCUCGAGCUACCUUCAUUCCUGUCAAUUGUUUCCCAUCCUCCGCCUUUUUAAUAUUUGCAAUCAAAGCCUCAGUGCACAAAAUAAAUAAAUAAGGAGAUAACGGAUCUCCUUGCCGUAACCCUCUAUUCGGAAUAAUAAGGCCUCUUGGUUGUCCAUUUAGUAAAACCCGAUAUUGAACCGAUGAUAUGCAUUCCAUCAUUAAUUUAAUCCAAUGAAGAUCAAAACCCAUCUUCUCUAGUAAAGCUUUAAUAAAGUCCCAUUCCACUCUAUCAUACGCUUUGCUCAUAUCCGUUUUAAUUUAUAGAAGGAUACCGCUAAAAAAAUUGAAACAUGUUAAAAUAUUUAAUUUUGUUGAAACAAGUAAUUCUAAACAAUAAAAAAUAUUGCAAUAAAAUAAUAAUAUAGAUUGAAAAAUAUAUCUAAAGCAUUAAUAAAAUUUAUAAGAACAAUAAUUCAGUCUUUAAUAAUUUUAUAAAUAUCAAUCAAUAACAUAUAGUUUUUAAGUCAUAUAAUAUCUUUUUCAAUAUUAUUAGCAUUUGCACUCUAAUAAUUUAAAAUUCAUUUUCUAAUUUAUAUUUUGUAAAAGUCAAUAAAGAUAAAUUGUAUAUAUUCAAAUAGUAUUAUGACAUAUUAAUAAAAACAAGAAAAACAAGAACAUCAAAAUCAUUUGGUACAACAAAUUUAACAAUACAAACUUACUUUCCAAUACAUUUAACAUAUUAUACAAUAUAUGAAAACAAAGUAUUAAAAUUAUUUAUACGUUUAUAGUUAAUAUGAUUCUAUAUGGAUUAAAACUAUUAUAUAUACAUUUUUACGUUUAGUGGUUGAAGAAGUGUUUAUAAUGCUUAUGUUUUAGAUAUAUAUAAUCUAAUUUUCAAACAUAGAGAGCAUAGCCAAUUAUGUUCUUGAAAAACAUCGUCAAUCUCAUGUUCUUGAAUAAAGAAUUCAAUCAAAGAGAACAUAGCCAAUCUUCACCUACUUCUUGAAUUAUGUAAAAGUUUUAGAUCAGUAACCAAACUUAAUUGUUCGAACCUGUCACUUCCGUAAAACAAAACAUAUUAUUUUUCAAACAGAAACAUUUUAUUUUGUUCUAUAACCUCUGAUAGCUUCCAUCAAGAUUAUUUGAGUAUUUCAAAUAGGAAAAAGACUGCAUGAAGUUUUUAGCAAAUGGAGCUGGUGUAUAUAUCAAUUGUAAUAAACAUCAUCGAAUACAAAUGGUGAUGGGGUAGAAUGAUGGUGAGAACUUACCAUAAGAUUAUAUAAGCAAAAAUAUAUUUUUUACAUUUAUACAUUAUAAAAAAAUUAUAUGAUCAUUUAAGUUUAGUUAAAAUAUAUGAAAAAACCCGGGCGUAGCCCGGGAAAAAUCUCUAGUAUAUGGAAAAAGAAGUGUAUAUAUGACAGUAGACAUAUGUUUAGUUAUUAAUAGGACAGUUAUAUUAGGGUUAUAUGAACAGGCGAUUAUAUUAUAAAUUAUAUUAUAAAUUAUCAAUGAAAGUAUGUCAGCCACUAAACACCUCAUAUGUCCACGAUCAAACAAAAAUGCAUCAUAUCUAUACUAUACUAAAAGGGGGAUAUAAGCCAUGGAGAGGGUGUCCACAUAGGAUAGAAAAAUCAACCAAUCAGAGAACCCGAAAUUGCCAUGUCAUCUCAUUUUUUACUAUACUAAAAGGGGGAUAUAAGCCAUGGAGAGGGUGUCCACAUAGGAUAGAAAAAUCAACCAAUCAGAGAACCCGAAAUUGCCAUGUCAUCUCAUUUUUUUCGUAAAAAAUAAAAAAACAAUGCGAAGGUGAGCAUCGAACCCGGGUUAGUAUGAUAUAUAUAUAGGACAGUUACCACUAAGCCAUUGAAACUUUCUUGGACACAUAUACAAGAACCACUAAGUAUAUAAUCACAAACUCUUAUGUACAUUUACAAUAAUAUGAAUUCAACUUUCAAGACUCCGAUACUUUAUUUUGUAAAAAAAAAAUAAGUAAGUGACUAAGCUAAUAUAUUCUUAGAAAGUGUGAGAACGUUGACAAGUAUGAAAAAGCAUAGAUUUUUGUUUUCGUGACAAAGUUAAGAAUUUUGUAAAAGUAAGUUUAACAUAUAAAUUUUCGUGACAAAUAUGAAAAAACAUAGAUUUUUGUAAAAUUUUGACAAAACAACUCAUAACAUACUUCUCUAAUGUCUUAAUAAAAUAUUAUUUAAGGGUGCAAUAAUUAAAUAUAUUAAUUCAAUAAAUUUUGUAAUUUAUAGACAAAACAAUAACACAACAAAUUUUGAAACAUUUGUUUAACCUAUCGAUUUUUUUUCAUGAGAAUCCAACUAAACAAGAUAAAAAAAAUAAUUAGAUUUACAAAUAUUUAAUUACCAUUUUAUUCAAUUUUGAUUAAUUUCAAAUUAUCAUAAUGUAUCUUUUUGAAGUUACAAAUAUGAAAAAGCAUAGAUUUUUGUACAAUUUGACAAAACAACUCAAAACAUAAUUUUUCUAAUGUCUUAAUAAAAUAUUAUUUAAGGAUGCAAUAAUUAAAUAUAUUAAUUCAAUAAAUUUUAUAAUUUAUAGACAAAACAAUACCACAACAAAUUUUGAAACAUUUGUUUAACCAAUCGAUUUUUUUUUCAUGAGAAUCCAACUAAACAAUUAGAUUUACAAAUAUUUAAUUACCAUUUUCUUCAAUUUUGAUUCAUUUUAAAUUGUAAUAAUGUAUCUUUUUGAAGUUACAAAAAAAUAAUGUUCUUUCUUUAUUACACUAGAAUUAUAUAUAGAUUCUAUAUACACAAAAUAAAUAUAAUAUAACAACAUAAAUUUACUUUCCCCGAUUCAUAUGAAAACUUUUUAAGUUAUCCACCAAAGCAAAUUAAUUAAAUCAAUGAAAUUGUUAAAAUACAGCAAAUUAAUAUAUAAUUUUAUUUUAAAUUAAAUUAUUUAAAAAGUGUAUUUUUGUUAAAACAAAAUAAUAAAUAAGUAAAACUGAUUUGAUGGUAAUUUUUAUGAUAUAUAUAUAUAUAUAAAUUCUGUGAAAGAAAUAGAAGCUUAAUAUGGAAAAAAAUCUUAAAUACAAAAACCUCUAAAAAUUAACAAAAAAACUAAUAAAUUAAACUAUGAUAUCACUUAAAAGCUUCUUAGACCAUAUUAAUAAAAUAUUUAAGCGAUAAUUAGACAAAUUUGAUUUUUUUUCCAGCAAAAAAUUUAUUAUUAAUUAGCAUCAGUUAUUUCAAGAUGUUUAAGAAAUGGUGUACAAAAAAAUAGGAUGGACAUUAAUGAUAUAUGAACUAUGAAUAGUACUUUGCGAAGCAGACUUUGAUAACAUAUAUGCAUAUACAUUUUCAGUCCUUUUUGAUGCCUAAAUUCAAUUUCUUCAGAGUAAUUAUUCCACAAAUAGAUCGUAUGAGAUAUUGUUUUGAUAUGUAGAUUUGUUUUUUCAAUGUUAAGAAGAUUGAUAACUGUAAAAAUGUCUCAUUCGUAUAUGAUAUGUCUAUAACCGAGUCUCCAACAUGAGACAAGUUUGUUUAAAAAGUAAAUAAUUUUAUUUUUCUUAUAUUAUAUAAUAAAUAUAUAUUAUUUACUGAUAAUAAAAAUAUAAUUAUUCAUCUAUCACAAAUAUCUAUGCAAAUAUGUGAAUCAAGUACAACAAUCAAGCAACAUAAUGAUUUCCACAAAGAAAAUUUAAAAAAUAUAUUUAUGUUAUGUAGUCAUAUUUUAUAUUUUUUAAAUAAUAUAAUACAAUAUUAUACAUUAUUUUUUAGAAUUGAGAAAUACAUAUAAUAUCUUAUCCGCGCGUAGCGCGGUUAAAAAAUCUAGUUGUAUGUAAUAGGAGAAAACGGUUAAUUAGGAAGAAACGGUUACGUAAAAAUGAUAUAUAUAUAUUUUGUUUAUCUUUAAAUAAAGAAAAUAAAUAAGUGGACAUAACCUUACAUCAAUUGGUCAUGUUGCUGUUUUAAUAGAAUAGAUUUUCGUUUAAAGUACUUUUGAAUUUUUUUCGCUUCAGUUUUUCAAUAACACGUGUGUCUUAUUUACAAAAGGAAACAAUUUCACUGAAAUUAUAUGAUGAUGUAAUUAUUAUUUAGUGUCAAAAAAAUAGCUGAAAAGAUAUAUACUAAAAUUUUAGAUAAGUUAAAAAUAUCAAUAACGACAAAAUUGUGUUCCUCUCCUUAAAUCGCUCUGGUGUUCCUAUAAGUAGUUCAGAUUCUUUGUCAACACAAUUCAAUCUAGCAAAAAUUUAUCUAAAAACAAAAAUCCUAAUCAAUAGUACAAUAAUCAUUUAAAUAUUAAUAGAGAGUAGAAGAAAAAAUCGUGCAAACUAAAAUGGAAAAAGUAAAUUUCUUUGCAAUAAUCUUUAUGGUGUUGUUGGUCGUGACAAGGGUUUCUGCGGAAGAGCCACCGGUGAAAGUGACGGCCAAUGAGGUGACUCUUGCGGCGGAGGCGGCAGCAUCGAGUUUCAAAAGCAGCGCCGGAGAGGCUGCUCAAGGGGCCAGAACAUGGGCCGAUUGGGCUACGAGCAAAUUCAGGUAACAUUCGUCUUAUUUCCUUUUUCUGUUAUUCUUUAACGUUAAAAAUUUUGGGAGAAAAACCAAUUAUCAAUUAAGUUUUUGGUAGUAUUAUCUUCAGACGUUGUUAAAUUACAAUCUUUCCGACUUCGUUUAUGAUUUCAAAAUUCGUCUCGUUAACACAAAGAUUUAAAGAACAUGGGUCAAUCAGUGCACCAUUCGUUACCAUUUAGCGUUUAUCAUUAACCAUAUUUAUCUUCUGUUUUUGUAAGGAAUGCUGGCGUAAAUUUUGAAAAAGCACCCGAUUCAGAGUGAAACGUAUGGAAGUCUCAAGUAAACAUCUACCUUUAAGAAUAUGCAUAAAUGUUUAUCAAGAAAAAUAUGUAAAUUGAGCAAGCAACAAUAUAGUUGCAUUCUCUUGUAUCUUAUUGUAUAAGAAAACUUUCCAUUAAAGCUAACACGUAAUUAUCAAUAAAAUUUGAUAAUAUUAUGUAAAACCAAUACAAAACUUAAAACUCAUGGUUUGAUUCAUAGAUGUAGUUUAUGUUUCUAGAGAACACUAAGACUCAUGGACCUCUCUGACUUGACACGGAAGACAUGUUUAUUGCAAAAAAAAGAGAGACCAAAUCCUUUCUCCUCAGGUGAACAAUAUGUCCAAAGUUUCUUCUUCUUCUAAAUGCCAGCAACUUAUAAAUAUGGAAUACCCAAAAAAGCACAGGGAGACAAACUUAGAAAUCAAUAAGAUAAUUAUAACUACCAUUUGACCCAUCAGUCUAUGGAUAGAACAAGAUCCAUAUGCCACAUCACUUUCUUCCGCGGGUUAGCCUCUGCAAAUGGUAAUUGAUGUUUCCCCACGACUUGGACUUCUCCGCCUACAAAGCAAAAGAGUUUCAAGUAAACAAAAAGUUCACCGGCAAAGGCAGAAGAAGACAAAAGUAAACACGCAAAAAAAAGUUAUUUACAUGUCCGUUCAUACAAACGCUCAGGAGGUUCUUCUGUUUCUCGCAGUUAUCAUCUUUGCAUUUGUUGAGAGCCAUGCAGUUGAGGAACGUCACCAUCUCCUUCAUACAUGGUUUCGCUAUACCACCGAGCUUUUUCGGGUUUAUGUACAAAUUUCCAGCCUUUCUCCCCAUGGCUCACUCAAGUAUAAAGAAACACCAACUGAGGAACCACAAGCCAGAAAAAAAAAAACAGGAAUCAAUACUAACUCACAAACAUUCCGACAAACCUUCCUUCAACUGAACUUAUCCUAAAAUACUCACUUUUUUAUACCACUGAGAAAAGUUCUAAUCACAUUUAUGAGAUUAAGAACAUUGUAAGCAUCUAAAUUACAUAAAUGAAUAAUACUGUAUCGCCCUUGUGAUUCAACCAAUGCAGAUUUAAUAUACAAACCCAAGGACCCUAAGCUAGAAAUCAAAUAAAAAUAACUUGGAUUCGAGUAGCAUCUAGAAACGGUGUCAGAUCCGAGAGGUAGAACGAAACCAAAAAUCGAAAGCAGCAGGGCAUGAAAUUAGAUUGAAUCGACGACACAUUUUGAGAGAGGAUUGGAGCCGAAACAACUUACAGUGUUGGUAGAAGCGGAAUAAAGGAUUGAUUUCUGAGGGAUACGCUGGAGAAAUGGCGAAGGAUCGCAGGUGAGGAAAAGAUGCUGAGAAAGAAAAAAAAAAGUAGAAAACCCUAUGGUUAUUUCAGGUAGCCCAUGGACUCUUUCCCACCAUGACCCGGCCCAGUGAUGACUUUACCCAUUGAAUAGCGGAUACUUGAACCGAACCAAAAUUUAAUUUAUUUGGUAAAGCAGUUAUCUUGUGGAUCGUGCCGCUGUCUAUGUCCAUUUGUUUCUACUUUAUAGGGGUGGGCGUUCGGGUACCCGUUCGGGUUCGGAUCGGGUAUUUCGGAUUUUCGGGUAUUUCGGUAUAGAGGUGUAGAACCCGUUCGGGUAUUUCUGUACUUCGGGUCGGGUUCGAGUAUUUUAAGUUCGGUUUCGGUUAUUUCGGAUCGGGUUCGGAUAUUUAGAUUUUGAAGAAAAAAAAAUGAAAAUUUUCAUUUCUCAAAUUUCUUGUAUUUAAAUAUAUAAUUUUUCACUUAACUAUUUUUUUAUUUUUAAUAGAUUGCAUGGUUAAUAGAUUUGGACAUAACAUUUUCAAACUAAAAAGACAUUAAUUUGGUUAUUGUUUUUAAAUUUUGGAUGUAACUUUUUGUUAAUUGCUGAAAUAAAUAGUUUGACAUGCAUUUUAAGCGAAUAGCAAAUCAUCUUCUACGUAAUUGUAUGUAUAUCAUAUGAAUUUAAAGUAUGUGUAGUAUCAAUAUAAAUAUUUUAUAUAAAAUGAAAGAUGUAAACUAUAAAUAUAAGGUUAAUUAUCAUAUGUUCGGUUAUUUUCGGAUAUCCAUUCGGGUUCGGAUAUUACCCGUUCGGGUUCGGAUAUCCAAUCUCUCCUAAUUCAAUACCCGUUCGGAUAUUUUGCUACUUCGGUUCGGAUUUCGGUUCGGGUUUUUCGGAUCGGGUUCGGGUGCCACUUCGGAUUUCGGGUAAAAUGCCUACUACUUUAUGUUUUUUUUCUUUUUUUUCCGUAAACUCAUUCUCUAAACAUUAUUUAAAUUUUGAUUUACAUAUGUCAUGGUUCAUUUUAACAAAAAUUGACAAGGCUUCAAUUUAACUGGUACACGUAUAAUUCUAUUUUUUAAUAAAAUUUAUAUUUUUGACAAAAAAGUUUUAAAUAUGAUAAUGAGUUUGACUGAUAUAUCACCAUUAAAGUAUCAUUUCUUAACAAAUAAUUAUUUUUGACAAAAAAAUUAAAUAUAUUAAUAAAUAAUAAUUCAUAUAUCUUCAUUGAAACUAUAUAUAUCACAUUAAUUACAAACAAACUAAUUAUAAAUAUAAUUUUGAGUAACUUUUUUUUAAAGAAGAGUUUAUACUCUAAGAUUUUUUUCAAGAGAUAAUUGGGUCAAUAUACUCCAAUCGCUAGAAAAUUAAAAAAGUACCCAAAAACAAAAAGAACUUGUUGGGCCCGUACCUUUUUGCGUCCCCCUUUCCAAAAAUGCCCUUAUCGCCUCGAGACGUGCGGCGAGUAGGUGAAAAGUUGCGAGUCAGCGUGAUCUUCAGAAGUGCAAACAAAAGAUACUAUUCUGAUAUAGCUUUCCGGCUGACAUCUUUUCGAGCGACCGGUUUCUUUAGGUUACUCUGUCAAGUACAAACGGAUCGAAACAAAAGCCCCUGGAAACAUCUGUGGAUCGUAAAAAUGGGGGGGGGGGGGAAUUACAGGUUAUCCGAAUUUUUUUUGGGAUUUUGGUAGUGUAUUUAAUGGAGGUCUGGGAAAACAUAAAUGUAAAGCAUAAUCGAUAGAGAGAGAAAGAAACAUGUUAGAGUGAGAUUGCUCUAGUGGCGAAGAUCCUUUUACAGUAGUCGUUAUCCCUUUGUGUUCGAGGUAUGUCUCUAAUAUUUUUUAGAUUUUACUUUCUGCAUUAAAUUUCUUAACUGCAAACAAGUUUGAUACUACGAAAUAGGUGUUUUGGUCCAUUGACAUUUAUUUUGACUGUCAUAACUAUCACAGUAUUUUAAUUCCAGUGACAAGCAUCUCAAAUGUCACAUUCCCCACGGAUAUUUCAGAAAAAAUUUCCUACUUGCGUAUCAUCUCCACAUGCUCAGGGAUAAUCCGAGGAAAGUGUGAUGUCGGGAUUAAAACACAAGAGGUAAAAGUCAGACACACAUACUUCAAACGCAUCUCUCUGUCUUUUAUUUUCUUCUUCUGUAGCAUUUCGAUGGUCGUGUCGACUAAGCAGAACUUGAGAGAUCCAAUUAGUUCCCUCCAGUCAAGCUUUUCCUUAAUGGGGUGCUUCUUCCGUUUGCAGUUUAUCUUCGGAAUCUUGCUGCAAUUGAGGCUGGUGACUUGUGCGAACUCGUGCAUUGACAUCCUGAGCGGCUUUCAGAGAAGAGAAACCAAGUCUUGUACUUUUUUCACGUGGAGGAUUCGGACAAUCACGAACUGGCCGAACCUUCCUGAAAAUGAAGGAUUAUCUGCUAGUGAAAUGAUCUUCCCAAACAUCGUCUGCUGCAGGAAGUGAACCUCUUCUGGCUCGAGCGCAUCUAAUAUAGAUUCAAUUCUCUUCAGUUUGUGGUAAGUGUUUACUCUAUCUCCGGAUGGUUCUUCACCAGCUACAAACAUCCGUUCAUGCAGUAUUGCUUGCUCCAUAGUGUCGCUCGGAGAUAAAGAAAGCGUCUUGUUUCUCUAAAGAAAUAAAAGUAGGUCUGGAGAAAUGAAGAUGCAAAAAUUGGAAAAGAGUGCUAUUUCAAAAGGAUCCCUUACACGUAAAUGUAAAAGCUGACUUUUCAUUUACCCUUUUCGUCAUUAAAGUAAAAAUAUUAGAAAUAAUCUAGAGAAGCCUCGAAACCUUAAGUGACAUGCCGUGUAAUAGUGUGUUCUACUAAUAGGGUCUGACACCAAGGCGGUGAAGACUAAAAGAUAAGCGUGUUAGGAUGUAGGGGCGAAAUGGUAUUAAAAUAAAAUAGAUCAAUAGGGUGGCAUUUGGCAAAUUUCGAAUAUUUCCGUAUACAUACAUCAUAAUUUCUCUUUUUCAAACGGGUUCUCAUUUCUAAGAGGAAAAGAAAAGGAUUAUUUUUAUGAUGUACUAGAUAUAUAUAUAUAGAUAUGGUUCUGUAAGUUGCACAUCUGUUAUUUGUUAUAUUAGUUUUAAAAAUUACUAUCAAAUAGAUUUUAAAAUUUUAUUUUUAUUAGGAUUUUAUAAAAUAAAAAUAUUAAAAAAAUCUUUUUGUUUAGGAUUUAAAAAAAUGGAAAAUUACUAUCAAAUUUUCUUUUACAGUUUUUAAGGGAUUUUAGAAAAGUAAAUUACUAUCACAUAAUCUUUUGCAAUUAUAUUUUUUUAGAAUUUUAGAAAAAAAAUUACUAUCAAAUACUUAUUUCCAAUUAAUAUUAAAUAAUUUUACAAUUUUACAAUUUGAUAAUUUAUUUUUGUUAAUAUCAAGAUUAUUUUAGGCUAUACUUUUAAAAAAAAAUAUCAUUUCUCUUUUAGUUAGGAUUUAAAAGGGAAAAUUUCUAAUUUUUUUAAGAUUUUAAAGCAGAAAAUUAUUAUCAUAUAAUUGUAUGUUAUUAUUGUCACAUGUAACAAUUUUUUAUUAAUAUAUCUCACGAUCAUGUUAAUUAAAAAGCUUAGAAAAACAAAAUUUUGAUUAUCCUCGAUAAAAGAAAAUCCGUGAGAUCUAAGAGGCUAAAUUUUUUUUUUUUUUUUUUUUCUAAGAGGCUAAAUUACAUAAGACUAAUCUGAGACACACGUAAUAGAAUGUUGACUGAAGAAUGAUCUUGACUUGGGAUCAUAGAAAAUUAAACAGAGGCUAAAUUACUUAUUUUCACAUACGUAAACAACUUUCAAACUUUACGUUUCAAAUUUACACUACGUCAUUACCUAUGGUUUGAUCUGAAACAAAUUCAAACUAUUAAAAAAAAAAAUAGGAAGCCGAAAGAGAAAGAAAAAGAUAACAAUUAGAAUUCUUCCAGAGGAGACCGGAGAAAAACUAGAAGCCUAUUGAAAGACGAUAAAAGAAUCGGGUUGUGUGAAAUUAAAUUGACAUUAUGCCCUAUCACCAUUUACGAUCAAUCGAAAUUCAAUAGUUCUUAUCCAAGCCGUAUUUAAUGAUAUACUCCUUUCAUUCCAUGAAUAUAAUAGUUUUGAGAUUUUUAUUUGUUUCACAAAUAUAAUACUCUCUGUGUUCCUAAAAAUUAAUGUUUUCGAAUUUUCAUACUUUUUAAUGUAUUGUUUUUUGUAAUUUUAUAUUUUUUAUAUUUUUAAAUCAAUAAAUUUAAAAAAUGCAAUUGAUGUUUUUGAAUUUCACAAUUUUCAUUAUUAAUUAACAAAAAUUACAUUGUAAAUAUAAAUAUGUAUUUUUUUGAAAUAAUUUUUUUUCUAGAAUAUAAAUUUUUAGGAACGGAAUGAGUAGUUUAAUGUGUGUUUAAUAUAAUUCAAUAGCUUCGCCUUCCACACACCUUACAACAUGUUUUGUUGUUCUUCAGUCUACAUUUGGUCCAUUGGAUGUAUAUUUUUUUAAAUGUUCUUAAUACUAUUUCCUUGUUACAAACAUAUGAUGAUUCAUCUUUUCAUUGAUUCUAUCAUGUCUUUUUGGACACGAUCUUCCCAUCCUCAAAUCAUAAUUUCUUUAUUUUGAAUUUCCAUAGCUAACACGUGAGAUAUAUAUAUGCUUUACUUGUUUGAGAAGAAAUCAAUAAAAGGUUGAUGUCUAAGAUAAGCAUACUAUGCAUACAGUGGUGCUAGAAUGUUCGAGCCACAAUCCCAUUUUGAGAAGAGUAACCAGAUUUUCUCUCUAGGUACCAAAUACCAAUAAACAUAGAUAGAUUUGAAAAAAAUAAGAAGCAAUUAACAUAAUAUUUUUUUUGUCGGCACAAUGGCAUUAUCAUCUUCACGUAUAUAACAAUCCAAACUAUUCUUUAAAUGUGCCUCUGUAGAAAAUUGAACUUAUUUCAGACCGAAGAAUUCAGCUUUGUCCACUUCCGGAAAAUUGUCAUAAGUAAGAGAGAUGAGGAUUGGCUAAAUAACCCACAUAUCAAACCAAUCCACAAACCCUGUUUUCACCAAAAUAAUAGCUCCAAAAUAAACACAAAACCAUAAAUUUUUCUUUAUCAUCAAUCAAUUCAUAAGAGAGUAAUGCAGUUACCUUGGCAUAUAACUUCAACUUGAAACCACAGAAGGCUGCAAUAGGCAUUCCAAUGAAGUAGAAUGUUCCUAGAUUUACAACCGUGACUACCCUUUGCCAUCCGCAUCCUCUGGCCACUCCUGUAAGCAAUAAAAAGGGAGGUUUCUUUUUGCCUUCGAUUCAUCGAGAAAGAAAGAGGCUUUCUUGGAUCUUUUAUUGGGCCCUCUUUUAUUACCUGAUAGAACACCUUGGAUCGAAUCAAGAGUUAUAGAGGCAGCAAGGAAGAAUCUCAAUGAUGCAAACUCAUCUUUAAUUAAAGGACUAUUGCUGAAUAACCCAACCCAACCAUCAUGACCUACAAAUAAAGUAACCACUACGCCAAGAGCAAGAACUAACGACAACUUGGUGGAAACAGAAGUCGCCUUCUUUGCACCUUUUACAUUUCCUGCUCCAAGUUCGUUCGACACACGAGUACUGCAGCAUUUUUAAGUUUUACAUUUUCGAAACAAUAUAUUAAUGAGAGGAAAAUACAUAAUUUUCAUGACUCAUGAGAUUACUAACCUUGCAGCUGCGCUAAGUCCAUAUGUUAACAUGUAGCUAAUUGCUUCCGUGUUGACGCUGAAUUAAUUUAAUAUUUACGCAGCAAUAUGCUACUUUUGUUAGAGUGAAACAGAAAAUUAAUAAACUAAAUAGUAAUAUAAAACUUACCAUAUAGCUACCAGAGAGGUGGCUAUUUCCGGGUUCGGCAUCAGUCCUGCCAAGACCACAAGGAUCUCGAACGCCCAAUAUUCCAAGCUGUUGCAAUAACAUAGUCUCUUUAGAUUUAAGAAGCAUAUAUAUGGAAUUAUAAGCAGAUGACAAUAAUUAUUGAUCCGACCUACCACACCAUAGCAGCAGAAGGGAGACUUAAUGUCAAGUUUGUUACUACAUAACGGAUUGAUUCCAGUGAAAAUCCGGUCCAUGUAUCCUUAAACUUGUCGGAACAGAUCACAUAAGUCCCAAGAGAAAGGAAAGCUAUCCACAAUGAAAUAGAUGUAGCUAUUGGAGCACCAAUGAACCCAAGGCUAGUUAAAUAAACCAGAACAUAGGAUAUGCCGAUAUUAAUCACCAAGGGAACAAAUGAGAAGACAACUAAUGGAGUAACGAUUGAUUGUGUUUGGCAAAAUCUCAGUAUGUUUUGUAAGAAUCCGUAAGCGAGUAACCCGGGAGCUUGGUAUUUCAUAUAUAUUGCAGCUUGUUUUGAGAUGUUAGGAUCUUGUCUGAUAAGUCCGAAAACUGAUUCUGUGAAGAACCACAAGAUGGAGAUGAAGAUGGUGAAGACUAAUGAGACUAUGCAAGAUGAUUGUAGAUGAAUCCCUAACAUUCUGUAGCUUUUUGCACCAAAGCCUUGUCCACAUAAUGUCUCCAGUGCUCCACUUAAACCAACCUGAAAAAUAAAGGACAUUAACUUCUAUUUUAAACAAUCCACAUGUAUUAAAUCACCAUUAGUGAUUUCUUUCGUACAAAAUCCUCCACAUGUCACUUUAAACGUCUUAAAUAACAAGAAAACUGGGUUAUUAGUUUUUUUUCACAUCACUUACGACGAUUAAUAUGUUUUAUUAAAAUUGCCAUAAACAACUAAACAAGAAAGAAAUAUUUGUAAAUUCGAAUAACUAAUCCUACAUAAAUGGAUGAAGUGGGUUCUAGUCAUUUAUGCAGCUAAUUAAAUAUCAAUACCAAAUGUUAAAUAAGGAGCUUGAGGUGAAGAGCGGAAUGGUACCAUGAACGCAAAACCGGUGACGGUUGUCCAAGAAUUGGCGAGGGUUGCAGCGGCAAGCUCGAGCUGGCCGAGGUGAGAAGCGAACAUCACAGAGGUUAAAGGGAUACAAUAGAAGAAAAGAUUUGUGAAUAUCAUUGGAAGAGAGUAAACGAUUUGAGCCUUUGAUUCUUCCACGUCGAUCAAUUUUUGAACCCAAGAGAAGCUUAUGCUUCCUCUGUCAUUUACAUUAUCAUCCAACAAUGGAGAGCUUGAUAUGAUGGGAUCAGCCAUUGGAACUUCUUGGUGAAAGACUUUGCUUAAUUUAGUUGCUGAGAAAACUUGAAAAUGUGUAGAAGAAAGCUAUAAUUUGUAAAGGGGAAGAUUUGAAUUAAAUAAGGAGGGUAAGUAGCAACACGUUAUUAAAUAUAGUUGGCACAAAGACAGGCAAACAUUAUCUAUUCCAUUUAUUGUCACUCAAUGAUUAAACUGUAAACUACAAGUGUUUUUUUUUUUUUUGCUUCUCUCUCAUUUUCUCCCAAAACCCUAAAAGACCACAGUUAGUAGGUGAAAGCAUUGUAUCGUAAUGUUUAAGGUUUAAAGAUUUUUACAUCCAGGUCUAGAGUUUAAAUCUUAGGCUAUGCAAUUUUUAGAUCUAGAGUUCAAAUUUUAGGCUAUGCAAUUUCUUGCAUAUUGUACAUUACAAGAGAUCCAAGUUGCAAUUUCCGGAGAAAACAAUUUAUUAAACAAUUAUGUAGGCUACUAAAGAAAAGCUUACAAGAAAAUUUCAACACUGUGCAUGUAAUUCUGGGCAGGCGUGGAUUUUCAUAGGAUGACUCAUGUGAUAUGAAAAAAUUGAUUUUUCAGAAAAAAAAAUAAAGCAAAAAAAUCGUGGGACAUAGAGUAUAGGUUUAGGUUUUUGUUUUUUUUUUUAUUUGAGGAUUUUUAAUGUUUUCUUUUAUUUUAAUUACUUUAAUUAUUUAUCAUGUUUUAAUAUUUAACCAUUGUUUUUUAAUUGUAAUUUCGAAAUUAUAAUUGAAAUUAAGGCUAUUAUUUUCUUUUUAAAAUAAUUAGUCUAACGGAAUAUAUAGUAUAUGAGAUUAGUCGAAUGAGACAUUGUUACCAUUUUUUUUGCUUAAAAAAACAAUUUUUCCUUUUUUGUCAUCAUAAACACUCAUAUACUAUUUUUUAUUAGAUAGAAAUCUGACAUAAGCAUCUAAAACUAUUAUUUAUUUAUAAAUGUCAACUAGAUUUUGACCCGCGCUUUUCAAAAUUUAAAAAAAAUCUUAUUAAAAAAUCUAUAUAUAGUGUAUAAGUUUGGCCACAUAUAUCCAAAACCGAGAAUUAAACCGUACCAAACUAAAAAAAAAUCGAAUAGAACUGAAUUUCAUAGAUAACCGAGUAAAUAGUAUAUUUCUAGAACCAAAAAAAUUGAAACUAAAAAACCUAAACCAAAUGAGUACCUAAAUUUUUAAAAUAGAAAUUAUAUACUUACAAAUAUUUAUUAUAUCUAAUUUCUAAAUAACUAAAUAUCCUUAAAUAUUAUUUAUAAACCGAAUUAACCAAAAAAAAAACUCAAUUACUGAAUAUUUUAUUCAAACUAUUAAAAAUUAUCUGAAUUAUCUGUAAUUUGAUAUUUAAACUGAAAACUCCAAAUUAUCUGAUAUUUUUAUCUAUAAAUAUGUAAUUGUCUGGAAAAUAAGAAUUGAGCCAGAACAUAAUUGGAUCCAAAUGUUUUUGUAUGUUAGCCAGUUCCAACUUUACUACUGAACUGAACUAAAAACCGAAAUAACCAAGUUGAAAAAAUAAUUUUAUAAAUACAUGAAUGGUUCCUACGUUUAUAAAACCAAAAACACCAAAACAAAAAAACCUGAACCGAAACCAAAUAUUGGGGAGUAAUAGUCGAUCUACAUUUAAUUGGUACAAAGAAAAAAUUAUAUUUUUACAAAUUAUUUAACUCUUAUAUAUGGGAUACAUAUGCAAUUUAUAGAUAAAUUAAGAUAUAAGCAGUGUUUUUAUAUUCGAUUGGGACAUGCGGUCGAACCGGUAAACCCGGUGACCGUAUAUAAUUUGGAUUGGCUUAUGUUCUUCAUAGAACCCAAUUUAUAUGUUUCUACAAAAUUCAAAUUUAAUGAAAACCUAUUAAUUAAAAAAUUGAUAUAAGUAAAAACAUGUCAUUAACCCGUGAACCAACAUCGUUUAACCGAUAAAAAUCCAGAAAAAUCUUAUUUUAAAAAAAAUUGAUAAAUAGAGUAAUGAAAGUUAUAUUGCUAAAAAUUAUAUCCUUUAAAAUUAUAAUGGCCUAUUUGUAAUAUUUUACGUAGAAUCUAAAGCUAGGUUUAAACCGUAAUUGAGAAGAUUAUAAAUUGUUAAUUAAAAUAUAUGUUGUUUUGAUUCUACAUAGUUAAAAUUUAGGUUGCUUGAUUAUUGGGUUUGAGUAUAUUUAAAAGGAAUAUCUUAUGUGCUGAUGUGCAUAUAUGUUUUGAAGUAUUAGUCUGUUAGUUUGUUGAUGAGAUAUUUUAAUGUAGAAUAUUUGGUUAUGUCGAUCAGUCAAGAGAGAUUCAUAAUACAAAGAUAUUUUGAAUUUCAAUGGUUGGUUUCACGGAAAUAGAAGCAUCAUUUAAAAGAAAGGGAAAACGACAUAUUUCCACACCAGAAGUAUCAUAUAGUAACAGUUACACACGAUUUUUCAACCUCGUCUUAAUUGCAUACAUGAAAACUUAUCAAACUGAUUUCCCCCCGAUUUGAAAGAUCGAAACCCGAAUCCACAUAAAACUUUCGUCGGAACCAAAACCUACACCUAGCCGAUUUAAAUCGAUUUACUAUUUAUCUAUUUGUAAUCUAAUUAAUAGAUAACCUAACUAAACCAAAAAUGACGCAAUUAAAAGUGCUAAACCAAAAUAUAUAUAACCUGAUUUACUAACCGAGGUUUACCCAGAAAACUGAAGUCACAUAAUGUUGAGGAAGAAGAAGAAGAAUUCGAACAACAGCACAAGAAAGAGAAAACCCAGAAAAAAGUUCUGAGCUUUUUGUUUCCCCCAAAUCAUUCUUCUGUUUUAUUGGAAAGACAAAAAUUAUGUAUGUGGCUGUGAAUCUCGUCUUCCUCCUUUUGAACAAUAUGAAAUCUGCAAAGCUCUACACAUUGUCUGAUGCCAUUGUUGAAUCUGACGAAUACCCUUCUCUUUCUUUCCUUAGACAUUGCUUGUUCUAACAGAGCUAGAGGUCCUCGUAGCCUCUUUUGUGUGUGUGUGUAAAUAUUGAGAGGUUCUCAUGGACAAGGAGACGCCAAGGGAGAAGACGCCAUCGUCGUUCGGAAGCCUCUCGGAUCAUCAAUUUUAAAAUGGCUUACUCUAUUCUCUCAAUUUUAAAAUGGCUUACUCUGUUCUCUAAACAAGGUUACUAUCCACACUCACUUGAUUCUAGUUGAGGAUUUGUCUUACGAUCAAACGCCUUCUAUGAAAGAUGGAUGUGAGAGGGUGAAAGCGCGUGGAGCUAGAGUGAUGAGUGUUCUUUGUUGUUGCAAACGAUGGGAUUAUCGAGUUUCUUCCAAGCCAAGCUGUUGUUGGUAUAGUAAUUUAUGAAGAAAACAUAAAAAUUUGGAAAAUCUUUCAUGUGUUUUCAACUAUUGUAUGUGUUCUGUUUGUUUGCAGGUAGGGAGAUACACAGAUCCGCGAGAUGGCUUCAAAACCGGGUGAACAAAGUCGGAUCCCUCUGGUCGAAUUGUAUUUUGUCUUUUGGUUCGAUUUACCUGUUACAAACCAAUAAAUCAAUGAAUAACCGAAGCUAUGUGGAUUCGGGUUUGGAUCAUUUGAAUCGGGGGGAAAUAGGUUUGAUAAGUUUUCAUAUGUGCAAUUGAGACGAGGUUAAAAGAUCGUGGGUAACAGUUACUAUAUGAUACUUCUGGUGUGGAAAUAGGUCGUUUGCCCUAAAAGAAAUGAUUUAAUAGAAUGGUGAAAUAUAUCUUGAUAGUUCUGUAAUUAGUAUAGUAGUAUACGUGUUCAUAUGCAGUGACAUUUAAAAAAAUAGGAGGAAUACAUAUGCAAUAGAGAUGUUGGAGCGAGCUUUCAAGAAAAAGGCAAUUCUUAUCAUAAAGAUGUUGGUUAAAAUACAUGGUUACCGUCAAUAUAAUUGAUCUAUUAAAAUGCUUUAAUAUAUAAUAGAUGAAAGUAUACUUAAAAUUGUUUAAAGAAAGUAGAUUACGUCAGAUAUUAUGUUAGUUAGUAGAUAUAAGGUAGACCAUAAUACUUAAUACUAUUAGUCUAAUAAAAGAGUCCAAACAAUUUUUAUAGGUAGAUUUUUUAUGACUGCUUCCCUUUUAAUAGUAUUGAUGGUAAUUGUAUAAUGUAUACCAAUAAUGACUUUUAUUGGGAGUAUAAUUAUUUAGAUGUAUUUUUUUUUUAAUUUUGUUAGAAAAAUAUUAUAUUUGUGUAAAUUUAGGUUAGGUUGUUAUGUUACUAAUUAAUGGUCGUACUAUAUAUGACUUAUUUAUAUUAGAUAAAAAUAAGAUAAUAAAUUAAUAGAUUAGAUAGAUGCAGCUGACUUGAAACAUCUUCGUAUAGUUUUAAAAUCUACAAAAUUACUUGACAUUGCUCUUGAUUGGCUUUAGAACAAAAUAAUUUGUCAUCCGAAAAAAAAGAUGGGAGAUAGCUAGAUUACCCCUUGAUAUUUUUAGACCUGUUAAAUGUUUCUCUCAUUCCUCACGAUGAGAGCUUUUGUACAAAGUAUUACAAGAAAAUUAGAUAAAAUAUCUAUUUCUUUUGGCACAACUUGUCCCCUCGGUUGACCAAUGAGGAGGACCUUCUAUUUAAAAGAUGUUAUCCAAGUAUAAUCUAAUAUAAGUGAAAAUCCCAUAUAUAUUAAAAGAUGAUUCUUAAUAAACGAGCACUCCAACUUAUCAUAGGUCUAUUUAUAUCUGUUUUGAUUGCAAGAAGUUUUUUUUUUGCAUAAAUUUGUUUGCAAUUCAUAAAAGUUUUAUUGACGAAUUAGUGUAGGACCGCGAAAAUACUAAUUAAAAAUCACGAAACAAAAAUUGAGUAAAACGAUAAUAACUAGUAGAAAACAUUUAUAAAACCGUUAAAAAAAUAGACGAAUUCGAGGAAUCAAGAUUUGAUCUAUUUUCUUAACUCAAUGAAUCGCCUAUAAUGUGAGACGGUUUGGAUGCGAUUAUGAAUCCCAUAAUACAACCACGAUGAGACUGUUUCGCUGCACCCGAAAAUAGAAUAUAUGUUAUACUAUGCUAUACUUUCGAGACUUAUUUAAAAGACGACUAGGAUUUUGCUGGAACUAGAAGCUAAUUGCGUUUUUGCGUGUGAAAUAAUGAAGAGGGUAGAUACUUAUUUAUAUGAGAAAUAUACUUGGCCGACAAGCCAAAGAUAACGAUAAAGUAAAGAAAAUUUUUGGAAUUAUUCAUGUUUAUCGUGCAAGAGAGGAUCGGGAAUUAUUCCAAUAAUUAUCUGGAAGUUUUCCCGUAAUUAUCUUGACAUAAUCUAAAAUGUUUAUAUUUAUCUCGAUAAUUUAGACUCAGUCCGUUAGGAUUUAUCUAAGAAAUUAUCCAAAAAUCUUGAUAUGUAUUUGCUCCCAAAAAAACAUCUUAUUGUGGGCGAGAGUCCACAUUCACCAAGACCUAAGACUCAAAUCCAGCCUGGAGGCGGCGCGUGCGUGUGUGGUUUGCAUAAUGGGCCAUCUCACUCCUUCUCCAUAUUGUCCCCACAAACUAUUGAACCUUGAUAAGUGAGUACCAUAUUUAUACUACAAGAAUUUUCUUGUUAUAUGCAAUGUGAGACUCUUUACUCUUCCAUUUUAUUUAAGUGAAAGACUUUUCAUUUAAAGCAUCUCCAAAAAUAAACUCUAUUUUGAAGUUUCCACACUCUAUAUUUGAAGUUUAAAUGUGUUCUUCUCCAAAAUCAAAACUUCAAACUCAACUUCAAAACUAUUUAUAUUUUAUAAUAUGGUCCUUAUAGUUUUCAUAACUAAUUUAAAUCUAUAAAACUUUUGUAAAUAACUAGCACAUAUAUAAACAUAUUACAACAAUAUUAAUUAAUAAAAUAUUCUAUUAAAUAUAAAAAUUUAAUUAAAAAUAACUUAAUUAAUAUUAAACUUCAAACAAAAUACCAUAUUAUUUCAUAAAAUGAUUUUCAUAUAUGCAUAUAUGAUCUAUUAGUGCAUUUCGAAAUAAAAAUAUCUCUCCUCAUUUUUACUUUGUAGAUUACGAGCUAAAAGUUAUUGAAAUCAGGUAAUAUUGAUACUUGUAAAUACAUUAGAUCGGAACAAGAAAGUAAAACAUAAACGUACAAUAUUGCUUAAAGACUAAUUUCUUUUCGAUGAUAUUAAUACUCGUGAAUAUAUUUGAUAUGAACAAGAAAUAAUUGUACGAAAAAGACAUCAAAACAACAACAACAACCAUCUUCAAUUACACACAAAAUAUUGGAUAAUAUUUGAAAAUUUGAAGGUUUAGGAUCAAACUUACGUGACUAUUAGUGUUGUUGUAAUAUUUAAAUUUGUGUAAUAGUUAUGUCUUCAUGUAAUUUCUUAAAAUCUUUUUGUUAAGCUUUUUUGUAUAUUAUUGUUGUCUAAAUCUAACUUAAAAUAUUUUAAAUUUUAUUUUAAAGUUUUAUUUAAUUUUAUGUGUAAAAUUUAAAAUCUGUAAACAAAAUUUAAAAUAUUUAUGAGAUAUAAUACUUUUAAGGAUUAAAACAAUAAAUGAUAUAAUAUUUAUGAAUCAUAAAGGGGGUGUGUGAAUAUAGAGACCAAAAUGCAAACAAAAAUAUUAAACUUCAAAUUUGAAGUUUUGAAUAGUGAAACUUCAAAUAUAUAGUUUCACUACUCAAAACUUCAAAUUUGAAGUUUUGAAGUUCCUUUUUGGAGAGCAAAAAACUUCAUAUUUGAAGUUUCACUCUGAAAACUUCAAAUUUGAAGGUUUCAUAUUUUUAUUUGCAUUUUGGUCCCUACAAUUACACAUCACAUUUAUAAUUCUUAAAUAUUUUAUUAUUUAUCGUAUUAAUGCUUAAAAAAAUUAUAUCUAAUAAAAAUUUCAUUUUUUAAUAAAUUUAAGUUUUACACAAAAAAAUUAAAUUAAAUUUAAAAUAUUUUAAAACUAGAUUUAGACAACAACAAUACAAAAGAAACCUAACAACAAAAAGCUUUUAAGAAAGUUACAUGAAGACAUAACUAUUACACAAAAAUAAAUAUUACAACAAUACUAAUAGUCAGUUAAUUUGAUCCGGAACCUCCAAAAUCUUCAAAAUAUUGUCCAAACAAAUUUUGUGUAACCGAAUAUAGUUGCUGCUGUUGUUGUUUUAGUGUCUUUUUCGUACAAUUCUUUCUUAUUAAGAUCGAAUGAAUUCAUUGAAUAUUAAUAUCAUAUAUGCGUUACGAAAAUAACUUUAUGGAAUAAUACAAUAUUUUUUUUGAAGUUUAGUAUUAAUUAUGUUAUUUGAUUUAAAAUUUAUAUUUUAAUAUAAAAUUUUAUUAAUUAAUAAUGUUGUAAUAUUUUUAUGUAUGUGCUUAGUUAUUUACAAAAGUUUUAUGAAUUUAAAUUAAUGAUGACAAGUAUAAGGACCAUAAUAUAAAGUACAAAUAGUUUUGAAGUUAAGUUUGGAGUUUUUCUUUUGGAGAAGAACAUCUUGAAACUUCAAAUAUAGAGUUUUUGAAACUUCAUAAUAGAAUGUCUUUUUGGAGACGUGUGCAAAAGAUAUUUUCACAUAUUUUCAUAUUAUAGCAAAACAUUAUAUAGUCCAAAGACUUAUAAUUUUGGGUUCCAACAAUUAGCCGCCCUGCGACAAUAGUAAAAUGUGUCCAGUAAUAGAUUUGGUAGGAAUUUUUUUUAAACUUUCACACAAUACCUUCGAAAUUAUCUUGUAGAGAACACCACACGCAAUUAAAUGGUCUUGAUUUCGUCAUACGAGUCAGACUAGCCAUUUUUGGUAUUAAACAUAUAUUACACCCCAUGUUCAAAAUUACGCUAGGCGUGAGUCGGGCGGCUGGUCUAAGCUUAGCGAGUUAUCGAAAAAUCGGAGAUUAAACGGGGAGUACGCGGAGCCUAAUUUUCAAGCCUAUUACAUGUACAUUUCAAUAUAUAUAUAUAAGGGUAUAUGUAAUAUGUUACUAUAUAAGCAAUGUGGCGUAUUAUAUAUUAAAUUUUUGUAAGAUAACCGAGUUGUAAACGUGGUGUAGUGGACACUAAUGUGGUUUGAUUCAAUUUAUCUAGAGUUUGAAAAGUGUUACGUUAAUUUUUUUAUUUUAUUUAAUAUUUCUUUUGUUUUUAGUGGAUGGUAGACUUGUAAAUAAGUCUUCUUCUUCAUCAGUUUCGUGAAACAGAAGAAGAUAGACGAUGCAGGAACAAGAUUCAACUUUAUUUUGUUUGGAACUCUCAAUCCCCUUUGGAUUUUGUCUCCACCUCUCACUUCUUCUCUUGAUUUCGUGACAAAUGCUUUGAUUAGGAUUCAGACCAAAGGAUCUUGGGCUUAAUUGCGUAAAACGUUUUGGAUCUAGGCGCCCGCGUUUCACAAAUACCCUGGAUAGGCGGAAACAAUUCGUCUUACCGCACAGAGCACCCGAUCAGACCUUUUUCGCCACGGCCAUGCUCCGCUUACCGUAUACGCGUCCGAGUAAUCGUCAACUCGCCCGCGUUUUCGAACACGGAUUACACCAUUCAAGAAGGACACUAAAAUAUUCAGAAUAAUUAUCUAUCAUCUUCGGAUACACUAGCAAGCAUCAGAUCAUGCAAAUCAAGUUAAAAAAUCAAUUAUAUAUGAUUUGGUAAAACAUUAGCAUAAACAUUAUACUAUUUAUUAUCCAAUCAACAAUUUUUAGAUUAGCAUUUAAAAAACAUUUACAAAAUGCUAAUGCUCUCUCCUCAAUGCUCUCAAAUGAAGCUUUUAGCAGAGCAUUUACAAAUAAAAUAGAUAGAAAAAUAAAAAAAGUAAUUACAUAUAAUUAAUUUAUUUUAUCAAAUAAUAUCCAAAAAUUAUGUUUAUAUCGAAAAAAAUAAAUUUAUAAUUUUAAAAAUAAAAUUUUCUAUUAAAAUGUAUUUAAUUUUUUUGAAAUAAUAAUAUUUUACAUUUAAAAUAUAAUAUCAUUUAUAUAAUUAUAUAUGAUUCACAAUCUAUAGUAACAAAACAUAGAACAACAUAUAUUUAUAUAUUAUCAAUAUCUAUAAUAUUAAUUUAGAAAUAAAAAAAUUAUAUACCAUAUAUUAAUUUUUAUGAUAAUUUUAUAUAUGAAUCAUUUACUGCUCUACCAAUCAUUUUAUUAAAUAUAUAAAUGAAAGCAUACUGCUUAUAUAUCAUACUACUAAUGAUUUAUCAUCACUUGCACCAAUCAAGGCCUAUGUGAAUAUUUUUGAUAUAUUUCUCCAACGGCCAUCUUUCCAUGAACCAGCAACAAAGCUUGGAAUCUCUUGAUCAUCUUGUGAUCUUAGAUCUGGUGGAUUUUAAUCUUAUAUCGCAAUGAAAUUACCCCUAAACAUAGUUUUUCGAUAAAUUGUUUUUAGAUGAUUCUUUGCAAUGCUCGCUUUAUUAAAUAUUUCAGAAAUUUCAAUUCAAGAACACAAUAGUGUAAUGCUCUCUAUAUUGUAUAUUUCUGAAAUUUUGAUCCAAGAACACAAUAAUGCAAUGAUUUCUUUGGGUAAUUCUUUGUAAUGUUCUCUUUGAAUGAUUCUUUGAUUUAAGAACUUAUGUCGAUUAUAAAGGAAAAAAACUGGUUUUUUAUUCUUUAAAUAUUUUCAAUCAGCAUAUUUAAUAUUCAAAUUAUUCAGCUUAUUUAUUUUUGGACUAAACGUUGACUAUACAAAAUUAAGAUAAAAUAGUCCACAAUUAAAAAGAAGGAAACUAUUAAAUUAUUUUCGUUUAUUAAUGGUUGACUGUUUUGUUUCUAUAUAUGUGCGGUCAACAGUUAAUUGAAAAAAAAUUACAGAAGUAAUACUUGAAUAUUAAAGAUUUUUUUUUUUGAUAAACAAAUACUUGAAUAUUAAAGAUGCAUAUUCCAAAUACUAGGAAUUAAAAGCUCAUUUUGUCCAUAAACUGCAUGUAUACGUACGUCUUUGUAUCAUAUAUUGCAUCGAAUGUAGAAUUUAACCAAGUCUUAUUAGAUGGAAGUCAUUAAGUAGCCAUCGAAACCUAAUACUAAUAACGCUUUGGUAUAAUAAAUAGUUUAAGAAGUACAAUUUUGAAUUAACCCUAUUUGUUUUUUAAUAUUUACCUCUGUUCGAAAAACGCGCCCGUGGAACCCGAUUACGCAGCGCCGAUACGCUCGUCGGAGGUCCACCGUGGCGAUUUCAUCAUCCUCGGCCAAGAAAUCGGAUUGAUCAAAAAAUUCAUUCUUUUUAAAGUUUUAGGUGUUUAAAUCGCAUGCUGGAAAGUAGAUCUAUGAGUUUGAUGCAUAAACAACAAGAAAAGCUUAUAAAAUUUGUGGUUUUUGACAAAUCUUUGUUGAAGGCGACGAAAAUAGUUUUGCAGAAAACCUAAAUAAAACGCAAGGAAAAUAUGACUUUAUUACAAUUAUGCCAUUCACAUAAAAAACGCACAAAAAUAUCCAAAAAGUACCUUAUGGGCUUCAAUCACCGGUACAAAUAAACUAACACCUGUCCAUUUACCAUGGGGUUACAUUACUUUUACUUGUUUCUUUCCCUAACUUCACAUAUAUAUAGCUAUAUGUAUUUAAAUUUUAAAAUAAUAAUUAAAAUUACUCCCCGCGUAUACCUCGCUUAAUCUCUGAUUUUUCGAUAACUUGCUAGAUCCGGAAUUACCGUCCGACUAACGCCUAGCGUAGUUUUAAACAGGAAAUUUACAGCCGAAUGUCAUUGACAAUAACAAUGCUCCUUCAAUCAAUCAUUAAAAUCCAUUUCGUAUUUAAGUUUGUGGCCAGAAUUUUCUUCAUCUACAUAAAAAGGUAAUGAUUAUUAAUUUCACCAGUUCUGCAUAUGUAAUCACACGAAAUAUAAAAACAUAAAAUUGAAACCAAACUGAAUUCAUUUGCGAUUACAUUCUAAUGUACUAUAUAACGAACCAUGUCAAAUAAUUAAUUUGUUUUCAGUUUUAUGUAUAGUAAUAAUAUUUACAUAUAAUUAUUAACCAAACCAAGUCAAGUGUUAUAUAUUAAUUGUUUGGGAAAAUAAAAAAUCUCCACAUGAUCUUAAUUAGCUCAACUAAAAAUCAUUUUGUCUAACAAAAUACUAAAUUAACUAUAUUUUUCUUAAAAUAAAUCGUUAGAUUGAUACAUGCGGACUGUUAGUAAUAUGUAUAGUAAUAGUAUUUACAUAUAACUAUUAACAAAACCAAGUCAAGUGUUACAUAUUAACCAAACCAAACAAUUGUUUGGAUAAAUAAAAAAAUCUACACACAAUCUUAAUUAGCUCAACCAAAAAUCAUUUUUUCUAACAAAAUACUAAAUUAACUAUAUUUUUUCAAAAAUAAAUCGUUAGGUAGAUACAUGCGGAAUGUUAGUAAUAUAUUGGAUUGAAGAUAUAUGAAUGCUUAAUCAGCUCCAAAGAAUAUUGCAAUGUCAAACACUUUACCUCUAACUUAGCUUAACACCACCCUAAUUUUUGGCUGUCACAUAAAACAAAAAGACUUCGAUCUAUAACAUAUAUAAUCUAGAUUAACAACCAUAAUAUUUAUUUCAUAUAUACUAUCACAUAAAUGGAAAAGAAAUUAGCUUUCUUUUAAAGAAAUUAUAUUAGCUUUAAAAACUUUAUACAACAUUCCUAUUUAUAAGGAAGAUAAUCGUUUAAUAGGAUACAAAAUAAAUAUUCUAUCGAUUAAACCAAUCAUAAUCAAUUUUGUAAAGUAUUUAUUCAAAUCUAAAAAUUCUAAGCUUAACUAACCAAAUAUGAGAUAUUUUAAAAAUUGUCAGAAUCGGUAAUUUAUUGUAUAUAUUCUAUUAAAAUUGAAGUACAAAAUAAUAUUUAUAUAUUUGUAAUUGAUUUUUUCAAUCUUCUUCCUUCAUUUUAACUAAUUUAAACCAAUUUAUUUAUUGUAUUUUCCAAAUAAUUCUACUUCAUUUAUAUUUAUUAUAGAGUACAAAAUAGAACUUACAUACUCUUAAGUGUUUUUAUUACAUCUUUUGCAACUCUUCUUUGUCACUCUUCCUAAUUACUUCAUCAACUAUAUUAAGCAUAAUAAUUUGACAACACUUAUUUUAAUUUUUACCAAAAUAAUUUCACAAGUUUGAAUGAAAUUGAUUAAUUCAUGACAAGAAUUCAAUCGAUUAAUAAUUUUUUUAUUUGUAUAAAGAAUCAGUUAGACAUGAGCAUUCAGGUAACUGUUCGGGUACAGAUCGGUUUUUGAGUAUCAGAUUUUAGGGUUUAAAAUUAAAUUUUGUUUGGAUAUUAUAAAUUUUUGGACGAAGUUCGGAAUCGGAUCAUUUUGGAUUAUGAUAGACUUGUAAGGACCUAAAAAUAUCUAAAUAACCUAUGUAUUUAUAAUGUCAUUAUAUAAUUUAUAAAAAAGUAAAAACUUAACAUCAACACAGACGUGCAGGUCAAGCUCUAGUUUUGUUUUAAUUAAAAAAAGACAAUACCUAGGUUAAGGUGUAGUUUUGUUUUAAUUAAAAAAAGACAAUACCUAGGUUAAGGUGUUUGGGUAUUUGUGUAAAUCUUUGUGAAAUGAUUAUUAAACAUGUACCUGAUUUAAUACCCAAAAUAUAUCAAAGUAUUAAUAAUUUUCAAAUAGAAGUUAAAAAUAUCUAAAAUUCUUAGAAAAAUCUUAAAAUUUUAAUUUAAUUUUAAUUUAAUUUUAAAUUUUAGAAAAAGUAAGUAAAGUGUGAUAAUCUUAAAUUGUGUAAUAAAAGUUUAUUGUAAAAUUUUAGUUUGAAAAUGUAUAGAUUGAUAGAUAUGAACUUAAUAUAUUUUUCAAUACAUAAAUUUAUAUGAAAACAAUGAUCGUAUUUAUUUUAUAAAACAAUAAUAAUUAUUAAACAUAAAAGUUGGGUUAGAGAAUUUAUAUCAAAAUGGACUAAUAACUGAAUUUUUUUGGUUAACUACUAAUUGAAUUCUAAAAAGAUCAAAAAGUCAUUCUUAAUAUUUUGGGCCAAGAAAAUUAAAAAGACUGCCAUUUGUUAUUAUUCUGUUAGGUUUUUAAACUCUCUAGGAAGAUAAAGAUUAAUCGUUUAUGUUUUUUGUUAGCAUAAGUUUAGGAAAUAUUUUGGUUGUUUUAGUUAAUAUUAUUAGCAUGCCAAUCGUUUGUCACAUUCCCUUUAUUCAUGAAUAUAUUCUAAAUUUUAAUAAUACGGAAUUUGUUAAUUCUAAAUUUUAAUACAUCUACUCUACUAAUUAAUACAUCUGCAAUAUUUCGUAUAUAUAUACUUCAAUGUUUUAUAACAUGUGUCAAUGAUAAAUAUGGAUGGAUUCUAUCAUCCACAUAUAUAUUGUCCAUUACUGAAAAAUGCAUGAUGAUGAUGUAUGCAGGGCCGUCUCAAACUUUACGGAGACCCUGUUCAAAAAAAAAUAAGACCCUUUAUAAUAAUCUAAAAUAAUUUAUGUUUUUUCUGACAGAAUAUUGUAAUAUAUAAUAAAUACACCAAUCUAAUUUAAUUGGAAGAAGCAUUUUUUUCUUUUAUAAUUGAAAACUUAUGAAAAGCAUCUUUUCGGGACUAUGAAUUUUUCAGUUUUUUUUUCUUUUGAUUCUUUUUGUAUCUACAGUUAAGAGUUAUAAUCUAUAAAAAAACACAAACAAAACAAUAGAAUCUUGAUAGUGGUUAGAAAAAAAACCGUGGACUCUUGAUUUGAUUAAACAAGAAAUUGGAGACUCCUCAGUUUUAUUCUUUGAUAGAUGCUUAGACUAAUGUUUCUUUUUUGUGUUUACUAUUUUUUGUAAAAGUUGCUGAAAAAUUAUAUAUUUCCCUCUUUAUUUACAAUCACUAAUUAAUAUAGUUUCCUAAAUAUAAUCAAAUUAGAAUAUUAACUUUCUAAAUUUACAUUGAAUAAUAAAUCAAACACCAACAGCUAUUUUUUACUUUCCAAAAUAUAUAAUUGAUAUAAUGUUAAUUUCUUCCUGACUUAUUGCAUUUUUGUUGGUUAUGUAAACAAAAUCAAAUUUGUAAUUUACAUAUAUUGUUUAAUAAAUAUGAAAAUUAAAUUAAAUAUAGUUAUCUGAUUUUUAAUAAAUACAUGAUUUUAAAUUUAUAGCUAUUACUAAAAAAAAAUUAUGAGUCCUCUAAAAUUUUGGACCAUGUUCGACCGCUCCACUUGCACGUGCUAAAAGACGGCCCUGGAUGUAUGUGUAGAUUUGUUUUAUUAGUGUAUUGUAAAGAAUAAUAAAUAAGAGUCCAAGAUUCAAAUGCAAAAGUAAUUGACAUAAUUUUAUUUGGACAGUCGAAGAUUCAAAUACAAAGUUAGAGUUAUGAAUAAUCCAAACUCGUAUUAAUGUUUUCACGUAGGAGAAGUAUUGUUAUCAUUGUAUAACCGUGAAUAGACUUUAUUUGUAGAAGGAGAGUUAUAAUGUACUAGAUACGGACCUUUUUUGAUGUUUUAACUUUACGAAAAACAUAAAAAGAAUGAAAAUAUUUUUCACAUUAGUUUUUAAAUUUUUUUAGUAUAUAUUGGUGUAAGACUUAUUUUAGUAUAAUAAUCAAUUUUCUUACAUAAAUUGUGAUUAGUAUUACUACUUCAGUAAUGGUGUUUUAAAAUAGUCUAUUAAUUUUUUUAUUUUUCUAUAAAUAGUUCACUUUAAAUUAUUUUUAAUAUUAUAGUUAAUUAAAACAUAUAGAAUUGAUGUAAACUAUCUAUAUUAUUUAUAUUGUGUAAGAAAAUUCAAAAAAAAUCAAAAUUAAUGUUAGACGAUACUAAUACUCUCAAAAUUUUGCACAUGAUAUGCUAUCAAUAAAAAGGCCUCACUCAAGCAAAAUAAUGUUGGCUUCAAAUAAUGGUGAGGGUUAAAGGGUAUGAGAGUGCUAUUUGGGUAAACAAAGAUAUAGGUCGCUGCAAAGACCCCCUCUGGUGCUCUUUCUCGCCCAAAUGAUCACUUUCCUACUCCUUUUUUUUUUAUCCCAAAUGCCUCCAAAUACUUCGAAGAACUCCAAUGGAUACUCCCACACCUAAUAAAAACUUAUGCAAUGCAAAAGGGACCUAAAAAAUGCCUCAAUUCUAUUCUAAAUGAUCAAAAUGUAUAGGAAUGAAUGAUCAAAACAAUGUAAAUAUGCAAGAUAUUAGACACCAAUCAAUAUGCAUUAUUGAUAUUCAGCUAAAUAUCAAAUAUAUUGCUUGAUAACCAUCAAAUUUGUUUCCCGCUAUACCCUACCUUAGCAUCAAUAGUGUGACUAUAACCUCUUUCUAUAUAUCAUAUAUUUCUGAAUUUUUUUUGAUAUACAAUAUUUUGUAGAACACUAUUGUCGAUAUGUUUUGUGUCUACUUUAAAAAUUCUGAAUUCAUGCAGUUGUUGUGACUCUUUGAUAGUGAAGUGUACAAUUGUCCAUGAGAGAUCAUCUUGCAUCUGUUGAUGUGAGACUUGUUUUAGGAAUAAGAAUCUGUUGAUUAUUGAUCUCGGUUAGGAUUUUUCUGCUUCAGUAAUCAUGUUGUCUAGGCUAGUUAUUAGUUAAAUUUUUACAUUGCAAAUUUCUUUUCGAUGAUUUAAAUUCCUUAAUAACAUGACUGAAACAUCUAUUUUGAGAUCAAGUUCGUGAUUUGGAAUCCCUGAAAAAAUUAACAUAUUUAAAAAUCUGUGGGAUAUAGAAUAUGCUGAUUUAUAACUUCUUCUUUGUUGUUACCAAUACUAUCAGAACUCAAAUGUUCCUUUUGCUCACCGUCUAAGCACUUUAACAUAUAGUUAUCUAUUUUACCAACCCUUUCAUUCCUUAUUCUUUGGUGUAAGCAUUGCUUUUUUGAUGAGAUAAUUCUUGUCUUCAAAAGUAAAUUUGGAAAUCUUGAUAUAUAGACAUUGUAAUGCAUUCAAAAGGAGCUGCAUUCUUUUGCAAGAGCAAUUUGUUGUCUAUCAAAGAAGGUAAAUCAUGUGAACAUCAGUUUAGAUGUGAAAGGACAUGCAGAAAAUCUCACCUAAAUAGAAAAGUCGAUUAUUCAUAAUAAAUUAACAUUAACUUAACUACAACAAUAUAACGAAUUUAUAUUGUCGAUAAGAACAAACACAUAUAAGCAUAAUAGUCACAUUAACUUUUGUACAGCAGAAUAACUGCAUAACAUCUAUUUGACUAUAUGUACAAACGCCAAAGUGUAAUUGUGGCAAUAACUAACGUACAUCAUCAUUACAAUUAUGACAAAAAAAUCAACAUCAGUUUAAGAAGAAAAAAAAACAUGUGAAGAUCAGGAAACCUAGUUAUUUCAAUCAUAUGUUACAAUGCUAAAAAAAAAAUCAUCCUUUGUCGUUCACAUGGAUGCAGAGUUACCGAUCUGGUUUACAGAGUCAACAUGAGUUUGUAAAUUCUUUGCUGUCAAAAAAAAAUCAUAGUUUACAAUUAUUUUUUCUUUAGGAUUUUAGAAAAGGGAAAUUAAUAUUAAAUAAAUUAUUUUAUAAAUAUUUUUUUGUUUAGGAUUAACAAAAAGGAAAAUUUCUAGAAACAGCUACUAUUAAAUAAUUUUUGAAAUUAAUACUUACUAUUAAAUCAUUUUUAAAAUUCGUUUUUAUUAUCUUAGCAUAUAUAUAUUUAAUCAUGAGAGAUUUUAACACAUGUCGAUAUAUUAAAAGGAAACCCACUAUCACAUAAUUAUCUGCUUAAGAUUUUUAAAAAGAAAAAAUAUUAUUAAAUAAUAUUUACAUUUACUUUUUUACAAAUUUUUUUUUUUGUUAUUAUCUAAUUAUAUAUAUUUUUAAUUAGGAGAUAGUUUAACACAUAUCAUAAUUUUGAAUAUAUAUUUGCUACAUGUCACAAUCGUGUUAAUUAACAACUUUGAAAACCAAACUUUAUAUAAUAAGAUAACCAAAAUAUAAGGAAUGAUAAUUAUCUCUUAUUUCUCACGUUAGGUCCAAAUUUAAAUAAUAACUAAAUAAAAAGUAUGAUUCUAAAUUAAUAGAUUAGAUUAAGUGGAUGAAGUUGAAUGGGAAAAGAUCUGACUGUUUGCUCCAAGAAGGAAUGUAUGUACAUUCAUUUAACACACAAUAACUGCAAAUAGAGAUCAUAACAUUGAUAUGUUCCAUUUGUUGUUCAUUCAUCGAACAGGCUUUGUGUCGAAGCUGCUUAAACAAAUGGCAAAAGCUUGGAAUGCGGAGAUCGGGUAACGAUAAUCCAUGGUGAAUGUAUCUUUCCCUAUCUUCCCAAACUGCAGUAUCACUCUCUCUUGUUCCUCUUCAGGGAUGUUCAUGUCCUUCCCUGCUUCUGCAGCAGCAGCCAUUAGCUGGAAGUUUUUCACGGAGGCAACCGUGACUCGUCCUUUGAAGUUAAGACACCAGCACUGAAGCUGCUCGUGCCAUCUGGGCAACUUGUUUUUCAGGACUAAUGGUUCCUUCACGACGGAUUCUCCUCCCAAGUUCCCUGACCAGAAAUCAAUCAGCCCUCUCUUCUUCUUGCUUCCUAGGUUUGACAACUCGGUCGGAGUAUGAAUCUGUCCCCCUUCUUGAAUAGAAGAAACUGGGAUAGUGUUCAUGAUACAUUGCAUUCUUCUUGGACCUCUGGUUCUAAGGACAUUCAGCUCAUACAAGAUCGAAGCCAUGCUGUAACUGUGAGUAGAUGAAGUUACCCAUGGAGACACACGCAUCGUCUGUGAUAGUUUCUUGUUAAAUGAUCUUCGGGAAUCAACCGGAGAAGGUUGGUUUUCGUAAACCGUGAACUUAGUUCCAAGGAAAUUCGAUCUAUCCACCCAACAACAAGAAGGAAAGUUAUAAAUGUCAUGGCGAUAUUAAACGAUCAAAGAUGACAAAUAAGGUACCUUAGUUUCCCAAUAUAGUUACUGCUACUUCUUGAGAAGUCCUUUCCAGACAAAGAUACAAUAAACUCAACACCAGUCGCCCUCCUUACCCUCUUAGCCGAUAGCAAGAGCUUACUCUUGUCCCCGGUAAGCGCUGAAACCAUACAGACAUUAAGAUGACAACACAUAGUCCCAAGACUCACAAGAAGUAAGAGAAGUUAAAACUACCAGGGCUUAAACCAAGAUAGAGACGGUAUAUCCCAGUGGCUCUCUCCCGUUUGAUAAAGCAUUGAAUCGGAUCAUCUCUAGGGCCAGGCUGAGACAAGAACCCCCAAUGUCUUUUAGCUCAUCACUUCCAACGAUUACAAGAACGUUCUAGAAAGAGUAUAAACCUGUUUUAAUGAAACUGGAAAAGUGAGGAGACCAGAGAUCUCAGGAACCUUAACAACUUCUUUAGUCAUCUCCCUCCAGGCCUUACAAACCGAGGCGCAAGCAACAACGUCUCUCCUCCCCGGCCAUGAGGUCUGACCAGACUCGAUUCGAUGGAUGAUGUCAAGAAGCAGCUCCGGAGGCAAAUCAACCCAAACGCUCUGAUAUAAACAAUCAUCAGCAGCUGAUGGAGAAGGAGAAGAUCCUUCUGGAGCAAUGUGAGACCUUCCUCGUCUACCAUUGGCUUUGUUGUUACGACCCCUAAGCUCGCGUACUAUGUUCUUCAACGGCAUUUCUACAAUUCAACUUCUCCUACGGACCCCCAAAUCGAUCAAACGAAGCAAAAAAAAAAACCCUAAUUUGUACCUUCAACAAACGAACAAAGAUUAAAUCAUGAAAAGGGCAUUAUCGUGUAAUGAAAACGAGAGAGAGAGAGAGGGGAUGUAUGUACCUAGAGAAGCGACAAAUCCAUGGGGAAUCACGACGAUCGGGGUGAAUUCCGAUUAAGAAAGUCUCGAAUUGAGAAAUUUUAAAACGCUCCUUGAAAGUAAAUAGAGCCGCCACCACCACAACUCCUCCGAUGUUGUUAACCGUCGCCGUCGUUAGGUUUGAAUCCCGACGACGACAAUGAUUUCGAGGAGAAGGGAGAGAGAAAGAGGAGACGGGAAAGUUUCCGUUUUCUUUUUUAUUUAUUUAUUUAAUUAAUAAGAGUAGGCGCGGCCCCAUCUCUCCCUCCUUUCAAUUGAAAUUAGUAAAUUACUCAAAAUAGGUUUUUAUCUCUUUUUUUUAUUUUAUUCUCUUCCAUUUUGGUCAAAUUACUUUCUCACAAGUUUUUGUUUAAGUUAUUAACAUAAAAAGAAACUUUCUGUCUUUUUAUUACACCAUUAGACAGAUUUCACUACUGAGAUAGUUUGUGGAAGUAAAAUGACAACACUAACCCUAACAACACUCACCUUUUGUAGAUUGUGAAAAGCACACUAUCUCUUUUAUUCUUCUUUUAUUUACAGUCAUACUUUUUUUUAUAAAUAAAAUUGUUUUCUUCUUCUUUAUCUCUUUCAUCAUCUUCUUUUCUCUUUUCCUAUGUCGAUAAAGUGGUUAUGGAUCAAAUUAAACUGAUUUGAAACAAAGAAACAAAAAUCUAAGCGUGCAUACACCUCUCAAGUUCUGAUGGUGGAUUUUCUGAAUCAAAGUCUUAAUUCGUUGGUCUAUCUUAUUCUUCUCCAUCUCUACCUUCAUCCUCCACAAGAAUAACCACCAGAGAAAUAUCAUUAAAACGAGAUGUAGCCAUAAGUACAAAUGAAGGCAAAGAGAAAGUGGCUAAGAAACCCGAUGUAUCUCCACCUCCUGUUCAAUCUCCGUCUCAGCCGUAGAGGAAGCUAGAUGAUGUAAAUCCAGAGAGAUUGGAACUAAGUUGACCGCAGCUUGGCGAGGUAAGAUUACAUUUAAUAUAUUUGUUUUCUCCUGCUUAAUACUGAAUUUCAAUUAUAAAGUUGAUCUCUGAUUCCAAAAGAUGCAGCUUGCUUCCUUUAGAUUUGUUUUUUAUUUAUUUAUAUCAACUCAGCUUAUUAUGUAUUACCUUUGAAACUUAGCUUUAGAUGAUUCACAAAGUAUAUAUGAUUUUUGAAUCUAGUAUUUUGAAAUGACUUACAAAGCUAAUUCAGAUCUGUAUGGAUCCUAGAGAAACAUAAGGUUCUGAUUUUAUGUUAUAUUGUUAUAUGAUGUAUUUGUUUUGUUGGAAAUGUUGGUUUGAACGAUGUGUCUUGAUUGAAUUAUCUAUUAUUCUAUUUUUUUGUUCUUGGACGGACAACUCCAUAAUGUGGACAAGUAUUGGCAUGGAGUCAAAGACAAGAAGCUAUUCAUGUGUACGCCGCGUGUAAGUUGUCAAUGUGUACGCCUUGUGUAAAUUGUCCAUGUGGACAUCUCAGUUGUCCAUGUGGACAUCUCAGUUGUCCAUGUGAACGACAUUUGGUGGGAAUGUCUUGUACUAAGUAAUAUUAUUAUAAUUUUUUUGAUUGUGAAAGCCAUGUAUAAGAAAUAUCAGAUGUUGCAUUGUCCGUACAUAUAUUCUUGAACACUUGUUUGGUACCACAAAUGCCAGCUGUGGCGCAUCGACCAAAAAACGGGUACCCAUUGUGUAUGAGAGAUAUACAACAUUGAAGCUGGCUUAGUAAGAAGAUUUGGUAUGUUUUAGAGGAGAAGCAUUGUCCAAGUAAAAUAAACACUCGCAUUUUUUGUUUGCAAGUGUUUUACAUGUACAUGUACUCGUAGGUGUCCACAUGUACGCAUGCACGUUGAUGUACACAUGUAUACUGAUGUUUAGUCUUCAAGACUUGAUUCAAUCAUAUUUAUUUAUGGUGUAAUAGUUGCAAAUAACUUAAUAAAAUACAAAUCUUUCCAUCUGAUUCAUCCAAUUUUCUUUUGAUAUGGAAAGUUUGGUAUCCAAUUCGAUCUAUGUUGCUAAGAAGGAAAAAAAUUGGAGCUUUUACAUACGUAGUGAGGACUUUUUUUUUUGGACAAACCGUAGUGAGGACUCUCUUUGCUUCAUAUAAGUGAAAAAUUGUAAUGAAAGUUUAAGAAGGAUUAUUAUCAAAGAAUUUAUAUUUAUCUUACGUCUCUUUUUUAAACUGAUGUACACGUGGACAGUCAAACAUUGUGUACACAUGGAUAGUCAAAUAUAUAUUUACACGUCGAUGGUAUUUGUCAGUAUAUAUGUAAAACAUUCAAAUGCUUUCAUAUGUGUGUAUUAGAUUACUAAAUGUUAAUAUUCAUUGCAACGGCAAAUCAUUGUCCAUCUUUUACUCUUUUGUACACAUAAAUGUACAUGUAGAUACUGAGAAUUAUGCGUACAUGUGGAAUACUAUUUUGUAACAGUAUAUAUGUUGAUCAGUGAAAACACAUCAAGAGACGUAAGAUAAAUAUAAAAUAUUUGAUAAUAAUCCUUCUUAAAUUUCAAUUACAACUUUUGACUAUCUAUGUGUACACAAUGUUUGACUGUCUACGUGUACAUCAGUUUAAAAAAUGUACAUGUACACUGAUUACAAACCAAACAAUGAUCUGUGUAAUUCACAAAGACGAAUAUGUGCAUUCAAAAAUUACAAAUCUUUACACCUUUAACGAUGACAACCGGAGUCGUUGUUCAGUUCAAUCAUAACCGCUUCAUUGAAAUUAUAAGGAAGCAGCCAUAUGCACAAACCGAGUUCAUCGAAGUUAUCUAUCCAUCACCAGAACGAUGGUUAAAUCCACAGUGGAAGAUGAGACGAGGAUUCCAAACGUUGAUGUUGAUGAUUCCAUACAAACUUGAUAUCUCAUAAUCAUACCUCACAUUUACCUUCGUCAUCCUUGUCGUCGCCGUCUUCAUCAUCAACUCUGUCAUCCUCUAUUUCCUCAUCUUAUUCUUCUACUGGUUCUAUAUGAGGCCGACUAAGGGUUGUAAAAUCGAACUCCAUCGUCACGUGUUUUUCAUCUUUAUCAUAAUCUUCAUCUUCUUCUCCACAUGAUUUGUUUUACAGAAAAAAAAUUGUACGAGAAAGACAAGAAAAGAAUUUAAGAGAUAAGGAAAGAGAAAGAGAAAGAGAAAAAGAGAUUGAUUUAUGGCCACAUAAUUCUUUUUUUUGGUAUUUUUGUUAGAUUUAAAAGAAAAAUAAUGAGAAAGGGUAAUAAUGAAUUUUCAUACGCUGAAAAGAGGAGAGAAGGUGUUGAAAUGAGAGAAAAAGUGUGUAGGUAGUUGAAACUGUCCUAGAGUGAAAUAAUAAACUCAAAAACUGCCUUCUAGUGUAAAUCUUUCUUUUUGUUUUUGUAUUUUAUUCUUCCAACAAGAAAAUACUUUAAAGCAAAUCUCCUAAGAAAAACACCGAAAACCUUUUUUGACCAAAAAGACGCAAAAGGAAAAUGAUUUUAAAUAAAUUUAUUAAAGAGGUAAAUGACAAGUAUACCAUUACUUUAUAUACGGUAAAACUCUAUAAAUUAAUAAUGUUAAGACAAGGAUAUUUUAUUAAUUUAUAUAAUUAUUAAUAUAAAAUAAAUUUUAUUGUAUUAUUUGGUGUACAUAAAAUAUGUUUCAUAUAAUUGAAGUGUUUUUCAAGAUGUAAUUUUACUAAAUGUUAUCAGAAUAUAUUAAAAAUGUUAAGAAAACAUAGAUAAAUUCUAUUGCUGAUAUAAAAUAAACAAUAUAUUAAUGUGUUUAUUAAUUUACUGAGUAUUAAUUUAUAUAGUUUCUACUGUAUAUAAAUAUAAAUAAAUAAUAAAAUAUUAUUUCCCAAAAGAAAUUUAUUCAAUAUUCAAAAACCUUUUUCAAACACAAAUUUCAAAUUUUCUUCUUUUUUCCAAAUUUUAUAUCGAAAUGUGAAAAUUCUUUAUUGAAAAUUUAAAAUUAUUAUUUAAAAUUUUAAAUCUUAAACUUUAAAUCCUAAACCCUAUCCCCAAACAUUACCCCUAAAUUUAAACCCUAAGUUUAGAUUAUUUAACCAUAAGGGUAAACUUAUCUAUUACUUCUUUAAUAAAAUAUUUGAUUAUUUUGAUCCUUGUAAGCUAUUUUGUGAUUAAAAAAUUAAUGCUAUCAUAUGGUUUAUCUAUUGGCCAUAUUAAAAGAGUAUUUUUAUUAUAAGAAAUUGAGAAAUACUCUAUGAUAAAUAUACAAAACUUUAUCACAAAAAUAGUUCUAAAAGUCAAAAUGAUCAAAAUAUGUUUUAUUAACGAGAUAAAAGAUAUUUUUACUGUUACAGUUAACUAAGUUUUUUAACACUGGUUAGUUAUGCUAUUACAAACUAUGAAAAACAUUACAUAUACGAUAUUACAGCCGACAAUUAUGUUUGUCUUAUGAGGAUUCAUGUCUGACUACAUCACCUAGAGUCGCCCUAUGAGAUCCAUUCCUGAUGGUACUCUUUGCGCCAUGUCGAAGAUCUCUUAUAAGCUUUUUCUCUAAUAUUCUGCAUAAUUUGCCUUCUACAGAAAUUGAAACUCAGAUCUCCUGAUUUAAAAACAUUAAUGAACCUUUAGUUAAACCACUGGUUCAAAGGGGCUUACGGUCAACUAAUCUAGACUAGGUUUUAGUUAGGGAGAUAGGUUUAUAGUGUUUAUAAAUUUAAAAUAAUAAUUUUUUUAAAAAAUAGGAAAAAAGUUAGGAAAAAAAUAAUCAUAGAGAACUGAUGUGUGGCGUCUAGAACGUGCACCUUGAAAACCAGCCCUUCAAAAAAUUUCAAUAAAAUCCAUGAGUCCUUCCUUUGCCUUGCAACAUCUUCUUCCACAGGUCAAUAGUUGAAACUCUUUCCGGAUGAACGUUGAAUAAUGCUUGAGAAACUAGGUUUACACAUCGGGAAAAUGUCGAUGGAAUUCUCUAUGAGCCUUGAGAACCAAGUCAAAGCCGGUCCGUUAAGAAUUUCCACGAACAAUUAAUAGUAUACUGCAUCUUUCUCUUCGACGGUAAAGUGUGCUUGUCCCACGGUUAUAUUGGACAUGGUCAUGUGAUCACUAGGAUCAGAUUCGCCUGAGAAAGAGGGAUCUUUAGCAUAUAUGUAGGACGAACUCGGCCAUUUUUUGGCAAGGGUGUCUUCUGUUUUUCUUUGAGGACACGCUCUAGCUCAGGAGCCGAACUCGUUACAGGUGAAAUUUUGACGAGCCAUCCAGUAUUGUGUCCCGAAGAACUUUGAUUUUUUGAAUCGUUGCCUGGUUGGUUUGAUGUGUCUGUUGAUUAAGAUAUUCCAUUAGUUUUUGCGUCAAUGUCAUCGUGGUGGUGACAUCCACAACCGGAAGGAUAGUGCAUGUCCCUCUUCGAUCAUCGUCUCCAGCCAUCUCUGAUAUUUCCUGGCAUUGCUUUGUAAUUCCACUCAAACGACGCCAAUCGUUUCAUCUCUUAACAUCGCCCAAGAAACACUUUCUAUCCUAUUCAUCAUCUCCCGCAACACUCCUCUCUCUCUCUAGCAUCACCUCUACACUCCUCUCUCCGGGCCAGGAUUGCCCAUAUGUCUCCUUACUCCUCAAAGGUGCCCAUACCUCCUCAUAACUCCUCAGCAUCACCCACUUCUCCAUUUGUCGUGUUCUUGCUCGAAUCUUGAUCGUUCUUCGUUUUAUCGCAAUCGUAGUUGUUGUUGAGAUUUUUUUCAAAAAAGUUAAUUUGUUUUUAGUUUUUGUAAAAUCUAGCCAACUGUAGAGUUGGAAACUGUUAUUUUAAACAUCUAAUAUGUUUUAGACAAAAUAAAAUGAUUUUUCUCUUUGUAAACUAACAGCACAAAAAAUGCAAUUCGGAGCAAAACGACGAUAUUUCCAAGAAUAGUCAGCGAAACCUUAAUUCUCAAAACAGUCCAAAACAAUCUAAAGCACGAAACAGAACUUUUCACUUAACGUGUAAAGUAACCAAAUAUUAAUGACAUUUUACUUUACUUAGAGAGGAAUAAAGAAGAAAUUAAGAUAAUGAAAGAUUUUCGAAAGAGAUAAACUCGACUCUCGACAAAGAAAGGAAAAUAUCAGAGGAAAUAUGGAAACAAAGCAGAUGUGGAUCAAUGGCAAUAUGGUCGGCCUUGGAAGAAUAUAUAAACAAGGCUAGGCCAGAGAAAAAGGGGGCAAAAAAUUAGCUCUCGAAAGUCUAUGCACUAAAGAAACCUUAAGUUUUAUUUUUGUCUGUUUGCUAAUGAGCUGCAACCCACCUAGGAUUUCUAGGCUUAUGUGGUUAGUCUAGCGAACUUAGAUAGAUUUCGCUACUUUCGCUUAUUCGACUUCCGUUGUAAUUUUGCUAUCCAGAUCUCCUAGUAUAUAAGCAUUAAUGAUAUGUGAUGUCUAAAACGUGCACCUUGAACAAAAUUUUGGUUUGGGUUUAGUUUGGGUUUCAAGUUCAGGUUUUUUUGCUGAGGCCUAACCCUACCAACAUAAGAGAGUUUAAGUGAGGAAAUUUUAUUUAUCAAUUUUGUUUCCUAAGAUUAUCAUAUAGUUCUUCAGACAAGUGUAGAAAGGGCAGAAGAAAAGUAAAAUUAAUUCAAAUAUACAAUAAGCAUCAACUAACAUCGACUUAGAAACAAAAUUCCACAUUGACUUAGUGAACAUAUGCAUCCCAAUCCUAAAAUUGUAAACUCUAUGUUUCAUACGUUUACGAUUAGAUUAUAGGUCAAAUACAUAAGGACAAUAAUAUUUAUGUAUAAAUAUAAACUAGGUGUUUGCCCGCAAUUUUGCGGAUAGUUAUAUUAUAUAAAGAUAUAUAUCUUAACUUUACACUGUUAUAUUUUUUGAAUAAUAAUUAGAAAUUUAAAAUAUUUGGAUAAUCAAAUAUUUGGAUAAUCAAAAAUUUGGAUAAUCAAAAAUUUCAGUAUAUAUUUUUAGAAAAUAUGUGAAAUUUAAAAUAGUUCAAAAACAUAAACCUUAGUCAUUAAAAUUUUUUCUCUUACAGAAAAGAAUAUUAUAAUUAAUUCAGAUAAUUGGUGGUAAAAUUACUUUAUAUUUUAGUUUAACACAUGAAAAACCGAAAAUACUCUAGCUCUCAAGAGAGAGAAAAAAAAAGAGUGCAUUUUUUGUGUAACUUCAAUAUGACCAAUACAAUGAUCGUAGGCUUUUAUCAUGAAAGAUCUUUUGUAAACAGUUUUGUGUGGGCUUUAAAAACAUAAAAUUUAUAAUAAUUUCUUACCUACAAAUAUAAUUCUUUUAUAUAAUAAUAUAUAACCAUUGAAUUUAUUUUCUAUAAAAAUACUAAAGUAGUUUGUUUAAUUAUAUAUAACUAAUUGAUAAAAAUAAAGAAAUUGAUAUAACAUACAUAUAUAUAUAUAUAUAUAUAUAUAUUCUUUCUCUAAUUCUACAAUUAGUUACCAUAAAUCAUUAUUUGUACUAUCAUUUGUGUUAUUUGGUAAUUUGUACUAAUUAGUUCUAGAGUUACCUUUUAUUUUUAGAUCUGAUUAAAAAAAUAACUAAUAAAUUUUAACAACCAAUCAAAUUAUAACUAUUUUUAAAAAAUAAACCUAUUAAAGACACAUAAUCAAAAGUUUAUUAAAUGACUUCUCAAUUAAUAUAUGGUAGGAUUUAUCUCUUUAAAACCAAGGAUUAAUUUGGUUAAGUUAAACAUAAAAACAUGUAUUAGAAAAUGGUAGUUUAAGCAAUUUUCUCAUAAUUUGUCCCAAAUCACACUUUCUCACUCAUUAUUUUUAAUUUAGUGUUUAACAUAAAACUCACUAUUUUAUCAAACAUUAACUCAUUCAACCAAAUGCUUUUAAUUAAAACUAAUCAUAGUUUACAUAUCUUUUAAAAUUAUUGUUUUAAUUUAUUUUAAAUUAAAUUAAAACAUAUCUAUAUUAAUUAAAUCUAUUAACUAAUAAAAAAAAAUAUUUCAAUUUUUAAAUAACUAAAUGUCGUUAUUUUAGGCAUAUAUACUUAAUAUUAAUGUGAGAUCCAAUAUUAUAUGAAAUAAAAUGUUUUUUAUUUGUAUACAUUUUGUUAAAAUUUUAUUAUCGUACAUUUUAAAAGUUUAUUAUAGUUUAAAAAAUACAUCUCACUAAUAUUUUAAAUAAUUUUUUAUUACUUUCAAUUUACAUUAUAUUUUUCAUCUUUGACUUUAACAAUUGUAGAGAUGGUCAUUUUUAUUGAACUUCCUUAAUAAAUUUAUAUCACAUUGUCUUUAGAAAAUAAUUGGAAUUUUUUUAGAAUUAUAUAUUUGACUGUUUUGCAUUCAUUUGACACAUUUUUAUACUAUAUAUAUAGUGAAUAAGUGAAUUUAAUUAAUAUUAUUAAGUUUAGAUUAAUUAGUUUUCUAAAAUAUAUGAUUUAUUUUAUUCACUGCUAAUAUAAAGAUAAUAAAAACCGUUUUUCUAAUUGUUUCUAUAGUAUCAUAUGUAUUUAUAUGUAUCUUAUCAAUUUAUAUAAUGUAAUCUAGAUAUUUAAUUAUUUCUAUAAAAAAAUUAUGUUAAUUCAUCUAUAUUUAAGAUGCUAAAUUGUAUGUUUGGAAAGAUAGAUUAGAUUAGAUAAUUCUAUGAAUAUUUUCAUUUUAAAAACUUUCAUUAAAUAAAUUAAAAAUUAUCAACCAAUCAAAUUAUAACAAUUAAUCUUAUAUAUUAAAAAAGAAGUCAUGACUUCUUUCAUGUGUGAUUUUUUUUUUUUUUGGACCAUCACUUAGAAAUCUUAUUAAAUGUAUUUUAUUAAGAAUAAUAAUACAUAGAAUCUUUAAAAUACUUUAAUCAUAAUAUCUUUUGAUAUCUUUUUAUUUAAAAUAUAAAUAUAUUUAUUUUAAAAAUCUAACAAAUCUGUUUUAAAAGAUUUUUACAAGAUCUUCAUUUUCGAAAUUAUAUUUAAAUAUUUUUCAUUAAUUUCGAAAUUAGUUUGAAAUAUUAUUAUACAUUAAUAAAUUCACUAAUCAUUUAUAAAAUAAAAAAUAAAAAAUUCUGUAAUAUUUUAUAUAUUAUAUAAUCAUGAUCAAUCAUAUUAAAAGAAAAUUAUUAUAUUGAGCUAAGUAUAAUAAAAUUGUAUUAAAUUUAUAAAUUUUAUUUUCAUAAGUAUAAAAUAUUUAUGUUCAAAAAUAAAAUCUAAUAUGUUGGUAAGAUGGAUUAAGCAAAAUAUAUAAUACAUGUAUAAAAAUUAACAUGUAUUUCUUUAAAGCUUAUAAUAUAAAAUCUUUGUCACUACUUUAAUCAUAAUAUAUUUUCAUUUUAAAUAAAAUAUAUAUUUAUAUAUUAUAUUUAAAAAUUCUAAUAAAUCUGUGUAAAAUUAUUUUAACAAUAAUUUAAUAUAUUUUAAGUUAUCGUUUAUAAAAUAAAAAUAAAUAAAUUAUAUCCUAUUUUACCCACUUUAUAGUCAUGAUCAUGUUAAAAUAUAAUUAUUAUACUUAAAUAAAUAUGAUAAAAGUAAAUUCAAUUGAUAAAUUUAUAAAUUUUAUUUUCAUAAAUAUAAAUUAUUUAUUUUAAAAAUAUAAUAUGAUGAUUGAACGCCUUAAAAUUAACAAACCUUAUAAUACAUGUCUAAAAAUUAACAUAUCUUAGACUUUUGUAUAUACAAUAAUAUAUUAUCUAAAAUGAAUAAGCAUAAAAAAUAUUAGUAAAAAGAAAUACAGCUUUGAAACACGGAUCAGAAUUUAGCAUAAAUUAAAUACAAAAUAAUUUUCAAAUAUGUUUUCUCAUGAAUAUAAUAAUUUGCUUAAUAACUAAAUGCAAAUACAAUAAGAUAAAUAUAUAAUAAGAAGUGAAAAUACAUACGGUUUUAACCAAAUGAUUAAUUAUAACAUGUAAAUUAUAAAAUUAUUAUAUUUGAAAUAGUUAUAUAAACAUUUAAGUACUAGUGGUUGGCCCGCCCUACGGGCGGGUUAGUUUACGCUAAAACUAUUGUAUAUGAAAAUAUAUAUUAAUUUUAUAAAUUUUUUAAAAUUUACUUUAAAAUAAAAUAAUAAAUAUAAUAUUUUUUUAAAAAAAAUCAAAUUGUAUUUAUUAAUAUUUUUUAGUUUGAGUUGAAAAGACCUCUACCAUUUUUUGGUUAUAGAUUACAAAAUUAUGAAAUUAAAAAAUUAAGAAAAUGUAAUGAUUUAUAUUUCUAUUUUAUUUCUAUUUCACUUUGAUAUAGUUGAAGAAAAUCUAAAGUAAGAAUAACAUUUUUAAAAAAAAUUCUAAGAGUAUAAUUAUAAUACUAUUACAAUUAAUUAUCGUCUCCCGAUUAUAAAUUAAUCCACUUCCAAGCUAAAUCAAUUGAAAAUAUAAUGUAAUGUAAUAAAAUUAUAAAAUGUUAUAUUUUAAUGUAAUAUAUAAAUAGUUUCAAUAAUUUCACAAAUAACAAUUAAUCUAUAUUAUUUAACAACAAAAUGAUGUUUUAAAACAAACCAAACCAGAACCAAAGUGGACCCAAUAUUUAUUAGUCAGUUUCUACUAUUGUUGUCCAACUGGAACAAAAACAUUAACAGACAAAUUGAAAUUCAUAAAUAGUCAGUUUCAUUGUUCAUUGUCUAAACACAACAUGAAACACUUUGGUUGCCUCUAUACCAUUUGGUUUUCGGUUCGAUUAUGGUUUUUGUUGGUUUUCCGGUUCUAAAGAUAUAGGUUACCGUUCAAUUAUUUAUGAAUUUCACUUUCGCUAUUUUGGUUUUUGUUCCAGUUUGGAUAACAAUAGUAGAAACUGAAUAAUAAAUUUUGGGUCCAUUUUGGUUCUGGUUUGUUUGUUUUUUCGGAUAAUUCUAGAUAAAUCGGGAAAUUGGAGAUCUUUGUAUUUUUCAGAUAAAAUAUCAGAUAAUUAAAAAAUAUUCUACAUUCUUUUGGGUUAUUCAGAUAUUUUAGUUACUUUGGAUAAAAAAUAUUUGAUUUUUUUCGAGUAGUUUGAUUUAUAUGUAAUAUUUUUAGAAUAUUUGGUAAUUUAUAAACUUAAUGUAAUUAAUAUUUUAAGCAUAUGAAAUGAAAUUUAAAUUUUCUGAUUUGAUUUUUUGAUUCAAUUCCGGUUUGGUUUUCGAUUCUCGUUUAUAUACCUAGACAUAGUUGCUUUAAGCUUUUACACAAACACACAAAAGAGACUAUUUGAAAAUAAAUAUCUAGAAAGUAUAACAAUAAUCUGUAUGCAAUGGGUAUAAAAAAGAAAUGCGGGCUUUCCUCCCUCAUGAACUAACAAUACUACAAUAACUUAAAGACUCUUCUUUUGGAAUAGAUGGAUCUGGUCUUCCUCAAGUACUUCAAGCAUUACCCAAAAGAGUAAACAUCAGACUUCCCAGUCAAUUGUUAUCUUGUACUGGUCUGGAUCAAGAUAAUGAAUCUUCCUAUACCGUCAUACUCACACGUGUCUGGUCAAGAUCUGGACGUCUUAAACAAUCCAAAUUCUGAAACUUUGUCCAUGAAAUUCUCAUCGAAGAGAAUGUUAUCAUACUUCAUAUCGCGGUGGAUGAUACCUCUUGCGGAAUCUGUAUGGAUAUAGUGCAGGCCUCUAGCUGCACCAAGACAUAUCUCAAGCUUCUGUCUCCAGCUCAACCUUGGGCGAUCCAAGUCAUGCACAAUAGUCCUCUUAUUGUUCUCACUGCAAUGCCCGAUUAAAGAAACCAAAUGCAUGUGUAUGAACUGGGACAACAUUUCGAUCACUGUCCUGAAUUUAUUGAUGUAAAGCUAUAGCUGGUUAGUAUAUGUAUUUGAAAAAACCAUUACCUACUGUGGUUGAAGAUUCUUACGGUCCAAUCAGAUUGAUUGCUUCUGGUGGUAGACCAUAUAAUUAAAAAGCCUACUUUCCUCGUUUGCCUUGUAUCUCAAGGACCUCCUGCACUCAAAAACAGAGAACAGUUCGAUUCAAUUAAUUUUUAACACAUUGAGUCAUUCGUUAAUGCAAAAGUGGAACUUUUUGUGGAAGUAAUUCUUGAUUGUAUUACUGAUGAAGCGCUCAGGUGCUUAAUUUCAUUUUCUCCACGUCCCUAAUACUCGAUACCACAUCAUCAUCACACCUGAAAAAAGAGGAAACUUAAAAGAUUAAUAUGUGCCUCCAAAAAUUCAUAUAAUUCAGAGACUCAUGAAGAAACAAGACUUCAAAUGAUGCUAGCCUUCUUUUGACACUAAACACAGUUGGAGUGUUGUCAAGCAGUGGGUUUCCUUUGGGAAGUUCCUCUUCUUUGGCGUUUAGCUCUUCAUUUGCUGCUGCUUUUCCUGGAAAAAUGUAAAUAAUAAAUAUUAAGAUACAACUUUCAUAUGUCAAUGUGUUUAGAAAAAACUAACGUAGUCAUUUUGUUAUAAUUGUAAUCUGAAAUCAUCUCACAGACAAGAACACAUACCUUCCUGAGCCUCUUUAUUUAUUUAUCUGGUCUAGUUCAGCCAUAAGAGAUCCAGUCUCAUCCUCAUCAUCGUCACUUUCUUUAUAUUUAAGAAAGACAACCAGAUCGUAAGAUAACUCAAAGGAAAUUACAAGUCUCAGUUGAUAUAAGUCAUCAAAAACUCUCAAAAAGGAUAACACUGAAGCAAUUGCAUAUUCCCAAACCAGGGCUCUGAGGAAAAGCAUUAAAUCUCAAGCAAAGAAUCUUUAGAAGUUUAAAGCACAAAAGAUGAACUGCAAUAGGAAGGAAAGAAUGGAAAAUAGGUACCUAUCAUCAUCAUCAGAAUCAUCUUCAGAGUCCCUUUUAGAGCCUAAAAGCAGGAUAUCAGAGUUAGAAUUUAGAAAACAUAUAAUCAAACUACUUGUAUCCCGUGACAUAUAAUCAAAUAAACAUAUAAACCUUCGAGUAAUAGCUGAUUCCCUCUCCUGUAGUAGCUUUCAACUAAUGACAAAAAAAAAACACAUUAGUGAAACGAAGGAAGAAUCUUUACAAAAUCAUAUUGAAAAAAAGGUUUGAAAUUUAUCGUCUCACUCAUCACAGUGAGAUUUUUCUUUGGAAGAAAAGUUUCUCCUCUCACGCUCUUCAAGUCAUCACGAAGUUUCUUCUUCUAUAGAACAUCAAGAACUGAUCUCGGUGGUGUUUGAGCAACGGCCUGCUUUCAGAUUUGCGAGAAGAACGUAGGAAGUCGACAUAGUGGGCGGUGAUGCUUGGCAGAGUAUAAUCUUUGAGAAAUCUUAGCGGUGGAGCUGUUCAUGGCAUCUAACGGAGACAUUUAUAGUCUGAAGUCGUACCGAACUCAAACAUGCAUCGCUUACCUUCGUCGCCAAUUAUAAUACAUAAAUGAGGCGGAGUGGGAGGAGAUGUAUGGUGGUGUUAAAUGCUCAUUUUAAUGGUGGACUUAAAAAACGAAUCUGUUACCCAAAGUUUUCAUCGGAUGGAAGAGAAGCGAAAGGAUUAGGGCGUCUCAGUCGAGGAUCAUAAAAACUUAGUCAAACACGGGCCCACGCAUCUGAUACUUAUAAAGACCAAAUUAAAAUAAAAGCCCAUUCACCGAGAGACGAAAAUUUUAGGAGUCGAAGGUUAAGAUGCCACGUGGUGCAAAACGCCCACCUCUAAAAAAAAGACGUGGAGGGCUAAGGUGAGAGAAAACUCUGUUUUUAGGAGUCGAAGGUUAAGAUGCCACGUGGCGCAAAACGCCCACCUCUAAAAAAAGGACGUGGAGGGCUAAGGUGAGAGAAAACUCUGUUUUAUUAUUAUAGAUAUGAUUAAUGUUAAAAAAAUAUCACUAAUGUUUAAAAAUAAUAAUUUAUGUAUAAAAAAGUAAAAACAAACACCCGCGCGGUUGCGCGGAUCAAAAUCUAGUUAAAGAGUUAUUAUAUGAGAGACACGUUAUCAGAAAUCACUAAAGUGACUUCUCAAUUAAUAUAUAUGAAGAUAUUAAUCUACUAUAUAUUAAUUUUGGAGCAUUACAACUUUUGAGUGUAGCCAUAUUGACUUACAAUCCUUCGCAUAUAUAUGACAAUUAAUGAUUUUGAAUAAUAAAGAUUUGAUAAUAUUUUUUGUAUCCUCAAUAAUUUUUGUUUAAUUUAUAUUAUUAAAAAAUUUAAACAAUCACAGUAACCAUAUAAUAAAAAAAUCUAGAUUUUGUUUCUUAUAUGUUAUAUUUAAAAAAAUUUAAAACGAUUAUAAAUUACUAAAACUGUUAAAAGUCUUACAAUGAAAAUUUUGUGAACAACGGUUUUAGUUUUUUGUUAUAAAAAGAUACAAAUGAUCACAAAACAUAUCAAUAUAAAGUAUCAUUUAAAUAGAUAUUCAAUCUGAAUAUCUAUUACCGAGCUUAGAACUUUAGGGUUUAGUUAUAAUCUGAACGAAACCAAAAUCCUAACUAUAAUCCAAAGAUAUCAGAAAUUAGUAUAAUAUGUUAAUGUUUUUUUUAUAUAUGUUAAGGCAAUUUAGAUAUUUUAUAGUUCGAAAGAUUUUUGUAGUUUAUUUUAUUUGUUAUCUUGAAUAUCUUUUAGUUAAUUUAGAUAGUUUAACUAAUUUUAAUUAUAUUUAUGAAUAAUUUUAACAUUUUGAAGCUUUUUUCAAUUUUUGAGGUUUAAAAAUAUAUUUUGGGACGAUUCAGAUAUUGGUUACAAUCCGGUCCGAACCGAACCCGGCCUAAUUAUUAGUAAAACCCGAGUGGGACGUAUAAGCAUAAUAUCAAAAUUUUGAAAAUCUGAAUCAAUUGAACCGAAACCGACGGACCCCGAACGCCCAGACCUAUGAUACAUUUAUAUACAAACAUUUGUAUUCUUCAUUUUACAAUCGAUAAAGAUUAUAAUAUUGUAAAAUGUUAUAACCAUUAAAUAAAUAAAUAUUAGUAUAAAAAUCUUACUCCGCGCCGAUUAUCAUCUAGUAAUAUUAUUUGCCAAAAUCAAUAUACAAGGACAUAAAUAUUAAUUCAUAAAUAUAUUAUAUUUAUGAUUUUACCCUAAAAAUUUUUAAAACUAAAAUAAUUUUCUAGCCAGGUUUUUUGUUAUUUUCGUGUUAUAGGGGAGAAAAUGGUAUUUGAGAAUAUUUUAAAAAAUAAAAAAAACAGCAGAAAGUAGAUAAUUGGUUCGAAAUGUCGUUUUAAUAGGUUCAGCGCCAACAAUCAGUCAGGAAACUAUAACUUCACCUUCCAUUCUCUCUAUCUUCUUUUCAAUCAUCUCCAGAAUGGAAUAAACAAUUAGGUAGUUUCGAUUCGAUGCUGCUCAGCUCAUGUCUUCUUACACCAUCAAAGAAACAAUGGCGACUAAAGAUGAAGUCCAGAACGACCCACUGUUGCAGGCAUCAGAAAGUGACGGUCACGAAGAGUUCAACGGAGCUUCUUUCACCGGAGCGGUACUCAACCUGGCAACAGCGAUCAUCGGUGCUGGUAUCAUGGCUUUGCCCGCCACGAUGAAGAUCCUCGGACUUGUUCCCGGAAUCGUGAUGAUCCUUCUCAUGGCUUUCUUGACCGACAAGACUAUUGACUUCUUGCUUAGUUUUAGCGGAGUCGGGAACGCUAGAAGAUCGUACGGUGGUUUGAUGGAAGAUUCUUUCGGCAAAACCGGAAGGAUUGUGUUGCAAGUUGCUGUUCUUGUUACCAACAUUGGGGUUUUGAUCGUUUACAUGAUCAUCAUUGGUACUUGAUCUUUGAUACUAAUCAGAGCUUUUGAUCUUUGGCAUUUGUUUUAACUCUUGUUUGGCUUGAAGGUGAUGUUUUGGAGGGUAUGCUUGAAGGAUGGUUUGGAGAAAGCUGGUGGGACAAGAGAAGUAUUGUUCUUCUCUUUACAACUCUUUGUGUCUUUGCUCCAUUGGCAUCCUUCAAGCGCAUUGGUUAGAACAAUGUGUUGCAUACUUCUCUUAAAAUGAAAUGGAGAGUGUAUCCGGUUGAUUUAUUAUGGCUUCAUUGCAGAUACUUUGAGAUUCACGUCUGCCCUAUCACUUGUUCUAGCGGUUGUUUUUCUAGUCAUCACUGCGGGAAUCGUCGUUACAAAGUUUUACAGAGGUGGUUUGAUGAAGCCAAGACUCUUCCCAAACGUCACUGACUUGUCAUCGGUCUGGAAACUCUUCACCGUUGUUCCUGUGCUUGUCAACGCAUACAUUUGUCAUUCUAACGGUAACGCUUCUUUCUCACUAAAAGGAUUAAACAGGAACUCAUGGUUUUUUGAUGUUUUCAGUCCACAAUAUACAGAACGAGCUUGAAGACUCCAUUCAGAUCAAAGCUGUUGUGCGUUCAGCUCUAGUGAUGUCCUCCUCUGUUUACGUAAUGACAAGCUUGUUCGGAUACCUCUUGUUUGGUGAAUCUACUCUUGAUGAUGUUCUUGCAAACUUUGAUACCGAUCUUAAGAUCCCUUUCGGUCCGGUUCUCAGUGAGGCAGUCAGACUCAGCUAUGCAGCUCAUCUCAUGCUUGUGUUCCCUGUUAUCUUCUAUCCUUUGCGCGUUAACCUGGACGGUCUCUUGUUCCCUACGGCUACUCCAUCACUUACUACCUCUAAUAUGAGGUUUGGCUCCAUCACUGCCGGUCUCAUUGCUGUAAUCUUUGUUGGUGCAAACUUCAUUCCAAGCAUCUGGGAUGCUUUCCAACUCACUGGAGCUACAACUUCUGUCUGCAUCGGUUUCAUAUUCCCUGCUGCUGUCAUCUUGAAGUAAGUCCCCAUUGUUUCUCAUAACAGACUGGUUUUGGAACCUAAUGGAUCAUUUUACCUGAGGGUAUCUCUUCAGGGAUCGUCAUAACCGAGCAACAAAGAUGGACAAGACUAUAGCCAUUUUCGUGAUUGUCCUUGCGGUUUUCUCCAGUGCAGUUGCCAUUUACAGUGACGCUUACGCCUUAGUCAAGAAGAACAAAUCCACAUUUCCAAUGUGAGCAGAAUGGUUUUGUUUGGUUCUCUUACUCUAAGAAAAAAAAAAAACUUGACAACUGUAAGAAUGACCCCUGUGAUUUUGAUCUUUAGAUCUUGUUCAGCUCUAGAUCAAAUAAAAAUGUCAGAAGCGUCCAUGUCUAGAUCAUAUUUGGCCCUAGAACAAUAUCCAAAUUAAAAUACUGUGUUGAACUGAUACAAUUUGUCACUGUGAAUCUUUAAGAUACAGACAAAAAAACAGCAACAAGUGUCUAUUAGGAGUCGUUGGGACAACUCAAAACAAAACAAAAGAGUUAUAAAGAAUAAAAGGUUUACUUUUAGGAAUUUGACUUAUCUCCAUCGCUGGAGUCAGCCGGAGAAGGGAAGCAUUGGCAAUAUCCAUUAAUGCUAUUUCUUGAACUGCUCUGAUCUGAUCACUUUUCUCAAACUCUUUCUUCUUCAGUGCAGCGAAGAGAAGUUAAACAAAGAUGAGAGAUGUUACAGUCACAAGUGAAUAUAAAUCAGUGCAAAAGCUAAAAAAAAUGUUAAAAAACAUAUCUCAAGUAAGCACUGCACCUGAUAAACAUAAUAGAAAGCUUCUGACUAACUGUCUAGCUAAGAAAACUCAGAGGAGACGGGUAGUGUGCACUCAUCAAGAAGUGCCUCAGAGCCAAUGGAUGGUAACUUUCUGUGAUCUACACAAGAUUGAAACAAAAAGACGGAUCAGAACCUGUCAACAAUUCUGCGUUUAGGCCAUGCGAACAAUGAGUUACUAUAUUUGGAAAGAAAAUAGAACAAUACUCAACGGGUUCUCCACACUCUCAUUAGCACGUAUGAUUAUAAGCAAAUUAACUUCAUAACCUAAAUGCUUCAAGUAUCAACGCAAACCCAUGAUAUGUGCAAAGGCUCAAGCUUUCUUUUCUACGAAUCUAAGUUACGAGAGAUGGGAGAAUUGAAAGCAUGCAUCUAGACCUGUAGAGAACGUCGAAGGAGACGACGGAGGCGCGAGCAUGGCCGACUUUUCGCGUGCCCCAAUGUGAAAUGUAGAAUCUCCUAUGGAUUCCUAGAGUCUCAUAUACCCCUAUUUCAUAAUUAUUUUUUUGAUCAAAAUCCAAACUUUCAAAUCAAAUCCUUCCAGGUCAUCAAAACUAAACCCUAACCCUCCCCUAUAAAUUAGUGAACCCAUGGACAAAUAUUUAAAUUCAGAAUAAAAUAUUUUAAAAUCAUUUUUAAUCAUAUUUUGAUGAUUUUUUUGAAAAUAUGGAAAACAACGUUUUUGGAUUUUUGAAAUAUUUUUAUCAAAUUCUAUAAAUCAAAUAAAAAAUAUUAACGUUUCAAUUUUAAUUUUAUGAUUUUUAGUUUGACAUAUAAAAUUAAAAGAACAAAAAGAUCCUUUUGAGAUUGUGUUAUGAGAUAUAAGGGUAUGAGAAGAUUUGUCUCUCUUUGCGGUUAGAAAAUGUAGGAACUGUGACCAAGAUCUAUAGGUGGGAUCCACUCUGUUUCUCCUUGAGCCAUCUUUUUUUUAAUGCUAGUUUAUUAUGAUAUUACAAUUAUGAAAAAAAUUAUAUAGACGAUUCGACAACCAACAAUACUACUUGCCUUAUGAGGAUUUAUGCAUAACUGCAUCAUGCCUUAUGAGGAUUUAUGCAUAACUGCAUCACCUCAGCCGUCCUAUGAAAAUCCACGUUUGGCCGAAUUUAUUUGCGCCAUGUUAAAAAUCCCUUGUAAGCUUUUUUCCGUAAUUUGUAUAAUUGUUUAAUAAAUCGUUUUUUCCGGGAAUUGAAAGUGGACCUCAUGUAAUAUGCAAAAAUUUGCAUAGAGAUUCGAACCCAAACAUGGAUGUAGAAACCUUUAAACAUUAACCAUAUGAUAUAGUGCUUCCACUAAACCAUCUAUCUAAGAUCCUGUUUCAAAGAAAAACUAAAACUUUAAAUAUUUGAUUUCAAUUAUAUACUCCAACAAAAGUUUAUAACUUUAAAUUUUAAAGUUUUGAAUAGUUAAACUUUAAUUUGAGAUUUUAUAUUUUAAAGUUUUAAAAAAAUUAUCUGUUUUCUAAAUAAUCUUGUUAAGUUUCAAUAUUAUCAUUUUAGUUCUUAUAAUUUCUAUAUUUCAUUAAUAUUUUACAUAUAAAAUACUGAUUUGGUUUGCAACUUAUAUCUAACUAAUAAAUAAAUUUAUAUGUCAUUUUAAAAUUUAUUAACUGAUCAUAUAUAAAAACAUUACAAAAUAAUUUUAUUGAGUAGUUUGGUAUUUUAUUUGUAAGUAAUGAUUUAAUUUAAGUUUUUCAGUUAUCAUUUAUCAUAAGAUAGCAUUUUUCUAACCAAUAUUAUAACUAUUAUAACUUUAAUCAAUUUUUAAUUAAUAUCGAAAACUAAAGUGAAUAUAUAAUAAGAUUUAAAAAUACAUUGUAGGUUUUAAUAUUGGAAAGUAACACCCCAAAUCUCAAAUUUAGGGGUUUUCCAACCUUAAAAAUAUGGCUCCUCUUGAAAAUGCUCUAAGUUGGACUAUGGGUUUGUUCAUGGAUAUGAUCAACUGGAAAAAUAGACUGUUUUCAAAUAUCAAAAUUGUAAUCUCGUUACAGAAUUUUCUUCUUUUUUUUUUAAAUUAGAAAUUUUGUUUAUGUUGAAAUAACACUGUCAAGAUAUGUUAUAGUUUACUAAUUAAAUACAGGAUUAGAGUGAGCUUUGGGUUCUAUAUAGAUUCAGUUGCUCCACCACGUAGACCAAAUUGUUUAAAAAUUGCCUCAAUUUUUUUUUUUUUUGGUGUAAAAUUGCCUCAACUUCUUGUUCAUUCUUUUAUUAGAAAUGAUAUAAAGGAGUGGGAUCUUCAAUUUUUACGAGAAUAUAUGCACCCCGAAGAUUUAACUUUGAUCUUUGGUGUUUCCCUAUGUCUGACCGAUAGGGUUUUGUAAUCUGCGGUUUCUAAUUUUCUUAGUGGUAUAUACUCUUCUGCUUUGGUGUGUUUGCUUUGUUCUAAAUUUUCUCAGUGCAUUACAAAUAACAAUCUUGGUUUUGUGGCUUCGCUUUGGUUCGGGGAGUGCCAAUUCCGGUUUUGAUUGGUUGGUUAAAGCAACAAUUGCAAAGUUUUGGUUUAAGGCAAGUCCUUUAUGUUGCGUGACAGUGAAUACUUUUGUGUUGAGUAGUUUAGUAAUGCGUUCUUUCCAUGGUAAUUUAUUAGCUAUGUGCUCUUUUUAACGACGCAAGGCAACAGCUAUCUUUAAGGAGAAUCUUCACACCACUAUUCUGGUGUUUCUCCUCUGGUGGGGAGGUUUUGGCUUUGCUUCUCUUCUCUGAAAUUGACACUCUUUUUACAGCUGAACCUUUCGUUGUCUUUAACUUGGUAGUCUGUGGAACUCUUGUGCUAGCCUCCACGCUUUAAGGAGAAACAAAAUCUAGAGUCACCUUUAUACUCUUAAACAGUUUGCAUAACAUUUGAUGAGAUGUUUCUCAAAAGUCCAUGGCUUUAUAUCUGUAUAUGGAAAAACAUACAUCGACCAUAAGCAAAGUAAAUAAGAUAGAUUUUGAAUAAGGGAACUCUUUUGUUAGGUCAUAGAGCUUGUUCCAACGUCAAAUUAUGAUUCACAUUGUCUGUCUUUUAUGCAUUUUGGUUUGUUUUGUUUUGUUGAAGAUGAAAGUGUAAUGAGCAUUCGUCAAUCGUUUCUUCUCACGUAUAUUAUGACUAUCCGAGUUAAAGAUGCUAAUUAACCAGAGUAAAACUUUGAAAGCUGAUUUAGAUUUUUCAGAGAAGAGAACUCUGUGUAGUAAGAAGCAUUUGAGAUUGAAGAAAAGAACUAGUUCAUUAACAGUUUUGGUUGCACUAGGAUUCCCAGAGUUAAAAGAUGCUUUUUGGUUGCUUACCACAGUAAAAAGAUUGAGACUUGAGUUUGCAAGAGAAAAGAACAACUUUUUAACAGUUAGAAACAUACAGUAGUAAAACUUUGAAAGCUGCUAUUCAAAUGCUAAAUUAACCGCAGUAAAACUUUGAAAGCUGGUUUAGAUUUGAGACCUGAGUUACUAAACUUUAUAAUGAACAGAAACAACAUAUACUAAACAGAGACUUUAAACAGGAGACAUACUAGACCUUCAUGAAUAUAAAGUACGUACUAAACCUUAAUGAACGGACACUAAACUGAAAGAAGUCUGUCGAUUUCUUCAACCCCAAGACUUUGGUCAGAGUUCUCUUAACGGUCUUUGUCUUCCAGAACCUCAACUUCAAAGGCUUCUUGUCUGAAACAGCAACAUCAUCCGUCGCUAGUUUCUUCUUGGAACCUCUUCGUCUGAUUCUCAACUUGAACAGGUUCGACAGAAACGAGUUACUUGUCUUCUCCUCUGUUGUCUUCUCAUCCUCUUCUUCAACUUGUGGACGAGGCAAGAAGGGAUGAAGCAACAACUCAUGCGCGCUUCCUCUCUCCUCAGGGUUCCUCGAGAAACACGUUUGGAUAAAGUCCUUUGCAUCACAAGGAACCGUUUCAGGUAUCUCUGGAGAUUUACCAGAGAGGAGACGAGUAGCGAUCUCAUCUAGUUCGAGGCCUUCCCAUGGAAUCACGCCCGUGUACAUCUCCAGAACCAAACACCCCACCGACCACAAGUCUAGAGACACGUGGGCGAUGCCGUCACGGACCGACUCGGGCGACAUGUAGAUCGCAGUCCCAAGCCACGGGAAAUUAAUUUCCCAACACAGGGGAACCUCUCCUAUCUCUAACGCGUUGCCGAAAUCACAAAUCUUGACCUCGUAUGAAUUUUGUCUCAAAGAGGAAGAAGGGAAGACGAGUAUGUUGUCUGGUUUGAUGUCGCAAUGAACGUAGCCAUGGUCGUGAAUCGAGACCAAACCUUCGAGAACCAUCCGUGUGAAAUCCCUGAUCAACGGUUCAGGCAACUUUCUGUCGGCGUAAUUGUUCAUGAAAGCGUGGAGACUACCUUCGGAAGCAAACUCGAGUUGUAGUUUGUGGAGUUUCUCCCCGAAUCUGCUGAAACUUUGUUGGAGAGAGUCUCCGAGACAUGUGACGAUCCUGGGACAUCCCUUGAGUUGGAGAAGAACGUGGAACUCUCUUUGGAGAGCGUUGUAGUCUUCUUGGUAAGAGUUCUUUACGGCAGAGAGGUAGAAAGAGUUGUCGUCGGGAUUAUUGUAGCGGACGAGAUUAACAAAACCAUAAGCACCUUUGCCUAGUAACUUGACGAAUUCUUCUUUCGUUUGCAUCUUUUCAAUCGGGUUUUGACACAGAAUCGUUGUUCGGAAACGUUGAGAGAAUUAAAAAUAGGAAACUGUGGCGAAGGAGAAGUGAUUUCAGAGUGUUAUAUAGAGAGUUGGGGUUCAGUUAAGUCGGUGUUGCAGACACACGGAAAAAGGAAAAUUGAAUAACAUAAUUUCCUUUUCUGAGAUACUUCAAAAAGGAAAUUCGAAGCGCUGGCCAACGGUUGAAAAAAGGAAAAGAAUUCGAAUUUUUGGUCAUUUAUAAUUAAAAUGUCCAAAUUUAUAACAAUAAAGAAUUUGUCCACGAUUUAGUUAAUGCUUUCAUAUAAAUUUUUAUUCAUGUCGUUUAAUGCUUAAAAUGUAGUUUGGAAAAAUAUAGGAUUAUAUUUAUUUUCAAAAUUUUAAAGCAGAAAAUGGUAUUUGUUUUGAAACUUCCUCAUUAAACAUAAAUGCUGACAAUGUUAAAAGAACAUAGUGUAUUUGUGACAUCUAAAAAAAACUAUAGAACUUCUAGUGGAAAAAUGUUUAAAAUAGUGACUAAACUUUUUGGCUAUAAAUUUGUUAAGCAUGACAAUUUACCUGAAUUCAAAAACAUGUUCACUAGAUCAAAAUAACCAAAACCGGACCAAAACUUUCAAAUAUUUGGAUACUUCUUAUACUUUUAUAUUCAAAAUAAUCAAACCAAAAAUUAAAUAGACAUCUAUAUAAAAAUAAUUUGAGUCGUUUGAUAUAAUUCGAAUCAUCCUAAUUACUCAAUAUUUUACUGAAUCAAACGAGACCUCGGAUCACAAACAAUUUCUAGUUUUACUAUCUAAACUAGUCCAAAAACGAAACUAUCCGAACUUAUUCAAACCAAGAAGUUGGCAGUUCCUAAAAAUACCUGUUCAAAAUAUCUGAUACAUGUAAUAUCUCACACGAGCCGAAUCGACACCCGAAAUGCCCUAGUCUAAUUUUGUAUUUGAUUUAAAAAAAUCUAACUUUUAAUACACAAAAAAAUUCAGGCUUUGUUUUAGAAAUUUGAAAGAUUUAAUUAAAAAUUGUUGCUAUAACUAAAAAUGUAGUAAUAUUAUAUAUAUAUACUUAUAUAUGAUAUGUAUUAGUUAAUAUUUAGGAAAUUAACAAAUAUGAUAAAGCAAUAAACUGAUACAAUUAAUUAGAUUUAUAAAAUGAAAAUAAAAAUAUCUUAUGUUAAAGAUUUAUUGUUAAAUAGUGUUUUUGGAAUUAUUUUCAUACUUUAGUAGUAUAUCAUGACUCAUUUAAAUCAUAAUGGAGAUGAUGUAAGGGAAAUUCUAUCAAAUAGCUAUUUUUAAGUUUUUGUCACAAAAAUAGUCCUCACGAAAGAAAAUGAUCAAAAUAAUCUUUUUUUUUAUUUUAAAAAUUUUAAUAUUUAUUUUUAUUUUUCAAAAUUUGAAACCCUAUUCCCAAAACCUCACCCCUUAACUCUAAACCUUAAUUCUAGAUUAGUUAACCCUAGGAUAAAAAUACAUUUUUAUCAUUUAGUAAAACUUAUUUCGAUCAUUUUCUUCGUUAGAGGUUAUUUUUGAAAAAAAAACUUAAAAUGACUAAUUUGAACUGAAUAUAUAAAAUAAAUAUAAAAAACUUCAUUAGAGGCUAUUUUAUUCAUGAGGAUUUUUGUGAAUAAACUCAAAAUAAAGCUAAAUCGAUAUCAGUUUGAACCUCAUGAGUCCCUCUUAAAGUGUUUUUCAAAUAUCAAAUACCUUAAAAUUUGUUUGAAUGUGGUAAGAUGAUCCAGUAUACUCCUCUUAGUGUUUUGUUAUCAGUGAAAUCACUGAAUGACCAGAUAAUAUCGUAAUUUGUUGGCUGGAGUCAGCUUAUUAUAAGUUUUGGUUCGAUCCUUUUAGAAAUAGUAAAUGUCGGUUCGGUUCAGAUCGAAUCGGUUUGGUUCAACAAAACAAAUCAACACCUGAGUCCCCCCCCACCACCACCCAAACGCCUCCAUAAACCUCAUGUGCUUUGUUCAGAGGAUCUCGUCUUCUUCUCUUUCUAAUCGAAAAUGGGAACGUUGGGACGAGUAAUCUACACUGUGGGUAACUGGAUUUGCGGGUCUGGGCAAGCUCUAGAUCGCAUCGGUUCUCUUCUUUAAGGGAGUCACCGCUUGGAAGAACACCGUGAGCCACAUUCAAACCCUAGAUCCAAAUCCACAUCUCUAAUUUGUCGCUUACAAGAAAAGAUCUGUUCAUAUUCGAGAAAUUGGUGGUCUAAUUUAGGCUCUCGUUUUCCAUUGGUUGUUGAUGAGUGUGUUUGACAUCUUAUGUUACCUGCGGACAAACAUAUAUCAAUUACCAUUUCGAUUAAAAACUGUUGAACCAUGACAGAGAUCAACAUUGCAAUACUCUCGGAUUACAAUAGACAAUAACAACCGUAAUUUUCAGAAGAAAAAAAAAGAAACUGAAAACGAAGAUGGAGGGCAGAGAGAUAACCAUUUAGGGAGCUUCGGAACGCGAGUAUGCUAUUGAAGCUAUCAAAGUAACUUCUCCAUUACUCUAAGCGACUAUGUGAUAGAUUCCCUAGAAAUUAUCUGCAUAGAGCAAGACUCAAAGUUGGAGUUAUACUUCACUUGUCAUUAUGUAAUCAAGACAGGAGGUGUGUGUUUCCAUUGAUUCUCGAGGUUCUACAAAAAAAUGGUGUAAAGACAAAUGACGGAGUUGUUCUUGCAGUCGAGAAGACUAUCACGUCACCGUUACUGGUAAACUCUCCAUGUGAGACUUUUGGUGGGUUCUGCUCUUUGCUUUUUUAAAGUCUCUCCUUCUUUUUUUCAGAAGCCGGGCAGUCUGGAGAAAAUCAUGGAAACUGAUGACCAUAUAUGUUGUGCAAUGACUUGUCUGAUUGCUGAUGCAUGUAAUACUUGUUGAGCACGCACGAGAGGAGACUGAAGUGAGACCGCUCUCUGUUCCUACUUCCUAAUCAGCUCUGCCUAAGAAGGGUCAUAACUUUUUCUUUUUCUUUUACUUCAGACUUAUGAUUUUUAUGAUGGGAUCAUUUGUAAACACGAUUCAGAUUCACAAUUGAAUUGAACGAAAUGAAAACAUAGUUUUCUUAAAUUGACACUUGUCCUGUUUUUUAAACCUGAUCCCCCCUGCACAAAGUUAUGUAUUGAUUUUGGCCUUGUGAGUUGUGGCAUAAUAUGAGUUAGACCACUUAACUAGUACCACUUUUAGUUACAACAGUACAUGCGGCACCAAGCAAGGAUUGUGUCUUUAAAAGGAGGCGUUAUGAAUUUACCUCUUGAUAGAGUUAUAAGCGCAAUGACAUUAGAGUUUGGAAAGAUUUGUUUUGGUGAGAAGAAUAACAAUACAUGCAGUUUGAUAGGAAUAGUUAACAUUUUCUUAAGGAAUACAAUAUUACAUCAAACCAUUUCAUAAAUGUUAAAGUAAAGAUAGAACUCGGAUCAGACAUAACGGUUGUAAGGGAUACAAAUCAGAUCCAUCCAACCAUUUCCGUUGAUAAAGGUAUAAACCGAGUACUUCUGAGCUUCUUCGUCCGUCAUAUUGGGUUUGUACACAGUCUACACGGUUGCUAAGACCCAAACCCCAGUUCCAGUGUUCUUGUACUCUCCAUACCUCAACGUCCUAGGGUUCCAUGUGAUCCAACCCCUCGGCUCAACCAUGUCUCCUAAAAACAUCUUCAUAACAAGAACCGUUGCAAACGGCUUCCAAGGUCAUCCAAGUUACAGAGCCGGCUCAGAGGACAAACCACACAAACCAUCGUUUAGUGCAUACAAUACGAGAAAACAUAAUAUAUUUAUUAAUAAAAGUUAUAUAAAUAAUACUAAUAUUUUUAUGAUUAUUAUUAUUAUUAUUAUUACUAUCAAAUAAAUACAAAUUAUGUUUAUAAACUUAAUAAAAUUAUAUAAAAUAUAAGUAAAAAUUAUUAAAAAUAUAAGUAAAAAAUAUAUAAAACAUAAGAAAAAAUAUUAUCUUUUAAAUGUGAGAUGUUGUAUUAACAAAUGAUUUUAGUAAUUACGACUGAUUAUAGUUAAAAUGUUGCUGAUAAUAUUAACAAAUAUUACUAUACAAUUAACUUUAUAAAAUUAUAUUUAAUAAUUAUUAAUGAAGUUGAAUUAGUUUAAAGUUUUUUGUGAUAUCUUAUAUUUUACAUAUAUAUAUAUAUAUAUAUUAGGAAAAAAUGUAAAUAUAUGUUGUUAAAAGUUUGUAAGGCAUCUAAAAGUGUUGGACCUUGUUAUGGCAUGUUCGUGCUGUUGAAAAUCACGAAGCCUGGGAAAUAAUUUGUAAGGCAUCUAAAAGUGUUGGACCUUGUUAAACGAACAGAGGUAGGGGUGGACACUUUACCCGAAAUCCGAAGUGGCACCUAAACCCGAUCUGAAAAACCCAAACCGAAAUCCGAACCGAAGUAGCAAAAUACCCGAACGGGUAUUAAAUUAGGAGAGAUUGGAUAUCCGAACCCGAACGGAUAAUAUCCGAACCCGAAUGGAUAUCCGAAGAUAACCGAACAUAUAUAUAAUUAACUUUAUAUUUCUACUUUACAUCUCUCAUUUUAUAUAAAACAUUUAUAUUGAUAUUACAUAUACUUUAAGUUCAUAUGAUAUAUAUAUAUAUAUAUAAUUAUGAAAAAAAUGAUUUGCUACUCACUUAAAAUGCAUGUCAAGUUUUUUACUUCAAAAAUUAACAAAAAGUUACAUCAAAAUUUUAAAAACAAUAACUAAAUUAAUGUUUUUUUAGUUUUAAAAUGUUAUGUCCAAAUCUAUUAACCAUUCAAUCUAUUAAAAAUAAAAAAUAAGUUAAGUGAAAUUUAUAUUUUUAAAUACAAGAAAUUUGAGAAAUUAAAAUUGAAUUUUUUUCUUUCAAAAUCUAAAUAUCCGAACCCGAUCCGAAAUAACCGAAACCGAACUAAAAAUACCCGAACCCGACCCGAAGUACAGAAAUAUCCGAACGGGUUCUACACUUGUAUACCAAAAUACCUGAAAAUCUCAAAUACCCGAUCCGAACCCGAACGGGUAUCCGAACGCCCACCCCUAAAGAUGGAUAUCGUAAUUUGAUGGCUGGAGUCAGCUUAUUAUAAGUUUUGGUUCGAUCCGUUCAGAAAUAAUAAAUGUCGGUUCUGUUCAGAUCGAAUCGGUUUGGUUCAACAAAACAAAUCAACACCCGAGUCCCUCCCCCCACCCAAACGCCUCCAUAAACCUCGUGUGCUUCAGAGGAUCUCGUCUUCUUCUCUCUUUCUAAUCGAAAAUGGGAACGUUGGGACGAGUAAUCUACACUGUGGGUAACUGGAUCCGCGGGUCUGGGCAAGCUCUAGAUCGCGUCGGUUCUCUUCUUCAAGGGAGCCACCGCUUGGAAGAACACCGUAAGCCACAUUCAAACCCUAGAUCCAAAUCCACAUCUCGAUUCGAGAAAUUGGUGGUCUAAUUUAGGCUCUCGUUUUCCAUUGGUUGUUUUGAUGACAGUAUCGAGGCAUCGGACGUUGAUGAGUGUGUUUGAUAAAUCACCAUUGGUGGAUAAGGACGUGUUCGUGGCUCCGAGUGCCUCUGUUAUUGGUGAUGUUCAGAUUGGGAAAGGCUCCUCUAUUUGGUAUGGCUGUGUUCUUCGAGGUAAAGGCCUUUUCUUUCCCACUAAAUCCUUUAAAAUGUUUUGUCUUUGGUAGCGUUAAGGCAAAGCCAAAUGAUAUUUGGUUGUUGGGAAUAGUAUGUCCCCCACAAAGACUUAAAAAACAAGAUUUGAUAUAAAUUGCAAGCCAAGUAUCAAAUUUGCAGCAUUAUACUUUGCAAGAUCGUGUGCAUUCGUUACAGUUUAGAUCUUUGCUGAUUUACUUGAUUGUCCUUUUCAUUUGAAGGUUCUAGGUUUAGUGUAUUCCUGAUGAGACGUUGUGAAAUAGCUGGAACUCAUUGUAACUUUUGUGCAGGUGAUGUGAAUAACAUCAGUGUUGGAUCUGGGACCAACAUCCAAGACAAUUCUCUUGUACAUGUUGCAAAAACCAACUUAGCUGGGAAGGUUUUGCCUACUACAAUUGGGGACAAUGUCACAGUAGGUAAACUUCUAAAACUGAUUUAUCAGCUUUUGAGAAUCUGUUUUAUGUAAUGUGUUCUGUUGCAUGAUUCUUACUUAAAAUCUUUGUGUGUAAAAAUUAAACCGAGCAGGUCAUAGUGCUGUCAUACAUGGUUGUACUGUUGAGGAUGAGGCUUUUGUUGGCAUGGGUGCUACACUACUCGAUGGUGUAGUGGUUGAGAAGCAUGCCAUGGUUGCUGCUGGUUCCCUUGUGAGAGAGAACACACGAAUCCCUUCUGGAGAGGUUUCUUUCUAUUCUCUUUUUCUUUUCUGGUUUACUUUCUACUGCGUUUGUGAUAAACAUAUUGACAAGUUAACAAACAAUUCAUGUGGCAGGUAUGGGGAGGAAACCCAGCAAAGUUCAUGAGAAAGUUAACAGAUGAAGAGAUAGCAUAUAUCUCAAAGUCGGCUGAGAACUACAUCAACCUCGCACAUAUUCACGCAGCAGAGAACUCAAAGUCAUUUGAAGAGAUCGAGAUUGAGAGAGCGCUUAGGAAGAAGUAUGCACGCAAGGAUGAGGAUUACGAUUCAAUGCUUGGGAUUGUCCGUGAAACUCCAGCGGAAUUGAUUCUCCCCGACAAUGUCUUACCGGAGAAAACUACCACCAGGGUUCCAACUACUCAUUACUGAUUCACCCGCCUCAGGUUGUUUUGCAGACAAAGAUUGAUUAAGUCAAGAGAGAUAUUAUCUUUUGGUUUUGCCCUUUUUUUCUUCCGAGUAAGCAUGGGAUUUGUUAUAUUCUUGCUCAAUAAAGCCGAAAAGAACAUGUACUGUUGCAUUAUGUCACAUUUGUUGGAUGAAUAAUUGCAUAAAGAAAAACGAUUUGCAUUCAUUGUGUUCUUCUCUUUUGCUGAUGAUGAUGAAAAUGAGUUUGGUUUCAAGGAUGAAUUAGUGUAUAGAGAUCAUGAUUUCUGAAUCCAAGUUAUAAACUAUUAGGACUUGGUGUUUUGGUUUAGUUUUUUGAGUUCUUAUUUUGCUAUUAAGACUUGGUGUUUUACUAUUUAAGCAAGGUUUUUUUUUUGCAUUGGUGUUGCUGUUUUGGACUAAAAUGUGGUUGAUUUGGUGUGUUUGGUUCUAGCAUACAUAUUUUACAAAGAUGCUGAUGAACUUAAAGUGGGACUAUAAGAUGGUUUGAAUACGUUUUCUAUAAUGCAUACGCAUGGCAUUUGGCUGAGUCUCAAGACCAAACCAAGCAUUGCGUGACUAAUAACAGAGACAUCACUGGAAGCUGACAAACAAUAUUUGGUCAGUGGAACGAGCAGGACCUGUGUUGCCUUGUCCCAUCCACAGACCACCGCUUAUCAAUAAUCCAGACAGUUCUCAGGGAUAUACCGAUUCGUAACAUCUAAUAAGAUGGCACCAGCAUAAAUUCUAAACAAAACAAACCUGAUUCAGUUUGCUUAGGUAAAAACUAUUACUGAAAAUUGUAACCUCAAAAAAAACACACAAAGAUUUCACGCUGAGUAAAAAGCAAAAUACUUGGGACAUAGACUGAUUUUUAAAUUCAGCUUGGAACUUUAACACCAAAGAGCUAAAGACGGACACAGUUAUAAUUCCAAAGUUAUUUGUGAUCAAACUCUAACACUCUCACUUUCUCACAUUUCCAUUGGUGCAACAUCCUGAUCACCUGCACCACCUUGUUCUGCAGCAGCAGCUUCAGCCUCGGCCUCACCACCAUCCUCCUCUUCCUCGGGAACGUUCUCAAACGUAUCAAUCACCUUCUGUAUGCUAUCCUGGUCCAAGAAAUGGAAUGGUUCAUCGACUCCUAGAACAGAAACGGUGCAGAGCGAGCUCUUGAGUGUCUCCCCUUGCAAAGUUUCCCUUAUGGCCAAAAUAGCAUCUUUGAUCAGAUCUUCUCUUGAUGACUCAUUGAAGCUCUCGAAUCUUCGUUCUAGAUAAGUUUUCGCAGCUUGUGAACGUGACCCGAUGGCGAACGCUUGGUACUCAAAGUAGUUUCCGCUGGGGCAGUUGUAGUAGAGGUGGGCUCCUGACUCGUCCAGUCCCCCUACCAGCAAACCCACACCAUAAGGUCGUUUCCAUGACCGUUGGGUACAUACCUGCUCAGAAAAAAAGUAUGAAGAGGGUAAACACAAGAUCAACAAACAAGUUCAACGAUCAAUAAUACCAGAGUUUUGUUCAAAGUACAAGAUUAAUAUAUGAGGCUUAUGGUCAGAAAUCAACCGAGAAAAAUGUCAAUAGAGCAGCUAACUAGACCUGUUGAAGCUGUGAAUACAUUAUUAAACUUAGAACUCUAAAUUAGACGCCAAAGUGAACAUAUACCACAAAGUUUCUAUUGCAAUUGUAAAACAAGAUCGUACUGGACGAGCACAAGAGAGGGUGAGUACACACCACAAGUGAACACACACAAAGUAGCGCAAGUUGAAACCACAAAAACCAAAAAGAGAAGAGCGAAGACUGUAUAUCCAAUUUUGCUUACAAAAUUGAAGAUAACAAAAGAUGCAAACAGCAACAAACACAACUAAAGUAUAAAAGCAGGCACAUUCUUAUACAGUUAUAUUGCCUCAAGUUGAUAACUUGUACAGCAUUCCCUUGUUAUAUUUUUGUUGGUAAAAUUCAAUAUUCGAACCCAUGACCUCUAGCACAAAACUAUGUCACACUGUCUAAAGUCAAUCUCUUUUGUUGUAUGUAAAAUUCAAUAUUCGAACCCACGAACUUGAGGUUUGGAAUGUUAAAGUGUUCUUAUCACAAAGCUACUAUGGUCACAUUGGUCUAAAGGCUAUGUAUGUCUUUUUUGUAAAAUUCAAUAUUCGAACCCAAGACCUUGAGGUUUCAAACGUUAAAGUGUUCCUACUACCACAAAGCUACUAAAAAGGCUAUAUCUUUGUAACUCAAGAGGCGGCGAGAGGAGGGAAAGGAGUAAACCUGGGCCUUAUCAGCAAGACGAACGACGAGGCGGCCAACAGGGAGAGGAGACUCAUAGGUGAAAGAGUGAUUGAUGGAUUCAGAUCUCAUGUAACGCGAGAGCACACGGCCAUCGGCGGUGAGUCCAGCGAUGGCGACACCGAUGUGGUCAUCGACUUUGAAGAUCUUCCUUUGGUGAGAAGAGAGCUCCGACUGGGCUUUAUUGACGGAGGCGAGGACGACAUGGGAGCGAGAUCUGAGCCCGAUUGCGGCGGAGCCUUGCUUGACGGCUUCCAUGGCGUACUCUACUUGGAAAAGACGACCGGUGGGACUCCAUGUUGUCACGUCUGUGUCGUACUGGUUCCUGAACAUCCUUGCUUCUUCUUCUUCGUCUUUGUUCGUCAAAAGAGUGUGUAUAGAGAGAAAGACGCAGUGAAAGAGGAAAAGCUUUUCGUUUGGUUUGGUUUGGUUUCUCUUUGAAGGGACGUAGAUGGGCUCUUAUAAGACCUAGAUGGGCUUACAUAAAUCUAAAAUGCCCAUAGAAAAUAGAGCAAUUGGCGUGCAUUGCAGAAAAUCAUGUAAACAAAUGCUCAAGUCUUAUUUGAAACUGAGUAUAAUUGUGGUUAUUUACCAUUUAAUCAUUUCUCUUUCUUAUCGCUACUUCCUACUCCCUAGAGUUUAACUUAUAGCAAGAGCCGGCCUUGGAAACAAAACGAAGCUUGUGUUUCUGGCCGCCAAAUAUUAAGAUAAUAACCAGCCACAUAUGGACAGUAAAUUCUCAGUAGCAUAGUGGUUGGCGUGUGGUUACAAGUAUUACAGGGUAGCAUAUUACUUGUAGUUGGCUUUGCUUAUAGCAGACUAGUAAUAUUUAUAUAAUAUUUUAGUUAUAUAUUUAUCUCAUAUUUCAUUUAUAACUAGGUGUUUUUAGCACUAUGUGCAGUAAUAAUUUUUAAAAAUUUAAAUCAUCUUUAAAAUAAAUUUUAUUAACAUUUUAGAUUUUAUUAUUUUUACCAAUAUUUUAAUAUAAAUUUAAUUUAAUUAAACAUAAAAUUAAGAUAAAAUACUGUUUUCUUUAUUUUAAAUUAUAUUUAAGAAUAUAUAUAUAUAUGUAUAUUUUUAAAAUUUUAACCUUAGAUAUAUUUUUCACUCUAUUUUUUUUUUGGUUAAAAAUAUUAAUCAACUAUAAAAUUAAUAAAAAAAUGAUAUAAAAUUAUAUCAUUAUCAAAAAUUAAAACUAAACAGUAUUUAUAAAAUUUAUGGGUAUAUAAAAGAAACUAAUGAUACUAGGAUUAAAAAAUUAUAAGUUUUUUAAAAAUUGUAGAAAAUUUUACAAAAUUUAGUAAUAAAAAUUAUAUAAUUCUAAAAAGUAAAUUACAUAAUAUUAUGCAUAAGCCAUGUCAUCAACUUUAGUAGCUAUGUCUCAUUUUUUAUGUAAAAAUGAUUGUAGAAAAUGAUUGUACGUAGAGAGAACAUGUGAUAAAUCACUUCUAAAAUAAUGUCUAUGGGAUCUAAUUUUCUCUUUCUUUUUCAGGUGCUUUUGUUCGACAGAAUUACAAAAGUUAUAAUCACUACUGAAGGAAAAGAUGAAGAUGUUGUCCUUAAUAUGUAUGUAGUCAUCCUAUUUUUCUGCUCAUUUCGAUAUUUUUUUCUAUUCUCUAAGUAAUUUUCUUUCGCACCUCAUGUGAUCUUAGUACUUAUAAAAUCAAAUUUGUGUCUAUUUGAUAAAGACUGGAAGCAGUUAAAGGAGAGAGAGGAGCUGGCUGUGAAAGCCAAAAGGUUUGAUGAUAGUAAUGAUAUCAUAAAUUGUUUUGUUGAGUUUGAAUUAACUCAUUGUGCCGAAUUGGCUCAAUUUGUUUAAAAAAAUGAAGUCAAUAUAUUUUAGAUUUUAUAUAUAAGAAUGUUUAUUUUUACCAGGUAUGUGUUUUUAAUAAUUGAAGGUUGUGUAAUUUUAUAAAAGGAUAUCACUUACAUUUUUUAGUCUAAAUUACAUAUAAAAAUGAUGAUUAGGUAAAUUUGUUGAAAAAAUUAAGUAUAACUUGUAAGUUAAUAUCAAGUUGACAUGAAAUACUCUGAUUUAACCAUAUAUUCUAUUUAAAUAGAAAUCAACAUAACCUUUACUCUGACCUCAGUGGAUUCUUUCAUCAACGUAACUUCACGAACAUGGAAUACCAGACAAUUCUGUCUUUGGUAGAUCCCUAGGAUGUGAAUAUUAUUGAAAGUAUACCAUUGAGCUUGACUCGUAUAACAUACAGAGAUGGAUGUCAUUUUACCAAUAAUGGAAAAUACACUGUGAAAUAUGGAUAUCAAGUGGAACGAUUUUUUCCCGACAGAGAAAAAGCGCACUGAAGGCUUUUUGUUGGAAAGUAUGUUACUCCCUAAAAAUAAAACACUUCCUUUGGCAACUAGUAUCAGAAUGUAUAUAUAGCGGUUAAGAAAAACUUGAGAGCGAGACAUAUUCAGUGUGAUAUAUAUUGUGUCAGACAUAGAGCAAUUGAAGAAACAAUAAAUCAUGUGUUUUUUAAAUGUCCUCCAGCGGUGCAAGUUUGGGCACUUUCAUAGAUCCCAUCAAAUCAAUAUAUUUUUCCGGUUCAAUCAUUCUUUACAAAUAUGAAUCAUCUGUUUUGGAUAGUUUCUCCGCAUAUGGAAAACCAUAAACUUGCUUAGGUUUUAUGGUACAUUUGGAGAGGACGAAACAACAAAGUUUUUAGUAAUUUGGAUACUGAUCUGAGGGAUACUCUCAAAUUGGCAGAGACAAAAUCAUUACUUUGGGCAGAGGCUCAAGAUACUCUUACUCAGAGGGUCGUCCAAUCUAGGGAUGUAGAAGACUCAAUUUUACCUUCCAUACCGAGAAGAUGAUGUUUUACGGAUGGAUCAUGGAAAGAAUAUGAAAGUCAUUCGGGACACAGUUGGUAUAGCAUGCUUGAAGGCUUUCAUGAACUGAUGGGAGCAUGCAAUACCAGGGCCAGUCUUUCACCCCUUCAUUCGGAAAUAGAGGCGCUUAUUUAGGCAAUGGAAUGUGAGAGGAAUUUAAGGCAAUAUCAUGUCAGUUUUGCAAUGGAUUGUUCUCAAUUGGUGAAGAUGGUUUAUGAACCAGAAAAAUAGCCAGCCUUUGCAAGUUAUUUGGAAGAUAUCAAGUUCCUAAAAUGAUGUUUCAACCAUUCAGACCUCAUUCAUAUACCUAGAACACAUAAUACCAGGCCGAACAGCCUCACACACAGUGCGAGGAGACAACCAUCGUUCGUCGUUCAUAUGGAUGCAGAAUUACCAGCUUGGUUUGCAGAGUCUUCAUGAGUCUGUUUAUGUCGAUGACAAAAAAACAUAUUUGAAGAUGAUAUUUUAUUUCAUUUCACUUGAUAUUAGAACAAAUUAUAGUUAUAUAAUCUUAUAAAAGGAUACCAAAAGCAUAUUCGACCUAUUAUAUAGAAACAUUGACUUAUUUUGAGAAGCUUAAAUACAAAUCAUAGUAAAUAUGUACGUCAAACUAUCUGUACUCUGACAUUUCUAGAUCCUCCAUAAGUUAAUGUCGUUGUACUCCAACUUCUCUAGAUAUUCUACAUUUUUUUAUUUAUAAAUACCAGUUACUUGAUCAGUUGAUGGAUAUGUUAUUUUAUUAAAAGAUAUUUCUAAAAGUAUAGUUAUGUGAUUGCACUAGUGAUUAACCAUUUUUUAGAAAGCUUGUCAUGUAUGGAUUGUUGGAUGUAAAAAGUCUACCCGUACAAGGAAACAUAAAAGUAGCUCUCUAAAAAAUCACAACAACAUAAUAUUGAAAAGGUUGUUAGCUGGAUAAAACUUUCUAAGUACAACUAAUAUUAAUUUUAAUUGUACUUAAAAGGUUUUAUCUGGUUAACAACCCCUUUCAAUCUUAAUAUAGUUUUCAUUUGAAAAUUGUGUCAAUUUGAACAUUUUGAUGAUCAAUCAUGCGCAUUUAUUAAAAGAAGGAAAGCUCUAGAUGCAUGUAAACUAUUAUUUUUAGUAAAAAAUAGUUACAAGGAGAAAACACUUUGAACAUGUGAAAACCAAAUGUUUUUCUGUAAACUAAUACUAGUUUAUUAUAUAUGCAUGUAACAUAUCAACCAAUUUUUGUGUGCAGAAAAAUUGUUAGAAUUAGUGUAAGCAUCAACUAAAAAUAGUUUUAAUAAUCAUGGUCAUAUCCACGAGAUCUAACAUCUUCAUUAGUGGCUUCUCAUGUCAACAACUUUUCCUAUGCCACAAUCACUGGAACCACCCACCACCACCACCACCCAUUUUAAUAAAGCUAUCAUCUUUUUACAUUCUAGUAAGGAACCAAAAUUGCAUCAGCUUCUCCAUUCCCUUGAUCCCUUUCACUCUCAUCAAAGAGAUCUUGUUGCGGAUUCCCUUAUCAAUCAUCCUUUUAAUCACUGGUAGUGGCAAUAACUUAUCACCAUGCAUAAGCUUGUUACGCUCUCUCCAUACUGCAUACAGAACUUCUUGGAAAGCAUAUCUUAUACAGAAGAGGCUCAUCUUUUCUCUUUUCUCAUCCAAUAGAAUAGCCAAGAUCUCAGACCAGAUAACUGUAUAGGAGUCUCGUAAAAUACCUUUGGCUAUAAACUCCCAUAUCUGUGCAUAGUAAUCACUUUCGAAGAAUAAGUGACUCCUCGUUUCUGCAGCAUUUUUACAGAGCACACAUGUAGUGUCCAGUCCCUGGCUCCAUCUUGAUGCUCUGUCUAAGGUCGACAUUCUAUCUCUUAUCAACAACCACACCAUGAAUGCAAACUUUGGAGUUUCUUGAGAAAACCAUAUACCCCGAGCCCAAGAGCAUUGUGUCUUACUCUCUCUGAGCAACAACCAAGUUUCACUAGUUGAAAAUCUUUGUUUAAAUCCUGAUUUCCCUUUCCAUAGACUCACAUCCUUUCUCUCUUGAUUUAGCUUUCCCCCAAUAAUAAUCAACUCCUCCUCUAUUUCAAUGAGUAAACUCAUACGGUGUCAUGCGUCUCCUUCUAGUAUUUAACACAGCUUCCUCCAAAGUCGCAACCCUACUCACUCCCAAGUCGAUAAUGCCUCGAGGCCCUAGCAAAUCAAAGAGAGCUCCCUUAUUCGACCAGUUAUCAAACCAGAAAGAUAUAUGUCUUCCAUUACCCAGCUAUUUCUUGUGAAACAUCUUUGCAACUUCUCUAAGUUUCAAUAUUUUACGCCACAUCCAAGAUCCAUUCUGAGUAUUGACGCUUAAUUUCCAGAAACUUUUCCCUUUCAGAAAAUUUUCUUUGAUACAUUUACCCCACAGCGAGUCACCCGAUAACAUUAUCCAUAUCAACUUAAGGCCAUAUACCUUAUUAACUUCCUUUAGAUCUCUUAGUCCCAGACCACCUUCACUCUUCAUACUACAGACAUCUCUCCACGCUACUUUGGCAUUUGACGACUUAAGUAUUGGUCCUGUCCAAAGAAAUGUUGCGCAUUGCUCCACCUCUUUAAUACAAGCACUUGGGAGACUAAAUACUACUAACCAGAAGUUUGAUUAGACUCAUUAAAACUUGUUUUAUUAACUGCAGUCUACCGGCAUAUGACAAGAAUCUGCACGUCCAAGAGCUUAUUCUGCUUCUGAUAUUUUCCAGUAGCGAAAGAUAGUCUUGCUUCCUCAUCACUUGGGUCAUAAGGGGGAGUCCCAGAUACCUCACUGGAAGUUCACCUUCAGCAAAUGGGAAGUUAGUUAAGAUACUCCUUUUCUCUGCCUCCGGUACUCCUGCCAUAUAUAUUGUAGAUUUCUCUAGGCUAAUUUGUAACCCUGACCACUCUUCAAACUCAUCAAACACAGAAAGGGGCUCCCUCUAUAGACUUUUUAGAACCUUCAACGAACACCAUUAAGUCAUCUGCAAACAAAGAUGUGUUCUAGAAAGCUUCUUACAUCCCGGAUGUAGUUUGAACUUCUUAUCAGCCACUGCUCUAUCUAUUUUUAAAGAUUGCACGUUCAUAUAGAGAACAAACAAAUACGGAGACAGAGAACAUCCCUGACGAAGACCCCUCGAGCUUUGGAAAUAGCCAGCUAGAUCACCAAUGACUUGCAGAGAACAGGAUGGGCUUGUGAUACAUAGCUCAAUCCAAUGGAUAAACCUUUCCGGGAAACCCAAUACCCUCAAACUCUUCAGAACAAACUCCCAUUGCACCGAGUCGAAUGCUUUAGCAAUGUCAAUCUUCAUAACACACCUUGAAGACACUGCAUCCUUGUGAUAACCCUUAACAAGCUCAGAUGCAAGCAGCAUAUUCUCCAUGAGAAGUCUACCUUGUAUAAAAGCCGGCUGAGUCUUUGUUAUGAUUCUUGGAAGUAGCUUCUUCAGUCGAUUUGCCAAAAAAAUUGACACAACCUUAUAGAGUACGUUACAGCAUACAAUAGGAUGGUAAUCUUUCAUCUCCAUCGAAUCAAAUUUCUUAGGAACUAACGCAAGAAUUGUCGAAUUAACACCCUUUGGCAAAAACCCAAAUCUGAAGACUGAUUGUACCGCAACAAUGAAAUCCUGAGAUAUAACCGACCAAGCUGUUUUGAAAAACCCACACGGGUAGCCGUCUGUCCCUGGAGCCUUGUUGUUCGGCAUAGCAAAGAGAACUUUCUGAAUUCCAUCUUCAGUAACUUUUGCUUCAAGAAUACUACAAUCCUCAGAUGAGCAACGAAACUUUAGCAAUUCCUGUAACUCCUCCUCAGAUGCACCCUUGUAAUUCUCUGGCUUGUGAUUUAGAAAUUCUGAAAAAAAAAUUCUCUGCCUCUUGCUUUAUCUCUGAAUGUUUAGUCACCACUCUUCCAUAUGUACAUCUUAUCUCCCUGAUCAUGUUCUGAGCUUGUCGGGUUUUGAUAGCUCGAUAAAACGUCUUAUUAUUCUUAUCUCCACUAUCUAGCCAAUGUAGCUUCGCUUUCUGCUUUAAGUAUUCUUCUUCUAGACUUGCCACAUGUAGGCAUUUACCAUAUGUUUAUGCCUCCUCUUUGACAGAUGCUUCGCUCGGAUUUGCUAGUGUGUUACUCUGCUUCACACAUAGCAGAUCAUACGCCUCUUUUGCUCGAAUUGUUAAGUUGCCCAUCUUAUCUCUUCCCAACUCACGAAUCAACGGCUUCAAAUGCUUUAACUUCUUUGAGAAUCUGAACAACGCCGAGGUAGAGUGAAACAGUCUUUUCGUUGUAUCCCAAUACCUCUGGACCAUAGGAAGAAAGUCAGGCAGGCUACCUAUCACAUUGAUAUACUUGAAGGGUCUUUUGACUUUCUCACUCGGAGGAAACAGUUGAACUUUGCACCUCAUGUGAUCCAAACAUCCCCCUGCUUCAAAAACUGCAUAAGCAUUACUAAAUCUUUGCAGACCCUCUUUAUUUAGUAAUACCCUGUCCAGCUUCUUGCAAAUUACUCCAUCCUCCCUCUUAUUACUCAUGUAAACUGUGGCCCUUGAUAAUGUCAGAGAGCUGACACUGAAGAACCAAACUCUGAAAGUCUCUCAUUCCACACGGGAUCCUACUCAUGUUAUCAAACCUCGAACUCUCAGCUCCAUCAAGAAUUUCAUUAAAGUCUCCCAUGAUCAUCCAAGCUUUAUUUUUGAAGCUAGGAGAACUAUGAUGAUGCACAAGAUCCUCCCACAAUUCCUUCCCACCCUCUACUUGAUUACUCACAUAUAUACAUCAGCAAUAGAACUUUUCUUCUCCUUUCAUCUCCACCAAACAAAUGACUAUCUGAUCAGAUUUAUAUACAGGCAUCAUACGAAUCGUAUCUCUCCAUAAUAACCAUAUUCUUCCUCCUUGGCUAUCUUCGUAAUUUGUUAUUGAUGACCAAUCUCCAAACAGUACUCCUCUUAAAAUCUUCCAUGCUUUCCCUUCCUUAACUCUAGUUUCCAAUAUACAACCAAACUUCAACUCCUUAUUAUAUUUACCCACUCUUUUACUAUGGAAUGCUUCAAAUCUUUAUUGAAUCCACGAACAUUCCAGAAAAAGCACGUCAUUUUUAAAGAUUUCACCGAGAAGACCUUUUACUCUUCGGCUGAACCUCAUGAGCCUUGGUCUUCUGAACUCUUCUUCCACCUCUUAGUUUUACUACCUUGUUUUUCUCUUCCAGGAUCUCAUCCUCCAACAAAUCUCCUUCCAAUAUAUUUGUAUUCUCCGCUUCCUCAUGUUCCUCACUCUCCACUUCCUGUGAUUCUUCUAGUUCACCCUCCUCAACUUCAUCUAUUGAAAGAACAUAAUACUUUGACGCCGAGAUUUGGACUUCACUAGCAUCUCUCUGCAGAGAAUUUUGCACUCUCCCUAUUUUAUCUGGUGAGACAAGUGACCAACCACUACCUCUCACCUGUUUUUCCCCAGUGCCUACCAUUUCAGCCUUAUUAACUUCUCCAAUAGAAUCAUCCUCCGAAAUGACUACCUCCCGGUUCUGUAACUCUUCCUCCUGUUUACUAUCUUUCUCCCUCAACCCUACUAUAGCUUCACUUCCCACUUUAUCACAAUUCUUCUCACCAGUUUCCUUCCCCUCUAUCUUCUUAUCUCUUUUCUUCCUCACACAAACCUUGUCUGUAUGUCCCCAUUUCUCGCACAAGUUACAUCGAGAAGGUAACCAUGUGUAAUAAAAUUCAGCAGUGAACUCCUUCCCUCCCAUUGUGAAAUCAAUCUCCUUAGGCAACGUCUUCGAAAUAUCAACAUUCACAAACACUUUCGCUUCUUCAUAUUUUGAACAAGACAUUGUCUUUGGGUGAAGACGAACAGGAAACUCCACAGUACUCGUCAUGAAGCUUCGAGCCUCCCAUGAGAACGUGUUCAGAGGAAUCUUUCUUAAAUGCACCCACAUUGGUAUAGCUUCCUCCUCCUGCUUAUCCUCUUCUACCUUAGGCGUCCAUUUCUUCACAACCAUAGGAACUCCAGCUAUAUUCUACAUUGGUAUAGUCUUCAUGGCUUUAGCUUUUGGCUUUUAUUAUUUCCUCUGUUUCUACGAUAGUUUCUUCUUUGCUUUCAACUGACCCCCAUAACCUAUGUUGCUUCCUGCUUAAUUAAAAAUCCAAUCAAUAUCCACCACUAAAUAGUCAAACUCUUACCGAGAUUGUCUUGUUGUGAACCUCAGCAACCAACCCAUGUGCUUGAUACCAUGUUAAAGUUCAUAGAAAGAACUUUAAAAACCUCAGCCUUCUUCUUAAUCGACAUUGAAAGAGCAUGAAAUAGUGUGUUGCAAGAGCUUAGCUUAAUGUAAACUUGAGUAGUAUCUGAGUUGAUGAAAAGCUGCACAUUUCUCACUUUGGUUUCUCUGACAUCCAAAUCAGUUGAGACCAAUAUAAAUUUCAAUGUGGUAUUAGUCAGGUAAUUGAAACCUAGAGAAGAAUAACACAUGAAAGGAGUCCAUCAGAGACAGAUAGGCUAAGAAUAACACAAAUGUUAAGUGUAGGCACAAUUCACACUACUUAACGCUUACACUUUGUAGUUCACCUAAAGGAUAAAAUAGGCUAAGAAGUGCCUCGUUGAAUGUUGUACCAGAUAUUUUCGGAUUAUUAACUGCAUAAAAAAGUUAGACACAUUUCCAAAGAGGAAAAGAACAUUACGAUGUAGUCUCUAUAUAUAUUUACAAAUGUCGUAUAUAGUAAAUACCAAGUAAUAUAGACAAAAACGAAACGGAAAGAAAAAGUUCUUGCGAUUCAUUUGGAGAAACAAACAUUGACACUAAGAGAAAUGGAUCUAAUAAAGUAAGAACCCUUAUCAUACAAUUUUGUUUUCCCUUGAAGUUCGGAAUGUAUAAACGGAUCUACGAAACCUUCAUGGUUAAGCUUCCCGUCCACCUUGAGGCGACGAAGUAGCAGUUCGUAAUAUGGCAUUCAAUCAAGGUUCCCACUACAUUUUCUUUAGUUCAAGCAACCGAUGUUAUUGGAUAACACCAACACAGAUUUUCGAGGUCUCUCAAAAUUGAACCUUUACCAGUUUUUCUUCUAAUAUUUUAUUUCAUCGAAACCAAAAAGGAAAGAAAAAGUUUUUGCAAUUCAUUUGGAGAAACAAACAUAUACAUGAAGACAAAUUCUAAAUAGAAAAAAAAACAAUAUUGGAUAAAAUAAAGGACCUUGAGAGCGUGAGGGGAUCACCAACAUCUGUCAAGCUCUGCAUCUAAGGUGGAUUGUUCUGUGUGGAUCCUAGAUCAGAGACAAUGAAUCAAAUCCAAAAAUCGGUGAAUAAAGUCAGCGGUUAAUCUUGAGAGCGACAACGACGGAUCUGGAAGUUCUGAUGUUAGAGACGACGAAUGGGCUUUAUAAAACAAAAACCAGACAUCGAAUAUAAGCAAAAGCCCAAAAAAAAUUAUAAACCUAAACAAAUAAAAUGGUGAGUUUUGUUAAAGCGGACAGGUGUCGCUCCCAGAACGCACGACUUAGUGACAUGGCAGCACCAGGAGGGAGCAAACAUCUUUUUAUAUAAUGGAUAAAAGAAAGGACCUUGAGAGCGUGAGGGCAUCACCAACAUCUGUCAAGCUCUGCAUCUAAGGUGGAUUGUUCUGUGUGGAUCCUAGAUCAGAGACAAUGAAUCAAAUCCAAAAAUCGGUGAAUAAAGUCAGCGGUUAAUCUUGAGAGCGACAACGACGGAUCCGGAAGUUCCGAUGUUAGAGACGACGAAUGGGCUUUAUAAAACAAAAAGCAGACAUCAAAUAUAAGCAAAAGCCCAAACAAAUUAUAAACCUAAAUAAAUGAAACGGUGAGUUUUGUUAAAGCGGACAGGUGUCGCUCCCAGAACGCACGACUUAGUGACAUGGCAGCACCAGGAGGGAGCAAACAUCUUUUUAUAUAAUUAGAUAAUUAGAUAUGCAGAUUCACUUAUCCACAAUAUGAUGUACACACAUGUUCAAACUCACUUUCCACUUUGUUUUAUCCAUGCUCAGGUGUCCAUUUUGUUUUGUCCACUCUCACUCAAACUUCAAUUUUAGACUAUCUACAAUGAGCUAUUGAAUAAUAAAAAAAAAUCAAUAGUUGAAAAGACAAUGGUCUAUUGAAAAACAAGUUGAAUCAUACUUAUAUUAAAUAAAUUUGAAAGAAUUUAACAAUGUUGAAUCGGUAAAGUGGAGCCAGAGUGAAGCCAUCAAUGACCACCUUUCAUGAAGUUAUUGGCUAUAGAGAUUUCUGAUUUGUUUUUCGUCUGAAUUAAUUGAGAUAAAUUAUUUCAUUAAAUAAUUUUGAAAAAAUAUAUUUUUACACCAAGAUUAUCAUGUUUCAUAUUUUAUAAAUAGAGACUUGCUCCAUUUAAUUUUGAAACAAAAAAAACUUAUCUAUUUCUACUAUAUUUUCUAGUAGACUACAAUAAACUCUUGUUUAUAUAUUUUCCCUUUUUCAGUGAAAUGAAUCCCAAAAAUAACUUUUUAACACCCAAAGUUCUACUAAUCAUCCUUUUAACUAUCCAAAUCCAACAACUAUCAGUUUUAAAAUAUUGGAGAAAUGAAUUGGUGCAUACGACAACGCUAAGUGUAUGCAGCAAGGUAUUAGUCGAAAAUGAUAUAUUGGCGCAUGAGCUAUAUUAGAGUGAUAAGAAUGGGCAUUUUAUUUAAUGUCAGAAUGAUGGCUCGCUGUCUGUGAUCAACCACGUUAUGGUAGUCAAGUAUGAGGAAAUACUGGUUUUGGAAGCAGUGGAUUUAAGAGAGCCCAUGAAAGUGAUGCUCGAAACUCCAGAUCUGUAAAAUUUAGUGCUCGUCCAAUGGGGAUGAAUGCAUAUAAGAAGAAAAAAAGAUAAAAAUAUGGGCUCUUACCAGCCUUGGAUGUGGUCAAUGAAAAUUUCAUUGAAUUCAAACAAAUCAAAGGGCAAUAGUUGUAACACUUGAAAAAAUUAGUCAUGUUGCAAAAGAAUUGAAACCAAAGGUGAAAAGAGGCAACCCAAAGGAAAGAAGAAGCAAACAAAUUAAUGAAAUAAAAGAUUCGGUCUACGAAUAUAAAGAUGUGGUUGAAGUCAAGUGAAAAGGUACAUCUCAGUAACAAGAGCAGAGAAAUGUCCCAACAGUUGAGCCACAAAUUAUUUGGAAAUUAAUUGUAGUCCCAAGUGGAUGUUUAUAUCAUGUCACUUCAUGCUUGUUUGUAUCAUGUCACCUCAUGCUUUAAUAAUGUUUGUUUGCUACUUUUUCUUUUAAUAAUGUAACAUGUGACUUUUGGCUUUUAUUGAGAAAAUCUUAUCCUCCAAUCACUCAACAUGCUUUAAGCAUUGAAUGUGGGGCAUAACAAAAGAAGAAAAAAAAUAACAUGCAUCGGACUUUACAUUUAGUUUUCAUUCAAACUUAAAAACGUAGAAUCAUUAACAAUAAUAAAAUAUAAAAGUACUUGCAUGAAGAAUAAACUUUUUUAUAAAAAUCUUUCCUACAGGAAAUGGUAAAAGAGUGGGUUGUCGACUCUGGGCACCAAUGCAUGUCUAUCUUUUUUUCUUUUUCUCUUUGUCUAUAAAAAUACUACACACUCUUCAUUUUCUUCUUUCAAAGGGCAUUCAUUUCAAAUGACAACUGCAUCUUACUAUUGCGAGAACCUUGCAAGAAACAACCCCCAUCCCCCUUCCGCCCAAUCAAGUACCAGUUGCUUCGCAGCGCGGGUAGCCUCAAAUCAAAAAUCUUCUCUACUCAUAAUUUUUUUUUAUUUUCUUGUUUUAUAUAAAAAUUUAAGAUGAAGUUUUAUAUUAUGUUUAACUGAUUUUUCAUAUUUUUUAAGGUUGUCUCAUAUGCUUCUUUCCACCAAACAAUUCAAAAAUCAGAUACAUUUUUUUUGUUUCUUCAAUAAAUUAUGAAACUUCUGAAUUUUUUAAAAUAAGUUAAAUUUCUAUUCGAUAAUACUCAGUAAAAAUCAACCUGUUAUUUACAAAUAUAUUAUAACAUAUGCAAGCAUUUCAAUCAUCUAUAUAAUUUUAAAUAUUAUCUAUAUAUAUAUAUAUUAGUUUUAUGAAUUUAUGCAUGUUAUUGAUAUAAAAAUAUUUUUUUAUAAUAAAUUUAUAUUUGUAUAGUUAAUUAAUAUUUUACAAAAUGAAAUAGUAAAUAUAAUUUUUAUUCGUUCAUAUAUGUACUAUAACACAUGCAUGUAUUUUAAUCUUAUGUAUAAUUGGUUUUUUAAUUUUUUAUCUUCAGUUUUCUCUUAUAUUAAUAUUUUAUUAAAUAUUAUGGUACAUAAUUAAUUUCUAUAGCGAAUUAUAAAUACUUUAAUAGGUAUAACAUUUGUUUAAAUCUUAUGUAUUGCAAUUUAAUUACAGUCAAUAAUUAUUACCCAUCCGUUUUGAUUUACUUGUUAUUUUAGAAAAUCACGCAGAUUAAGAAAAUUAAUAUUUUUUCUGUUAUACCCUUAUCAAUCAAAUUUAUUUACAAGUUUAGUUAUCUAUUUAAUAUUUUAAAUUAGUUGUAAGAAAUAAUUUUCUUGUCGAAUAUUUUGGCUCUUAGCAUUCUUCACCAAAUUAUCUUUAACUAUUAGUUCAAUGAAUUAAUUAAAUUGACUACAUACUCCUGUUAACAUCAAUAUAUUUAGAGGGAAACUAAAAUUUUUACGUUUAAUUAUACGCAAAAACAAAACAUAGUGGAGGCAAGUAAACAGUUCAAAACUUUUGACAAUCAGUAUAUAAACAAAUCGUGCGAUAACAAAAGUAUCAAUGGCUAAUUCUGGUCAAAACCUUUUUACAUUCAACAAAUAAAAAGCAUUAUUUUGAUUUAAAAAAUCGUGUGAUAACAAAAGUAUCAGUGCCAUUUUCUGUCAAAAAUAAUUACUGAAAAAAUAUAAAUAGGCUUGUUAUCUUUAGAUUAUAAACAGUCUGGGCAAUUUUAACAUACAUGUUGACCACAUUGGAAAAGAUAAGAAAAAUAUUUCAUUGUAGAAAAUGGCGGUUGAGAUGAUGUUAAACGAAGAUUUUUUGAAGUAUAGUUAGUUAAUUUAAAACAUUUUGUUAUUUUAUAUUAAAGUUAGAAUAGUUAUUUUCUUGUAUAAAUCAUAUUGAAAAACGAGAAUGACGCUUAAUUUGUGACAAAAAUCAAACCUAAAACGACAAGUAAAUCGAAAUGAUGGCAGUAAUAUAUAAUCAGAAAAAGAAACAUAUAAGAACGUAAAAUUAUGAAAAAAAAAUUGUAGGGUAUUUUUCAACAAACCAUUGUGAAAUAUAAAAAAUGAGUGGGUAUUGAAUUAUUAUGUAGACGAUAGAAACGAUGACGGGGAAGAGAGAGCAGAUAAUGUUGAGUGUAUGAAAUGUUGAAAUCAUUGUGGAUAAUGUUAGACUAUCUACAAUUGUGGGUAAAUUUACCACCCUCAUUUUUUUUUAUUUUUUAACACUCUAUAUCAUUUUCUCGUUUUUCCACCUAAUUAUUCAACAACAAUUUCAUUUUUAACCAUACAAUAGUUUUGUUUAAUAAAAUUCAACAUCAUACCCCAUAAUUUUUAAUUCAUAAGUUUUUAUUGUUUAUAAUUUAAACUAUAUUAAUAAUUUGAUUAUAAUUAACUUAAAUAAUUAAAGUAUCAAAGUUUUUACUAAUUUUUAUUUAUAUCCUUCACUAAGUUUUGAAUAUCAAUAGUACAACUAAUACUAUUAAAAUUCAACUAUGUUCUAAUUAACACACAAAAAAAAACUGCAAUAUAGUGAAAACAAUUAUUUUCUGGUGUCCAAAUCAAGGAAACCAAGUCUUUAUCUAUAGAAUAUAAAAAGUUAUGAAUUUUGAUAUAACUUAUUUUAAAAAACAUAUUAUUUGAUAUACAAUAAUUGAUCUUAAAAACUAUGGUGAAAUAAAAAUCUAUAAAAUCUAAACAACUACUAAUAUAAUGACAUGUGUACCAAUUCACUCAUUUUAAUUUUUUUUUAAAAACUAAAAAUUCAUUUUUGAUAACUUUUUAUUUAUUUAAGUGUGUCUUAUAGUGAUCAAGAUAACUUUGUGGGUUCUACUGUUGGCUCUUCCAACAGGUUGAAUCCACAUCAUAUUUUUAAGUUUUUCAACAGAUUCAUUGUGGGUAGUUUUACACCAUUAACAAUGAUUACAUGAUUCAACACCCUAUUUUCAUCUUUUUAACAUUCACAUCAUCUUCUCUCUCUCUUCCACACAAUCAUUCAACAACCACUUUAUUUUUGUAACAUCUACCAUAUUUUUGUUUAAUAAAUUCAACACUUUACCCACUAUUUUUUAAUUCAUAUUUUUAUCCUUUACAAUAUACUAACUAUUUAUUAAUAAUUUUUUAUUAUAAUUAAAAUAAAUAUUUAAAAGGACAAAACAAAUUACCAUUUUUUUCAAGUUGGAUAUUCAUAUAUUUUAAAAAAUAUAUUAUUAAAACAAAUGAAAUCAUUAAAAUUACUCAUACCACCAAGAGGUAUUGGCAUAGAUAAUUUAGAAAAAUCAGUUGCUACAAUAAUAUUUCAAAUAGAAAAAAAAUAAGGUGUUUGAGAAAAAUAAAUCAUCAUUGAUCGAUGAUAUGGAAGAUAGUUUGGAAAAAUGAAGACAUGAAGAAAUUUGGUGAAAAACCAUAAUUUGGUAUAUUUUUUGGUUAAUUGAAAAUUUAGUUUUGAAAUUGAUAAUUUUGGGGAUUUGGGUAAUUACAAAGAAAAUUAGAAGAAUUUCAGAUGUUAAAAGAAUUAUUAUCUCGAUCCAUUUAUCAAAAAGAAGAUUAAAAAACCAAAAUAGUUUAUUAGAGUGAAAAAUGACGUUUUAUUUUUUAUACCCAAAUGAAAUGAAAUUGAUCUCUAUUUAUAGAUCAUAACAAAUCACGAGUUUUUGUACAAUAUUUUUUAAAUGUUAUAACACCAAAAUAGUUGAUUAUAGUGAAAAUGACGUUUUAUUUUCUGUACCAAAAUUAAAUGAAAUUGGUCUCCAUUUAUAGAUCAUACAAAAUCACGAGUUUUUGUAUAAUAUCUUUUAAAUAUUUUAGUAUAAAAUAAAUGAGUUCAAAUUAUUGGGUAAUAUUUUUGAAAAAAAAAAGAAUCUGGAAAGCCACUGAGAAUCAGAUAUGUGUCUCUAUCUAAAUACAUCAUGAGUGUUAUACACGCGUCCAACAUUUUUUCUAAUUAAAAUUUAACAAGUGUCAAAGCUGCCCCAGAAAGAAAAAAAUUGGUUGAAUACUUUCAACUUUUAUGAAUCCACGUGUUUUAUUCCCAAAAUCAACACUCUGGUUGCACGUUGUUCAACAGUUGAAUUAAUAACUUAACAUGUUCACUUUGGAUAUUCUUAUAACAUUGGUUUCAUAUCUUGUUCUACAUCGUUGAUUCAUCACUUAUUCAAUAUUAACUUCCUGGUAGUCCAUUAAAUUAAGUCUCUAGUUUUUUUUGCAUAAAAUUUGAUAAAAUUUUGUGUCUAGUUACGACACAAUGUUCACAAAACUUUAUGAAUGUAUUACACAUACGAGCACAUUUAUGUUUUUCUUACAGAUAAAGACACAUUCCACUUAAGAAGCACAUUGUGUUUUAAUCAACGAGAUUUUUGACAUAUUUACCCUUGUUCUUGAAACAGAGUGUAGACGUUCCGUUAAUAAGACUACCUUUGUUUUAUUCCCAAAAUCAACACCCUGGCUGCACGUUGUUCAACAGUUGAAUUAAUAAUUUAACAUGUUCACUUUGGAUAGUCUUAUAACACUGGUUUCAUAUCUUGUUCUACAUCGUUGAUUCAUCACUUAUUCAAUAUUAACUUUCUGAUUAGUCCAUUAAAUUAGGUCUCUAGUUUAUUUUGCAUAAAAUUUGAUAAAAUUUUGUGUCUAGUUACAACACAAUGUUCACAAAACUUUAUGAAUGUAUUAAACAUACGAGCACAUUUGUGUUUUUUUUACAGAUAAAGACACAUUCCACUUAAGAGGCACAUUGUGUUUUAAUCAACGAGAUUUUUGACAUAUUUAUCCUUGUUCUUGAAACAGAGUGUAGACGUUCUGUUAAGAAGAAAUGAGAACAAUAAGUAACUAGUUAUAGCACUUGGGUAUUAAUAUUUUAUAUAAUUAUUAUAUACUACACUGUUUUAUGUAACGGAAAACAAACCAAAUGAAAAAGACAUAGUUUAUCUUUAUUAUUAUCAUUUAUUCUACCUCUUUAUAUUUUGUUUUACUUUAUUUUAAAUUUAAAGAUAUAUAAAAAAUGCUUGAUGUAAUAAAUUAUGUUCUUUAUUCUCUAUAAUUUGUCAUCAACUUUGAUAUUUUUAUUUUAAAUUUAUACAUAAAAUAGUAUGGACUAAAACAUGGACAAAGGAGUUGUGGAUAUGAACAUUCUGAUUGUGUACAUUCCAAAAAUGACUAAAUAGUUUUAUAUGUUAGCAAUUUGAAUAUAUAAAAACAUAAAUUUUUGUUGGAGAAACCAUGUGAAGUGAAUUACGUAUUUUAUGGAAGAGAAAUAUGGUCAUAUAUGUUGUGGAUAAAUAAAGAAUAUGGGUUCAUACAUUAAGAAGACCAUUCUGCAUAUUUAAGAAUUUUGAGGUAAAAGCUUAAAUAAUCAAAAGACAAGGGACCAACAAUGCAAAAAGAUAAAACAGCACCAUUGUUGGUCUCGAGACCUCUGGCUUCUAAUCAACUUGGGCGAGUGAGGCAGGAUGGACUCCGACUCCUUUCACCAACAUGUUAUCUCGGCUAUACUUUUUCGUAUAAACCGCAAAUAAAAACCGAUGUUGUUCUCCGUUAUCUCUUUCUCUCUCUUGUUACAGAUAUGGCUUCUCGCCACUGUUUCUCUCUUUCUCUAGUUUCUCAAUCUUCAACUGAAGCAAUCUGAAAAACCAUAAUAUGAAGAAUACUUGGGUAAAUGAUAUCUUGCAUAUUUACAUUGUCUUAUCCAUUUAUUCAUGUGCAUUUUCAUCAUAUAGAUUAGGAUUUAGCCAUGUCUAGGUUGCAUUUUGCAUACAUAUGUCUCUAUCAGGUAUUUGAGUACCACAUGGAGUUUCUGGAGACAUUUGGGUGCAUUUGGAGCUCAAAGGAGGUGAUUAGAGUGGUCUUUGGACGAGCACUGCCUGAAGCGACUUCUCGGAGCGACGGCAUGAGGUCGCUGUGCACCACAUCCCGGAGCGACUCAUCCAGAGCGACUGCACAAAGUCGCUCGCGUUUUCACAUUGAGGUUGUAGAAAAAUCCCUUGUAGAUUUCAAAAAGAAAGAGUUAAAGUUCUUAGGAUCUAUUGGUGAGAGAUGUGAGUUGGGUUUGACAUUUGGGAAUGAUUGUGUAAUUGUAUGUUUGGGAAAAGGGUAGAAUAAUGGAGAUUGAGCAUUGUAUGCAUGAGUUGGUCCCUUUCUUAGAUAUAUUAUGUGCAAUGUCAAGGCUACUUGUUUUGAGAGUAAACCACCUUAAAGAUCAUAUGUUUUGAACCUCUUGAAUCACUUGAAUAAAAGCCUUCCCUUUCCCAACCAAAUGACUUGGACCAACGGACCAUUUGCAAGAAUUCACCUGAUGUUUUCUGCUUAAUGAAUGUGAGAGUUGGUUGAUUUGAAUGUGUGGAUGCUUGAUGAUGAGUGUAGGGACAAAAGGAGUUGAGAUAGGCCUAGAGAAGCUAGAGUGUAAUAAGAGAGUGUGCUAAUUAUGUUUGCUAGUUGUGUUUCUUUUGGCUAUGAGCUCCCACCUUCAAACCUCUCUCCUUAUGAGUUCUAGAAAGUUCACUUGAGGACAAGUAAAAGAACAAGUUUGGGGGAGUUGAUAUCUUGCAUAUUUACAUUGUCUUAUCCAUUUAUUCAUGUGCAUUUUCAUCAUAUAGAUUAGGAUUUAGCCAUGUCUAGGUUGCAUUUUGCAUACAUAUGUCUCUAUCAGGUAUUUGAGUACCACAUGGAGUUUCUGGAGACAUUUGGGUGCAUUUGGAGCUCAAAGGAGGUGAUUAGAGUGGUCUUUGGACGAGCACUGCCUGGAGCGACUUCUCGGAGCGACGGCAUGAGGUCGCUGUGCACCACAUCCCGGAGCGACUCAUCCAGAGCGACUGCACAAAGUCGCUCGCGUUUUCACAUCCGGAGACACACAUUUUGAUCUCGGAGCGACCUUCCAGAGCGACGUGCUGAAGUCGCUCCCGAAGCUUGGAGCGACCUUACCAGAGCGACAGGGAGAAGUCGCUCGCCAUUUUGGUUCUCGGAAACACGAAAUCGCUCUCGGAGCGACCUCUCGCAGCGACCCAGCGAGGUCGCUCCCGAAGCCUAGAGCGACGUGCUGGAGCGACUUGCCGAGGUCGCUGCGCGUCGCCUAUCUGCUCGAAUUAAUGUUUUCUCAAGGGCCUUUUUGUCAUUUUAUUAUGCACGUUUUUUAUUCUGAAAACCUAUGUUUUAAUACUCUGUAAGCCACCAAGAGGGGAUUAUCUUUGUUCUUAGAAAAACCACCAAAAACCUUUGGAAAGUCAUCUCUUUGAAUCAAUUGAUCAGUUUAUUAUUGAGAAUUCUGUGUUCUUAUCUAUUUUUCCUGUGUUUCUCUACAUGAUUAAUCUGAAAUCCAACAUGGGUUUAAGAGGAAUCAUGGAGAUUAGUGAGUAAUCCCUUUUGAAUUCAUGGGUUAGGGAGAUUGAGGGUGAUUAGGUUAGAACUAGGAUGUUUUAGUGUAGAUCAUUCAUAUUUCCUUGCUAGUUGAGUGAGCAUAAUGCAUCUUCUGAGUUGGCCACUCAGUAGUUGAAUCUUAGGCAUUUCCCCCCGAAAGGUGUUCGAGGAAAUGCCCGAGACAACUCUUUUUAGCUUUUAGCAUACUUUGCCAAAGACAUUUGUUGUUAGAGGUGCUAAGAUAGCCAUUGGACUUGCUGGUUAUGAUUGCUUUCAUAUUAUUCAACCAAAGACAUUUGAUGUUUGAAUUGUGUUAAGUAAAUGAACAUUCAUCUAGACAUAGAGUUUGUUUAGGAUUGUGUCCAAGCUUAAGGUUAAUAGAUUGAUUGAUCGUUUGCCAUCUUUAGUUCGAAACUUGAUCACCCGAGGUCUAAUCCCUAUAUCCAUGAGUUCUCUUUUCCAAUAGUUAAGAAAGUAUCAUUUAGUUAUUUCUUUUAAUUAGUCAUAGUUUAAAAACCCAUCUAAAUCAUUGAUUGCACUUAGAUUAAGUGAUUACUUGCAUUCUCGGUGCUUUGAUAUCUCUCAGAACUGGUUCGACAAUCAUUUAUACUACAGCAUUUGUCUUAGGAGCCUUGAAAACUCCUAACAUCAAAUUGGCGCCGUUGCCAAAUUCUGAGUAGAUUUAAACAUUGAGAUUUAGUCAAUUGCUUGAGACUAAGUCAUUUUUAUUUUCUUUUGUUACUGACUCUUCUUCACCUCCCUUUAAUCUACAGGUGUAUGAACUUGCGGAGCAGGGGUCCAUCAAACCUAGUUCCAAGAGCAGCAGACAUCAGAGCUUUAGAGAGAGAGUGUGCUAAAAGAGAAGAGAAGAAGAACAUCAGGCUCAAUUGCAGAGACUGAACACUGACAUGGGAGACGUUCAUCAAGAAGAUGCAGGCGUCAAUGGCGCUAACAACAAUGGUCCACCUAACCAACAGCGAGCAGCUCGACCCAUUGGCACUUACGACCGUCCAAACAUUCAUGGUCAUAGAUUGGGAAUCCGAGCACCCGCUGUGGCAGCCAACAACUUUGAGAUCAAGUCAGGACUCCUCAACGUGAUUGAGAACAACAAGUAUCAUGGCUUGGCUCUAGAGGAUCCAUUUGAUCACUUGGACAGGUUCGACAGCUACUGUGGGUUGUCAAAAACCAAUGGUGUGUCCGAAGAUGCUUUAAAGCUCAAGCUAUUCCCUUUCUCUUUGGGGGAUAAGGCACGUCAGUGGGAGAAGUCUCUACCCAGCGACUCCAUUACCACUUGGGAUGACUGCAAGAAAGCAUUCUUGGAGAAGUUCUUCUCUACUUCAAGAACUGCUAAGCUGAGAAACGAGAUCUCCAGCUUUCAACAGAAGGGCUUGGAAGGUUUCAGUGAAGCCUGGGAGAGAUUCAAGGGCUACCAAGCUCAAUGCCCACACCAUGGUUUCUCUAAGGAGAGCUUGCUGAGCACAUUCUACCGUGGUGCUCUCCCUAAGUACAGGGCCAGACUGGAUACAGCUAGUAAUGGGUUCUUCUUGGGGAGAACUGAGGAGGAUGCAGAGGAGCUGGUUGACAACAUGGUUAAGAGUGAUGCAGUCUACAGUGGAGACCACGACAGAGGCAGUAGAACUGAUGAUAAGCAGACGAGGAAGGAAUUGAAGGCUCUACAGGAUAAGAUAGACAUCCUCAUUGCUGAUAAAGCUACCCAAGAGCAGCUGCACUUUGUUGGCAACCCAAGCCAAGAGACACCAGUUGUUGUCCAUGAAGUUGAGGGUUUGGAAGGUCAGGAAGAGCUGUGUUUCAUCAACAACAAUGGUAGCUGGUACAAGAAAGAACCCAACUUUCAGUACAACAACUACCAACAGAAAUCCUAUUCCAACAACCAACAGAGUGGUUAUCAGCCUCGGAACAAUCAGCAAGGCAGCUAUCAACCUCAGCAAAACCCUCCUCCUGGAUUCAACAACAAGGGCAACCAUUCUUCCCAACAACAAUCUAAUCCCUCUACCUCCACUCCUCAAGUCAGCAGCACUGAUGCUCUACUGAAACAAAUCCUGGAGUCUCAAACAAGAAGUGAGAAGCAUGUUGGCUAUGAGUUGAAGAAUCUUCACUCAAAGAUUGAUGGGAGCUACAAUGAGCUCAACAACAAGUUCAGAGCUUUGGAGAACCAGUUUGCUGCCAUGAACACUCAACAAAAUCGCCAACAAGGUUCUCUACCUGGAAAAUCUGAGCAAAACCCCAAGGAAACCAUGAAAGCUAUCACUCUCAGGAGUGGUAAGGAGUUACCUCAGAGAACUCUCACCAAGGAUGCUGAGAAACAAAGUGAGGGGGUUGCCAUCACCAUAGAUGAUGAAGUGGUGAUUGUUGAUGAGAAGAUCAAUGACGAGAUCUUGGAAAAGAUAGUGGAAGCAAAAGGAAAAGGAAAGGUUGGAGAAGAGAAGAAAACAGUUAAAGAUGGUGAAGUUGUCACUCCUGCAAGUGAAAACUCUUUUGUUCCUCCUGCCUAUGAACCCAAGCUUCCAUUCCCAGGUCGAUUCAAGAGGCAGCUGCUAGAGAAGUACAAAGCUUUGUUUGACAAGCAAAUGAGUGAAGUCCAGGUCACAAUGCCCAUUAUUGACGCUUUCAUGCUGAUCCCUCAGUACAGCAAGUUCCUCAAAGAUGCUGUAGCUGCAAAGAAGAAAGAGAUGGAGGGCAUGGUGAUUCUCACUCAUGAGUGCAGUGCUAUCAUUCAGAGACUGGUCAUUCCAAAGAAGCUAGAAGAUCCAGGAUGCUUCACAUUACCUUGUGCUCUUGGACCUAUGGUAUUUGAUAGAUGUCUCUGCGAUUUGGGAGCUAGUGUCAGCUUGAUGCCCCUAUCUGUUGCUAAGAAGCUGGGUUUCACUCAGUACAAGAAGUGUAGACUUUCUCUGGUAUUGGCUGAUCGUUCAGUGAAGUACCCUGUGGGUAUCUUAGAGGACCUCCCAGUGAUGGUUGGAAAUUAUGAGAUCCCUACAGACUUUGUGGUGCUUGAAAUGGGUGAAGAAGCUCAAGAUCCUUUAAUCCUUGGAAGACCUUUCUUAGCCACAGCAGGAGCUAUUGUUAAUGUUAAAGAAGGCAAGAUUGAUCUCCAUCUGGGUAAAGGGCACGUUCUGCAUUUCGACAUCAAGGAAGUAAUGAGGAGGCCAACAGUUCAAGGACAAGUGUUCUACAUCGAAGAGAUGGAUGCCCUUGCUGAUGAACUCCUUGAAGAGUUGUCACUAGAGGACCCUCUACAGCAUGCUUUAACUGUAGAGAAGGAGACUGAGGUGAUUGAGAACCUGGAGAGUACUGCCUAUGGGAUGAUGCUGGAUUCACACCAGGCGUUUUUCAGUAAGGACCAGUACGAGGAGCUUCCACAGAUGGUUCACCAACAAGUCUCAGUCACUCAACAAGAGGACAACCAGCAGGAUGACUGGAGUGAACUUAAGGCACCUAAAGUGGAGCUUAAACCUCUUCCCCAUGGUGUAAGGUAUGCAUUCCUUGGUCCUAAUGAAACUUACCCUGUCAUUGUGAGUAGUGAACUUACUGAAAAUGAGCUAUCUGAACUUUUGAAAACACUUAAAAGAUUUAGAAAGGCAAUAGGUUACUCACUAGAUGACAUCAAGGGGAUAUCACCCUCUUUGUGCAUGCAUAGGAUACAUCUUGAGGAUGAAUCAAUGACUUCUAUCGAGCAUCAAAGAAGGUUAAAUCCUAACCUGAAGGAUGUUGUAAAGAAAGAGAUUCUUAAACUCCUAGAUGCUGGUGUUAUUUACCCUAUCUCAGAUUCUAAAUGGGUAUCACCUGUGCAUGUUGUACCAAAGAAAGGUGGUAUCACUGUGAUCAAGAAUGACAAGGAUGAAUUGAUACCAACAAGAACCAUCACAGGUCAUAGAAUGUGCAUUGAUUACCGAAAACUAAACUCUGCAUCUAGAAAGGAUCAUUUUCCACUACCAUUUAUUGAUCAGAUGCUUGAGAGACUUGCAAAUCACCCAUUCUAUUGUUUCCUUGAUGGGUACUCAGGAUUUUUCCAAAUCCCCAUACAUCCCAAUGAUCAAGAGAAAACGACAUUCACAUGUCCCUAUGGUACCUUUGCAUAUCGAAGAAUGCCAUUUGGACUAUGUAAUGCUCCAGCCACCUUUCAAAGGUGCAUGAUGUCAAUUUUCUCUGAUCUGAUUGAGGAUGUUGUGGAGGUAUUCAUGGAUGAUUUCUCUGUCUACGGAUCUUCGUUUUCUGCUUGUUUGUCAAAUUUGUGCAGGGUCCUACAGAGAUGUGAAGACACCAACCUUGUGCUGAAUUGGGAGAAGUGUCACUUCAUGGUCAAGGAAGGGAUUGUGCUAGGACACAAGAUUUCAGAGAAGGGGAUUGAGGUGGAUAAAGCCAAAAUCGAUGUUAUGGUUGGUCUGCCUCCACCAAAGACAGUGAAAGACAUCCGGAGUUUUCUUGGUCAUGCUGGAUUCUACAGGAGGUUCAUCAAGGAUUUCUCCAUGAUCACUAGACCUUUGACCAGACUGCUGUGCAAGGAAGCUACCUUCAGUUUUGAUGUAGAAUGUCUACAAGCUUUCAAGAAGCUGAAAGGUGAACUCGUUAGUGCCCCAAUUGUCCAGCCACCUGAUUGGGAUCUCCCUUUUGAGAUCAUGUGUGACGCCAGUGACUAUGCUGUGGGAGCUGUUCUGGGGCAGAAGAAAGAUGGCAAAACCCAUGUGAUCUAUUAUGCCAGCCAAACCCUCAAUGAUGCCCAGAUGAAGUAUGCCACAACAGAGAAGGAGAUGCUGGCAAUUGUUUUUGCCUUUGAGAAGUUCAGGAGCUACUUGGUUGGGUCUAAAGUCAUUGUCUACACAGAUCAUGCCGCCUUGAGACACCUUUUGGCCAAGAAGGAUGCAAAACCCAGGCUUUUGAGGUGGAUCCUUUUGCUCCAAGAGUUUGAUAUGGAGAUCAAGGACAAACCUGGAGUUGAGAAUGGAGUAGCUGAUCAUUUGUCCAGGUUGAGGGUAGAGUCUGGUAUCCCUAUUGACGAAGGACUUCCUGAGGAGCAGAUCAUGGCUAUCGAAGCAGUGAUAGCAGUUUGUGAGACUGGUAGGAAGCUGGAAGAAGUCAAAGCAACAGAGGAGAAGGAACCUUGGUAUGCUGAUUUGGUGAACUACCUAGCCACAGGAAGAGAACCUUUGAAUCUUGUAGGGUAUGCCAAGAAGAAGUUCUACAAGGAUGUGAAAAGAUAUUACUGGGACGAACCCUACCUCUACAUUCUCUGCAAAGAUCAGCUUUAUAGGAGAGUGGUUGCAAAUGAGGAGAUUGAUGGGAUCCUUGCACAGUGUCAUGGAUCAUCCUAUGGAGGUCACUUUGCCACCUUCAAGACAGUUGCAAAAGUAUUACAAGCUGGAUUCUGGUGGCCACACAUGUUCAAGGAUACACAAGACUUUGUUUCGAAGUGUGAUUCUUGCCAAAGAAGAGGAAACAUCACCAAGAGGAAUGAGAUGCCUCAAAAUCCAAUCCUUGAAGUUGAAGUGUUUGAUGUCUGGGGUAUUGACUUCAUGGGACCAUUUCCAUCAUCUUUUGGCAACAAAUAUAUCCUUGUGGCUGUUGAUUAUGUCUCCAAAUGGGUGGAAGCCAUUGCAAGCCCCACCAAUGAUGCUAGAGUUGUAAUCAAGAUGUUCAAGAGCAUCAUCUUCCCAAGGUUUGGAGUUCCAAGAGUUGUAAUCAGUGAUGGAGGUUCCCACUUCAUUAACAAACUGCUUGAGGGACUUCUCAAGAAGAACGGUGUGAAGCACAAGGUGGCAACUCCUUAUCAUCCCCAAACAAGUGGCCAAGUUGAGAUUUCUAACAGGGAGAUCAAAUCUAUCCUGGAGAAGAUUGUGGGGAUUACAAGGAAGGAUUGGUCUAAUAAGCUUGACGAUGCACUUUGGGCUUAUAGGACAGCGUACAAGACACCACUGGGUACCACACCUUUCAACCUAGUGUAUGGGAAAGCUUGCCAUUUGCCAGUGGAGCUUGAGUACAAGGCACUAUGGGCAAUAAAGUUGCUGAACUUUGACAUCAAGAGUGCCAAGGAGAAAAGGCUCUUUCAGCUACAUGAGCUUGAUGAGAUAAGAUUGGAUGCUUUCGAGAACUCAAGAAUCUACAAGGAGAAGACUAAGGCUUUCCAUGACAAGAACAUCCUGAAGAGAGAGUUUAAAGAAGGAGACCAAGUUCUUCUCUACAACUCUAGGCUGAAGUUGUUUCCAGGAAAGCUUAAGUCAAGGUGGUCCGGUCCUUUCAAGGUCAAGGAGGUUAGACCAUAUGGAGCAAUAGUUUUGUGGAGCACUGAUGGAAGAGACUUCACAGUCAAUGGACAAAGGGUUAAGCUCUACAUGGCUACUGCACCAGAGGAAGAUGGGGUUUCAACUCCACUGUCUGAUCCUACCCCGGCCUAAUCUAAAAGGAGGCAAAGUCAAGCUCGGGACUUAAAACAAGCUCACUUGGGAGGAAGUCCCAUGCGUAUCCUUGUACAUAUUGCAUUGGUAUUUCCAUUUUUCAUCUUAUUGCAUAAAAAAAAAAAAGAGAGAGAAGUUGUGUGCAGGUGCUUGAUCGGUUCAUUUUGAGCAGGAGUCGUGCGUGGGAGCGAGGUCUCACAGCGACACCUCAAGGUCGCUCCAGCUGGGAGCGAGGUUUCGAGAGCGACACUCCAUGGUCGCUCGCGUUUUCGUCGUCGGAUCAAGAAAAAAUCGCCUCAGAGCGAGGUCUCGGAGCGAGGCCGAAGGGUCGCUCCAGCUGGGAGCGACAUUAUGGGAGCGACACCUCGGAGUCGCUCGCGUUUUCGACGAAACGGAGCUCAAAAACUGACCCGGAGCGACGUCCUAGAGCGACACCUUGAAGUCGCUCCAGCCCAGAGCGAGGUUUCUAGAGCGACACUUCAAGGUCGCUCGCGGUUUUGUCGAAACACGACGCGAGGAAACGACUCGGGAGCGACCUCUCCCAGCGACACCCUCACGUCGCUCCCGAACCGGUCCAGGUAAGUUUCCUAACUCUAAACCCCGGUUUAAUUCAAGUAAACCGACCCUAACCACCCUAAACCGAACCGGACGACCCUAAACCUACCCCAACCCCCGCGACUCCUAUCUCUCUCACUCUCCCCUCCUCUCACAAACUCACAAACUCUCUCAAACUCACCCACACCAAAAAUCCCAAAACCUUCUCAAUUCUCACCCAAAUCAACUAGUUCUUGUUUCUAAACCAAGCUUUCGCCCCUGUAGCCUAUUCCUCACCACCCAUUCACCAUUUCCUUUCAUCCAGAGCAAGGUAUUGAGUUUUUAAAUUCAAAUUCGUAGGUCCAUGAACCCUAGAAUUUGAAAGUCGAAAUUUGGUCACUUUCUUGCUAGAUUGUGGUGAAAUAGACUAGGGAAAGUUUAUCUAUCAAGUUGGGUUGUUGAAUUAAUGGUGAAAUUGAGUUUAAUUUGCACUUUGGCAAAAUUAGGGUUCAUGGAAUUAGGGAUUUUCGAAUUUGACCUUAAUUGGGUGAGUUUGUGGGUGAACUAGAUGUGUUAAGGUGUUACAAGAGUGAGAAUUGUUGCAUUGUGUUGAACUUGAGUUUAAAUUGAUAAUUCAUUUGUUAAGUUCACUUUUGCAAUUUUCUCUUGCAAAAUCCUGUUUUUCUUUACUUCCAACUACUUAUCCCUUUUCAAGUUUUUACUUCUUCAGGUGAAAAUGGUUAAGAAGACAAAGGGAAAGUUGGAAGCUGAGAAGCAAGAAGCUGAAAGAACAGAGUUUGCAUUAAGAGGAAAAGCUUUAUCCUGCGAGCCAACUGGGUCAGGGACGCAGAGAACCGUUCGACAGCAGACUUUGGCUGCAAGGAAAUCGCAAGAACAAGAGAAGAGGGCUGGGAAAAGUGUAGCAGUUCCCACUCAUGAGGAGAGUGAAACUGAGAGUGCUGAUGAGCAGGCACCUACGAAGAAAGCCAAGAUGUCCAAAGGAAAAGGGGUUGCUGUUGAUCGAGACAGGGCAAAAACUCCAUCUGUGGAGGAGCUGUAUGAUCACUUGAAGAAUGGGUCACUUGGGCUCCAACCAGGUUCGCCGACCUCGAUUUGCUGAAGGAGUUGGGCCUAGAAUCCGAUAUUGAGGCGAUGCUGGGACAUUUGAAGAUGCCAAAACUCCUCACCAUGGCUUAUCCUUUCUACAAGGAUGUCACUUGUCAGUUCCUAUCCUCUCUUGUGGUCACUUACCACGACACGGCGCAUGUGAGGCAAGGAUGGGGAAAAAUCACGUUCAAGGUCAAUGGAAGGGAAUACAACAUGAACUUCAAGGACAUUGGGAGGGUCAUGGGGUUCCAAGACCUAGAAGACCACUCACUUCCCAAGUGUGAGAACCUCCCCACAGAGCUUUGGAAGUUGAUCACUGGAAACAGGCACUCUACCGGGGCUGACAAGAACUCACACAUCCGACACCCGUCUGUACGCUACCUCCACAGAUUGCUAGUCCAUGCUUUCUACCCACGGAAGCAAGCUGGUAAUGUUACUGAGGAAGACAUGCGACUGCUCUGUCCGGCUAUCCGUCCUUACGCUCAACCUGGAGUGUUACCCCUUCCCAGCACUGAUAUCUAUGCUACCUUUGGGAUGGUCAGUUUCUUUGUGGGCCGUCUCGAACACUACAGAGACUGGGCGUGGUACACCACUGAUUCGCGCCCAAAGAUGGGGAUAGGCGGAAUGAUCACACCACUGCUCCAAUUUCUGAAUGUUCCCUUGGGAAAGGACGCAGCGGGGCCUAGGUUCAUUGAUGGCACCUACUUGAGGAUUGCCACCUAUUUCAGUGGGAUGUAUGGGAAGGACUACGUCUACCACUACUACUUGCAGGGCAAGCCAGUCGAGGUGGUUCUUCCAAACCGGAACCUGACGAGUUUAGAGAUACCAGGAGCUGUCAGCUUCAACAUUCCCCAGGAGUACUUUCUCGGAGAACACGGGCCUCUCGAUCCAAUUCAAGCAGCUUCAUCAAGGAGAAGGAGUGUCCCUACGCAACCUGACCCGCCUGUUGCAGACACGUCUGAGCAUAUCUAUGGACCUCCGCGCUACUACUUCAAGCCCCAUGACGGAGUCCUUCCCCCUGGAGCUCUCCGUGAUGCUCAUGACCACAUUGGUCGUCUCCAGAGGUGGAACAAAGCUCAGGACAGAACGAUAGAAAAGCUGAAGGAUAAGUGCAAGGCGCUCAGCAAGACUGUGAAGAAGCAGGCAAAGACUUCAGCCAAGUUCAUGAAGAAAGUAGCUGAUGUCUUAACUAGGGGAGGAAUAGCUGGAUGUAGCUCAGCCGAUUUCGCUUUCGCGAACACCUCAAACCCCCAGCCCCCACCCCCGCCUGAUGCUCUUGGCUUCCCCCUCACUGCUGCGCAGCUUCAGCGUAAGUGGAGGAACCCACCCACUCAACCUUCCACUUCCGGCAACAAAUCCCCAUCCCUCGCUUCUUCUGACAGUGAGCACGAGAUUGACGAGGUUGAGAGCCAGCCAUGGUAUGGAGGCUCCGGUUCAGCAUCCGGUGGUUACUACACCACCUUCCCUCCUGACGACGACGAUGCUGGGGCAUCUGCCCCCACCUAUUAUCCAUAGGAGGUACUUCUUUCUCUCCCUUGUAUAUACCAUCUCAUUUUUUUUUUUUUGCAUAUUAGUUUUCUUCUCGGUAUCUCCUUCUUUCUUUGACAACACAGAGACUGUGUAACUCAAGUUUGGGGGAGGUACCAAGCAUUUGAUCACGUUUGCUUUGAUUGUGUUUCAUUUGAGUCAUGCAUUGCACACCUAUUUGCAUAAAAAAAAAAAAAAAAAAGAUUUUUCAUUUAGUUUGCAUCAUUUGCACCAUUAGGAGAGUCUAGAGCAUAUAGGGUGCAUUCACUUGCAUUGGGAGCAAUGAUUUUAAAUGCCUUGUAAAGAACACUACGUUGCACCAUUGAGUAGCCAUGCACCUCUCGAAAAGACUUGUAUGUUUCGAGCCUUGAAAACUCUUCUUGAAACUUGUUGAUUGCUGAAACUCAGUCUUUGAAGCCAACUACAACCUUAUUAGAAAUGAAUGAACUUAAUGCUUCUUGCUUAGGGUCCCUUGUGUACUGAGUCAUGGCUAUACACACUGGAGUUGUCACAUCUUUUAUGCCAAUCUUUUUGACAAACUCUAGUGGUAGACCACUCCCAAAACCUUUCCUUCCUUUUAAGCUUUCAUUGUUUGAUGAGUGAGGCCUUCUUCGGAAAGUCUUACAUGCGCAUAAUGUUGAGAGUAUCGGGAACGACAAUGCUUGAUCUUCAUUUUUGCUAGAUUGGACACUCUUUUGUCUAGCUAUAGGUGGGAGGGUGAGUGUUGUGAUCAUGAUUUGGGAGAAAUGAAAAAUAAAAAGGAUAGACUCUUUGUGCUUAAGUGAAUUGAUUUUCUGGGAUAAGUAGAGAACCUCUAGCUCUAGUUUCGAAAAGUCUUGGCCCCCAACCUAAAAAAAAAAAAAAAAAAAAAAAAAAAAAAAAAAAAAAAAAAAAAAAAAAAAAAAAAAAAAAAAAAAAAAAAAAAGGGGGCUAGCAAAGUUGUUAGGAGCUAAGAAAUGUUUUGAGGUUGUAGAAAAAUCCCUUGUAGAUUUCAAAAAGAAAGAGUUAAAGUUCUUAGGAUCUAUUGGUGAGAGAUGUGAGUUGGGUUUGACAUUUGGGAAUGAUUGUGUAAUUGUAUGUUUGGGAAAAGGGUAGAACAAUGGAGAUUGAGCAUUGUAUGCAUGAGUUGGUCCCUUUCUUAGAUAUAUUAUGUGCAAUGUCAAGGCUACUUGUUUUGAGAGUAAACCACCUUAAAGAUCAUAUGUUUUGAACCUCUUGAAUCACUUGAAUAAAAGCCUUCCCUUACCCAACCAAAUGACUUGGACCAACGGACCAUUUGCAAGAAUUCACCUGAUGUUUUGUGCUUAAUGAAUGUGAGAGUUGGUUGAUUUGAAUGUGUGGAUGCUUGAUGAUGAGUGUAGGGACAAAAGGAGUUGAGAUAGGCCUAGAGAAGCUAGAGUGUAAUAAGAGAG